rnacentral:lncRNA from 1 species
UCAAAGGGAAUUGAGAUUUGCUAAUAUUUAUGCAAAUGAACGAUGUUCAAUUGUAACCUUUUUUCUCUUCCAGUGGACAAAUAAACAUCUGCUCAUGCUUAAAAGUGGAGAAAACAUGUUUGUGAAGUUCAAGUCAUCAUUUCGCAGACCAUUUCUGUGUUCAGCAUUCAUGUUUGUUCAGUGACGUUUUUCUUUGGUUAACGUGUAGGGGUCGUCAUGAAUCUAAAAUAACUGAAGAGGAUGAAGAUGAAGAAUGUCUUAAGGGGGAGGAAGAUGGCUUGUCUGGUACAGGAAACACGCGGCUGCUGACACGACCCUCUUGUAAUCUCUCUCUCUCUCUCUCGUUUGAUUGAAAGAAGGAUAGUCUUUGCUGCUUAUACCUCUCCUGUACCCCUGCUCUGACUUGUAGAAGCUGUAAUGUUUGCUGCAAUUUCAGAAUGCUACGUAAUGUGGGAUUGUCAAUGUUCUUGGUGCUGACAUGAUUCCUCAUCACUAACAAUUAUAGUACUCCAAGUACUUACUUUGGUGUUGACUAAGUAGAGGUUUUUGACAUCUCUUCCCGGCCCUUGUCUAGGCAGGAACCUCUUGCACUGGGCACAAACCUUUAUUAUAUUGUCGUCUUGCUCCAGAAAGAUUCUGUUUUGCUCUGAUUUCUGCAAUUAUCUUGCCAACAGGAUAUCUCCAGCAAAUAUGAGUUAACUGCUUUCUUAAGUUCUAUUUGUAUGCUUUUUCGCAGGUAUACAAGGGAAGAUGAGGGAUUACCAGCUUGGUGGAUUGAAUCGGCUCAUAGGAUUGUAUGAGAAUGGCAUUAACGGAAUACUUGCUGAUGAAAUGGUAGGUCACGGGCUGCAGCAUUUAGAUGUGUGUAGUAUGGAAGCUGGAAAGGCUAGAAGAUGCAGAGCUUAGAGAAAAUUUGCUUAUAAAAAUUCCAAUGAUAUCUUGGAGAUAUUCAUCUUGUGAGAUCUUGAAAUUGACAUGUGCUGAGAUAACCAAUCAGCGUGGCUCCCGGAAAGUCUUAUAUGUCUACAAUAUUCAUACCGGGUUGAUGAUGGCAUUCCUGGUCUCUCCAACUUGAAAAGCUUGAGAGAUUUGUCCUGGGAAAGCCAAAACUCUCUCCCAGUUGACUAGGAACUUGAAAAGAUCGUGGAAAAUUCUAUCCCUGGUGGAUUAGUAGGUUAGACACAUUGCAGUCUUUAAAGUUGUCCUCUUCGAUAAUGACCACCUUAUCACUAGAUAUUCCACAACUUUCUCAUCUCUACAGAGUUGAACUUUGUUGGGAAUGUCUGCAGUGCCUCCCGAGGCUUCCCUCAAGUUUACCGUCCAUAUAUAUUAGAUAUUUCCUAUCAAUGCGUACAUUGAUAGACCUAUCAAACUUGAAGAAAUUAUGAGAACUUUGAGUAUUGCGCACUUACAGAGAUCCAAAGCCUUGAAAGUCUGGAGACUCUUAGAAAUUUGGAGCUGAACGAAUACCACUGACUGGACAAAUUGGCCGACUGAGUGGCUUGAAGAAACUAAUGGCUUUUCAUUUACAUCAUCGCAGUGAUCUGGUUGACCGGAAUCACCGGCCAAUUUUUCUAUCUUCUCCAGCAACUUUGUCCUGAAGUUUCUAAUGUUUCAGAGUGGAAGAAAUUAAUAUGAAUAGGCAUCCACCCCCGGAGAUUUGAAAAUUCAACACAUUAUAGAGUUGCUUGAUUAAAUUUGGCAAAUUUCUGCAAAAGAAAGAAGAAUGUACACCUGCUCUGUCAAGUACUUUUUUUCUGAUAAGAGGUGCUUCCCAUUCUGUUGUACAAUAUGUGUAACAAAGAGGUUUAUGUAAAUCUUCUUUUUCAGUUCACUUUGCAUGUUGACUAGUGAUGGUUCUGCAAGUACCCUUGUUCAGAUUUUCUCUAUUUUAAUUUGGUUUUGUUUAGAUAUUUUAAUGGCUUUGAAUUGCUAACUAACUUACCUAACGAGGUCAGGUCAAAUUAUAUGAACUCCAAGUGCAUUAUUUUGUCAAUUUACCAGGUGAUGAUUUAUUUGAGGCAUCUUAUAAAUUGCUGCUUCGUUUUACUGAAUUUGAAACUGGUCGAUGCCCAUGCUUCACAUAGGAGAACUUUAAAGUAGCUGUUACAAUGUGUAUGAAAGUAUCUGAGCACUUGUGGCAUUACCUCUACAGCAAUAACUAACACAAAAUUGCGACAUGAAGAAGAUGGACGAUCUACAUAGGUAAACACAUAUAUAGUUUGGAUUUUGGGUAAAGCAUGUUCCUUAAUUGGAUUCACACAAGAUGAAGAGAAGUGGUAACGAUUCUUAAAUAUAUUAAAUAAAUGUUUCCAGUUGCAACUUGGUCCGACAUUAUCUAAUGUUGAAGUAAAUAUGAAAUAAUGACCCAAAUCGUCAAAUUUCAAAUGAAUAGAAGUGUGGCAAAACUUUUUCCAAGUCUAAAAAUUUAACAUGGAAUAAUCUCGCACUGUCUACAAGUUCUUAUCAUUUUGCCUCUUUUUUUAUAUCUUUCGUAAUAGAUAAUCCACAAGCAUUAACCAAGAUAAUGAAGAGCCACACCUUCGAAAACACUAUUUGAAAUAGAGAACUUUCGUACUUGAGAUAAGCAGGAGUCAAUUUUGUAUUUUUUAUUUAAUCAUUAUAGUCAUUGGAGAGGCGUCACAAAACUUUGGCCAAUCACUAAAGAGGCUUCCGAGUUUGAUUGAGAAUUUGGAAAGGCUAAUUGAGUUGGUUUCCGAAUGGGAUCUAACUGGUCACAUCAAGUUUGUGAGCUUAUUUACCGGACUUGUUAGUGGCCCAAAGUUCUAAUACAACACUCAUGAAUGAUUUUCCCAUCUACAUUGACACAAAACUGUGCUUAUACAUUGGUUUUGUGUACUCUACUUUAAUAGUGUUUUGUAUAAUAAUCAGCACAAAGCAUGGAUAUAUAGGGGUUAAAUGCGAAGGUUGGUUUACCUCUAAAUAUAUGUGAUUUUUAUAAUUUGAUUGAUCACUAAGGGAGUGUCUUCGAUGAAGAUCAAGCUCGGUAAUUCCACCGGGCUUUAUGGUUUGAUGUCAAUUUAGGCCUGAGCCCUCUUUGCCCAUUAGGCUCAGAGAACAGGAGUUCCCCUUGAUUAAAUUUUUUUUUGGGGGGGGGGGGGGGUGGGGGGUUGGCGGGCAGCGAACUUGUUUGGAAGUUCCAUGUUUGCUUUGUCAACUUUGACUUUGAAUGAAUCUGCCCAUUUAUUUGAAGGCAAAAGUGGAUUCUCAUCCACAAAAUUUUGCACCAGUGAUUUCCGUGUCAAAGAAAUGUAAAUAAUUGUCAACUUUAACAAGUUGGAGUGAUGCUUCCAGGAAGCAUCUCUACUGACUGAUUUGAUAGCAAAACUGGCCAACGACUCUCUCUCAAUAUUUAGCCAAUCUUAUGGCUUCUUCUAAGUUCAAUGACCAACCGAAAAGUCAUUCAAAAAAUCUUCAUUUUUAGUACCUUAAGAUUAUGUAGUAUAAGAACAAAGGUCUUGAUAGUUAAGGCCCACAUCUAUGCAAAAAGUCUUUCUUUUCCUUUAAAAAAGUAGGAGUUAGGCAGUUCACUUAGGAUUUUUUUUUUUUGGGAGGGAGGGGGGUGGGAUGAACUUGUUUGGAAGUUCCGUGUUUGCUUUGUUGACUUUGACUUUGAAUGAAUUUGCCCAUAUAUUUUGGGGCAAAAGUAGAUUCUCAUCCCCAAAAUUUUUACACCACAUAUUAAGUGAUUUCCACAUCAAAGAAACAUAAAUAAUUGUCAACUUUGAUGGGCUGGAGUGAUGCUUCCAAGGAGCAUCCCUACUGAUCAAUUUGGCAACAAAACUGGCCCACAACUCUCUCUGCAUAUUCAGUCAAUGCUGUGGCUUCUUCUAAGUUCAAUGACCUAUCGAAAAGUCAUUAAAAAAAAUCUUCAUUUUUAGUACCUUAAGAUUCUGUGGUGUAGGAAUAAAGGUCUUGAUAGUGAAGGCCCACAUCUAUAUAAAAAGUCUUUCUUUUCCUUUAAAAGGAGUAGGAGUUUGGUAAUGUGAUCCCAUCAAUUUUCUCUUCUCCCUCGAGCUUCUAAGCUAUAAUGGAGAAAGCUCAAUUUUCGAUUGGAAUGGAACGAGUCUGAUUUCAAAAAAAUUUGCAACAAACUUGUUUGGAAGAUCUGUGUCUGCUUUGUUGACUUUGACUUUGAAUGAAUCUGCCCAUUUAUUUGGGGGCAAAAGUGGAUUCUCAUCUCCAAAAUUUCUACACCAUAUAAUAAGUGAUUCCCGUGUCAAAUAAACGGAAAUAAUUGUCAACUUUGACGAGCUGGAGUGAUGCUUCCUGGAAGCAUCCCUACCGACCGAUUUGGCAGCAAAUUUGACCCACGACUCUCUCUACAUAUUUAGCCAAUCUUGUGGCUUCUUUUAAGUUCAAUGACCUAUCAAAAAGUCAUGGGAAAAAUCUCAAAUAAGGACCCAAAGUGGCUAACAAGUCUCAAAUAAGGACCCAAACCCACUAGCCGACAAUCGUGUGACAUUUCCAGUGGCCAAAAUAUGGGCAAUUUUGUCCACAAAAAAAUAGAUAGAAAUUAACAAACCCUAAAGACAAAACCCCCCCAACUCUUCACGUUAUUUUGACCUAAAAAAAACUCUUUAUGUUCUCACGUAUUUCUUCUUCUGCUCUUCAUCUUCUCCGUUCUUUGUCCUCUCUCGCUUGGAGCACCGAAAUUUUCUGUUAAUGGAACACGAAUUGAAAUACAACAAGAAACCCCUACCUUCAUUUCUUCACAUCUUCUUCUUUUGUUUUCUUUCUUUGUUUCUUUCCAACGAAGAAGACAAAUCUUGAGUAAAGCCGCAUUUUCGUUAUUGAGACACUCGUGCGUAACAUGAGGGCCUCGAUUCUUCAUUAUCUUUUCCUAGGUUCGCCAUAUACUUUGAUUCACACUCCCGUUCAACCGAGGUCAGUUUCGUUCAAAUUGGUGCACAUAUUAAGUGAUUUCCCAUCAAAGAAAUGUAAAUAAUUGUCAACUUUGAUGGGCUGGAGCGAUGCUUCCAAGAAGCAUCCUUACUGAUCGAUUUGGCAGCAAAACUGGCCCACAACUCUCUCUACAUAUUCAGUCAAUGCUAUGGCUUCUUCUUGUGAAUGCUAGUAUGAGCACCUAAAUGGGGUGAAUAGGUGCGAAAACAAACUUUUGAGAAGUAUAGUGUAAAAUUUUACUUUUAAUCUGAGUUUGUUUAAUAGUAGACUUUAAAAUAGAAACGAGACUCUAACAAUUAAAUAAAGUUACGAGUAAAGUAAAAGAGUUUAGGGAAGAGAAUAAGAACACAAGAUCUAUAGUGGUUCGGCUUAAUCCAAGCCUACGUCCACUCUCCCGCACUGAUAGCCCACCGGCUAGAUUUCACUAUGAAUCAAAAGAGUCGUUACAGUAUCACGUCCUUGAUUCCACAGUGUAGAGACUCUGCUACAUUUCCUCAAGGUCUCACAAAUGUAUAAACCCUUUUUUGAGUACAAGUUUACACUUAACAAUUGAAUUGGCAAAAAAUAAGGAGUUUUAGACUUUGAAAUUUAUCUAUCGCGCACACUCUCGAAUAACUAGAACAUCUUCCUUAUAUACUCCUCCAUGCCUUCAUAACCGUUAACACUUUCCAAAUGAGCUUUUCCAAUCUACCCAUUGGAUAGAAUCAAUUAGGGAGAUCUCAAGUUAUUUAAGGAAUAUGAUGAUAGCUCACCAAUCAUGCUCGCCCAUACAAUCGGGAUCUAGGUUUUCAUAAGUAGAACCUUCUAAGUAUGUUUCGCUAAUCAACGGAUCCAAAAUACUCGAAUUAAAACCAAGACGAAUAAAAGAUUCCGAGAUGCUAUAUCUAGCCGAGAGAUCUUCUUUAGUUGAUAGAAUCAAAUCCUUAAAGAAAUACUCAAUUCUAGAUAAGUCUUCUUUGACGAUUUAAAAACUGUCAAUGAUGGUAGACUUUGAAUCUUGAGUCUGGUGGUUUAGCGGUCUUCAGACUUUGACGAAAGAGUCUGCAAGUCUUCAGACUAGACUGAUGGAAACGUUUUGUCAGCUUCAAAACAAAUACAGAAGUUUUCUCCAACAAUCUCUCCCUUUUUGAUGGUGACAAAACUUUUCUGCAGAUUUGGAUAUUUUUGACUUGCAAGACAAUACUCAAGCAAACAUGGAUAUCUUACAAAAGAGAAUUGGCUUAGUAAAAAUAGCAUUAAAUCUGCAUCCAUAGGAAAUAAGUAAGUUAGUCCUGUAAAUAAACAACUAUCUUUGCCAUGAAAUACCAACAGUGCUUAAGAUACUGCAGCAAACAUUUAGACGAUCAAACAAUCCAAAUCCAGUCACAACCAAACAUCCAAACAAAAGUAAAGUCAAUCAAAAGUAAACAUUUAAACGAUCAAACAAUCCAAAUCCAGUCACAACCAAACAUCCACAGAAAAGUAAAAGUCAAUCAAAAGUAAACAUUUAAAUGAUCAAACAAUCCAAAUCCAAUCACAACCAAACAUCCAAAUAAAAGUAAAGUCAAUCAAAAGUCAAGUCAAACAAGAGUCAAAUCUCAAAUAUGCACUAUCUCCCCCUUUUUGUCAGCAUUAAAAAGGUAGAGACGAAAAAAGAAUAAAAUUAGAAUUGCUUUGGAACGCGAACAAGCUGUAAAUCUCCCAUCGAUUGGACAAUCCCUUCCAGCUUUUUCAAAUCCUCCUUCAGUUGAGCUACUUCUUCACCCUUGGCAGUUGCUUUAACUUGAAGAGCAAGGGCAUGAAUUUGAUCAUGUAAGGAAACUGAAGAGGCUUGACCUGCAUUCUGCAAGUUUUGAACUUCGCAUCCCAGGGUAUAAAUCUGGCCUCGCAUCUCCAUAAGAAUAUCAAGCAGUCUUCGAAAGUCUGCUGAAUUAUCAGUCUGAGUGCUUGCUUUUGCAUGAUCAGUAGGAAUAUUGGCAGAUGAUGGCAAGUCAGCAUGAGCAACCAUAUUUGGCGAUGAAACCUCAUGACCUUCCUCAGGAAAUUAAGAGGCAUAUAUAUCCUCUGGAUUUGCAGGUGAACAGCUAACAUCUUCACUAGUAAAAGCAAUUGAAGAGGUACCUCUUUUCUUAGCAACUCCCCCUGUUUCAUUGCCUUCAGGCGGUGAGAAGUACUCUUCAUGCUCUGUUUCCUCUUGUUCACCUCUGCCAUUUUCUUCUUCUUCUGCAGUCUUUUCUUCAUUUGCUUCUUUUCUCAUCGAUUCUCUCUCUCUCCACUCCUUUGCUUGGACUCUUCUCUGUCUUAAUCCUCUCUCUCCUCUGUCCCUGGAACAAAACGAUAUAAGUUUCUCAAUGCAAGAGCGGAAAUUGUGAUAUCUUUCUUAUCUUCUUCAUCCUCCAAGAUGAGUAGUCUUCUUUUCUUGGAUGGAGCAGUCAAUGGCUCUUUCCCUUUCCGUUUUGCAGCCGAAGAAACUUGGUGAGUCUUGAUAGGGGUAAAUUGCUCCAAAGCUUUGUUAAGCUCUUUCAGACGCAUUUUGGAAUCCAUUUUCAGUCCCACCACCAUUUGAUCAUAGGUAAGGACACAUAGAAUCUUGGGAGGCUGAAUAUUCAAAUGUCUGAAUAACUUUGUAACAAGCGCUGAGUAAGGAAGUUGGCCCUUGUCUUUCACCAUCUUUCUAUACAUGUGAAACAUGAUAGUGUGAGGCAGAUAGAACUUUUUGCCAACGUUGAUAGCAUACAUCAACUUUGCUUCUGAGUUUGAGACGUCAGUCUUCGAAGUCGAUUUGGGUUUAAGGCAAUUGAUCAUGAUCUUGUGAAGCAAAAUAUUUGAGGCAUUCAUCCUCAAGUACGAAAUUCGUCCUUCUGCCAUUCCAUCCCGAACAAGCUCUACCAUCGCACGACCAACAGACAUACUAAUUGAUUGGAAUGCCCCUCGCUCUAUUGCAAUCACAUUCGCCAAUGUGUCCAUACCAAUAAUGUAGUCCUGGUCUCGAACACUAAAAGAAAAUCUAUUCACAUCCAAGAAACUUAGAUUAGAAUAGAAGUAUGCAGUAAGUUCUGGAUGAGCCACCGUUGUUUCAGAGCAAAAUUGUUCAAGUUGAAGUAGAGUGAAUUUCUCUUGCAGCUUCACAUUCAAAGAAUCAAGAAAAUCAAAGUCCACACUUCUUGGAUUGAUCACCCCUCUCUUUAGCAACUUAGAAAGGUCGCUUGUGUUCCUCUGAGCGAAACAAAUAUGUCCUUUUGCUUCCAGUAUUCACUGCAACACCCAUUCUAGGCUUAAAAUGAGUGUACAUUUUGUCAUCAUCAUUCCCAUCAGGCUGACUAAGACCUCCAACACAUGGAUCGCUUGGAAUAUUCGCAAAUGCUCGUUCUGCCGACCCCGCAGGAGCAACUACCAAUCGUUCCAUUGUUCGCAAAAAGUGGGUUUCAUUUCGAUACCCUUUCUCUUUCAAAAAUUCAUCAAUAUAAUUCAAGGGAAUGCCUCCCUUCUUCAAGGCAGAGUAAAGUUUAAAGAUAAAAGUGGGCUUUUGAGUUCUUACAGGUUCUACGCCUUCACUGAUUUCUUCCUCCGCUCUAUGAUCAAUACCCUAAGGUCUAGCUUGAGGAGAUUGACGCGGUUGAGAAUGUUGUGGGCUUUGCUGCUGUCUUGGAGAUUCUUCUUCCUCGGUGAGGUCAAAAUGCGUAGGACCCUCAUGCAUGUGUUGUGGUCUCCUGUUCACGAUCCUUGAAGACUUUUUUUGGGAAGCCAUUCUCGCAGUCUUUAUGAGAUUCCAAACUCAAUUCGCAAGAAAGAUGAGAGCUUUGAAGAUUAAAUUAGAGAGUAAAAGUAAGAAAGUGAUGUUCUGUGCUUUUAGGGUUUGUGAGGAAGACAAUCAGUAUAUAAGGCAGUCGAAAAGAGGUAUAAUGAACGGCGUAAAAGGAAAAAUAAAAAAUGCCUUUUCAAAAAAUAACUACCUUUUUGAAAAAAAAAAAAGAUAACCGUCAUUUCAAAAGAUAACUUCUCUUUCGAAAAGAAAUGAUUGCAAUAAUUAUGAGAACUGGGGAAGAUAACAUCAAUCAAUUACAGAUUAAUAGAUGAACGUACUUUUUCGAAUUUAUCCAACAGAUAAAAUUCUAAAACAUAAAUAACUUACAGUCGUGAAUCUCGAUCUUCUGAGUCUGAGUAUCUUUAGACUUUUAUCCCUGAGUUUGAAUUUCUUCAGACUUUAAGGUAUUGAGUUUGGAACGAAUAAGCUCGAAUUGACUUUUCUUCAGAGGCUUUGUAAAAAUGUCCGCUAGUUGAUUAUUUGAGUCAAUGAAUUGAAUCAAGACUUAUCCAUUUUAAACAUGGUCUCUAAUGAAAUAAUGCCGAAUCUCUAUAUGCUUUGCUCUUGAAUGAAGAAUUGGAAUUUUGGUAAGAUUAAUCGCGCUAGUGUUGUCGCAUUUGAUCUCAGUACAUGAGUCUUUGAUUUCAAAGUCUCUUAGCUGUUACUUUAUCCACAAAUUUGUGAACAAUAACUUCCAAGAGCCACAUACUCUGCUUCUACUAUUGAAAGAGCUACAGUACUUUGCUUUCUUGAAAACCAAGAUACUAUCUUGUUCCCAAGUAAUUGACAAGUGCCCGAGGUGCUCUUUCUAUCAACUCUGCAUCAUACUAGGUCUGCAUCUGAAUAUCCAAGGAAAGUAAAGUCUCAUUCUUUAGGAUACCAGAGACCCAAAUUAGAGGUUGAUGCAAUGUAUUUGAUGAUGCGUUUUGCAGCACUUAAAUGAGAUUCUUUGGGAUCUGAUUGAAAUCUGGCACAAAUACAAACACUAAACAAAAUGUCAGGUUUAGAAGCAGUAAGAUAAAGAAGUGAACCAAUGAUACUCCUAUAUAGCUUUUGGUCAACUUUCUUUCCUCCUUCAUCUUUGUCCAGCUUUGAGGAACUUGACAUUGGUGUAUCAGUCUUUUUGCAAUUUUCCAAGUCGAACUUUUUAACAAAUUCUUUAGCAUAUUUUUCUUGGUGGAUGAAAGUUCAUUCCUUCAAUUGUUUUACUUGAAGUUCGAGAAAGAAGGAUAGUUCACCUAUCAUGCUCAUUUCAAAUUCAUCCUGCAUAGUCUUAGAGAAUUUCUUGCAUAGAUUUUCGUUAGGUGAUCCAAAAAUAAUAUUAUAAACAUAAAUUUGAACAAGUAAAAAGUUUUUGCUUUGUCUUUUGAUAAACAAUAUAGUAUCUACUUUACAUUUAACAAAGUCAUUUUGGAUUAAAAACUUACUUACUUCUUUGUACCAAGCUCAAGGUGCUUGCUUUAAACCGUAUAGCGCAUUUUUCAGUUUGAAUACAGAGUCUGGUUUCCUUGGGUCUUCAAAAUCGGGAGGUUGUUCCACAUAAACUUCCUCUUAGAUAAAUCCAUUUAAGAAAGCACUUUUGACGUCUAUUUGGAAUAACCUGAAAUUCUUAUAACAAGCAAAAGCAAGUAAUAAUCUAAUUGCUUCUAACCUUGCUACUGGUGCAUAAGUCUCAUCAUAGUCUAUCCUUUCUUCUUGCGUAUAUCCUUUGGCCACGAGUCUUACUUUGUUCCUUAUGGCUUUUCCUUUUUCGUUCUCUUGUUCCUGAAAACCCAUUUAGCUCCAAUGAUAGAUUUACCUUUUGGUUUAGGAGUCAAUUUAGCUCCAAUGAUAGAUUUCCCAGACAUCAUUGAUACUGAAUUGCUUGAGUUCUUCUUGUAUAGCUUCAAUUAAGCUUUCAUUAGUUAAAGUUUCUUCUAUGCUCUUGAAUUCUAUUUAAGAAAUAAGAGCCACAGCACUAGACUCUUCACGCCUUUUGGAUCCUGUACGAAUUCCUUCAUUAAUGUCACCAAUAAUGAGUUCUUUGGGAUAACUGGACUUGUGCUUCCAGUUGCUGGUUGGUUUGUUAGACUGUUGAUCUUUUUCUUCAUUUGAUUCUUCAACGAUCAUUCGUUACUGGUCUUCUGAAGUCUGAGCUGCUUCUGAAGAUUUAGACUUUGUAGAGUCUGGAGCAGGUUCAGAUUCUUCAGAUUGAGUCUGAAUCGAUUGAUUUUGUAUAAAGUCUUGAAAUUUGACAUUUAUCGAUUCCUCCACAGAUUGAGUCUUUUUGUUGUAAACUCUGUAAGCUUUGCUGGUGGUUGAAUAUCCAAGGAAGAUGCCUCCGUCUGAUUUUUCUUCAAACUUAUCAAUUCGAUCAUUUGCAUUUUUCAAUAUAAAAUAUUUGCAUCCAAACAUAUAAAAAUAGGAAACAAUUGGCUUCUUUCCUUUGAACAACUCAUAGGGAGUUUUCUCCAGAAUAGACCUUAAGAAGACUCUAUUAAUAAUAUAACACGCUGUAGAAACUGCUUCAGCCCAAAAACGAGAGGAAAUGUUACUUUCAAUUAAUAAUGUUCUAGCCAUUUCUCGCAACGAUCAAUUCUUCCUUUCCACAACUCCAUUAUGUUCUAAAGUGUAUGGUGAGGAGAACACAUACUGAAAAUCAGAUUUAUCACAGAAUUUAGCAAAAUCUUAAUUUUCAAACUCACCUCCAUGGUCUGUCCGUAUACUUGAAUUAACAUAUCCUUUCUCAUUUUGAACUUUCUUAGCAAAUUUUAUAAAAUAAGAAAAGGUUUCAGACUUACUUGCCAUGAAAUAUACCCAAGUGAAUUGUGAAUAAUCAUCCACUAUUACUAGGCAAUAUUUCUUACCCUCCAAUGUUCUGGGUUCUAGUUGGUUAAAAGAGAUCCAUAUGCAAGAGUUGCAGCACACGAUUAGUGGAACCUUGAUUUAUUGGUUUGAAAGAGUUUCUAACUUGUUUUCCCAAUACACACGGUGUGCAUAAUUCAGAUUUUUGGUAUGUUAGGUUGCGUAGUCAACGAACAAGCUUCUUUGCAGAGAUCUUGGCUAUUUGCUUCAUGUUGAUGUGGUCAAGUUUUCUAUGCUAGAUAUUAGCUUCCUCUUGAAUUGAAACUAGACAUUGGGAUUUUUUUGGUUUGAUAUCCAAGAGAUAUAUAUUCCUAUGUCUUCGCUCCGUGAAUGUCUGAGAGGAGUCUUUACUGGUUCCUGAACAUAUUCCUCCGUGAAUGUUUUGUAACCUAUGUCGCACAGUUGGCUGAUACUCAGCAAGUUUUAGUUGAGUAAUUCCACUAAGAAAACAUUACUGAUUGUGAGACUUCCAAUCUUUACGAUUCUGUAUCCCACAAUUCUGCCUUUGCUAUUUUCUCCAAAAGAAACUUUUCCACCAUUAACUUGCAUAAGUUUUAUGAAACAACUUGAGUCUCCUGUCAUAUGUUUUGAGCAUCCACUAUCCAAUUACCAUUUAACCUUUUUCUUGAUAGUGACCUGCAUUUAAAAAAGAAACUCAAGCUUUCUUUGGUACCCAUACUUUCUUGGGUCCAAUGGAGUUAGUAUAAUAUACGGUCUUUGUCCAAACCUUCUUAACAUGUUUCCAAACCAUAGGACAUUCUUUCUCAAAAUGGUCUAAGCUGUUACACUUAGAACAUUUGAGAGCACUGCAGCCUACAGGUUUUACAAAGACUUUUUGAAAAUGAUUUCUAUAAAAAUCUUUUGUAGGUCUUUGUUUAAUUCUUUCUUUUACUUUUGGAAAAUCAAUUAGGGGAAUGGUUUCAGCAAUCAUUCCUAAGCUUGAUUUGUUAAAGUAAGGUCUUUAUGUUGAAAGAAUAUUUUCUAAUUUCUCAGAACUUAUUGAAAACCUUUUUGAAAUACUUGAAAUAUCAUUUUUCAAAAGUGCAUUUUUUUUUAAAGUGAGUAUGCAUUUUCUUUCAAAGUAAUAACACUUUUAUCCAAAUUUUUGACUUUUUCUUUCCAAAUAAUCUCUUGUUGCUUCAGUGCAUAAUUUUCUCUUUUUAGUUUGGAAAUCCUCGAGAGAGGUUUUGAGACUAAGACACAAUUCAUCAAUAUAUUUAGAGCCUUUAGUAGGAAUUUUUAAAUUACUUACCUCGAUUUCACUGUCUGAGUCUGAGUCUGUCUCAGAGUUUGAAUCUAAUUCUGAUUGUGUCAUUAGACAAAUAUAAACAUAAUCAUCAUCACUCUCUUCACAUUUAGUAUCACUCUAAGUUUCUGCUUUGAGGGCUUUUCUGAUUUUCUCAGUUUUUCCUUUCUUUUUCUUUAGUAAGGGACAGUUGGAUAUGAUAUGUUCCUUUUUCUUGCAUUCAAAACAAAUCACAUCUUUAUUGGAAUCAUCAUCCUCAGCUGAUUUAUUUUGAAACUUUUGAGAACUUUGUUUCUUCAAAUUGAAUCUUCUUCCCUUUUUGUUCAGUUUUCUGACCUUCUUAUCAUGAGAGCAAGCUCUUCAUUGUCCAUAUCGUCUUCAGAAUCUGUAACAUCAUAAUCAUCAUUAGAUUUUAGUGCAAUGGAUUUUUUACUUUUAAGAUUGUCAUCUUCAUUGAUUUGCUUCACUUCAUAAGACUGAAGAGUGCCAGCCAAUUCGUCAACAGAGAGUGGCAUGAUUCUUUGUGUCUCCCUUAUUAAGGUAUUUACGUGAUUCCAAUCUUUGGAAAGUCCACGCAGUAGCUUGUUAACUUUCAUGGGUCCACAGAUUGGUUGACCUUGAUACUCAAGACCAUUCACGAUUUCUGUAAAACGACUAAACAUGUCAGUGAUAGAUUCUCCUGGUUUCAUCCCGAAUGCUUCAUAUUGACUGAGUAGAAUAUUGAUUUUGGUUUCUUUCACUCGAUCGGUUCCUUCAUAGGUGAUGUGCAAUCUAUCCUAGAUUUCUUUAGCUGUUUCACAAGAAGAUAUUCUGUUAUAUUCAGUAGGAGAUAAUGCACAAUAUAAAGAAUAAAUUGCUUUUGCACUAAGAGCUUGUCUCUUGGUUAUCUCUUCUUGAGUCAUCUCGCUGGACUCAACAGCUUCUUUUCCCCUUUCUGAGAUCGUUGUAGUUUUAGGAAUAAUUCAUUUGUUUACCACAUCCCAUUCAAGAGGGUCUUUUGAUCUUAGGAAUGCAUUCAUUUUUUUUUCCAUAUAUUGUAUUCCUUCCAUCAAAGUAAGGCGGUCUAGUAUUGCUUUGCCCUUCAACCAAGCCUGGAGCCAACAUACUAGCCAUGGAUCGUUAACUCUGAAGUAAAAACACUUCAAUUUAAAUGAGUACACAUGCUCUGAAAACAAUUGUGAAUGCUAGUAUGAGCACCUAGAGGGGGUGAAUAGGUGCGAAAACAAACUUUUGAGAAGUAUAGUGUAAAAUUUUACUUUUAAACCUAGUCUGUUUAACAGUAGACUUUAAAAUAGAAACGAGACUCUAGCAAUUAAAUAAAGUUAUGAGUAAAGUAAAAGAUAUUAGGGAAGAGAAUAAGAACACAAGGUUUAUAGUGGUUCGGCUUAAUCCAAGCCUACGUCCACUUACCCGCACUGACAGCCCACCGACUGGAUUUCACUAUAAAUCAAAAGAGUCGUUACAGUAUCACGUUCUUGAUUCCACAGUGUAGAGACUCUGCUACACUUUCUCAAGGUCUCACAAAUAUAUAAACUCUUUUUUGAGUACAAUUUUAUGCUCAACAAUUGAAUUGGCAAAGAACAAGGAGCUUCAGACUUUGGAAUUUAUCUAUCGCUCACACACUCGAAUAACUAGAACAUCUUUCUUAUAUACUCUUCCAUGCCUUCAUAACCGUUGGCACUUUCCAAAGGAGCUCUUCCAAUCUACCCGUUUGACAUAAUCAAUUAGGGAGAUCUCAAGUUAUUUAAGGAAUAUGACGAUAACCCACCAAUCCUGCUCGCUCAUACAAUCAGGAUCUAGGUUUCCAUAAGUAAAACCUUCUAAGCAUGCUUCGCCAAUCAACGGAUCCAAAAUACUUGAAUUAAAAUCAAGACGAAUAAAAGAUUCCGAGAUGCUAUAUCCAGCUGAGAGAUCUUUUUUAGUUGAUAGAAUCAAAUCCUUAAAGAAAUACUCAAUUAUGGAUAAGUCUUCUUUGACGGUCUAGAAACUGUCAAUGAGGGUAAACUUUGAAUCUUGAGUCUGGUGGUUCAGCGGUCUUUAGACUUUGACGAAAGAGUCUGCAAGUCUUCAGACUAGACUGAUGGAAACGUUUUGUCAGUUUCAAAACAAAUACGGAAAUUUUCUCCAACACUUCUAAGUUCAAUGACCUAUCGAAAAGUCAUUAAAAAAAUCUUCCUUUUUAGUACCUUAAGAUUCUGUGGUGUAGGAAUAAAUGUCUUGAUAGUUAAGGCCCACAUCUAUAUAAAAAGUCUUUCUUUUCCUUUAAAAGGAGUAGGAGUUUGGUAAUGGGAUCCCACCCGUUUUCUCUUCUUCCUAGAGCUUUUAAGCUAUAAUGGAGAAAGCUCAAUUUUCGAUUGGAAUGGAAUGAGUCUGAUUUCAAAAAAAUUUGCAACGAACUUGUUUGGAAGUUCCAUGUCUACUUUGUUGACUUUGACUUUGAAUGAAUCUACCCAUUUAUUUGGGGGCAAAAGUGGAUUCUCAUCCCCAAAAUUUCUGCACCAUAUAAUAAGUGAUUUCCAUGUCAAAGAAACGGAAAUAAUUGUCAACUUUGACGAGCUGGAGUGAUGCUUCCUGGAAGCAUCCCUAUCGACCGAUUUGGCAACAAAUUUGGCCCAUGACUCUCUCUACAUAUUCAGCCAAUCUUGUGGCUUCUUUUAAGUUCAAUGACCUAUAAAAAAGUCAUGGGAAAAUCUCAAAUAAGGACCCAAAGUGAGUCUAUUUUCUCAAAUAAGGAUUCGAAAUAGCCGUUGUCCCAAAUAAGGACCCAAACCCGCUAGCCGGCGAGCGUGUGACAUUUCCAGUGGCCGGAAUAUGGGCAAUUUUGUCCACAAAAAAAUAGAUAGAAAUUAACAAACCCUAAAGACAAAACCCCCCCAACUCUUCACAUUCUUUUGACCUAAAAAAAACUCUUUAUGUUCUCACAUAUUUCUUCUUCUGCUCUUCAUCUUCUCCGUUCUUUGUGCUCUCUCGCUUGGAGCACCGAAAUUUUCUGUUAAUGGAACACGAAUUGAAAUACAACAAGAAACCCCUACCUUCGUGUCUUCACAUCUUCUUCUUUUGUUUUCUUUCUUCGUUUCUUUCCAACGAAGAAGACAAAUCUUAAGUAAAGCCACCUUUUCGUUAUUAAGACACUGGUGCGUAACACGAGGGCCUCGAUUCUUCAUUAUCUUUUCCUAGGUUCGCCAUUCACUUUGAUUCACACUCCCGUUCAACCGAGGUCAGUUUCGUUCAAAUUGGUGCACAUAUUAAGUGAUUUCCACAUCAAAGAAACGUAAAUAAUUAUCAACUUUGAUGGGCUGGAGUGAUGCUUCCAAGAAGCAUCCCUACUGAUUGAUUUGGCAGCAAAAUUGGCCCACAACUCUCUCUGCAUAUUCAGUCAAUGCUGUGGCUUCUUCAAAGUUCAAUGACCUAUCGAAAAGUCAUUAAAAAAAUCCUUAUUUUUAGUACCUUAAGAUUAUGUGGUGUAGGAAUAAAGGUCUUGAUAGUUAUGGCCCACAUCUAUAUAAAAAGUCUUUCUUUUCCUUUAAAAGGAGUAGGAGUUUGGUAAUGGGAUCCCACCCAUUUUCUAUUCUUCCUAGAGCUUUUAAGCUAUAAUGGAGAAAGCUCAAUUUUCGACUGGAAUGGAACGAGUCUGAUUUCAAAAAAAUUUGCAGCGAACUUGUUUGGAAGAUCCGUGUCUGCUUUGUUGACUUUGACUUUGAACGAAUCUGCCCAUUUAUUUGGGGGCAAAAGUGGAUUCUCAUCCCCAAAAUUUCUGCACCAUAUAAUAAGUGAUUGCCGUGUCAAAUAAACGGAAAUAAUUGUCAUCUUUGACGAGCUGGAGUGAUGCUUCCUGGAAGCAUCCCUACCAACCAAUUUGGCAGCAAAUUUGGCCCACGACUUUCUCUACAUAUUCAGCCAAUCUUGUGGCUUCUUUUAAGCUCAAUGACCUAUAAAAAAGUCAUGAGAAAGUCUCAAAUAAGAACCCAAAGUGAGUCUAUUUUCUCAAAUAAGGACCCGAAGUAGCCGUUAUCCCAAAUAAGGACCAAAAGUGGCUAACAAGUCUCAAAUAAGGACCCAAACCCACUAGCCGGCAAGCGUGUGAUAUUUCCGGUGGCCGGAAUAUGGGUAAUUUUGUCCAUAAAAAAAUAGAUAGAAAUUAACAAACCCUAAAGACAAAACCCCCCCAACUCCUCACGUUCUUUUGACCUAAAAAAAACUCUUUAUGUUCUCACGUAUUUCUUCUUCUGCUCUUCAUCUUCUCCGUUCUUUGUCCUCUCUCGCUUGGAGCACCGCAAUUUUCUGUUAAUGGAACACGAAUUGAAAUACAACAAGAAACCCCUACCUUCGUUUCUUCACAUCUUCUUCUUUUGUUUUCUUUCUUCGUUUCUUUCCAACGAAGAAGAAAAAUCUUGAGUAAAGCCACCUUUUCGUUAUUGAGACACUGGUGCGUAACACGAGGGCCUCGAUUCUUCAUUAUCUUUUCCUAGGUUCGCCAUACACUUUGACUCACACUCCCGUUCAACCGAGGUUUGUUUCGUUCAAAUUGGUGCAAUCGAUCCUUCAUUCGUCAAAGUGGUUGUAACUUGUUGAAGCAACAUGUCAACAAGUCGCGGGCAUGUGGUGGAAUAUCACAUAGAUGGUAGCGAGGAUGGUGAUGGCAGGAGGAAUUCUUUUGUUUUAUGGUGUUCUUUUUGCUUGUUUUGUCGGAUUUCUAAGUUAAUGUCUCUUUUGUCCGAAAAAAUGCAUAUGAGUUGUGUCCAAACGAGAGGGGACAAAGAACGUAAAAGAUGAAGAAUAGAAGAAAAAUAACGUGAAGGGUUUGGGGGUUUUGUUUUUAGGGUUUGUUAAUUUCUAUCUAUAUUUUUUGGGGACAAAAUUGCCCAUAUUCUGGCCAUUAGAAAUGUCAAAUGCUCGCCGACCGGCGGGUUCAGGUCUUUAUUUGAGACUUGUUAGCCAUUUCGGAUCCUUAUUUGGAACAACGGUCACUUCGGGUCCUUAUUUGAGAAAGUAAGCUCACUUUGGGUCCUUAUUUGAGAUUUUCCCAAAAGCCAUUAAAAAAGUCUUCAUUUUUAGUAUCUUAAGAUUCUGUGGUAUAGGAACAAAGGUCUUGAUAGUUAAGGCCCACAUCUAUACAAAAAGUUUUUCUUUUUCUUUAAAAAGAGUAGGAGUUUGGCAGUGGGUUCCCACUUGAUUUCGCUUCUUCUUGGAACUUUUGAGCUAUAAUGGAGAAAGCUCAAUGUCGAUUCGAACGAAACGAGUUUGAUUUCAAAAAACCUACAAUGAGACUUUUGGAGUUUUGUUUUACUAAAACAAAAGUCUAAGAAAGUAUAAUCAAAGCUAAAGUUAUUGGAAACAAAUUCGAUCUUCCGUUGAUCUCAAUUCAAGGAAUUUGAUACUUUUCAGGAGUUUUCUUUGACUCAUGACAUGAUUAAUAACUUCAAUCUAAAUUUAUUUUGUCAUGCUCGGAUCUAUGUCCAAAAAAAUUUGAGAACUUAUGAAUUCCAAAAUGAGAAAUAUUUACACGUUCAAAUCUAGCGAGACUUUAUUUUUCUUCCCUAGCUCCACCACCACGUGCUUCCUCCAUGUUGUCCUUAUCAAAAUAUCAAUCAGUUCGUUUAAUCAACAGCUUGCACCCUAUCGAGAUCUAAAGGUUUUGCUAGUGUUGGCGCAUUCACAUCCCUCAUGCACUGGCCCGCAACUUUGAGGGGGUCAGCUCAUCAACUUUGAGGGGCAUGGAGUUAGGUUAGGGUUUUGGAAUAUCGAGGGAUUUGGAGCAAGGAAAAAAUGUGCAGUUUUAAGCUCGUCAUUGAUCAAGCAAACCUCCACGUCAGAUUUUUGAUGUUCGCUUGGACUAAACUUUGAUGGAACGUAUUUUUUGGUUAUCAUACAAGUUUUGGAUUUGAUGAUAUAAAAACAGAUUGGAUAAUUGGCAUUUGCGAUGGAUAUAAAGGUUAGGAAUUUUUUUGGAACUGUAGCUCACUGUCGUCGAAUUGCCGCCCACGCAUCGCCAUCAUGAGCUCUCAACUUCACGCAUCAAUUCAUUGGCGACUUAACUCCCUGCCUGCUCAAGUAUGUCAUCUACACCUUCAUCUCUCUUUUUUUUUUUUCUUUUUUUUUUUUUGCGCAGAGCUCAUAACCUAGGUCCAUGGAAUUCGUAACUGAUAGAGGUUGCCAGCCUCGCACGACGACAGAUCUAGGGUUGCAUGGCCACGGGUGUCGAGGCUUGACUUAGUGAGCUCGCUCAAUUUUCUAAGCAACGGAGAGAGGCCCUCAACUCUGUUUAUCGUUAAAAUCAAUACCCAAAAAGAAAAAGAUAAAUAAAUUGGGCAUUUGGGUAUUUUGGCAGCAACAAAAAGACAAAUGCAAUAAUUCUCGAGUGUAGUGAAACAUAGGAAAAGGGGGUCGUGAUUAUAGAUAUGAAGCGGGUUUGUCAGCUGUUAGUGGUCACAUUUAUUUGGGGGCAAAAGUCGAUUCUCAAUCCGAAAUUUCUGCACCACAAGGUCCAGUGAUUUUCCGCGUUAAGAAAGGUAAUUGAUUUGUCAACUUUGAUAGGCCGCAGUGAUGGUUCAUGGAAUAUCCUUACUGGCCAUUUUGUAGCAAACUUGACCCAAACGACUCUCUGCUUAUUCACCAAAAUCGUACUCUCUGCAUAUUCACCCAAACCUUUGGCUUCUUAGUUCAAUCGCCUCUUGAAAAGUCAUUCAAAAAAAUCUUCCAAUUUUAGUUCCUUGAUAUUUUUGUGGUGAAGGAACAAAGGUCUUGAUAAAUAAGGCCCGUAUCUAUACGAAAAGUCUUUAUUUUCCUUUCAGAAUAAGAAGAGUUUAGGCAAUGAAUCCCACCUAUAUUCUCUUCUUCCCCAAGCUUUUGAGCUAACGGAGGAAACUCAAUUUCAAUUUGGAUGGAAGGAGUCUAAUUUUAAAAGAAUCUGCAACGAGGCUUUUGGAGUUUCGUUUUUACUAAAACAAAAGUUUAGUGGCAUAUAAUUAAAGCUAAAGUUAUUGGAAAACGAAUUUGAUACUUCCCAAGAGUUUUUUUUUUUUAACUCAUCGAGUCAUUGUGAUUAAUAACUUUAAUCUUAAUUUUUUUUUGUUAGACUUAGAUAUAUGCUUGGAAAGACUUACCAACUUAUGAAUUUCGACCACCGCCCGUAGCGGCGCAGCUGGCUUGGGGCUCUCUCCCCCUCACAAAGGAGAGGAGUUCGAAUCCCAGAGGUGUCGUUAGGGAUUCUUACCUGGAGUACUGUGAUAGUGCUCACCGGCUGUCGGCUUACGGGGUUUUCUAGGUUACCAAAAAAAAAAAAACUAAUGAAUUUCUAAAUUGAACAAUUUUACACCUCCGGAUCUAGUGAGAUUUUAUUUUUUGUCGUGAAAUAUGGAAUGUUUAGUUAUCGCAAAAUCGAUUUGGAAAAUAGAAAAUUACUUGCAAACAAACACCAGUUAAUCAUGUCAUCAAUCAAUAAAAAUGUUGGAACUGUCUAAUUUAACCAAAUAGAAAUGGAAUAUACAGCAUAUAUAUAGUUUUGUGUUACAUCAAAAUACAAUCACUAUAUUAAGAAUUGCAUGCGAUUGGUCGAUAUGAUUUUGAUGAGGAUGCCAACAAUCUAAAACCUAAGCUCCCUGUGCCUCGUCUUAAUGGGGUAUUAGCAUUAGUUACCACCCUCAAAAAGAGGGAAAAGAAUCAGAUAGAAUAGUGUGUGGGGCGGUGCAAGAAGACUGAAACUAAUAAUUGACCCAAGUCAAAGUCUACGAAGACUUGGACUACCAUAGGCACACGCUAAAGCAUGGGCGGGACUUUCUUUUCCACAUUAGGAUGACCCUAUCUUCUUUUUCCUUUGCUUUCAUUGCAUUAUUUCUUUUCAUUAUCACUUUGCUUUUUAACAAGAAUUUCCCUCGGAUUCUUCGAGGCAGUUUCGCCGUGAAUGACUAUCGAGUUCCCAAUGGGUUACUUACCAUGAGAAUUUUGUGAAAUAAUAUGCAUUCAACAUUUCACAUAACAUAUGACAUUUUAAUUACAACUGCAAGCAAUAUGUGGAUUUUUUUUUUAAUAUUGUUAAAAAUAUGUGCACUUUUACUCAAUAAGCACCAGCUCUUCAUCAUUUGAAGUUUAACCAAUAAAUCUAGAUUAUUUACAAGUAAUUUAAAUAAAUAUACUGAAAUCGAUACAUUAAGUGAAUAAAUAGAUUUGUGAAAAUAGAUACUACUCAAAUGAGAAUUCAAUACUUCCCAAGAGUGUGUUUUGACUCAUCAAGUCAUCAUGAUUAAUAACCUCAAUCUUAAAUGUUGUUUUUGGUUACACUCAGAUUUAUGCCUAAAAAGACUUAAGAACUUAUGAAUUUCGGAAUGGAACAUCUUUACACCUCCGGAUUUGGCGAGAUUUUGUUUUCUACUGUGAAAGAUGGAAUGUUUAAUUACCACAAAAUAGUUUUAGAAAAUAAAGAAAUACUUGCAAACAAACACCAUAUGUUCAUAAAUACUUUGAUCUUUAAAUAGUCUAGCAAAUCACAUCAUCAAUCAAUAGAAAAGUUGAGACCGUCUAAUUUAAUUAAAUGGAAAAUAAUAAAGUGCCGUAUACAUGUGAUUUUUGUGUUGCAUCGAAAUACAAUCAUUAUAUUAUGAAUUGCAUGAGAGAUUGGUUGAUGUGAUCUUGAUACAAACACCGACAAUCUAAAACUUAAGCUCCCUAUGCCUCAUUUUAACGUGGCAUUAACAUUAGCUGCCUUUCGCGGAAUGAAAGAGAGAGAAAAAUAAGACGGAACAGCGUAUGGUUGGUGCCAGAAGACAAACAUCGCAAGAUUAGAGGAGCAAAGACAAAAGUCUACGAAUUGGACUACCAUCAGUCCAUGAUGAACCAGAUUUGCUCCAAGAAGGAAUCACACCAAUUAUUAAUUCAUUUGGUAACUUUGUCCCUCACAGUCAUAGUUCCAUAAACGUAGGGAUUUUAUCAAAAAGAAGAAAAACAAAAUGUUGCUAGAUCGCUCUAUAAAAUCCAACAAUGACUCAUCGUUCUCCCAUCCACCUGCAAAAUUUACAUGGUAACAAAUUGAUCUCCAAUUCUCAUACUCAUUGAUAAUUUCAUCGCACCAUUUCAUCGAUCAUAUGCUGUUAUAUGAAAAUUGAAAAAAAAAAAAAAACUCUUAAGAUGUCUUUAUCUCAUUGAGAAUUUUUUUGCCGCGGGAAAAUGCUUUUAGGAAAUUCAAUUUCAGAGAAAAGGAAUUAAAAUAAUUUGAUUACGAUGAAAACAAGUUUAAAAAAAACACUGAUUUUAUCAUAAUUGGUAAUAAGUGAAUCCACUAAAUGCGGCUUGUAUCAUUAAAAGUAACAUGGAAUGACUAAUAAACUGGAAUUGAUAUCGUCUUUGCUUAUUUUAUAAUCCAUCAAAAUAUCAACGAUUAUAAAGAAAUUAAGAUAGAAAUUAUGAAACCAUAUUUGUAAAAUAUAGAUAUGAUCGUACUUUGGGAAUGUAGAAAAAUUGAGCAUUAAUAAAGUAUAUUCUUCUCACUUCAAAGGGCAGCAAGAAAAUAAGUGUAACGAUUCUUUCUUACCAAGUCGUUUUUCUCUAAACUUAUUUUUUUUAGGGUUAAUGAUACAAAAAUUCCAAACUGAUAUACAUAUGACAAUUUUACUCAAAACUAAUUUUUUUACUACAAAAACCUCAAACUAGCAUAUUUGUAAUAAAUUUAAUCUCCAUUAAUUUCCCUUAAAUUGGAUUAAUACUAUUGGAAAGCACAAACUAGUAUACAUAUGUCAAAUAGAGGGUAAAACCUCAAACUGAUACACUCGUCAAUUGCCAAAUUUGAUGUAUGUUUUUGUUGACUUUGACUUUGAAUGAAUUCACCAUUUAUUUCGGGGGCAAAAGUCUAUCCUAGUCUUGAAAUUUCUGCACCACAUAGUCCAAUGAUUUUUCUCAUUAAGAAACGUAAAUAAUUGUCAACUUCGGCAGGCUGGAGCAAUUCUUCAAGGAAUCAUCCUUAUUGACCAAAUUUUGCGGCAAAACCGACUCUUUUGCAUAUUCACCCAAUCCUUUGGCUUCUAAGUUCAAUGACCUACCCAAGACUCAUUCAAAAAGAUCUGUCCCUUUUAGUUCCUUAAUAUUUCCGUGGUGAACAAGCAAAUGCCUUUGAUAGUUAAGGCUCACAUCUAAUUCAAAAAGUCUUUCUUUUCCUUUAAAAAGAGCAGGAGUUAGGCAAUCGAUCCCACCAAUUUUCUCUUCUUCCCCGAGCUUUUGAGCUAGAACGGGAGGAAGCCUAAUUUCGAUUCGAAUUGAAGGACUCUAAUUUAAAAAAAGAAAAAAAAAAUCUACAAUGAGACUUUUGGAUAUUCAUUUUACAAAAUAGUAUUUUAGGGGGUAUAAUCAAACCUAAAGCUAUCAGAGAACAAAUAUGAUCUUCGAUUAGUCUCAAUUCAAGGAAUUUGAUACUUCUUGCGAGUCUUCUUUUUAAGUCAUCAAGUCAUGUGAGUAAUAACUUCAAUCUUGAAAUUUCUUUUAUCAGGCUUGGAGAUGAUAUAAAUACAGUGGGAAUAAUUGAUAUUGUGGUAAAUAUAAAGGUUGGGAUGGAACUGCCCACUUGCCGUGCGCCCAUCGCUAUCACAAACCCUCAACUUCGCGUGUCAAUCCAUCGGCAAGUUAAUGCCUUACUCGCUUGAGUCUGUCCUCUACGCUUUUGUCUCUUUUUUCUUUCCGCGUAGAGCUCAUAUCCUAUGUCCAAGGAAUUCGUGACCGACAGAGGUCGCCAGCCUCGCACGGGUACACGUGUGGCUACAUGGUCGCGGCAUUGGGGCUUGACUUAAUUAAUACGCUCGAUUUUUUUAGGAAUGGAGAGAGCCACUCAGCCCCGUUUAUCAUUAAAAUCAAUACCAGAAAAAGAGAAGGAUAAAUACAUUCCUUGCCAAAGGGGGCAUUUGGGUAUUUUGGCGGCAGCAAAAAGACAGAAUGCAAUUGAUAGGGGAGAGAGGGGAGCAGAGGAAAAGGACGUGUCGUGAUCAUGGUGCGUGUUCUGUCAGCUGUCGGUGGUCACAUGGGGGGAGUGAUGAUAUCGUGUGCAGUAGUGAAGCUAGGCUGCUAAUAAAAAAAUUCUCCUUCUCAUCUCUGGAGAGAGGAUGCAUUUGUGAUGAGGUACGGGGAGCUUAUUAUUACUCCUAGAAACAAAGAUGUUCUCCGUGCUUCCGAAUUUGAUUGCACUAUUAACUAACGGCAUUAAUCCCAAUCAAACUCUUCAACUUCAAAUGGCAGACCGUGUAAUCAUCCGCUGGGAGCCAGAAACUUGUAAGACUAGUGAGGGAAGUCAUUGCCUUUUGAUGGAAUAGUUAAAUCUAUUAGAACUCGAUGUGAAGUUUUAGUAGAAUGGUUCGCCUUGUUUUUUUUUUCUCUCCAAGAAAUUAUUAGAACUAGAUACGAGGAUUCAUUUUGCAAUUUGGGGCAUCAUAUGCGGAAUUUUUGAAAACCAUGUACCUAAGAUAAUAACUACCAUCAUUGCCCCAAUUAGAAUUUGAAAUCCAAGUUAAGGAUGUGCUCAUUUCACGGAAAUGAGUGAUUUGAAAUAUAAGUUUUGAAAGAUGAUUGUUUAUACCGUUUGGAAAAAUUAGUUAAUGAAAAAUAUUUCUAUUGUCAAUAACAAUUUAUGCCUGUCGCGACUAAAUUUUCGGCUGUGAACCACCUAGGGUUUGGCUAAUGGAUUGUUAAGCCUAGACUUAACUCGGGCUCUCCCAAGCCCAUACCAAUUCGCGACUUUAGGUUCAAGUUCUUAAUAUGCAAUUGAUUUUCAAUUAGGAGUUGCCACUAAUCUAUUUUUGAUGGGUCGAUUAGAAACCCAAGUAAAGUAAUGGGAGAUUUACUUUACUCCUACGAACCAGAGAUUAUGGGUACGGGGACUUGGUUACACUAGAUUUCUCUAAUGCCCUUUCGGUACCAUUCUUAUAAUUUCAAAAAUGUUUUUUGCAGGCAGUUUGGAUUGAUUUUAAGUCUAUUUUCCUAACAUGUAAGGUGAUCAUGCGGGUACACAAACCACCAAUUUAACACCCAGAUAAAUAAUAAAUAAAUUACAAAAACUUACCUCAAAUUAACGAAAGCAUCUACAAUGUUAAAUUAAAAUCCACAUCAACAACUCUAGAUAUGGUUUCUAAUUAACACGCAAUUUUUAUUUUGUUUUCGCUUAAUUAAUGAAAAUCAUGCAAUAUGUAAUGCAAUGUUAAUUGAAUGACUUAAUUCUAAUGACAUGUAAUUUUUAAUUAAAUGGGCCUAGCAAAAAUACUAAAUGACAUGCAUCUCAAUGAAUCUAACCCUAAUGACGUGCAUAUGACAAUUUUUUUUUCUAAAAGAAUGCAUUUUAUCCUAAAUAAUAAAACUAAUUUAACCAAUGACAUUUUUUGUAUUUUUCAAGAAAUUCGAAAUUAGGUGAAAUGUGAAAAUUACCUAAUUAGAUUAAGAUCCUAUUUAAUUUAUAUUAGGAAUUAGGUUGAGCAAAAUCCUAAUUUAAACUAAAAUAUUAUCUUAACCUAGAUAAUCCUAAAAUGCAAUCUAUUUAAUAAAAUACCUAAACCCAUAGUAAAUUAAGAAAAACAUCAUCUAAAAUUAAACUAAAUGCAAUUUUACCCUAAUAUGCUAUAACGUGCAAAAGAUGCCCUAAUUUUACAUGACAUAUGCAUAAUGACUUUAUUUUGUGUUUUUCCUUUUUUCCCUUUUUUUAAAUUUCGAAAUUAAUAAUUGCCAAAUAAUUAAACAUGCAAUCGAAGUUUUAAAAAAAAUAGCAACCUAAAUUAAUUGAUUUGAUUUUUUUUUAUUUAUGAAAAUUCGAAAUAAAAUACCUAUUAUGAACAUGCAAACCCUAAAACUACAUUCUUUUUAUUAAAAAAAAAAGUAAUUCAAGUAACACCACAGCAAAUCAAGCCAUAUCGAUACCCAAAUUGACGAACCAUAUCUCGCGCAUGAGAUUGGGUUGGCCAAUUUCACAUAAAUCACGAAUCGGAUCUCGGGUAGGAGAUCGGAUUGGCAAUUUUUUAAGUAAUUGCGAGUCGGAUUUCGGACGCGAAAAUCGGACUGACAAUCACUAAUUUCAAGGCAAUUUCAUAUCAUGGAAUUUCAAUUUCACAUUAAAGGAAUAAUUACACUAAAAGGAUAAAAUAAAAUAGCAAAAAUAAUAAAACAAAAAUAAGAUAAAGGAAAUACCUAAAUUUUCUUUUACUUUUCUCUUUUUUCUUUUCUGUUUUUUUCUAAAAAAGAAAAAAGAAAAAAUAAAGCUGGUGGUCGAUCCGGCGAGGGGAGAUCGCUAGCUAGGGUUUCGGCGAGGCUCCGGAGGAUGGCGUGACGGCGGCGCGGCACCAGGGGGCUUCGGAAUCAGCGCGGGGCGACGCGGGCGGCACGGCGAAACCGAUGGGCAGCGUCGCGGGCGGAGCAGGGGCUUCGAGUCUCCUGGCGCAGGCUGCGAAGAUCGGAUCGUGGCUACCGCGGGGACCUCGAAUCUGUAGGCGCGGUGGUCUUCAGCUGAGGCGGAACGCGGCGAGACCAGAGGGAGCGGCGGCAGCGUCGGGGAAGGGCAGCGGCAUCGUGGACCGGCGCUGGGUCGCGGCUUCACGAGGGGAAGGCAACUGGGCGUCGAGGCGUUCCGUCGGGGUCUGAACUGGCUUCAGCCGGCGGGACGCUGCAGGGAUGGCGGGAGGCCUCGGGCGGUUGCGAUGAGGAGCUUCGGCGUCUGGAUCGGGUUGUUGGGCGCGGGCGAGUGAAUCGGAUCGGGGCACGGGCGUGACUGACGGGAGGCGUCUGCUUCUGGAUCUGGAGGAGGAAGGGCGUCGGCUUCAGGUCGCGAGGCUGCAGAGGCGACAUGGCGACGCGGUGGUGCGUCGGGGCAGCGUGCGGGUCGUCGGGGCUUGCGGACGGAGGCGGCAUCGGGACAGCGACAAUGCGGGCAGAUGGCGCCGGCGCCGGCAGAGACCCCCUCCCCCCACAAGGAAGAUGAACAGUCGCGGGGGGGGACUUUUUUACCUUUUCUUUUACUUUUUUUUUUUUACUUUUCCUCUCUCUUCACUCACUUUUUUCACUUUUUGCUCUUUUUGGUGCCUUUUGUUCGACGGAAAAGAACCCCCUCCUCCCCACCGUACGCGACUCCUUUUAUACACCAAAAAAUUAUAUCUCCGUGGUAUAUUUCAUUGCCAAUUUUGCUCAUGCAAAAUAUCAUUGAAUAUAUCAUCCCACCACGCGCAAUAUUUUUUGUGUUUUUUCCAAUAUUUCAUUCGAGAAUUUCCUUUUCGUCAAAAAUACAUCCCUCGGUGUUGUUGACACCUAAAUUUUGGUGAUCCAUCUAGACAUUUAUCGUAUUAAAACCCAUUUAGACAUUUAUCGUAUUAAAAAUUAGGGGUUAAUUUUACCCCUGAAAAAAUAAAUCACUUGGCAUAUAGUUUAGAAACAUUUUUGUUUAUUUUAUUGGACCGACGGCGAGGGCAAAAUUUUUCACAUAUUCCGUUGGGAUUUUCAUAUAUUUAGGGAAUAUACCCCAAGUGAUGUAUUUUUGAUGGAAAGGAAAUUCUCGAAUGAAAUAUUGGAAAAAAAACACAAAAAAUAUUGCGCAUGGUGGGAUGAUAUAUUCAAUAGUAUUUUGCACGAGUAAAGUUGGCAAUGAAAUAUACCACGGAGAUACAAUUUUUCGGUAUAUAAAAGGAGUCGCGUACGGUGGGGAGCAAAAGGAGGCCACACAAUUGACUACACGACGGCAUAUACGGAGACUUCUCUAGGGUUCCAAGAAGAGAGAAAAAAAAAGAAAGAGAAAAAGCUUUGGGGUUUCUCCAUUCGUUCCGUAAAAAAAUAGAGGAGGAGAAAAGCUUAUUGGGAGGGGGGAAAAGUCAACAGAAGCUUUUUGCUUCUGCAGAUAGAGAGAACAGAACAACACAGAAGGGAGAUUGACAUGAGGGACGUCGAUCAACAGGAAAAAACAAGAAAAAAUAAGAAGAAAAAAUGGUGCUCCUAUUCCUGUUCAUCUUCCCUACCACGCUUUCCUUGAUUCUCGCCGGCGCAGCAGUAGCCGGGUCAAUGCUUCCGCCGGCUUUUCUCCCGCUCGCGCCACCGUCGCCACGCCUCAACCGAUGUCCCUCGCCGCACGAAGCCCGCCAUCGUUAUCGUCACUCCAAGCAUCCCUUCGCGACACCCGGGCAGCUCCACCGCUUCCUCAUUAGCUCUGCACUCAAUCACUCCACCCGCGACGCUCCUGCUCCGACGCCCAGCGGAUCUGCCUCGGACCCACGAAGCUGUCGCUGUCCCAUCUCGCCAAGAUUAUCUUCUGUGAGCCCGCAUCCCUGCACCCCGCCGCACCACCACCCUCGCCUUGCUCCGCUUCUGCAGCAGAUCCCGCAUCCUGCAGCAAAGUCCGAGUCGCCCUGAUGCACCUUCAACCCGCCGGUCCGCGACUCCUUUGUGCUCGAGACCAUCCUGCACUAGCCACUAUAGCCUUCCAAAAGGCUAUCCGUCAACGACCAGGGGUGCCAUUGGCAAGCACAGAUUCUAUCACUUAUUUUCUCCAAUAUUGAUUGUUUUAUUUGAAGGAAAAUCUGGGCAAGGGAAGGUCAUGUAAGAGUUUUCCUAAUGUGGACUAAAUUAAUUGAUAUUGUAAUUUACUGUUUUUACGGUUACCGUAAAACAUGAUUGGUCUAAAGAGAGAUAGAAGGUUUCUUAAUUAGUCUAAUAUGGGCUGGCUAGUGUGGGCCGAGUUAAGCCUGGCCCGUAAUGAGGGGGACUGGUUGGAAACUCUAUAAAUAGUGCUCAAGUCUCUCCUCUAACCCUAAUUCUCACAUGUAUCCUCACCUAAGGGGCGUUUACCUAACGCUAAACGUGAGGGGGCUGCCUCAUUGAGCCAGUGAUACGGAUGGCAAUAGAGGAGAAGAACUUGAUGCGUGAAUCCCCUUGAUAUAUGUGGGUAAUCCUUUUUUCUGCUUCCGCUUUAUGUUCGAUGGAUCCCAAAACAGGUGCGUUAAUCUUUCUACUCAAUUAUGCAUGUUCUUGUUCUGGUUAUGGAGAUCUUGGGGUUGCGCAAUUUGCGUCCAACAUGUGGUAUCAGAGCCUUCCAUAACCCUAAAACUCGAACGCAACUGGUUUUGCCCUAAUUUGUACAGAUUUACCAUAAUUUGUACGGAUCUACCCUAAUUUGUAUAGAUUAGCCCUAAUUGGUACUGAUCUUGCCCUAAUUUGUGAUUUUCGAGACUUUUUGUUCAAUAAAAAUUAAAUUAAAUCAUAAAUUUGGAUUGGGGGAGACGAGACGAGUAAAAGGGUCGGCGGCGCGUCGCCGGGGGAUGCCGCACGCGCCCCCACGCACGGCCAUGCACUGUCUGGGCGUCGAACGCGCGCCGCGCGUGAGCCCCACGCGCUGCGCACUUAGGUGGCGCGUGCGGGCGCGUGAGGGAUUAUUUUGGCACGUGGUUGGUGGCGUUGGACUCGUAUGGUGAUUUAGCAUGUCGUGGUAUAUUUAUUUUAUUUUUUUUGGUGGUUUUAUUGAUGUGAAAUUGCAUAUGGAAUCCUAAAUACGUGUAUUUUUAGUGUAUUUUUGAGUAUUUUUCUUGUAUUUUAUGUGAUUUUGGAAAUACAGGUGAUGGGUUACUAGUAUGUUAUCACAUAAUUAAAAGGUGUGAUUCAUCAAUAAAAAUCAAACUUUAUUGUGAACUGAAGCUGGCUUAAUGAGAUAGAAUUCGUAUGAGAUUGUAUUUGAGCUAUGUAAUUGAGCUGAUGAGAAACAGUAAAGAUUAUGAAACUUUUGUUACUCAAGUAUACUCCUUUACACACUGGUAAUCUUUGAAUGAUAGACGACUUAAGGACUCGUGACCAAACUGAUGUACUGAUUAACACAUUUGCUGAAUGUGGGUAAUGCAUGUCAAUUAAGUUACUGCAUAUUGUACAUGAACUCAUCUGGUCACUUGUUAAUGUCUAUCGAGUUGAAUAUUUUUUAUGGUUAAGGAGUAUGACAACAUUUAUGCAGAGCAAUAGUAUCUACUGUUAAAUUUUAGAUAUUUGGUUCUCUGGUUUGAUUCAAUUAAUAGGCCACUGGUUGAAGUAAUGAUAUUUGUUACCUAAAAUUGAUUAAUAAAUCAGUUGUUGGCCUUGGAGUCAUUUUUGCCUUAUGAACUCAUGAGUGAUAAUGAAUUAGCUGUCAAGCUUGUCGAUUUGGUGUACCAUGUAUUACUAUUGAUGUUAAUUUGUGAGAGAUAUUAUAGAUCAGCAUUCUUUUUAUGUUGUUUUGGUAAUAUGUAAUUGGGGUGCAUAAGAGAUGUUUUAUUCUCUGUUAUGAGAAGUUUCUUGUGUUACUGUGAUCAAUGAUCUCAUUGGAAUCUGUCUUUCAGGUUCGCUAUAUAUAUAUAUAUAUAUAUAUAUAUAUAUGAUUAAUUUUUUAUUAAUGAAUAAAGUAAUGUAAUUAACAUGAUAUGUGAUUUUAGUGAUAUGCUGCCCCUAUCACUAAAUUUAAAAUCACAUGUAUAUGGUAUAUGUGAGGAGUAAAGUUUAUAUCCCUGGUAUGAGAGAAUUUCAAUGAUUCAAUUGAGUAGUGACUGCCAAAGUGGCACGUUUGAUUGAGUUUGAGAAAUUUCGGUCUCGUAUGAUGAUUGUGAUGUCUCCUGAUCUAAUGCGUAAUCAUACUCCCAAAGGAGGUGAUUGUGUAUUAGUUCAUGGAGGGAUACAUGAUAGUGUGGUGGAGGAGUGACUGAUUCUAGUGAUUCAUAUGCCCAAAGGUGAUGAAUUCACGAAGAAUUGGAAUAUAUUCUCAUAAUCGCUAUCAUGUGGGGAGUGUACAACUGUAUGUCAUGUAUUAUGCCCAAAGGUGAUUAUAUGAUUAUGCAUGUAACUCUCUGGAUGUGUACUUGUAUGUCAAGUUACACAGUGCUCAGAUGAUGCUAAUUAUAUACAUUGCUUGAUUUUCAGUCACAUUUUCUGUAAUUAAUAACUUCAUUAUUAUUGAGGUUUUUACUGCUUCAAAUUUUAAGUUAUGGAUAUAUGAUUUGCUGCUUGAGAAAAGAGUAAUAGAAUUUGUUUACUAUCCAUGAGAACACUUGAAAAGAGGUUUGCUUGCGGAUUGCACUGCUAUAAGACGAUGGAAGCCUGAGUUGCUUGAAAUUAUGUCUUGUCUGAUAUUAAAAUUAGGAUACAUCUGCAAAGAUUGUGUUUAAGUCUUAAUAACAUAUACAUCUUGUAUAUGAUUAAAAGGUUGUCAAGUUUAACAGUGGCUAUGAGUAGUUUGGCAAGUAUGACAAUGCGAAAUAACUUAAAGGGUCAUUUGUCAAAUACUUGGUAGAUUUUUGGGUGGUAACUUAAUUACUAUGCCUGAAAAUCUUGACAAAAGAUUCACUCGAAAUUAUUUUGUAUCUUACCUAGAUUGUUCAAAAGGGUAUUGAUUUUAUGACCCUAAAGAAGGUACAAGAAUUAUGGAAUCACAUACUCUAAAGUUUCCAAAUAUUGACGUAAUUGUAGAGGAUAGUUGCUCUCAGACUAUUAAAGAUAAUAGUAUGAUGGAGGUUACUAUGUUUUUGUCUUUACCUAUACAGAUAAUUAUGAAAUCUCCUGUACCAUAGACUAAACUUGUUGAGGUUCAAGGUACUAUUCUUAAUAUAGUUUAUAAUGAAAUUUCUUAAACCUCUCAAGUGUAGAAUGAAGUGGUUGCAGCUUUAUUAAGGAGAGUUGUUAAGGAAAGACGAUCAGUUAUACCAUCAGACUAUAUAGUCUAUUUGUGAGAGCAUGAUUACAAUAUCCACUAUAUGGUUGAUGUAAUGACAUAUUUAUAAAUGUCGUUUUUUAUUCUCAAUCAAGUAUGUGAUUAGAUGCCAUAAAAGGCGAUAUACAAUCUAUGAAACAUCAUAGUGUUUGGAAACUAACUUACUUGCCUAAAGAUUACAAGUUCAUUAGUUGCAAAUUGGCGUACAAAAUUAAAAGAAUUUCAAAGAAAGAUUGUGGAAUUUAAAGCCAAAUUGGUAACUAAAGUUCACUCUGAAAGAGGGGUGGAUUGUUUAUAGUGAAGAAAUAAAUAUUUCUUUCUAGUAUUUUUAAAGAUUCUUUAGAGUGAAUGUGGCAUUAAUAAUUUAUUUUGAUAUGGAGUUACGCCAAAUAGAUACAAAAUCUAUAUAGUGCAACUGGAUUUUAUUUUGAUAUGGAGUUACGCCAAAUAGAUACAAAAUCUAUAUAGUGCAACUGGAUGAUUUUGCAGCAGAUUUAAGUAAACUUGUAUGUAGACUGAAAAGUUCUAAUUCAUGGUCUUAAGCAAGUUUCUAGACAAUAUUAUUAAAGUUUCAUAGUGUUAUUAUUUUGUUCAAUUGAGAACAAAGUAAUUCAAUAUACUGCAAGGUCAGUGGAAGGAAAAUUAUUUUUUCUCAUACUUUAUGUACAUGAUGUUUUGCUUACAAGUUGUGAUCUUGAGACAUCUUAUAUUUUUUAUACUGAGGUCUGUAAUGAUUGUUUUUGCCAUAUUAUAUUAGAUUUUCUCGGAGGACAUUUGCUGAUUGUAUAUUGGAAGUAUUCAAUAUACAUCAUUGCAAGCCAGGAAUUGCUCAUGUUGUUAAGGGUGAUGGACUAAAUCUAUCACAUUGUCCUUAUUUAGAUAUUGAGAAAAUCUAAUUAAAUGAUGUAUUUUGUGUCAGUGCACUUAAAAGUAUAAUGUAUGCUCGAAUUUGCACUAGACUAAAAGUUGUCUUUGUGACGGGACUUCUAGGCAGAUAUCGAUCAAAUCCAAGACGCGAUCACUGGGUUGCUGCUAAGAAGAUUUAAAGGUACUUAAAGAAGACAAGAGAUUAUAUGCUAAUUUAUAGGCAUGUUCAAUUCUUGCAGUUAGUAGGGUAUUUAUAUGUAAACUUUGCUGGCUGUUCUGAUGACAUGAAAUCAAUAACAGAAUACAUAUUUAUGUUAGCAAUAAGUGCAGUAAAUAAAUUUUUAUGUCAUCUUCUACUAUGUAAGCAGUGUCAGUAACAUUCUUUUAGGCUGUUACUUGGGUUUUUAGGCUCCAGAACUUCAUGAAAGGAGUUGAUUGUGUUAACUUUAUGGAUAGACCCAUACGGUUGUAUUGAGAUAACAAAUUUGUAGUAUUAUUUAUUUACUACAGAGGUCUCAAGGGGUCUAAAUAUAUGGUGGUCAAAUAUUUUUUACCAUAAAGAAACGAUACAGAAAGGUGACUUAUAAUAUAACAUAUUUUCAUAGAUGAUGUGGUUACAGAUCCACUAACUAAAGGCCUACGCCCAUGUGUAUUUGAGUGACAUGUCAUUAGCAUGGGCCUAGGAGUAUCUUCGGAUAUUGUUGUUUAGUGGGAGCUAUUUUGGCUUUACUCUGAUAAAUGUUUCAUCUGUGUUCGUUACACUUUGUAACGGUUUAAUAUUUUGAAUGUAUUGUUAUUAUGUUGAAUACAUAUUGAUAAAGUCUCAAUGGAUUGUAUAAACCUUGAGUGAAGGCUAGGGGCAUCCGGGCAUCCAGUUAUUAGCCUUGUGCAUAUGUCUUGUGAUACAUAAAAAAAGGUUAACCAUAAGGACAAAACAUAUGUGGGUUCAUUAGAACCAUAAAUCAUUCUCUAGUAGCACAAGUUUUUGUGACACCUAAGGUAAGAGAAUGAUGACUGGCAAAUGGGAUCUCUCUAUGAGAGAUGUUAUCCAUUUGACACACUACCAUAUUGAAUCCAUAUCAAUAAAGUUGAGAACAUUCGUGACCAUGGAAUGCUCUGUGUGUAUACAUGUAGUUACCGCCAUGAUUCGGUGUUUAAGACUUUAUGGGAUAGGAUUGACUAUUAAGAAUUAUCUCUGGACCAAAUGUGCGCACAUACGGUACGAUUUCAAUUAAUAUAGUCCAAGUGGGAGAAUGUAAGAGUUUUCCUAAUGUGGACUAAAUUAAUUGAUAUUGUAAUUUACUGUUUUUACGGUUACCGUAAAACAUGGUUGGUUUAAAGAGAGAUAGAAGGUUUCUUAAUUAGUCUAAUAUGGGCUGGCUAGUGUGGGCCGAGUUAAGCCUGGCCCGUAAUGAGGGGGACUAGCUGGAAACUCUAUAAAUAGUGCUCAAGUCUCUCCUCUAACCCUAAUUCUCACAUGUAUUCUCACCUAAGGGGCGUUUACCUAACGUUAAACGUGAGGGGGCCGCCUCAUUGAGCUAGUGAUACGGAGGGCAAUAGAGGAGAAUAACUUGAUGCAUGGAUCCCCUUGAUAUAUGUGAGUAAUCAUUUUUUCUGCUUCCGCUUUAUGUUCGAUGGAUCCCAAAACAGGUGCGUUAAUCUUUCUACUCAAUUAUGCAUGUUUUUGUUCUGGUUAUGGAGAUCUUGGGGUUGCGCAAUUUGCGUCCAACAGGUCAUACAUGAGGACGUGCACAUUGAAGAGGACACACUAGAGAAUGUCAAAGGAGGAAACGUGGAGAGGAGUCAUGCAUUAAAGAAAGCACACCAUCCAAAAAGAAAGUCAAGCGAGAUCAAUUAACCCGACAAGCCUCAGCCCCAAAUCAAGUCGCCGUCCAGUCGUUUGUUCCUUAUUUGCUGGUUUUCGAUGAUCCCAGCGCUCGCAGCCCUUGCUCUGCCAAUUUUGCUUCACUUUCUUGUAGGUUUUUUCAGUCACGUCCGAGGUCUCGCCAUCAAGCUUGUAGUUGUUGCCACCCCCAAUGACGUCCCUAAGGCCAAGCCAUCACCUAUGAUCCAUGAAGCCACUGAGCCGAGCCUCACCGCAACCAUAUCUGCCCGCGAUGCGCUUGUCCGAGUAUCAUUAACCGUCCAAGCUACACCUCUCACUGCCUUGAAGUCCAUGGUAAAAAAUCUGGAGCCAGCAAAGCUUGUUAUUGGUCAAAGCAAGAAGAUCAAGGAAAAUUUUCUUUGGGAUCGUAGGGUGGGUUUUCCUUCAAGAAAUUGCGGUUGUUCCUUGCGCCACCGCACCACAUUAAUGUCAGCAAUUCUCUGUGGAGGCUCUGACCAAUGUCUACUCAUUACCACGAAGCAGUUAAUCGAGUCAUCCAUUAGCAAGUUCUGUCGCUGCCACACUGGUCAAUCCCACCACGAGCUAGUCGUAACCUAGAGUCCCCACCACCUCUUCAUCGUGUCGAGUUUGUCCAAUUUUGACAAGCAAGUGUUUGAACAAGGUAAUAAUUUCAUCUUAGUCAAGAUUCAUAUAUUUUGUUGCCUUGCUCGAAUUAUUGCAUUCUUGAUUAAAUUCUCGAAUAAUGUUAUCAUGAGCUCGAAUGGCCGUCACGACGUGCAUAUAAUUGAUAGUCCGAUUUCACGCUCGAAAUACGACUCGCAAUCGCACAAAAAAAUCGCCAAUCCGAUCUCACGCUCGAGAUCCGAUUCGCGGUUUUAUUUAAAAUUGACCAACCCGAUCUCAUGCGUGAGAUAUGGUUCGCCAAUUUGUGGAUAUCAAUUUUUCGUCGUGUUGGUUGAAUCAGUUUUAUUUUUGUAAAAAGGAAAAAUCCAAAAAAAAUCUGAGUUAGAUUAGGUUCGUUUUAGAAUAUUUCUCGUUUUAGGGUUAUCUUGCAUGUGUAGAAUUGGAGAUUUAUUAUUUCGAACUUUGAAAAAGAAAUAAAAUAAAAAAAUGCAUUCAUUUAGGAUGUUAGUUGUUUUAAAAAAAAAUUAAGUUGCAUGUUUAAUUAUGUGGCAAUUUUAAUUUCGAAUUUCAUAAAAGGAAAAAAGAAAAAAUUUAGAAUUAGAGCAUUCUUUGCACGUCAUGGCAUAUUAGAAUAAAUUGCAUGUUUCAUUUUAAGUUUAGAUUAAUGUUUGCAUCUUAGGAUAGAGCUUGCUAGGUUAAGACAAUAUCUUAGUUUAAAUUAGGGUUUAGUCUAACCCGAUCCUUAAUAUAAGCUGGAUAGAAUUUUAAUCUAGAUAGUCAUGUUUUGCAUCAUAAAAAAAAUAAAAUUUGUCUUAGGAUAAAUUAGUUGCAAUUUCUAGGAUAGAUUGCAUUUUUAGAAUAAAAAAUCAUGUGCACGUCAUAUAGAAUUAGGUCCAUAAAAUGCACGUCAUUUAGUGAUUGUUGCUAGGUUCAUUUAAUUAGAAAUUGCCCGUCAUUAGAUUAGGUCAUUUAAUAAAUGUUGCGUGACAUAUAGCUCGCAUAUUAAAUUGUAUGUCGCAUGUCAUUUUAGUUAAAAUAAUCUUGUACGUCAUUGCAUCGCAUCAUACGUCAUUAGAAUUAAAUCAUUAUGGUUAAUUUAGAUUGCAUAUUUAAUUAUUGCAUGUUCAUUAAGAAAUCAUUAGUUUUUUUACUCAUUCAUAUAGUUUACGACAUAUUGCCAUGCCAUAUCAUUUCAUAUUAGAUUAGAAGUAUUGCAUUGCAUAUGGACUAUUCUCGUUGAAAAAGAGAAAACAAAAAUUGAGUAAUUGCUUGUUAAUUAGAAACCAUAUUUAGGGUUGUUGGUGUGGAUUUUAAUUUAAACGCUUUCGUUGCUAUGAGGUAAGUCCUGCAAUUUAUUUACUGCUUUACUUUGGUGUUAAAUUGGUGGUUUGCGCACUCGCAUGAUAACCUCACAUGUUAGGGAAAUAGUUUAAAAUCAAUUCAAGCUGCCAGCAAAACUUUUAUUUUAAAUAAAAAAAUGGUACCGAAAUGGCGUUAGAGAAAUCUAGCGUAAUCAAGUCCCCGUACCCAAAUCUCUGGUUCGUAGGAGUAAAGUAAAACUCCCGUUACUUUACUUGGGUUUCUAAUCGACCCACCAAAAAUAGAUUAGUGGCGACUCCUAAUUGAAAAUCAUUUGCAUGUUAAGAAUUCAAACCUAAGUUGCGAAUUGGUAUGGGCUUGGGAGAGCCUGAGUUAAGUCUAGGCUUAACAAUCCAUUAGCCAAACCCUAGGUGGUUCACACCCGAAAAUUUGGUCGCGACAGCUUGUCAACUCCGCUGGGGAACUGAGUUAAAACUCUUAGUGGACUUAGGCCAAUUUUUCUUUUCUUUUAAAAAAUGUUUUUGUUUGGCAGCGAGGAUUCCGGGUACGCCCUUAACAUUUAAGGUGUUAAAUGUUCUUGUAGGAUGGGAGGUAUAAGGAGAAGUGUUUGUUAACCUUUGUUUUGCAGGGAGGUCUAGGAAUGUAUGGUUUACUUUCAUAUACGAAGUGUUGCUUGAUAUAAACUGUUGUGCAUGCCUUGCAUUUGCACUACAUUAUUGCACACACAACCUGCCGCCGGACCUGGGCUGCAUAGGAUCAUUUAGGAUGGUAUUGAGAUGGAUACCACUCCAACCGCACGCUCGCAGUACGAGUCGCCCAUCUCAAUCCCAAAGUUUCUUUCAUGGUGUCAAGAUUACCCACCUCGGUCUGCAUCCUCGCGACCCGGGUCGGCUCUUUGACCAAGCCGGAGUCAUGAGGACCCGACAUAGUCCACAAGCCCGUGGCUAGUCCGAUCAUCCUUGUGGCUCCACUUUGAUAAGCCUUAUAGAGUAGAAAUCGAGCCACUUACCAUGCGCAUGUCUAUGUGAUUGCCAUUGAUUUUUCUUGGUGAAGUAAGUCUUCUAUCCCUAUACUAUGCAAUUUACUUUUGGUCUAUCCAUGACAAUCUAGGUUAGUCGUUUGAUCUAAUUCAUUUGUCAAUUAGAAAUGAAAAUGAGGAAAUUGCCAUGUAAUGAAUCAUUUGCCAAAAAACUUUGGAGAAUUUGUUUUCAAUUCAUGUUUAGGAAAUUUGGUCUUGUUAGGGUGUCUAUCUUUAUUUUCCUAGUCCAUUUUUAGGAAAUGCCCUUCUUGUAAGAACUUUUCAUGAAUAAAUGAAAAAAAAUGGAAAAAUCGAUUAAAUCAUUGUCAUGGAUUGACUUUCUAUUUGCCCUCAUGCUUACAUGUUCCCAUUCAUUUGAAUUAGGUGAUUAUGGAACUAUCCCGCUCACCCAUCUGUUCAUGAUUGAGAGCUAAAAUGACGAAUAAAAAAGAGCUAAUCUCAUCAAGAAAAAGUGUUGCAAUCUAUCUUCAACGAGAAAUUGUGACUCUAAGGAGAGAGCCAAGAAGACUUUUUGAACCGUAUCAUUUUCUUGAGGUAGCCAAAUUUGAUGCCAUCAUGAAGAAACCAGUGACAUAUAUAGAGAGAAAAAUAUUUGACCUGAGUCGUAUCACAAGAUCAAGGAGGGUGAAGAGUGAAGAAUUCAAGUACACAUGAUUCAUGGUCCUAAGUUGUUCCAUUUCCUCAUUUAAUUAGGGGCAUGCACCUUCCCCUGCGUGGGAAUUCUUAUCACUUUUUAGGGAUUGAUUUCAAUUUCUUUUGUGCUUGAGCAUUACAUUCCAAUAAUGUAAUUUGAUUACUGAAUAUCAAUAGAAUUACAAGUUUUGUUUUGGGGACAUGAUGGGGUACACCAAACUAGCCCGGUGAUGAUAUCCAACAAUGAAAAGAAAAUAUCAUCGAAGGAGAAUUCUGAGGACUGGGCUUCUUCAUGCUUCCUCAUAAAAAAAAAAUCCAAAAGAACAAAAAAAAGAAGAAGAUCAUUUUUCAAGCCAUUUCCAAAAAGCAUGCAUUAGAUUAGCCUUGUUUAAUUUUCUGACUCAUUUACUUCAUGUUUCAGAGCAUUACUUUCUUGACUCGAUAAGAAAGCAUCUAAAAAAGGCACAUCAGGUUGCAAUUGGUUCAAUUGUUACUCAACAAGUUUCUAAAGAUUUAAUGUUGGUCACAUCUCGAUACUACUUGAAAUAUCCAUCUUGAAGGGCCAAACAAAGUGUGUUCCAUUUCCAUGCUUGACGGAAUUUUCAUUCUCGCCCAUUAAAUGAGGGGCAAGUUAAAAGAGGAUCAUCCAUCUUUGGUGAAAGAGGUAUAUCUCGUUUUUGAACAUAAAUAAUUUUGGGAGAUGACACUUUGUUUCCUUGCAGAUGACGAAUUGGGGGCACUACAGAUUCUAGUAGUGACAUGACUGAGAUAAAAUCUCGAUCCGAGCCAAAAUGGUUGUGCAAUUUGAAUUUACUUUGAGUUGCAUAAUAUCCUAUUCAUGCACGUUCUCUUGUGCAGGGGCAAAAGUAAGAAUGGAGUAUUCAUCAAAUCAAAAAGCAUAUUUUCACUUUUGAUUGAUAGAGACAAUCCAAUGACAUCCAUUGCUGAGACAAUCCAUUCGUGGGACAAUUCCUUGAAUGAAUGCUUGAAAUCAUGUUUGAGUGUAGUAAAUUGUUUGUUUUGAAGUAACAAAAGUUUUUCAUGCUUAAAGUUGCUAGACUAUUUUGAAAAAGAAUUUCCAUGGUGAUUCUACCUAUUUAACUCACCAAUUUCAUGUGGAGAUUUAUCAAGAUGGACUAAUUCAAUGAAUGAUGUGGAAUGGAUUAAGCAUGCUAAAUGAGACGUGUCAGGAUGAUGAAAGGCAAGCCUUAUCCUAUACACAAUCCCCUACUUAUACACUUGUGAGAUGAGUGCAAGAAGUUCCAUAUCUGCAAGGUAAAGAGUUCUCUCGCAAAAGGUACGAUAACCAAAAUGAUGAGGGGCAAUUCAUUUCUCUAUCCCAAACACAACAGGUGAUCCAUUGCUUAACCACUUUGAGCCUUAUACACUUGUGAAGAUUUUUUUUAAAGUUAUCCCUGUCAAAAACCACCCCACAUUGGGGCAAAUUGGAAGGUAAGACAGCACCAUAAAGUGAAGAAAAUGGAUUGAAAUUUUCUUGCUUUCACUUGCAUCAAUUUUCAAGUCGUGCUAUUACAUUGAAUUCAUAUGGUAAUUUAAGUGCCUUAGGAUGACGAAGAUCAUUUCUUUCUCUAUCCUACAUAUUUAUAUCCUUUGCAUAGUCCACUUGAGCCUGCAAUUUCAUUUCUUUUAAACCCAGUUGGUGAUUAUCCCCCACACUGGGGCAAGGCAAGAGACAGAUGAAGACCUUUGAAAGUUUGAAUGUCAUUCAAAGUGUAAUUGCUUGACACAUGCAUAGAAAUCAAAAUAGAAUUAAUGGGCAUGAAAAAGCAGUGUGCUUGGUAAAAGUAAGGCCAAUGCCCAUGAAAAAAAGUAAAGAAAAAAUGAACAAGAACUGGGGGCAUGAAAAAGCGGUGUGCCUAGUAAAAGCAAGGCCAAUGCCCAUAAAUGAAAAAAAAAGAGUCAAGAUAAAUGACUGUCAAUUGCUAGAAUUAAAUCCCAAUGGAGCAAUACUCAAAGAACUCAAAAUUUGAGUUUUUACAAUCAAUUGGGCAUCUUAUUAAGACAAUCCCCGAUGAUGAAAGUGAAAACUGGUGGCAAUGCCAAGAUGAUCACCAACUCUCACUAUUCACACACAUUUUGAGCCUAAUGAUCUUUCAUUUCUCAACCCAUGAACCCAACCUACGUUACGUCCUUUACAAAGUCUCUUCAAAUUAGGGCACUUGAAUUAACAUAGGAGUUCAUAUAAGCAUCGCUCGAAGAAGUGUGAGCUAGAUUAUUUCUUUCUCAUUUUGCAGGGUUCUUGACUUGUAACCCCAGAGAUGAUUAAAAAGUUGUUCUUUCAAUAGCCUUGACUCAAAGAGUCCCUUUGUUAAGCCGUUGACCGAGCCCACAUUACGGUCCCUAUUAAAGACCUCUCAGAUUGGUAAGGUCGUACCGCUUGCAAGAAAACUCGGACCCUUGUUAGUAUGAUGACAGUGAGAUGGAGUGAUUCCCAUAAAAUAGCCUCUAAAUAAGAGUGAGUGAAAGUCCUUUCUAACUGAAGGUCUCUCAUUUGGUAUUCUUAGGAAAUCCAUGUUAUGAUUGAAGAUUGUCUUGAAUGAUAAUUCUCUCCAGUGGAAAUUUGGGUGAUGCAAAGGUCAUUAUGCAUGAACCCCAAUUGAGUUGAAGAAAACCUUACUAAAUUUUGAAAUCUGCAUUGUCUAUCUCUUUGAUGAAUGCAUAUAAGUUUUUGUUCUAAAUCAUGUCUGACGGGUAAUUCAAGUUCCUUUCAGAAUGUUUCAUGAUAUUAGAAGAUGAGAAACCUCCACCAUGAGGUGAAAGACCUCCAUAGGAUAUCUAAAUUUCAAAAGACAUAUCCCCAAGAAUUAGAGACCUCCACCAUGAGGUGAAAGACCUCCACAGGUAAGUAUAUCUCUAUCCAUAUCUUGAAUAUUUGUCAUUGCACAGGUAUUCCCUUUUAAGCAUACCGACACUCAAUUGAGUUGUCCCCCAAAGAUUUUUCCUCCAAAUUCAAUCUGAUUAAGGCGAUCGAAGAAUGGUUCGGGUCCUGGUCGAAUGAUCUCUGUUGCAAGGCUGGGCGACCGAAGAGUGGUUCCGGUCCUAGCCAAGCAAAACCUCAGUCUAGGCGACCGUAGAAUGGUACGGGUCCUAGACAACAUUUAUUGCUCAUUCAGGCGACCGUAGAAUGGUACGGGUCCUGGAAAAACAAUUUCCUCAUUCAGGCGACCGUAGAAUGGUACGGGUCCUGGAAAAAUAAUUUUCUUCGUCGAGGCGACCGUAGAAUGGUAUGGGUCCUUGACAACACCUAUUCAGGCGACCGUAGAAUGGUACGGGUCCUUGACAACACCUAUUCCUUAUUCAGGUGACCGUAUAAUGGUACGGGUCCUGGAAAAACAAUUUCCCCAUUCAGGCGACCGUAGAAUGGCACGGGUCCUGAAAAAUCAAUUUUCAUUCUAGGCGAGCGUAGAAUGGUAUGGGUCCUAGACAACAUUUAUUGCUCUAACAGGCGACCAUAGAAUGGUACGGGUCCUGGAAAAGCAAUUUCCCCAUUCAGGCGACCGUAGAAUGGUACGGGUCCUAGAAAAUGAAUUCCCGUUUAGGCGACCGUAGAAUGGUACGGGUCUUGGGAAAGCAGUUCCUUACAAAACCUUUCUGCAGUAUUGGGCGACCGUAAAAUGGUACGGGUCCUGAGAAAGCAGUUCCUUUCUGCCAUAUCGGACGAUCGUAGAAUGGUACGGGUCCUAGGAAAGUAGCAUCUUCACAAAGUCAUAGGCGACUAUAGAAUGGUACGGGUCCUGGACAAGUAACACCCACUACCUUGAAUUACUCUAUCCUCCUCGAAGGUAAGUUAUUCCAGGUAGGUUCAUUUAUCAUUUGCAUUAGAAUUUCCAUGCAUCAUAUAAGUUGUAUUAAAAAAUGGAAUUCAUGUUCCGACAAAAAAAAAAAAAUCAUUCACUGCAUGUGCAUGGUCAAAAUUUAGGUCUCAAUUUGUCUUUGAAGGCAACCUCUACGAGCUCACCUUCAAAGAGGGGCAGCUGUUGACACUUAAAUUUUGGCGACCCAUUUAGACAUUUAUCGUAUUAAAAAUUAGGGGUUAAUUUUAUCCCUGAAAAAAUAAAAUCACAUGGCAUAUAGUUUAGGAACAUUUUUGUUUAUUUUAUUGGACCGAUGGCGAGUGCAAAAUUUUUCACAUAUUUCGUUGGGAUUUUCAUAUAUUUAGGCAAUAUACACCGAGUGAUGUGUUUUUGAUGGAAAGGAAAUUCUCGAAUGAAAUAUUGGAAAAAAAACACAAAAAAUAUUGCGCAUGGUGGGAUGAUAUAUUCAAUAGUAUUUUGCACGAGCAAAGUUGGCAAUGAAAUAUACCACAUAGAUACAAUUUUUCGGUGUAUAAAAGGAGUCGCAUACGGUGGGGAGCAAAAGGAGGCCACACAAUUGACUACACGGCGGUAUAUACGGAGACUUCUCUAGGGUUCCAAGAAGAGAGAAAAAAAAAAGAAGAGAAAAAGCUUUGGGGUUUCUCCAUUCGUUCCGUAAAAAAAUAGAGGAGGAGAAAAGCUUAUUUGGAAGGGGGAAAAGUCAACAGAAGCUUUUUGCUUCUGCAGAUAGAGAGAACAGAACAACACAGCAGGGAGAUUGACGUGAGGGACGUCGAUCAACAGGAAAAAACAGGAAAAAAUAAGAAGAAAAAAGGGUGCUCUUGUUCCUAUUCAUCUUCCCCACCACGCUUUCCUUGAUUCUCACCGACGUAGCAGCAGCCGGGUCAACGCUUCCGCCGGCUUUUCUCCCGCUCGCGCCACCGUCGCUGUGCCUCAGCCAAUCUCCCUCGCCGCACGAAGCUCACCGUCGUUAUCGUCACUCUGAGCAUCCCUCCGCGACGCCCGGGCAGCUCCGUCGCUUCCUCAUCAGCUUUGCACUCAAUCGCUCCACCCGCGACGCUCCUGCUUCGACGCCUAGCGGAUCUACCCCGGACCCACGAAGCUGUCGCUGUCCCAUCUCGCCGGGAUUCUCACCUGCGAGCCCGCAUCCCUGCACCCCACCGCACCACCACCCUCGCCUUGCUCCGCUUCUGCAGCAAAGUCCGAGUCGCCCUGCUGCACCUUCAACCCGCCGGUCCGCGACUCCCCUGUGCUCGAGACCAUCCUGCACCAGCCACUAUAGCCUUCCAAAAGGCUAUCCGUCAACGACCAGGGGUGCCAUUGGCAAGCGCAGAUUCUCUCACUUUCUCCAAUAUUGAUUGUUUUAUUUGAAGGAAAAUCUGGGCGAGGGAAGGUCAUACAUGAGGAUGUGCACAUUGAAGAGGACGCACUAGAGAAUGUCAAAGGAGGAAACGUGGAGAGGAGUCAUGCAUUAAAGAAAGCACACCAUCCGAAAAGAAAGUCAAGCGAGAUCAAUUAACCCGACAAGCCUCAGCCCCAAAUCAAGUCACCGUCCAGUCGUUUGUUCCUUAUUUGCUGGUUUCCGAUGAUCCCAACGCUCACAGCCCUUGCUCUGCCAAUUUUGCUUCACUUUCUUGCAAGUUUUUUCAGUCACGUCCGAGGUCUUGCCAUCAAGCCUGCAGUUGUUGCCACCCCCAGCGACGUCCCUAAGGCCAAGCCAUCACCUAUGAUCCAUGAAGCCACUGAGCCGAGCCUCACCGCAACCGUAUCUGCCCGCGACGCGCCUGGCCGAGUAUCAUUAACCGUCCAAGCCGCACCUCUCACUGCCUUGAAGUCCAUGGUCAAAAAUCUGGAGUUAGCAAAGCUUGUUAUUGGUCAAAGCAAGAAGAUCAAGGAAAAUUUUCUUUGGGAUCGUAGGGCGGGUUUUCCUUCAAGAAAUUGCGGUUGUUCCUUGCACCACCACACCACAUUAACGUCAGCAAUUCUCUGUGGAGGCUCUGACCAAUGUCUACUCAUUACCAUGAAGCAGUUAAUCGAGUCAUCCAUUAGCAAGUUCUGCUGCUGCCACACUGGUCAAUCCCACCACGAGCUAGUCGUAACCGAGAGUCCCCACCACCUCUUCAUCGUGUCGAGUUUGUCCAAUUUUGACAAGCAAGUGUUUGAACAAGGUAAUAAUUUCAUCUUAGUCAAGAUUCAUAUAUUUUGUUGCCUUGCUCGAAUUAUUGCAUUCUUGAUUAAAUUCUCAAAUAAUGUUAUCAUGAGCUCGAAUGGCCAUCACAACGUGCAUAUGAUUGACAAUCCGAUUUCACGCUCAAAAUACAACUCACAAUCGCACGAAAAAAUCGCCAAUCCGAUCUCACGCUCGAGAUAUGAUUCGUGGUUUUAUUUAAAAUUGACCAACCCGAUCUCAUGCGUGAGAUAUGGUUCGCCAAUUUGUGGAUAUCAAUUUGUCGUCGUGUUGGUUGAAUCAGUUUUAUUUUUGUUAAAAGGAAAAAUCCAACAAAAAUCUGAGUUAGAUUAGGUUCAUUUUAGAAUAUUUCUCGUUUUAGGGUUAUCUUGCCUGUUUAGAAUUGGAGAUUUAUUAUUUCGAACUUUGAAAAAGAAAUAAAAUCAAAAAAUGCAUUCAUUUAGGAUGUUAGUUGUUUUUUAAAAAAAAAAUUAAGUUGCAUGUUUAAUUAUGUGGCAAUUUUAAUUUCGAAUUUCAUAAAAGGAAAAAAGAAAAAAUUUAGAAUUAGAGCAUUCUUUGCACGUCAUGGCAUAUUAGAAUAAAUUGCAUGUUUCAUUUUAAGUUUAGAUUAAUGUUUGCAUCUUAGGAUAGAGCUUGCUAGGUUAAGACAAUAUCUUAGUUUAAAUUAGGGUUUAGUCUAACCCGAUCCUUAAUAUAAGCUAGAUAGAAUUUUAAUCUAGAUAGUCAUGUUUUGCAUCAUAAAAAAAAAAAAAUUGUCUUAGGAUAAAUUAGUUGCAAUUUCUAGGAUAGAUUGCAUUUUUAGAAUAAAAAAUCAUGUGCACGUCAUAUAGAAUCAGGUCCAUAAAAUGCAUGUCAUUUAGUGAUUGUUGCUAGGUUCAUUUAAUUAGAAAUUGCCCGUCAUUAGAUUAGGUUAUUUAAUAAAUGUCGCGUGACAUAUAGCUCGCAUAUUAAAUUGUAUGUCGCAUGUCAUUUUAGUUAAAAUAAUCUUGUACGUCAUUGCAUCGCAUCAUACGUCAUUAGAAUUAAGUCAUUAUGGUUAAUUUAGAUUACAUAUUUAAUUAUUGCAUGUUCAUUAAGAAAUCAUUAGUUUUUUUACUCAUUCAUAUAGUUUAGGACAUAUUACCAGGCCAUAUCAUUUCAUAUUAGAUUAGAAGCAUUGUAUUGCAUAUGGACUAUAUUCUCGUUGAAAAAGAGAAAACAAACAUUGAGUAAUUGCUUGUUAAUUAGAAACCAUAUCUAGGGUUGUUGGUGUGGAUUUUAAUUUAACAUUGCAGACGCUUUCGUUGCUAUGAGGUAAGUCCUGCAAUUUAUUUACUGCUUUACUUUGGUGUUAAAUUGGUGGUUUGCGCACUCGCAUGAUAACCUCACAUGUUAGGGAAAUAGUUUAAAAUCAAUUCAAGUUGCCAGCAAAACUUUUUUUAAAAUAAAAAAAAUGGUACCGAAAGGGCGUUAGAAAAAUCUAGCGUAAUCAAGUCCCCGCACCAAAAUCUCUGGUUCGUAGGAGUAAAGUAAAACUCCCGUUACUUUACUUGAGUUUCUAAUCGACCCACCAAAAAUAGAUUAGUGGCGACUCCUAAUUGAAAAUCAUUUGCAUGUUGAGAAUUCAAACCUAAGUUGCGAAUUGAUAUGGGCUUGGGAGAGCCCGAGUUAAGUCUAGGCUUAACAAUCUAUUAGCUAAACCCUAGGUGGUUCACACCCGAAAAUUUGGUCGCGACAGGUGUAUAUUGCCUAAAUAUAUGAAAAUUCCAACGGAAUAUGUGAAAAAUUUUGCACUCGCCGUCGGUCCAACAAAAAUGUUCCUAAAUUAUAUGCCAUGUGAUUUUUUUUUUUUGGUAAAAAUUAACCCUAAAAAUUAUGCAAAAAUUUAGGUGUCAACAGCUGCCCCUCUUUGAAGGUGAGCUCGAAGAGGUUGCCUACAAAGACAAAUUAAGACCUAAAUUUUGGUCAUGCACAUGCAAUGAAUGAUUUUUGUUGGAAAAUGAAUUCCAUUUUUUAAUGCAAUUUAUGUGAUGCAUGGAAAUACUAAUGCAAAUGAUAGAUGAACCUACUUGGAAUAACUUACCUUCGAGAAUGAUAGAGUAAUUCGAGGUGGUGGGUGUUACCUGUCCAGGACCCGUACCAUUCUACGGUCACCUAGAAUAGUAAUAUGACUUUGUGAAGAUGCUACUUUCCCAGGACUCGUACCAUUCUAUGGUCGCUUAGUAUGGCAGAAAGGAGCUGCUUUCUCAGGACCCAUACCAUUCUACGGUCACCCAAUAUGGCAGCAAUGUUUUGUAAGGAACUGCUUUCCCAGGACCCGUACCAUUCUACGGUCGCCUAGUAUGGCAGAACGAUUUUGUCUAGGACCCGUACCAUUCUACGGUCGCCUAAACGGGGAUUCAUUUUCCAGGACCCGUACCAUUCUACGGUCACCUGAAUAAGGAAUAGGUGUUGUCAAGGACCCGUACCAUUCUACGGUCGCCUCGACGAAGAAAAUUAUUUUUCCAGGACCCGUACCAUUCUUCGGUCACCCAGCCUUGCGACAAAAAUCAUCCGACCAAGACUUGAACCAUUCUUCGGUCGCCUUAAUCAGAUUGAAUCUGGAGGAAAAAUCUUUGGGGGACAACUCAAUUGAGUGUCGGUAUGCUUAAAAGGGAAUACCUGUGCAAUGACAAAUAUUCAAGGUAUGGAUAGAGAUAUACUUACCUGGUAACAUCUUCGAUCUUCGGGGAUACGUCUCCUGCAAAACAUGGUCGUAGGAGAGGCAACAUGCAUUUGUAAUCAUAAACAUGCAUCAAUUUAAUGGAGGUUCGUGAUGAUUUCCAUUAUUCUUGCAUCACCUAAUUUCCAUUUUGAACACAUGAGUGUCAUGAAUGUGUCAAAUGAGGGAUCCUUUGGUCUGAAAUGGCUUUUCUCUCAUCCUCAUUAAAAUGGCCAUUUCAUCCUGACCUUUGAUGCAAGAUUUUGUCAAUCACUCUAUCUCACCAUCGUCAUACCAAACAAGGGUCUGAGCAAUCUCGCAAAUGGUACGAUCUCACCAAUCUAAGAGGUCUUUAAGAGGGACCGUAAUGUGGGCUUGGUCAACGGCUUAACAAAGGGGACUCUUUGAGUCAAGGCUAUUUGAAAAAUGACAUUUCAUAACUGUCUUGGGAUUUUUAAGUCAAGAAACAUAUGAAAUGAGACAGUAAUUAUCUUACUCGCACUUCUUCAAGCGAUGCUUUUAAGCAUAUGAACUCUUACAUUAAUUCAAGUGCCAUAAUCUGAAGAGACUUUAUAAGGGACGUAACGUAGGCUUGGUUCAUGGGUUGUGAAUUGAAAGGAUCAUUAGGCUCAAAAAGUGUUUAGAUGGUCAAAGUUGGUAAUCAUCUUGACAUUUCCACCACUUUCCUUCUUCAAUGUCGAAGAUUUUCUUUACACUCAUUGAUUGCAACAGCAUUUGAGUUUUUUUUUCUUUUUCUUUUGGGCAUCGGCCUUGCUUUUACCAGGCACAUUGCUUCUUUCAUGCCCCAUUUUUGCAUUUUUUUUUGAACAAAAUCUCCAUUUUUGUCAGCAUUCUAGUUCAUGCUACUUAAGUGUUUUUGUCUUGCCCCAGUGUGGGGGAUGAUCACCAACUGGGUUUAAUAUGAAAUGAAUUCAUAAGCUCAAGUGGGCUAUGCAAUGGAUAAAAGUGUGUAGGAUAGAGAAAUGACUGCUCUUCAUCAUCCUAAGGCACUUUAAACAAUCAUACGAGUUACAACGCGAAAGCAAUACUUGAAGAUUGAUGCAAGUAUGAGUAAGAAAAUUCCUAUCAUUCAUUUCAAACUUUGUCCCAAUGUGGGAUGAUCUUUGACAGGGAUGAUUUAAAAAUUCUUCAUGUGUGUGGCCUCGAAGGGCUAAACAAUAGGUAUACCUAUAGUGUUUUGGGUAGAGAAAGAUCUGCCUCUCGUCAACUUGGUUAGUGUACCCUUUGCGAGAUCACCCUCUUCCUUGCGGGCAUGGAACUCUUCCACACAACUCACCAAGGAUUAAUGUAUGGGAUAGUGUAUGGAACAAGGCUUGCCUUUCAUCAUUCCAAGGUACCCCAUUUGACACAUACAAUUUAUCUCACACAAUUCAUCAAGGAAGAAGAAUGCAAGCUUUAUGACAAAUUUGAACAAUUCAACUGAUUGAAGCAUAUUAUUAAUCAUAAAAUACUCGCAAUUCAAGACAAGACAUGGCAAAUUCUAUCACGGAUAAUACUUCUUGACAGCAUCAGCAUUGACUGGAGUAGAAAACUCACGACCGUCCAUUUUUGCCAAAAUCAGGGCACCUCCAGGAAGUACCUUCUUCACCACAUACGGGCCGCCGUAAUUUGGAGCGAACUUGCCCCCAGGAUCUGGAAAAAUUGGCAACAGCUUUCUCAGAACCAAAUCGUUUAUCUCGAAAUGUCUCUGUUGUAUCUUUCGGUUGAAGGAUAGAUGAGAAAAGACUUGAGUAGUUAAACUUGAUAGAUGAGAAAAGACUAAAGGCUCUUUGCCAUGGCCAGACUUACCAGCAGAGAGUGGCUAUGGCCAAGAGCCAUGGCCACUCCACUUGGGAUAGAACUCUUAGAGAAGGAAUCUCCACUUCUACAGGUAGAACUGCCUCCAUACCGUACACCAAAGCAAACGGGGUUGCCCCAGUGGAAGUGCCGAUCGAUGUCCGGUAUGCCAUCAAUGCGAAAGGUAACUUGUCAUGCCAAUCUCGAUAAUUCUUGGCUGUCUUAGCCAAAAUCUUCUUAAUGUUCUUAUUGGCUACUUCAACGGCCCCGUUCAUUUAAGGGCGGUAAGGAGAUGAAUUUAGAUGCUUGAUUUUGAACUUUCCGAACAACUCAUCAACAAGUUUGUUAUUCAAAUUGGUCCCAUUAUCAGUGAUGAUUGCUUCAGGGACACCAUAACGAGCAAUUAUGUCACGUUUGACAAACUUCACAACAUUACGAGCAGUGACACUUGCAAAGGAUGUAGCUUCGAUCCAUUUGGAGAAAUAAUCUAUCGCCACUAAAAUAAAUCGAUGCCCAUUUGAAGCCUUGGGAUUGAUUGGGCCAAUUACGUCAAUACCCCAUAUCAAGAAAGGCCAUGGCUCGGAAAACUGAUGCAGCUCAGUUGGAGGAACAUUCAUCUUAUUUCCAUGAAUCUGACAGCGGUGACAACUCCGAACAUGCCGGAUGCAGUCAUUUUCCAAUGUGAGCCAGUAGUAGCCUAAUCUCAUAAUCUUCUUGGCUAACAUGUGUCCAUUCAUAUGGGGGCCACAUACUCCCUCGUGCACUUCUUGCAUGAUUCGAGUGGCUUCGACUGCAUCUAUACAUCGCAACAAAACAGAAUCGUAAGAUCUCUUAUACAAAUUCUCACCACUGACGAAAAAUUUCGAAGCCAUCUUCGUGAUGUAUUUUCUAUCAGCCUGAGUGCUUCCUUCGGGAAAUUCCUGUCUUUUAAUGUAAUUCAUGAUAUCGUAAUAUCAUGGUUUUCCAUCGGGUUCUUCAGUCACGAUCAUACAAUAAGCCGGCUUUGGCAAAACCUCUAUUUUCAAAGGCUCGACCUCUAACCCGUCAGUGACUUGCAACAUAGACGACAAAGUUGCGAGUGCAUCCGCGAAUUGGUUAUGAGACCUCGGCAAGUAUUCGAAUGAAAUUUUCUCGAACUCCUUUACCAGAUCCUCUAAGUACUUGUGGUACGGGAGCAAUUUGGCGUCUUUAGUCUUCCAUUCACCUACGGUCUGAAGUAUGAUCAGUGCCGAAUCUCCAAAUACCAUUAGCUUGGGUACACCCAUCUCGAUUGUGGCUUGAAGUCCGAUGAUGCAAGCCUCAUACUCGGCCACAUUGUUAGUGCAUGAGAAUAUCAAUUUUGCAGCCACCGGAUAGUGCUGUCCAUUUGGGGAUAUCAAAACUGCCCCAGUACCUGAACCAGACAAGUUUACAGCUCCAUCAAAGAACAUCUUCCAUGAGUCUUCAUUUACACUCAAGACACGGUCAUCAAGGAAACUGUCAUUAGAGACUCCUGAAUUUUCAGCCAGUAGAUCAGCGAUCGCUCGACCCUUAACCGACUUUUGUGGCAUGAAUUGCACAUCAAAUUCGGAAAUCAAAAUUUGUCAUUUAGCUAACUUUCCCACCAGAGCUGGCUGAUCAAGUAAGUACUUGAUGGGAUCGUUCUCAGUCACAAUGAACGUCUGGUAAUGCGGCGUGUAUUGUCGCAAUCUAUGCAAUACCCAUACCAAUGCGGCACAAGUCUUUUCAACAUCAGAAUACUUCAGCUAUGAUAUAGUGAACUUCUUACUCAGAUAAUAAAUGGCUCGUUCUUUUUUAUCGACAGGACUUUCUUGAGCCAACAUCGCGCCUAACGACUCACUAUGGAUGGUGAGAUAAAGAAUCAAGGGAUGCCCCAGCAAUGGUGGGACGAGUACCGAUGGGUUCAUCAAGUACUGCUUCAGCUUGUCAAACGCCUCUCGACACUCAUCAUUCCAGUUGACUCGGGCAUUCUUCUUUAAGAGCUUGAAGAAUGGCUUGGCAGUUUCAGAGAGUUGGGAAAUGAACCGAGCUAUGUAAUUUAGUCUUCCCAAAAUGCUCCGAACUUCUUUCACUGUUGCUGGAGGUUGCAACUCGCAUAUGGGCUUAACUUUAGAGGGGUCGAUCUCAAUUCCUUUAUUGCUAAGAAUAAAUCCGAGCAAUUUACCGGAUGCUGCUCCGAAUACACAUUUAGUGGGGUUUAGACGAAGCUUGAAUUCACGGAGUCGAUCAAACAACUUCUUCAGGGUUUCCACAUGACUUCUUCCGGGCCGAGUUUUUGCAAUCAUAUCAUCAACAUAGACUUCAAUCUCCUGAUGCAUCAUAUCAUGGAAUAGUGUUACCAUGGCUCGUUGGUAAGUUGCCCCUGCAUUCUUGAGUCCAAAGGGCAUGACCUUGUAAUGAAAGGUCCCCCACGGGGUGAUAAAUGCAGUCUUCUCCUUGUCCUCCUCUUUCAUCCUUAUCUGAUUGUACCUAGAAAACCCAUCCAUAAACGAGAACAGUUCAAAUCCGGUAGUACUAUCCACGAGGACAUCUAUGUGAGGCAGCGGAAAAUCAUCUUUUGGGCUAGCCUUGUUCAGAUCUCGAUAGUCGACGUAAACUUGAACUCGACCAUCCUUCUUCAUCACCAGCACGAUAUUAGAUACCCAUUCAGGGUAUUGUGAGACUUCAAUGAAUCCCACCUUCAAAAGCUUCAUCACCUCUUCCUCUAUCUUCUUCGAGAGCUCGGGCUUAGUUCUCCGGAGCCUUUGCUUCUUAGGUGGUAUGUCCGGAUUAGUAGGCAAGCAAUGCUCGACGAUCGAUGGGUCUAAACCAGGCAAGUCAGCAUAGGUCCAUGCAAAGACAUCCCGAUAUUCCUUUAGUAGCUGAGUUAGGCGCUCGGCCUCGUCUUUGGGGAGAUUUUCCCCAAUUUUAAUUUCAUUGACUUCUUUGGUGUCACCUAAAUUAAUAGUGACAGUCUGCUCGGAUGUGAGAGCCUUAGCUUUUUCAUGUUGUUCCCAGCUUUGUUGCACCUCAAUGGAAUCUUCAUUCAAGUCCUCGAGGUCGUCAAUGUCAGCAUUCGUUGCAUUGGGCCGGACCAUUUCCAUACUUUUGUAUGCCGUAAGAUUGCUCUUGAAACAAGAAGUAAAUAAAUUAGAAAGACAAACAAAGUAAUCUAUAUUUUUCUUUUUACGUUUUUGUUGUUGGUUUUUUUUUUAAAGAAUUUUGGCAAAAACAUUUUUUCUUAAAAAACAUUUUGACAUGAGAAAGCAUGAUGAAGCCCAGGCCUCAGAAUUCUCCUUGAAUUUUCUUUUUCUUUUAUCGGCUGGAUAUCAUCACCGGGCUGGUUUGGUGUACCUCAUCAUGCCCUCAAAAUAAAACUUGUAAUUUUAUUGAUAUUCAUCAAUCAAUUACAUUUAUUGAAUGGAAAUGCGAUUUUCAAGCCCUAAAAGAAAGCGAAAAAGAAGAAAUAAAAAACAAGCCCUAGAAAGUGAUAAAAAUUCCCACGCAGGGGAAUGUGAGAAAGCAAUAAAUGAGUUACUCUUGUGGGCUAGAGCCCAUCUUCUUCGGAGGUCCUUCAUCAAUGGUCCCUAUGAAGACAUCAUCGAAGAGACUAGAGAUUCCUUCUAAUGCAUCUUCAAGGUUUUCCGUCUCAGGGGAUGUCGGAUCAUCCAUGCCACCCCAUCCAUCUGGGACAAUGUCGCGGGGAUCAAUGUAGAAACUGGGAGGAGCCGAAUACUUCACCAGAUAGUCGAAUUUUCCGCUUGGCUGCCCCAUGGUGUCUAUUAUUUCUGCUUCAUCCUGUAUCAUUAUGGGAGGACCAGGGAAUGUCUCACGAAUGUUUGGGGGUAAUGGGUUUUGCCUUCGUUGCCCGUGGUCAGGUGGCGGGUUUCGCCUUCCUGUCUUCGUCCUCCAGAACUUUCCCCACCUCUUCCAUGGUACCUUAAUCCAGCAGCACGGGACCUCUGAGGGGCUUUAAUGGGGUUUCGAAUCCCUUGACCAUUUCUUCCAAGGCCACUACCAGGAAUAAAACCAUUCCCGACCAUCAUCCUUCCCACCAUGAGAGUAGCAUUUGAAACUUCAGGAGUUGGUGGUGGUGAGUCUUGAGAAGCAUGAAUAGUGGAUACCAACUCAAAUGAGUGGUAGCUCGAUUCAAACUCAAAGUCUGGCUCUACAUAGGGAAUAGCUGUCUCAUGAUAAAUUCGGUGAUCUUCUUCGCCAUAGACAGUGACUAGCUUCCCUUUGAUUACGAAUUUCACAGCUUGAUGUAGACUUGAUGGUACCGCCCUAGCAGUAUGAAUCCAGAGACGACCCAGCAGGAAAUUAAAGGCAGUAGGAUAUCCAUUACCUGCAAGGGAACAUUGAAAACCACCAGCCCUAUUUGCACAUCAAGGUGAAUCUCCCCAAGCAUCUCCUUCUUCGUACCAUCAAAAGCUCGAACAGAAGUCUUUGCAGCAUGUAUCUUGGACAGGUCCACCUUGAGGCGAUGAAGAGUGGCCAGUGGACAUAUGUUUAGGGCGGACCCAUUAUCAAUGAGUACUCGAGACACAUGAGAAGCCUUAUGCUUGACAGAUACAUAGAGUCUCUUGUUAUGCCCCCUACCCUCGAGAGGGAAUUCCUCAUCAGAAAAGGCAAUCAUGUCCUUAAGAAGGAUCGAUCCCACAAAAUCUUCCAACUUGUCUGACUCGACCGUUUCAGGUAAGCAGGAGUUCAAGCAAAGAAAUCUGGGCGGGCAUCUUUCGUAACUGUUCGACCACCUUAUACUCGCGUGCUUUGAUCACGGCCAUAAACUCCUUAGCCUCUUCAUCGGUGACAGGUUUUGCAGGUUGAGCAUUGGUUUGAGAAUAAGUCCGACCAGACCUUGUAACGAGGUCAACAUCUAGAUCAUAGGACCUAGGGACCGCCUUAUUGUUGACAUGUUCAUACGGUUGAGGCAUUUCAAUCACUAUCUCAUCAUCGGAUGCAUCUUCAAGUAGGGGCAUGUCCACGAGUGAAGGAUAAACUUCCUCCUUAUUAGCAUUGAGCGCCGCUUGCUCCUCCUCCCAAUCAAUAAUGAUGGGAGAAAUAGUGGAAACUAUACAAUUAUGGUCAGCAUAAACGAUGAUUCCGUCAUCCACCAUCCUGGUGACUCUUUCCUUCAUCAGUGAUAAAGGAACAUCCUCCUGAUCUGGAUAAUAUCCAGCUCUUACCAGCCCGUUGUAAGCAUCUGCUACGUGUACCUUUGAGUUCUUGAUCCGACUGACUUUAGGCUCCAAGAUAGCAUUGACCGUACCUUCAUGCUCUGGUAGCAGAUUCUUUUGGACAUUCGGUCGAGCAGUUUGAAAUGAGAAGGCUUUUGUGUCUAAGAGAUUUUAGAUCUUAUGCUUCAAGGUGAAACAUUCAUCAGUUGAAUGUCCCAAUUCAUCGCUAUGAUAGUUGCACUUCUUCGUCAAGUCGUAACCACGAAUGUUUUUGCGGUUAGGGCGCUUCGGUUCGCUAGUAAGCAAUCCUUUCUUUCUUAGGAUUGCCAACACUUGGGAUGGAGAUCCAGGGAGAGGAGAGAACUGCCUUCUUGCUUGGGCAAAUGAUUGACGGCCGGUAGCUUGCUGUUGCCUUGGAUUCAUCUGGAUAGUUGAGGUGCGAUUGGCACUUUCCUGGCUAUAAGCCACAUUUACGUCGACAGCAACCUCCUUCUCUUUCUUGGCAGAGAAUCUUCUACUCGAUGGUUCAGUAAACCAUCCUUCCCUUAUCCCCAUCUCGAUUUGUUCCCCCACAGGAAUAAGCUGAUUGAAGUUUUCAACGUACGUGCUGGCCAUCCGGAUACGGAACUCAGAGGGGAGAGUUUUGAUAAAUAACUUCAUCAGCUCCUUGUUAAUAGGCUCGAGGGUGAUUUGAGCUGCCAGAUUUCGCCAUCUUACGGCAUACUCUUUGAAUGGCUCACUCUUCUUUUUCUCCAUCCUCUCGGGAAGGUGCAAUAUCCAUGUUGAACUUGUAUUGCUUGAGAAAUGCGUCAGCCACUUCAUUCCAGGUGUUGAGAAGGUUCACAUUCUUCAUGACAUAUCAAUUCAGUGCAGGCCCAGUCAAACUUGCAUGGAAUGAUUGGAUCAUGAGAGGCUCGUUCUUGACAUAUUGGGCCAUGCGCACAUGGUACAUCUGCAAAUGAGCUUUUGGGCAGGAAGUACCAUCGUAUUUUUCAAAAUCCGGCAUUUUGAAUUUCUUUGGCAUCUUGACUUUCUCGUACACGGACAAUUCGAACAGGAGUGAACUCUGUGACUCUUGCUAUUGUUUCAACUUUUCUUCCAAUUUCGCAAAGCGUUCAUCCUGCUCCAUCUUAGGGAUGUUGACAAGCUUAGCCUUUUCCACAUUGAUCGGGAAUGGAUCAUCUUCCAGCCCGGGCAUGUCAUCCUCACCCAUUUGAGCCUUGUUUGCCGACUUCGGGACAACUAUCUCAAGGAGAGUGGGUGCAGGAGCCGGAUUCACUUGGAGGGAUUGGAUUUGAGUUGUUAUAAGCUCCAUAGAGGCAGCUAACUAUUGGAGUUGGCCUUCCAUAGCGGAGACACGAUCACGCAUUUCGGUUUGUUCGGUCAUUCUAGCUCUUAAUCGCGUGAUAAUGGGCGAACGUGACGGAUCCAUUAUAACCUAAUAUUGAAGAAAUGAACAAAAAUAAGUAUCUCAUAUGAAAUAUGCCAGUCCUUGGCAAUGAUCUAGAACUUUUAUUCAUCAAUGGAGCUUUUGACAAGCCUAUCAAAAUAGAAAUUUGAAAUGUCCUAAACAAAUGAACUAGGAAAGUAAAUGACUCAACUUCCUAAACAUUAAUCUAAAAAUAAAAAUAGCAUUUCAUUUGGCUUGAUCAAUAUACACUCAGGACACCAUUCGGCGCAAUCGUUUAUUCUCUUCUUGAGCUCUUUCGACAACUCUUUUGAGGCGUUUAUUCUCAGCACGAUUGGUGAUCCUCAACGGCACCUCUGGUAUCUUCGGAAGCAGUUCCUCAGGAAUCUUGUGUUGUUGAAUGUACUUAAUCGAGGCAUAAUACUUCCUUUCUUUACCCUUCAACUCCUCCUCGGGCCAUUUAAGCUUUUGUGGAUGGCACAUGUUCCACAUCGAUUUGAUAGUGAGAAUGGAAUCUUCAUGGCCUCGGCUUCCAUCAACAAAACUGACUUGGAGUGGCUCUACUUGUAACGCCGGGGGAAGCUCUUGCACGACUUGAUACUGACGAGUCACUCUAGUCGGAUAGUACUCCAAUGCUCUAGUGAAUCCCAAUAGGGGGAUUGGGCCAACUCCUCCACACGAGAGUCUCGCUACCCGAACUUGGAACCAUUUAGUAUGCCAUAGGAAACCCUUGGAAGUUGAUUUUUUCAUGAAAGCUAGCCACCUAGAAUAAUGAUAAUCCGGUGCAUGUUUUUGGUUGUUCUCAAAUCUCAUAAUAGGGUGAUUGGAAUUACUAACCUCAUGUAUAGUCAUUAGACCACGAAACCCUUUUAUAUGUGAAAGAAACCAAAUUUGCAAAAGUUCAGGAGAGGAAUGGAAAGUCUUAUCACCGCCUCCUUUAAACCGAGUGAGGGAAAUGAAAGUUUCAGUUAGAACAAUGUUUACAAAAUUCUUUCCUUCCAACACUUGUUUAACUAAUUGAGCGAUCAAAGGGUUAAUAGCAUUCUUGCAGUAAGGAAAAACUAUAAACCCAAAGAAAGCUAAAAUGAAAGCCCUUCGCAUUUGAGAUGAAGUGCAUUUCUCAAAACAUUAUUUCAGAAAAGAUAAAGGACAUGCAUUACGGUUAGCCUUUAAAACCUUUCUUAUAUCGUCUUCCUUAAUUCUCAGAAAAUCGGAUAAGGCCAUAACAGGAUCUAUCCCGAUAGGCGGGCUAAUCAAUUCAGCUUUCAAGGACUUUCCUAUGGCAAUGCUAUACUCUUCCAAGGUGGGAGUGAGCUCGUGCUUACCGCCGAAGAUAAAGGUAGAGGUCUCGGGACACCAACAAUGGGCGAGUGCUUGGACGAGGUCGCCAUGGAUGUUGAUACGCAUCAAUGGAAGCAGUCGACCAAUAUGUGACCCUACGAAAUGACGGCUAUCUUGAUCUAACUUGUCCCACCAAUCGCUAAGCUCUUCCUUUGGAGGGAGAAUAAUUCAAAUGUCCGGUGUCCCCAUUGUAUAUUGAUCAAGACUCAGGACAAUCCUAAUGCCAUGGACCGACAAAAUAAUGCGAUAAAAUAAGUAAAUUGCAAAGGCCAAAAAUUUAGAGAACUUACUUUACCAAUGAUGGGCAAUCACAUAGACAUGCGCAUUGUAAGUGGCUCGAUCUCUAAUCUAUAAGGCUUAUCAAGGUGGAGCCACAAGGAUGAUCAGACUAGCCACGGGCUUGUGGACUAUGUCGGGUCCUCAUGACUCCGGCUUGGUCAAAGAGCCAACCUGGGUCGCGGGCAUGCGGACCGAGGUGGGUACUCUUGACACCAUGAAAGAAACUUCGGGAUUGGGAUGGGCGACUCGUACCGCGAGCAUGCGGUCGGAGUGGUAUCCAUCUCAACACCAUCCUAAAUGAUCCUAUGCGGCCUAGGUCCGGCGGCGGGUUGUGUGUGCAAUAGUGUAGUGCAAAUGCAAGGCAUGCACAACAGUUCGUAUCAAGCAACACUUUGUAUUUGAAAAUAAACCAUACAUUUCUACACCUCCCUGCAAAACAAAGGUCAACAAACACUUCCCCUUAUACCUCCCAUCAUGCAAGAACAUUUAACACCUUAAAUGUUAGGGGCGUACCUGGAAUCCUUGUUGCCAAACAAAAACAUUUUUCAAAAAGAAAAGAAAAAUUGGCCUAAGUCCACUAAGAGUUUUAACUCAAGUCCCCAGCGGAGUCGCCAAGCUGUCGCGACCAAAUUUUCAGGUGUGAACCACCUAGGGUUUGGCUAAUGAAUUGUUAAGCCUAGACUUAACUUAGGCUCUCCCAAGCCCAUACCAAUUCGCGACUUUAGGUUCAAGUUCUUAACAUGCAAUUGAUUUUCAAUUAGGAGUCGCCACUAAUCUAUUUUUGGUGGGUCGAUUAGAAACCCAAAUAAAGUAAUGGGAGAUUUACUUUACUCCUAUGAACCAGAGAUUAUGGGUACGGGGACUUGAUUACACUAGAUUUCUCUAAUGCCCUUUCGAUACUAUUCUUUUAAUUUCAAAAAUGUUUUUUGCAAGCAGUUUGGAUUGAUUUUAAGUCUAUUUUCCUAACAUGUAAGGUGAUCAUGCGGGUACACAAACCACCAAUUUAACACCCAGAUAAAUAAUAAAUAAAUUACAAAAACUUACCUCAAAGCAACGAAAGCAUCUGCAAUGUUAAAUUAAAAUCCACAUCAACAACCCUAGAUAUGGUUUCUAAUUAACACACAAUUUUUAUUUUGUUUUCGCUUAAUUAAUGAAAAUCAUGCAAUAUGUAAUGCAAUGUUAAUUGAAUGACCUAAUUCUAAUGACAUGUAAUUUUUAAUUAAAUGGGCCUAGCAAAAAUACUAAAUGACAUGCAUCUCAAUGAAUCUAACCCUAAUGACGUGCAUAUGACAAUUUUUUUCUAAAAGAAUGCAUUUUAUCCUAAAUAAUAAAAACUAAUUUAACCUAUGACAUUUUUUGUAUUUUUCAAGAAAUUCGAAAUUAGGUGAAAUGUGAAAAUUACCUAAUUAGAUUAAGAUCCUAUUUAAUUUAUAUUAGGAAUUAGGUUGAGCCAAAUCCUAAUUUAAACAAAAAUAUUAUCUUAACCUAGAUAAUCCUAAAAUGCAAUCUAUUUAGUAAAAUACCUAAACCCAUAGUAAAUUAAGAAAAACAUCAUCUAAAAUUAAACUAAAUGCAAUUUUACCCUAAUAUGCUAUGACGUGCAAAAGAUGCCCUAAUUUUACAUGACAUAUGCAUAAUGACUUUUUUUUUUGUGUUUUUCCUUUUUUCCUUUUUUUUAAAAUUUCGAAAUUAAUAAUUGCCAAAUAAUUAAACAUGCAAUCCAAGUUUUAAAAAAAAAACUAGCAACCUAAAUUAAUUGUUUUGAUUUUUUUUAUUUAUGAAAAUUCGAAAUAAAAUACCUAUUAUGAACAUGCAAACCCUAAAACUACAUUCUUUUUUUUUUUUUUUAAAGAUAACUAAUUUAAGUAACACCAAGGCAAAUCAAGCCAUAUUGAUACCCAAAUUAACGAACCAUAUCUCGCGCAUGAGAUCGGGUUGGCCAAUUUCACAUAAAUCACGAAUCGAAUCUCGGGCGGGAGAUCGAAUUGGCAAUUUUUUAAGUAAUUGCGAGUCGGAUUUCAGGCGCGAAAAUCAGACUGACAAUCACUAAUUUCAAGGCAAUUUCAUAUCAUGGAAUUUCAAUUUCACAUUAAAGGAAUAAUUACACUAAAAAGAUAAAAUAAAAUAGCAAAAAUAAUAAAACAAAAAUAAGAUAAAGAAAAUACCUAAAUUUUCUUUUGCUUUUCUCUUUUUUCUUUUCUUUUUUUCUAAAAAAGAAAAAGAAAAAUAAAGCUGGUGGCCGAUCCGGCGAGGGGAGAUCGCCGGCUAGGGUUCUGGCGAGGCUCCGGAGGAUGGCGUGACGGCGGCGCGGCACCAGGGGGCUUCGGAAUCAGCACGAGGCGACGCAGGCGGCACGACGAAACCGGUGGGCAGCGUCGCGGGUAGAGCAGGGGCUUCGAGUCUCCUGGCACAAGCUGUGAAGAUCGGAUCGUGGCUACCGCGGGGACCUCGGAUCUGCAGGCGUGGUGGUCUUCGGCUGAGGCGGAACGCGGCGAGACCAGAGGGAGCGGCGGCAGCGUCGGGGAAGGGCAGCGGCGUCGUGGACCGGCGCUGGGUCGCGGCUUCACGAGGGGAAGGCAGCUGGGCAUCAAGGCGUUCCGUCGGGGUCUGAACUGGCUUCAGCCGGCGGGGCGCUACAGGGAUGGCGGGAGGCCUCGGACGGCUGCGAUGAGGAGCUCCGGCGUCUGGAUCGGGCUGUUGGGUGCGGCGUCCGGCGAGUGAAUCGGAUCGGGGCACGGGCGUGAUCGACGGGAGGCGUCUGCUCCUGGAUCUGGAGGAGGAAGGGCGUCGGCUUCGGGUCGCGAGGCUGCAGACGCGACGGGGAGACGCGGUGGCGCGUCGGGGCAACGCGCGGGUCGUCGGGGCUCGCGGACGGAGGCGACGUCGAGACAGCGACGAUGCGGGCAGAUGGCGCCGGCACCGGCAGAGACCCCCUCCCCCCACAAGGAAGAUGAACAGUCGCGGGGGGGGACUGUUUUACCUUUUCUUUUACUUUUUUUUUUUUUUUACUUUUCCUCUCUCUUCACUCACUUUUUUCACUUUUUGCUCUUUUUGGUAUAUUUCAUUGCCAAUUUUGCUCGUGCAAAAUACCAUUGAAUAUAUCAUCCCACCAUGCGUAAUAUUUUUUGUGUUUUUUCCAAUAUUUCAUUCGAGAAUUUCCUUUCCGUCAAAAAUACAUCCCUCGGUGUAUAUUGCCUAAAUAUAUGAAAAUCCCAACGGAAUAUGUGAAAAAUUUUGCACUCGCCGUCGGUCCAACAAAAAUGUUCCUAAACUAUAUGCCAUGUGAUUUUUUUUUUUGGUAAAAAUUAACCCUAAAAAUUAUGCAAAAAUUUAGGUGUCAACAAUGCCUAACUAUUAAAAAAAAAAAAAAAGACAAUGCCACCACCGACCGCGGUGGCUCCACUGGCUAAGACUCUACUGAUCCUCAACGAAGAGGUGAAGGGUUCAAAACCCAGGGGAGGCACUAGGUGUAUUAAGUGUGACUCAGGGGUGGGUUUUUUCCAUCCAUUUAUUUUUCUGAAUCAUGUAAGCGAUCAUUUUUUGAAAAAUAUUUUACGAAUCACUCAUUUUCCUUGAGAUGAACGCACCUUAAGUUUGGAAAAAAUUCAUUAUGAACUCUCAAUGGUAAAUUGAUUAAUAUUCUGUCUUGUAAUACGAGAAACAACCUAAGUUUUUUAUGACAUGUUCAUGUAUCCCCUAUCUCUUGUUUAUGGAAUUCGUAUACUCUUUAUAUACAUAUGGUCUUUAUCCACCUAUUGGCUUAGUCUUCUGAAUUGAUAUGAUAGUAGAGUUGAUAUUAUACCAAAGUUAAGUUCUGCUCUAGUGUAUUUCACUUGUGCAACCCACUUUAUCAAAUUCUACAUGUUUCUUUUUUUCUUUUUUUAAUGUUAUAUGGAAAAAAGGUUUAGAGUAGGCAAGGAUUUGCACAAAAGUGUGAAGAGCGAGAUGCUCCUUUAAAAACAUCAUCUGAGACACUUAUUAGUUGAGAUCCAAGAGAUGUCAAUAUUUUGUUAAUUAUCCUAGUCAUUGAAGAGGCUUCACCGAACUUUUGCGAGUCAUUGAAGAGGAAUCCGAGUUUGAUUGGUGAGGAUAAAUCGGAGUCCCGUGCUUGUUUGGAUGAUGCAGAAGGUCGAAGAACAUAUGUUUGGAAGUGGAAGUACAAAAUGGAAGUUGCUCGAUGUAUAUGCAGUACCGAGGCUUAUUUCGAAAAGUCUCGUCCAUCAACAUUUGUUAUACUUGCACAAGAGCACGUUUCCAGUGAAACCAUUGAAAGCUUGAAAACUAUAUCAAAAUUUGAAUAUAAAUUAUAAUCUCAACCAAGAGGCAAUUUUAUUGGUCAGUGGAAAUAGAACUGGGAGAUGGAAGUUAAAUGAAAACUCCAUUACUCAUAAAGAAAGUCGGGGUAGCCUUUGUUACGUUUCAAAAUAUAAUGUUUAAGGAAAUACAUUCCUAAAACUUAUAUUAAAUUUACUAUAGUUAUAAAAUCAGAUUUGAUUAAUAAUUAAAGUUGGAAUUUGAAAUUCGCAUCGGUGGAAUUCGGAUGCUAUAGAAAAACUCAAAUUAAAAUAAUCUCUGUUAGAAAUGGUGAGCAAAGUAUAAAAUGUGUUAAGAUAAAGUAAAACGAUAGUCUAAUUUGAAAAUUAGAAGUUUGUCCUCAAACUAGUAAUGGACAAUCUUUUAGAGAAUUUAUGUCAAUAAGAGAAAGCAAAGGUCCAUACGUCUUCAAUGACUUACAUUUUGUGCUUUUGUUCAAAACUAUAUAUAUAUACAAUUUAAUUUUCUCUAUAAGCAAUUGAAUAAAUAGUCAACAUCAAAUAAGAUAAAAAGGAGGAUAUUUGAUAUAGCUUAUUUCAGUAACUACACUAGCAAUUAAAUCAGCAUAAUCAGAUCUAUAUAUUUGAAUGAUCAUAGUUAAAGUAGAUAAAACAGUUACAACGAGGCAUGCCAUUGUGUUUUUGUGCAUGGGUUUGCUUGGUGUAGCGAGAGUGUGGACUGUCCACUUGAAUGUAUCUUGCAUUUUUUAUAAUUAGGAUUUUAAUGCAAUGUGAACAAAUGUUUGAGAAAAAUGCCAAACAAUGUUGAUCAAGGACUGUUCUAAUAUUUUGAUUAAUGACAUGGGGGCUCUCAACACCACGAUUAGGAUAACAAAAGAAAAUAGGGAAGCAUCUUGAAAUCGAUUGAUGAACCUUAUUUUAAGCUGUUGAGAAACUUGGAAGAGUACCUCCAUAUUAUUUCACUAAACCUAUUUUAUGCAUUACGCAUUAAAAAGCAACUACAACAAGUAACAUGGAAAUCAAUCAAAAUUUAUGCCAUAAAUUACAUGUUCAACCGAGUUACCGUUAAAAAGAAGAAUUAGCUUCUGGCCACGAGGGCAUUGGAGUAAUUUGGCAGCAGCAAAAUACGCAUCCAGACGAUCAACGGAUUCCAGAAAAUAACGCGGUUUUGGCCAUUUAAGGUGCGCGGAUCAGGCAGAGGAACAACUCAUACGACCCGACGGGAGGCUGUUUUCCCUAAAAUAGCCCUGACUCGACACCCAAACCCCAAAAGCGACGCUACAAUUAUGUACGACCAAGGACGCGUUGCGGGCAAGUGCGUGGGCCACUCAUCGCGACGCAAUCGUGGUCAGAAACUCCACAAAGACAAGGAUUAUUAAAAUUCAAAAGAAUAAUAACCAAAAGCACUCUGAUUGCUCCCAUCUUUUUAAUAUUUUAUUUUAGCCACCGAACGCACCCGAUUGCUCCCAUCUUUUUAGAAUUCCACUAGUUUAUCUACCCCGCUGCUGUAUCUUUCCUUUUUCAAUUGCGUUACGACGGUAGAUAAAAGGGAAGAAUUGAGUUGGGAGGGGCCACUUUGGUCUUAAAAAUCCCUGCACUCGUCAACUUUGACGGGCUUGAAUGAAUCCUUCUUACUGACCAAUCCUGGCCAACUGGCCCUCGACUCUCUGCAUAUAUAGCCAAUCCUAUCUUCUAUGUUAAAUGACCCACAGAUAUCUCCAUUAGUAAUUUUAACUCCUAAAAGUGAUUUAGAUUUCGCAAUGUGCUGUACUGAUUUUGCUGCUAUUCUGUUCAAUCUUGUCUUCAAGAGAAGAUCAGAAGAGAUCAAUGGAGAGGAGGCAAAUGAUGAUGCAGCUGCAAACGAUGAAACAACAAGAGGCUCUUCUUCUACUCACACUUCAACAGAAGGUCAUGAAAUGGCUACUCCAUCAGGAUAUGACUAUGAAGUAUUCUUGAGUUUCAGAGGACCGGAUACUCGAGUAGGUUUUACCGACUUCCUUUACACUAGUAUGAUAGAUAUGGGAAUCCGCGCAUAUAAGGAUGAUGAAGAUCUCCGAAAGGGAGAAGAGUUUGGCCCAACACUUCUCCAAGCAAUUGAGCAAUCGAGGAUCUCAAUACCUAUCCUUUCUAAAGGUUAUGCCUCUAGCGUAUGGUGUCUCAAGGAGCUAGUCAAGAUGGUCGAGUGCCGAAAAACAAAGGGACAAAAGAUUAUGCCCAUUUUCUAUGAUGUGGCACCUGCAGAGGUACGAUACCAAACUAGGAGUUAUAAAGAGGCCUUUGAUUCACAUAAAAACAAAAACCGACAUGAUGAAGGGACUAUGUGUGAGUGGAAGGCUGCUCUCAAAGAAGUAUCAUCUCUAGACGGAUGGAACUUGCUCGACAUGCAAAACAGGUGAUUGCUUUUAGCAUUCCAUCUCAUGUGCCUUGGAUCAUUAAAACUCAUUGCAUUUCAUAUAGUUGCUUUACUAGAUUUGUGUUAACCUUGUUGAAAUUGAAUUCUGUGUUAUUGAAGUUGUACUGCAAAAAUCAUGCUAAGUGAUGGCACAAUCCCAAUUUUGUCUCCUUUUAUUCCAAGCAACAUUUUUUUUUCCAUUUUAGUUCAUUCAUCAACUAUAAGUACCAACGCUAAUUCAUCUACAAUGGAAUAAAUCUUUUAAGAUCACGUUUCGAAUUCAAUUUGGCCUUGUCAAAACUUAGUUUAAUUCAACACAAUUUCCUAACUCAUUGUCUUUUGCCUCCAACAAACACUAGGCGAGAAGGAGAGUUCGCAAGAAAAUUUACCCAAGAGGUUUUUAAUGAGUUGAAAAGAGCUUAUUUGGUGUUAUCAAACUACUUGGUCAAUGUUGACAACCAUGUGGAUGCAAUCAUGGAAAUGAUAGGUGUUGGGACAAGUGAAACACGAAUUAUUGGAAUCCACGGGAUGGGUGGUAUUGGAAAGUCGACUAUUGCCAAAUUGAUCUACAAUAAGCUUUUACGUGACUUUAGGAAUUGUUGCUUUCUUCGCGAUAUUCGAGAAACAUCAACAAGGAAUGGUAUUCAAUGCUUGCAGAAUCAACUCAUUGGGGACAUCCUCAAAACGAAAAGCAUAUAUAUAAAGGACAUUGAUGAAGGGACUCAGACCAUUAAAGAUAGGUUGUCUAAUAAAAGAGUCCUUCUUCUUCUCGAUGAUGUGGAAAAAUAUGAUCAAAUUGAUGCACUUGUAGGUAAGCGUGAUUGGUUGGGCAGAGGGAGCAAAAUUAUUAUUACUGCAAGAAACAAAGAUAUUCUUGAGGUUCCUGAAGUGGAUUGCAGUUAUGAGCUUAGCGGCAUGGAUCCUGAUCAAUCUCUUCAACUAUUCAGCAAACAUGCCUUCAGAAAAGAUUAUCCUUUGGAUGAGUAUAUUGGCCAAUCCAAGAGGGCAAUAGGCAUUGCUAGAGGUCUUCCACUAACUCUUGAGGUCAUAGGCUCACUUUUAUGUUGCACUAAAAAGGAAAAUUGGGAUCUCAUGUUGAAGAAGUUGGAAAGUGUUCCUCAUAAGACAAUCCAGAGUAAGUUGAAAAUAAGCUAUGAUGCAUUGGAUGUUCGACAACAACAUAUAUUCCUCGAUAUAGCUUGUAUUUUCAUUGGAUGUGACAAAGCUAUUGUGGUUCGUUUCUGGGAUGAAUCUAAAUUUCCAGAAGAAGCUAUAGAAGUUCUACAGAACAUGUCUUUGAUAAAAAUUGAAGGGUACAAUAAAGUGUGGAUGCAUGACCAACUCAGAGACCUUGGAAGAGAGAUAGUUCAUCGAGAAAGUAACAUGAAAAUAGAAAAGCAAAGUAGGGUGUGGGAUUAUAAGGAAGGAUUGGAUUUAUUAAGGCGACAUAAGGUAAAAUCCCCUCAUAUAAAUUCUUAGUAUUUAUGGAUUUGCUUUUCAGAAGAUAAACCAAUUGCUUUUUGUGUUGUCUAGCACUAUUACAACUUACUCAACCAAUACUUUAUUAAAGGAAUGACAAUACUCAACUCAACCACUUAAUGCAGUGGACUUGAAUAAAUGGGUUUUCCUUCAACUCUUUUGUUUUUAAAUGUUUCCUUUGGGCAGGGACAAAAAGAAGUUGAAGCUCUUCGUCUCAAAUCUGACCAUGAGCGACGGUAUCAUUUUACCUAUGAGGACUUUAAGAGCCUAUCAAAUCUAAGGUUCCUUGAAGUUGAUGAUUCGAAGGGAAAUUUUGGUGCAGAGGAGACGCUUCUUUGGCGCUGGCAUGAAUUGCCAUCAAAUGUUCUUCCAACAAAUGUUUUCCAAGAGAAUUUAGAUCUUCUUCCCCAAUUACGGUGGCUUUCUUGGCAUAAUAUUUCCCCAAUGUUAAACAUAACAAAUUUUUCCAUGGAGGAUCUGGUUAUUCUUGAUCUAUCUAAGAGUAGAAUUAAGCAUGAUUGGAAGGGGUGGAGCUACAUGAAGGUACGUUUUAUAGUAGACAACACUUAUUAUUUCGUCUUAUUAGAUUCAAAAGUAAUAUUUGCAUGAUUCUUCUUUUAUAGAUGGCGAAGAAUUUGAAAGUUUUGAAUUUGUCCAAUUGCCAACGCUUGAAGAGAACUCCCAUCUUCUCUGCUCAUCCAAAUUUAGAACGUUUGAUCCUAAGGGAUUGUGAAUCAUUGACCGAAAUAGAUAGAUCAAUUGGUAAGUUGGAACGUCUAGUUUUCUUAGAGUUAAGCUAUUGUAGAAAUCUUCAGAGGCUGCCGAACGAACUAGGAGACCUUGCGCGCCUUGAAUACCUAUCUCUUGACAUUUGCAAUUCGUUGAAGAGCCUUCCAGAUACAAUUGGGAAUUUGGAAUCAUUGAUUGAGUUGAAUUUAAGCGGUACGACGAUCAAAGAACUACCUGAUUUUAUCGGAAAAUUGAAAAAUUUGAAAGUAGUUAGGAUGUGGAAUGGUGAAAUAAGCAAAAUACCCGAUGCCUUUUGGACUAUUGAGAAGCUUGAAGAUAUAUCAGGCCAUUGUGGCAACGCUCGUGUGAAAAUUGGCGAUUGCAUCCACAGGAAUCAAUCGCUAAGGGAAUUGCAUUUGGUGGAUGUGGUUAUACUGGCACUGCCGAGGCUUCCUGAAAGUCUUAUCUAUCUAGAUUUGACUUACUUGUGCAUGGACGCGUUUCCGGAUCUCUCAAACCUCACUAAUCUACAAAGAUUGAAGCUGGGGUUCAGCCCCGUUUGUACCGAUGGGCCUCCGGUAGAUAAUCUAAUGCCACGGUGGUUGGGGAAUUUAACCAAACUGAGGUAUCUGACUCUGCGAUUUGGUGGUCCGACCGCCUCCACAAUAGACGAGCCUAGCCUCCCUCCUCAACUCGAGUCACUUCGCCUCUGCUGGUCUGAUCUGUGUCGCCUCCCGAGGCUUCCCUCAAGUUUGUCCUCCUUAAUGUUGUGGAGUUGCUGCUCACUUUCCUUGAUAGAGGAUCUAUCGAAUUUGAACGAACUGUCAUUUCUCGGGAUUAUGGGCACUGCAAUUACAGAGAUUCAAGGCCUUGGUUGUUUGGAGAACCUACAAAGUUUGCUCCUUUCUGGACCUCGACAGGUGAAGAUACUACCCGAUCUGAGCAAUUUAAACAAACUAAGUCAUCUUGAACUAUAUGAUUGUGAUAAGCUGGUUGAGAUUCAAGGUGAACUACCAAAGUAUUUGAAUGAGUUGAGUAUUCGUUCUUGUGGUUCGUUAGAGAAGUUGCCUGAUUUGUCAGGCUUGAAGGAAUUGCAAACUAUUAAAGUGCGAAAUUGCACGAAAUUAAUUGUGGAGGCAAUUUUCAGCUUUGCACGGAGAAGUCAGGCGGAUUUGUUGGAGAACCUACGAUAUUUGGAUAUUGGUGACCUUGAACAGGUGGAGAUACUACCUGAUCUAAGUUCUUUAAGCAAACUAAGGAAUCUUGAAGUAGACUCUUGUCGUAAUCUGGCUGAGAUUCAAGGUGAACUACCACUAUCUUUGAAAAGAUUGAAGAUUUUUGCUUGUGAAUCUUUACAAAAGUUGCCUGAUUUGUCAAGCUUGAAGAAUCUGAAACAGGUUUACAUAAGACGUUGCACGACAUUAAAGGGUAAGGCAAUUCUCGGCUCUGCUCAGAGAAGUCAGGCGAAUUUAUGGGAGAACCUACUAUAUUUGGGGAUUUGUGACCUUGGACAGGUGAAAAUACUUCCUGAUCUAAGUGCUUCAAACAAACUAAGAUGUCUUCGAGUAUCAAACUGUGGCAAGCUGGUUGAGAUUCAAAGCGAACUACCACAAUCUUUAGAAAAAUUGGAGAUUUCUUCUUGUGAAUCUUUGCAAAAGUUGCCUGAUCUGUCAAGCUUGAAGGUGGAAGAAGUGGAAAUUUCUUCCUGCGGAUCUUUAAAGAAUUUGGAUGAUCUGUCAUUCUCGUUUGGGCCGCAAAUUGUUGUCAUUGUAGGUUGUCAAAAAUUAAAUGUGGAGGGAAUUCUUGGCUCUGCUCGGAAAAGUCAGGCGAACCUGUCGGAGAACCUACGAUAUUUGCAGAUUUGUGGCUUUGGACAGGUGAAGGCACUACCUGAUCUUCGUAAUUUAAACAAACUAAGAUGUCUUCAAGUAGAAAAGUGUCCUAGUCUGGUUGAGAUUCAAGGCGAACUACCACAAUCUUUAGAAGAAUUGGAGAUUUCUUCCUGUGGAUCUUUACAGAGGUUGCCUGAUCUGUCCAGCUUGAAGGGACUGGAAAAGGUGGUAAUGAAAGGUUGCAUGCAGUUAAAUGUGGAGGCAAUUUAUCGUCUUUGCUUGGAGAGGUCAGUCGAAUUUGUGGGAUAAGACGACGAAUUGGAGUGAGAAGACGAAUCUGAAUCUGAGCAAGAAGGCGACGAAUCUGAAUUUGAGCAAGAAGACGACGAAUCUGAAUCUAAGCAAGAAGACGACGAAUCUGAAUCUAAAUCUGAGGGAGAAGACAGCAAAUAUGAACAUGAAUCUGAGGGAGAAGACGAUGAAUGAGUGCACAUUGCUUUUGAAAGCUUCUUGAUCCACAACCACAAAUUGUUCCCUUGGGUCCAGACUUUAAACGAAUUGAGGUGAGUUAUUAUCUCUGAUAACCAAUGUUUUCCUUUUUUUUUGGCAAUAAAAUUCUUUCACAGAUAUGAAUGGGGAACUUUUACGUGCACUCAUUAAUGACCUUUUGUUCAUGCUUGAAAAUCUGAGGAAGUUAUUGAAAUUAUGUUACCUUCUUUCGUACAACCAGAGUGUUCUUAAUUAUUUGCAACCAUCCGUUCUCUUUUCCUGGUUUGGUUUGGCUUUUUUAGCGAUGUUCUCUUUGGAUGGUUUCUACUUGCUUUUAUGUUUCCCAGCUGGAGGUAUGCAUCUCGAUUGCAUCGUUUUUCAUUUGAUACGAACAAAUUAUUAGAGAUGCCACUCAAUUUGCUGCUUCACAUAUUUCGAAGUUGAUAACCUCGCUUCGCAUUGGAGAUAACUUUGUUAUGCAGUAAACAAUUCGAUGGAAUGUUUGUUGGAAGGUCAUAUAAUUGUGGUUCUCAUCCUGGAAAUUUACACCAUAAUCAACUCGUCGAUGCAAUCGUGAAGAAGACAGACACUCUGUAUCGAUAUGCUUAUGUUCAGUUUAUAUUCCAGGAAAGGUGUGCUUCUUACUGGGUUUUGUAAAUGUUAUGGAGAAGCUAUAAAAUGAAGAAAGACUAAUUUCACUAGGGUAGCGGCAUCAAUAGUUGGCGCAGCAAACUUCCAUUUGUGACAGGAAGGAGGACCUACUUAGCUUCUCCAAUGUAUCAUAAAUCAUCCUAUAGUCGAAGGCUAAUAUUUCAGUAUUCCUGGUGCGUAGGACAUCUUAUAAGUCUCACUGGGGUCAAAAAUCAUGUAAAUGGACUCUUGUGUGAUCUCCAUUAUUGCCUAUAUCUUCUAGAAAUGGUUAUGCCUCAGUGACUCUGUAAUAGAAGCCCUUCCAUUCAUCUCAAGCUAUACUAGAGAACUCUUUUAGGUUUUAAGUUUGACAAGAAUUGCUAAGGGAGACAUCUCAAAUGACUGGCUUUUUGCUUGUUUCUAAUGUUGCUGAGAGGUUUCAGAGUUUGAGAAACUUACAGAAAUCUUUCUGUGCAGGGAGCUGUGCCUAAUUGGGCAGCUAUACAGAUGAAGACAGAAUGGAGGAAAAUGAAGAUGACAUUCAAAGUGCAAUUUUACGUCCACUUUAUAAUUACUUUGGGAGUUGAUGCCUGGGAAUCUGAAAAAGGUAUUGAAUUUAUGUACCUCCGUACAACCAGAGUGUUCUCAAUUAUGUGUGAAAAUAUGCUUUCUUUUCUUAGUUUUGUUUGGCUUUUUUAGCUAUAUUCUCUUUGGAUGGUUUCUCCUUGCUUUCAUGUUUCCCAGCUGGAGAUAUGCAUGUCGAUUGUGUCCUUAUUUAUUUGAUUUAUGACAAUUCAUUAGAGAUCCUGGUCGAUUUGCUACUUCACAUAUUUAGAAGUUGAUACCUCACCUUUGCAUUGGAGAUAACUUUGCUAUACUGUGAACAAUUAGAUGGAAUGUGUCACGCCCCGAUCCUCGGGCAUGCACACAUCCUUCUACCUUGGUCGAUUUUAUAAUGCGAUAUCCCAGGACAACGUAUCGCCGACCCUUUCAUUUUUAAGCACAUGCGGAAGCAAUUAAAAUCCCCAGACAAUAAAACGAUGGGAUAGAAAAGCAGGGCCAUAUUUUUCAUAUUGAAAUUUAUAACCAUACUUUUAUACAAACCACAAACCCUUUCACAACUACUCACAUCAAAACGGAGAUCUCAAAAGAAGACAGAAACUUAGAUGAACUCGGCCGUACUCAAGGCCCCUCUCAUAAUUGUCUUCUUCUUCCAAAAAUCCUUUUCUUCAGAUCUCACCUCCGAGUUCUCCUUCUCGGAUUCCUCCUCCUCAGCUCUUCAGUGGGGUCCUGAAAUGGUUUUCCCCAAACUGGGAUGAGACUACGUCUCAGCGAGUUCUACCCCACUAAGCCCGAUUAGUAAACUAUUAUACUACAGGCUGCCUAAACACGCACAGGGCAGAGGACUUACCUUGGCCUCAGACUCCACCUGCAUAUUAGCACAGUUCAAUAGGCACCCAAGCAAUUACAUCACAGAUCAAUAUCUCGAUCCAUCGACCUAGUCGAUUUCAUGUCAAUUCGACCAUUCCCCAGUCGUUUCCCUUAUUCAGGUUCAAAUCGUACUCACGACUUCACAAGCAUAGACUACCAAAUAUCUUGGCAACAAAUUACAGUCCCGAAGGACACGACCUAUCUUUAGGUAGCAAAUUACGGCCUCAUCAGGCGCGACCUUUACUGGUAGCAAAUUAUGGCCUCAUCAGGCGCGACCCUUAUCGGGUGGCAAAUUACGGCCUUAACAGGCGCGACCUUUAAUAGGUGGCAAUUUACGGCCCAACGGGCGCGACCUUUAAUAGGUGGCAGAUUACGGCCUUAUCAGGCGCGACCGACUCCAAAUUCGGUGGCAAAUCUCGGCCCAACUGGCAUAGCCAUACUUCGGCGGCUUCCGAGGUUCAACUCACAACCUCUCAUAGUCAAAUUCUAAUUGAAUACCGACAUUGAUCAAUCUUGGGAUGAAUCCCCACAUACUCAUCAACCCACUCAAUUUUCACACGAUAUUAACAUAUUUGAUGGAUCUUAGCCAAUAGUAUAUUCAAAUCACUCUCACAAUUCUACUCACUUUACAACUCAACAAAGCAUUGCAAACGAUGAAUAAACAUACUUGGCCAUUUACCAAUCAAUAAUUCAAUCUCAAUCAAUUCCAAUCAAUUUAGGGUAAAUUCCCAAAAUAUCACAAUUUAUUCAAUUCCAUACAACGUAGAGCUCAAAUAAAUAAACGGGCUGCGCCACGACGAUCGGCACGAGAUUUCGGUCGUCGGCCAUCAAAAUCUUAAUUUCCGAAAAAUAAUUAAUUUAUUUAUUAAUUUCGAAAAUUAAUUAAUUAUUAUUAAAAAUUCAAUUUAGCUCAAAAUAAAGCCCAAUUACAUAAACGGACUUCACCACGGUCAUCAACACAAUAUUCCGGUCCCGAGCCAUCUCAGUUGAAUUUUCGGAAAAUAAAUAAUUAUUUAAUUUAAUUCCGAAAAUUAAUAUUUAAAUACAAAAAUAUCCACUUAGGCCCGAAAAGCCUAAUUGGAGCCCGCUAAGGGUCGGGAAAAUUCCCGAAGCACUUCCAAUAAUUAGUAGACCACGUCUACUUGCUAAUUACACAAUUAAUUUAUCUAAAUCACAUCACAAUUGACUAAUAAUUGCUAAUUUAUUCUAAUCUAACAACCUAAACAUAAUUAAUUAAAUCUAAACCAGCUUAAAGCAUAAUUAGCCACUAAUCCUGGAUUAGUGAGAUUACUCACCAAAUCGCACGCAAAUCGGAUCAAUCCGACGGCGGCGACGCGAGGAACGAUUGUUCCCAAAGCGACUCGCGGAUCCGGGGCCCGGAAACGGCCCAAAAGCGGGCCCGAAGUUGCUGAAACCCACUCCGUGGGUCUGCUGGUCGAGGCCGAACGGAGCUGCUCCGGCAGCUAGGGCGGCGAGGGGAGGCCGGCGGAGGGCGCGGGGGACGAGGGGGAGGUCCGGCGGGGUUAGGCGGUGGCCGGAGGUGGCCGGACGGUGGCUGGUCGGUGCUGGAACAGGGGCGAACGGCAGCUGGUUCGCUCGGCUUGGGCGCGCGCGGACAGCGGGACGGCUGGGCGCGGGCGGCGGUGCGGCGGUGCGACGGCGGGACGAGCGGCAACCGUGCGGCUUCUUCUUCUUCGUUUCUGGUUCGCCGAUUCCAAGAAGAAGAAAGCAGGAGAAGAAGAAAGAAGGGGGUGGGUUCGGUCACGUGGGAAAAAAGUGGGAGAGAAGAGAGAGGAGAGAGAGGGAAGAGAUAAGGGAGAGAAAAGUGAGUGGGUGGGGGCUAUUCGCACGAGGGGAAAGGGAAAGGGGAAAGGAGAGAGAGAGAGAGAAAAAGAAAAAGAAAGAAAAGAAAAGAGAGGGAGAGAGAGGAAAAAGAAAAGGAAAUGUAUAAUUCCUUAUUUAAAUUUUCCUUUUCUCUUUUCCUUUUCUUUUGGGCUUCAAAUUUUCUUCCGACAAUUUCUUUAAUGAAAUUUCGGACUCGUCAAUAAAUUGACGAGCGAUGAGACAGGAUCCUAAAAAUAAGAAUUAUGACGCGCUUAAAAUUCGAUUCCCGAAAUCGAGUUCAAUUUCGUGGUUAAAAAUCGAUCGGACGUGAUUUUAGCUCAAUCUAACCAAUUAGGUAGCUUUUAGGGAUUUUACAGCUGAUACAUCCCUUAACGGCUUCACCCAAUAGGUUAGUUAACUCGUGAGUGAUCAGCUCAGAGAAAAAGGCCAUAGGCACGCCGACGAAAUGCCCAUUUCACUUUAUCGAAACGGGGUCGAAUUUCAGGAUGUCACAGAAUGUGUCUUCAAAGGUCAUAGCACUAUGGUUCUCAUACUGGAAUUUUACAACAUAAUCAACUCAUUGUUGUAAUUGUGAAUAAGCCAAACUCUGUAUUGAUAUGCUUAUGUUCAGUUUAUUUUCCAAGCAAGGUGUGCUUCUUGGAAGGAUUUGCUAAUGUUACGGAGAAGUUAUAGAAUGAAGAAAGAACUUCACUUGGGCAGCGGCAUCAAUGUUAGUGCAGCAAAAUUUCCAUCUGUGACGAGAGAAUAGACCUAUCUAGCUUCUCCAAGGUAUAAUAAGUCGUCAUAAUGUUAGGCUAAAUUUCAGUAUUAUCAGUGCAUAUGAUAAGUCUCACUUGGGGUCUGAAAUCAUGUAAAUCGACCCUUGUGUGAUCUCCAUCACUGCCUCCACUUUCUCGAAAUGGUUAUGCCUAGGUGGCUAUCAGUAAUGGAAGCUCUUUUAUUCACCUCAAGUUUUACUAGAUGACUCUUUUUGGUUUAAGGAUCGACAAGAAGUGCUAAGGGAGACAUACGACUGGCUUUUUGCUGGUUUCUAAUGUUGAUGAGAGAUAUUGAAGUCUAAGAAACUUACAAAAAUCUUUCUAUGCAGGGAGCUGUGGCGUUUUUGGGCAGUUGUAUAGAUGGAGACCAAAGCAAAAGGCAGAUGAUGGAUGAAACUUGAAGCUGACCGUAUUCCCUCUCAUAAUCUUGGGGUGGUAAACACUGUAUUCGUCUGUUUUGGGGGGGGGGGGGGAAAAGGGCUAUUUAGGCAAAUCUGAUUGUGUUUUUUCCUUUAUUGUGGGCCCUCAAAAAUGAUUAUUACAUUUCAUCUAAUGGGUGUUAUGUUCAUUGUUAUGCCUUAAAACUUGCUUAUCAGUACCCAGAUGUUCUUCUUUGAGAAAACACUUGUAGGCCAUGUCUGGACCGGGAGAAAAGUUGUGUUCUUAGAGUGGUGCUCGAGGUAGUCUUAGUUGCUCCUGCCAAAUCCAGUUCAUGGACCUCUCGAUGUGAAAAUGGUGCUCAAGGUAGUCUUAGUCAUGAGUUGUAGGCACUCACAACACAAGAAACAUGGAUUGUUGGAAGUCAUGGAAUGGGCCAUGCUGGAGAGACGACUCUUGCCUAGCUCAUCUACAAUCAUCUUGCACAUGGUUGUGAGCACUGCUGCAUUUUUUCUAACAUCUGUGGAACUCCAGAGCUCAAGGACAUUCAGUUCUUGCGGAAUUACUCAUCUCCAAUAUCCUCAAAAGGAAGUUGACAAAAAUAAGUAAUGUUCGUGAAGGGAUCAAGACAAUUAAAUAUAGGCUUUUCAGUAAAAGAGUUCUCGUCCUUUUUGAUGUUGUUGACCAGAAGAAUCAAUUGAAUGCAGUCAUGGGUAACAUUUGUGAUAUUCGAGCAUUCUGAAUUCUUCAAUGGGGAAUAUCAAGCGCUGAAGGAUCUUGAAAUUCUCAGUGCUUUUUGUUCGUAAUAUCAGUGCUUUUUGUUGAUCAAAGGCACUGCCAUCCUUUAUGUGAGUUAAUCAGGUUGAAAUAGUUUGUAGAAAGGGAUAACAUGUGUGAGGCCUCCGAUCGUUUCCACUUGAAGAGUUUCAAAUCAUGCAAUGUCUGGCUUGCUUAAAAGAUUCAGCCAUUUCCUGAAAAAUUUAGAAGAAAAUUUCACCAGAGGAGUUCAUUUUCCAAUAAGAAUUGCAUGUGGUACUUGAAGGUCCUGCAUCCACAACUAAGUCUGCUGUCGAGGAAGAUUUGAAACUUAAUUGCUUAUUGCCCCAUGUCAUCUCAGCAGAACUUCAUUGUUGUCUUUCUUGGGAUCGUUAUCAGUUAUACAUAAAUUACAACCACACCUUGGCAAGUUGACUUGAAAUAUAUUGUUCUUGUAGGUAUAGUUAUUCGUGGCUGAUUUUGCAAUCGUUUCCUGCCUUUAAGAUGGAUCGUUGUAACCUGCCUAUGAAAUGGGACAAUGAUUUCUUCUGAUCUAUUCCGUGAGUUUGAUUUGGUUUAGAUAUAUUACUUUUUGACAUUUUUGGUUGGCUAAUUGAGUUACCAGUAAAAGAUGAUUCAAAUUGAUGCUAGUGUUACUACAUUCAAAUGCAUUAUAGUGUUAAUACAUUUUUCUUUUGAUUGGCGAUUAGAGUGUUACUACAUUCAAGUGCAGUACUUUUGUCAAUUUAUGCAUUGGUCAUUUAUGCGAGAGCCAUGGAGCUUGCUGGUUUGUACUUUAAAUUUGAACCUUGCAACCCUGUCUUGUAAAACUCAACUUUGUUAUUCCUUAAACCAUGAAGAAUAUAGUCAAAUGUAUAGGUUUUAAUAUGUGACUAAAGCUCUUUCAUUCACUUUUGGUUACCUAGGAAUGGAGCUUUAGGUUUUGGUAAGGAGAAUCAUUAAACGACAAAAGAGUCCUAUAUGACGGCUUGAGCUCUUCCUCUCGGUAAUAAGUAAGAAAGACUUAAGGGUUCUUUCUGUAAAGGCAAACUACCCCCAGCAUAGUUACUAGUAUAUUCGAUGACCGUAUAUCUUUCCUAACAUUUUGGUGCAAUACUUCGACUUUUACUGUAAUGUACAAACUCCAAUAUAUCAUGCAAUGUCAAGGACUUUACUGAUUUCUUGCACAAUGUGCUUUGAAUGGUCACAAUUGGCAAUUUAUGCUUUAAAAUGACGAAGGAAUUUUUGUUUUUUCCGAUUUCCACUAAUGUUUAGUCCGGCAUAUCAGAAAUAGAAGGUAAAAGCUUACAGCUCUCUUUCCAAAGGCCAAUCAGAUCAUUCCUACAUAUAAAUUGGUUAACAGUUGCAGUACUUGGUUGCGCCGAGAAAUCUUUUAUGUGCCAAUGAGCAAGUAGUAGAAGGUAAGGUCACUGAUUGAAAAGUGCUCUCCUUAGACAGUCUUUGUUUCACCUUACAAAACUGGUUAAUCGCAAGACCUUGCAAGUCUUACAGUUCCAGAAUUCACACACGUCUACCAAAUUUGUGAAGUUCAACACUGGUUCAACCCGCAAAAAUAGAAAAAUAUAAAUGAAGGAAAAAGGCAGCAUGAUUCAGCUCUUCAUAGAUCAGCACAGCAUCCACACAUCCCUUUAAGGUUUUAUCGAGUCCGGUAAACAAAGCCAUAGGCCUAAGAUUAAAUUGGCAGGUAAACUUGUGAGCGCAUUCAUUCAAUAGGUAUCACAGAGUUGUGUUUAUGAGGAUAUACAUUCAAUUUCAUGCUAUUAACAUUCCAAGUGAAUUUCAGUAGAAAUCCUAUUCAUCUUGUGAGGGACAUGGAAACAGAUUGAUGGAAUGCAUUACAUGAACAAACUUCAUCCGGAGCUGCCUAAUGAUCCUCAAGAAAUUAGGUGCUGACUUAGGAGCAUUUUAUGUUAAGUUACUCUUGGCAUCAGAGUCUUAACACAGCCUCAGUGCAGAAGCAGAAGGAUUCCUCAAAAGCAUAAGGUUUCCUUUGUCUUCACUUCCAUAUUCCUUCAAUCGUGGGUCCAUGACGAUUUUGCACAAUCCCCAUGUCUCCGCCAUUAAUUCCACACCAUAGUAGACUAAAUGGACCGUGAUGCUGUUACCAGUUACCAAGAUGCAGAAACACACUUUGAUUAGUCGUCCGUAGGUGUAUCUGGUAAUCAAGGACUGGCAUUCUCUUGAACAGGCUGGUCUGUCACAUGAUGACUUAUUGCACUUAGCCAUGAUAAAUCCAAAAAAUAAUUGCUUGUGACAGGUAGCUACGACUGAAACUACCUCCUUACCUGCUGCACAUUGGAUCUUCUCCAGAGUCAUCACAAACUUUCUCGACCUCAUAAACCAGACUACCAAAUCCAAUAUCAUACAGCCUUACCUACAAAAAAGAGGAUUCCAAUUACAUGUGAACACCGACAUAGAAAUUAGUAAGAUUAUCUCACAUCAAUAUGUUAUCUGUGGCUGUCAUUGAGCUAGUUGCCAAUAAUAUAGGCACUAGUAGACAUACAUAAUUUAAAUGAGUAAUACCUUAUAAUUGCACAGAGCUUAAGACUAGGUCAUCAGCCAUCAUAGAGAGAGAGAGAGAGAGAGAGAGAGAGAGAGGGAGAAGGGGGGGGGGGGGGACAGGGAGGGAGAGGGAGGGAGGGAGAGAGAAAGAGAGAGUAAUACAUAUUAUUAAAUUUUGGAAUUGGUACGGGAAACUAUGAUAGCUUUACAGGAAUGAGAAGGGUUCCUUACAUAUUGUCAAAGAGGUCAUGAGUAUGAACUGCCCUGCUUUGUAAGAAGAUAAAACAAACAAAACUAUUCAAAUUAAUGUGCUGAAUAAAGUGAGUGCAAACAUUGCUGGAAAAAAUAAGACUUCUCCAGUUAAAUAGGUUGAAAUAAAUGCAAAGCAAACAUCAAAUGCAGUCAUCGAAAAUUCCUCAUAAUUUAUCUGAUAUUCUGUCAAGAUCAAAGUUAUACCACCCUAGGGAAGUGAUGGUAUGUCUUCAGUGGGAACCGAGAAUAGUACAGAGGCAAAUGAGGCACAAUAUUGUGUCCAUUAGUUAUACGUUAUUGUAUUUGGCAUGCUGUAGUAAGACACAAACAUUGCAUUGGCAAUAUGAGGUUGUCCAAAUGUCAAGUAAAUCAAGCGAGUGCUGGUCUGGAAAAAACAGCUUCUACUUGAACGUUAAUACUUUCACGAGGGGAAAACUACUAUGCAUCAAUAACCAUAAAUUGCAUUUCACAUACGAAGGUGAAUGAAUAGAACAGCCCUUAUCUCCAUGAGGGUUGGAGUUCUAGCAUUACUCUGUCUAGAUCCCAUCCAUAAUUUUCCCAAAACCAAACCCCACAGCCACAACAAAACCAACCACCCCACCCUCACCCCCAAGUAAAUUUACAACCAAGGUGCAUUUAGAUGCUCCUCCAGGAAGCACUUGGAUGCUGGUGGGGUCAGUCACAUCCUGCUAAUGACAUAAACAUUCCAGGUUCAUGGUGAAAUUACCCCUUGAACCCCAAAACUUACAUCAUUCAUAGUGAAAGAGAAACUAAAUCCUAAAAGGGCCAAAACGCAUGGAAAGGGCCAUGACGUAAACAAAAAAUUCUAGGUUCAUGGUGAAAUUGCCCCUUGAACCCCAAAACUUAACAGUCAUUAAUAGCGAAGGAGAAACUAAAUCUUAAAAAAUGCCACAAGACAUGGGUAUGAUGGCUCAGAACAAUUUUCAGCAAGAUAUCAGCAAACAAAAAUGACAUUUUAAAUCAUCCAAGUGUUCGGACAAGAUGCUACAAUUGCUACUAAUACUUCGCGAAAAGGUUUAGUUUAAAGUUCAUGCAAUCUAUGAUCCCAUUGUAGGCCAAGGGAAUGUCUGUAUAAUCUGAGUCCAAGACAAAGUUUGACCCUCAAAAAUCACAACUUGUCAUGGAGGAGAGAAUUAACGGGACAUGACGUAGGGGUGGGUACCAAUUCUGGUCCCAGUUCUGCAACAGGUGCUUGAAAGACUCUGGACCACUCUGUCCAAUAAAGCUGAGACAAAAAGCAUAAUUUAGACAUUUUAGAAUUGGGUCCAGCCUCUAACAUAUUUGGCCCCGUAGUCCGACUGAAAAGGAGCUGCUUCUUUUGGUUAGCAAGAGACAGACAGAAACAGCGUGCAGAACACAGAUUUAGGAUCAAUAUAUUCUAGUUUAAAAUGCCUUCACACUUCAAGAUUACAUGACAUAGAAUUUGAGCUUCAAGUGCUUGCAAAUGUUAUAUGUCGAACAUAUCAAUAAUCCCAUUAAGUUUCCAGCAAGUAAACUUUGUAAUGAUUAGUUGGAAGUCUUUAUCCGCUAUAUUUAGGUAUUCGACCAACUUGAAGCUCCAUUGCUCAACAUGUAAGACUCAAUUCAAACAACUAGAUACAUAGACCAUAGGAGACUCAGGUAAAGGGUUGUUUGCAACCCAUCCUGCUUGUGUUUUGUCUAUAGGUUGAUUUGCCAAAAGAGGGGAAAAAAGAAAAGAAGAUGCUGACCAAUUGCAAAUAUAAAUAUGAAGCCAUAGAAAGUUCAAGACAUCAAUAUAUGAAAUUGACAGAAAUUGCCAGAGAACCAUUAACAGACCAAAACUGAAUAAAUGGAAGGACACAAUAGAGAAGAACCAAUAUCCGAACCUGCCAAACAAUAAUAACAACAAGCUCUAGGUUAAUGGGAAAGUCUUUAUAAGGAACACUUAAUAGCAGAUGCAUAAUCCCCCACCAUCAUCGCAAGAGUGUGAUUGUAAACAGCUUUAUGAGCCUUGGGGCUCACUCUAAGUUUUGCAUUUACCAGUAAAAAAAGUUCAGAUUGAAAAUGAACUCACAAGCUCAUUCAAUUACAAGCAGCGAAGCAACUCUCUUAUGUCUCUAGCAAGCUAUUUCAAUGAAUCAAGUUAGCGGAACACUUUAAGGAAACAUCAACUCAAAAAAAUAUUUAAGUAUAUUUAUGCCAUCCUUGUUCAUGAACUUAGAGAACUAUAUCUUCAAUGCAAUGUGAUGAAAGGGGAAUAAGUAAACAACAUAAGGCUCCCCUUUCCAUUACUCGACUGGAGAAAAUAGUCAAACAUUGUGAGAUACUCGACAAAUUUUAUCCCUGAAGUAGAGACGGCAGGGUGAAAUUUUUUUUGUUGAACAAAUAGAAGGAAUUUCGAUCGAUCUGACCCUAUUCCAGUGAUAGCAUCGAUCCAAAUACAACACAACACUCUCAAUCAUACGCUUUGAAAACAUCCAGAUCUACACCAGAGGGAUCAUUCAGCUAUAGUAUGCCCGACUCAAUCAGGCACUACAGCUCCGCAACACAGUCAAACGAUUUCCCCCAACCCUGAAAUGCCUAAUCUGCCGAAUUCACUACACAAACCUCACUUCCCCAGGCUCAAAACCGACGUACUCGAUACUAGAGCCUGUCUAUACCAACCUCAUCACGAUCCAGACUCCCGUCCGAAUCAAGUCAGAGGAUCACAACCGUAACUGAUUACAUGAACCGCGACCUAUUCCGCUCCACAUCCUGCAAGAGAAAUUCCAAUCUCCGCAACCUUUCCAUAUACGCAAAAUGAUCGCGCGCGAUCAAAUGGCGCAAUCGCCCGGUGAGACGGAGAGGUCGAUUGCGGUCUUCAUCCGUAUUGCUCGAAUUCAAAACCUCCGGCAACUUGGGGAGAAAGGAAGGAGGGGGAUGAUGGAUUUACAAAUUGUCCUUAUCUGCCCUCGGUCGCUUGCUCUGUUGGCGGCCAUAUUCGGUAAGUUCGGUGAUUUUGUGGUUUCCGUGAGGGCAACGAAGGAAGUUUCGCUAAAAUGAGACGCGCUCCAGGGCAAAUUCCCGUUCCCUCCGUCUCCCCUCUUAUGGCGCUUCGUCUAAUGUCUUUCAAUUGAAAACAGCAAAAGUCACAAAAUGUCAUUUUAAAGAUAUCAAAAAAGCGUGAAUGAUUUUUUUAAAAUCAAAUUUUAUAGAAAUCAAUAUUCAAAUCUCUUCCUUAUUGGUGACGUAAACACAUCAAUCCCUCAUUCGACUCAAGUCACAUUUUACAAGUACAAAGCAAAUUCAUAAAUCACUCUUUUUUUUUUUAUCGGGUUGAUGCACCACUCAUUCACUUUCAAAGGAGAAAAGAAUAAAAUUGAACAUGAAAAAGUUGCAGUCGCAAUCCAAGCACGAUGACCCAGUGAUGGAGGGAUCACCCCAUCUUUCACUAAUUUACGAGUUCAAAUCAUGUCGCAAGCGAACAUUUCACAAUGUUAUGUGAAAUUUUUUUCAAGCUUUUGCUAUAUUAGUUACAAUGAUGGGGUUGCAUACUUACAGAUAGAACGAGUGGUUAUGACUCAAACGAGAUAUUCCGUAACGGAUACAAUAUUUUUAUGUAAUGAUAAGAAUGCAUAAUUGUAUUGAACAUCUCCUUCGCACAUUUUUUUUUUUUCAAUUUAUCAGAGGAAAAAAAUCGCAAUCCAUCAUGGCUCGGGCGGGAAGGCUGAGUCGGACCAUCCCCAAUCCUCGUGCAUCUCAACGAUUGUUGUUUCCGCUGAGUUGACCACUUGUGCUAGUGCAAAACGAUUGACCACUUGAGGUUGCCCUAUGUGGUGACAGUUGCUAUCAUUGUUGUUUCUGCUGUUCUUUUCAAAGAUUUCUUCCAGACAAGACUAAGCAUGAGUAAGAUCACUGAAAGAGGGCAGUCCAAAUAAUGAUGCUGCUAUAAACCAUUGAGUAGCGUGAACGGUGAACUGACUGAAUAAAAUAAUGAAACCAGUAUACCUCGGUUAGUACCUCUCGGAGGACUUUCACAUGAACAAAAAAAUGUUUGCAAGAGCUACCGGUGUGAACCCCCCACCAAUUAGCCAGGGGUGCAUGAUUUUUGGGGGAAAAAGUCAUGUCGACUAACUUGCUAGACAUUGACUUCAUUCGAUUCGUAUGCUGGUUUUAGCAGACAAACAUCAACAAUCUCUAUCUCAAAGGAUAAUUCCCAGAUGGAAGGGAAAGAUUGACAUGGACUUCUGCCUUCAAAGGGAUUGCUGUAGGACCUCAAUUCAGUUCGGUCAGGUGGACCUUUCGAUGAUGAAAUGGUGCUGUUAGAUGCUAGAUUUCAGGUACACAUGAACUUUAGAAAGAUUGAUCUCCACCACCUCCCAAAGGAGCCUGGUAAAAAAUGGAACGUUUGAGAGAACCCUUGAUCGAUGGGACAUCAAUAAAGCAUAUGCCUGAAUGUCCAGGAUUGAAGAGUGCACAAAUUCUCUGUGCUUGCCAUCGUUCCUACUGACUACAAAGCCUUCAAUCAGUCACCUGACUUCCCCAUAGAGCUUUCUCUGCAUGGAGCUGGGAUCACGAGAAGCUAUCCAGCCCGAUUGGAUCCCUUGUAAGCCUUAUACACUAGUCUUCCAGAAACUGCAAGUCAAUAAAGACACUACUGGACUCAAUCUGGAAUUUGGAAUCACUUGCUGAGUUCGAUAAAUUGAACAUGGACAUAGAGAAGCUGCCUGGUUUGGCCAGGAACGUAUGUUUGCAAAUACAUACGUUUAUCUAGCCCAGUAGUCUGAAACCGAAGAGGAGCUGCUUCAUUUGAUUAGAGAGAGACAGACAGAAACAGCGCACAAAACACAAAUUUAGGAUCGAUAUAUAACCUAUCUUAUAAUGCAUUAGCACUUUAAGAUUAUGAGACAUAAAAUUUGAGUUUCAAGUGCCUAAAAAUGAUAUAUGUCCGGACCAUAAACAUAUUAACAAUCCCAUAAAAUUUCCAGCAAGUAAAUUGUGUAAUGAAAACAAGCCAAAAGAAGAGAGAGAAAACUUUGUAAUGAAUGGUUGGAUGUCUUUACCUGCUACGUUUAAGUAUUCAACCAACUCGAAGCUCCAAAGCUUAAAAUGUAUGACUCAAUUCACACAACUAGAGACUUCAAUAAUUGGUGGUCCGCAUAAAGGGCUGUUUGCACCCCAUUCUGCUUGUGUUUUGUCUAUGGGUUGAUUUACCCAAAAUGUAAGAAAACAAGAUGCUAUGCAUGACGAUUGUAAAUAUGAAUACGAGAGCCAUAGAAAGUUCAAGAUCCACAUGAAGAGUCUAGAAUCUUCAAUGUAGAGUUGGCAAAGAAUUCCAGAUAAAUGCUAACAGUCCAAAACUGAACAGUUGGAAGAACACAAUAGAAAAGAAACCAAUAAAAUUCACAAGUCCCAAGCAUAACAGUUUUUCAAUUUAUCUUACCACAAGAUCAAGUCCCCAAAAGGAUGCCGUUAGCCCCUCCCAUAGAAUGCCAUGUCACCAUGAUGUUGAUGUCUCUGUAUAAAUCCUUGGCUCUCAUAACAGCAUCCAAAAAUCUAGGUUGAAUUGUUGUAUUGUGAUAAACAUGAUAAAAUCAGUGAUGAGCCUAAGCAAAAGAUCAAUAGAGUAGGACUGUAACUCAAUCCGAAUCGGAAGUAUCCACAGGUGUAAGAGCCUUAUCAUCACUAGAACUCACCAUGGCACUAGGCAUGCCGGGGUAAUAUGUCAAGCUGUUUCCAAUAGAGAUCUUCAACCCAAUUUUGUAUGCUAUAGACAUUAAAUAGAAGUAAUCACUAAAUGAAAAGCUCAAAUGAUAAAAAGACGUGACAGAAUUUUUCACAGAACAAAAUUAGUGAAGUAUGUGAUCUCCUCAUGACUCCAUCUAAAAUUACAAGAAAGUAACUUCCUUGUCUUGGUGGAAAUGAUUGACCCCUUUUCUGUUCAUAUGGACAGCAGUCCCAUGUGCCUUGUGUAUGCAUUCAAUGAGGCUGCUCUUCUUAGCUUAAAUUUUCAUCAAAUCCUUUGCAUGUCAAUUGUAAGAGGAGGAAUCGCAAAAGGUAACAUGCAUACCUAUGUUCUUGGAAACCUCUGAAAGCAAUAACCAUAGCAUUAAGGUCCUUGGCCACCCCAACAUGUGCCUAUAUAUUAAAUAGUUUAAAAAUAGAGACAGAUAAUAAGAUGCAAUUCAAACAUAGAGGCAUCCCAAUCAUGCAAAUUGAUAGGCCACUGUAAAACGAUUCAUAUACCUGUAAGCAGUGCUAAAGGUCAUAAUCAGUUUAAUGACUUCGAACCCCUGCUUGCAUAUCAAAAAGGCAUUAAUAACCAGUUCGGAAGUUCAUAAGAUGAGGCUGCAUAUGCCCAAAAAAUCUCAUCUUAAGAAUUGGGUAUUUAGCACUAAAGAUCCAUUCUUCACACAACCUUAGCAACAAUGCUAUAUUAAAAAGGAGUCAAAUUACCUUGGUCUUUCCAUCACAUCUAGGGCAUGUCCAGCUAAAAAGUUCAGUCAAAUCUGACAUGUAAACCUGCAAUAAAGAGCUUUGCGUUAAAUUACAAUUUUAUUGUAUUGAAAUGGUGAAACCUAAUGCGUAACAACAACAAGCUCUAUGUAAAUGUGAAUUUUUUUUUAAAGAACACUUAUGGCUGAUGCAUACUCCACCAAUAUCGUGGCAAGAGUGUGAUUGUAAACAGCUUUAUGAGCCUUGGACCUCACUUUUAAUUCUGCAUUUACCAGUACAUAAAAUUUCAGAUUAAAAUGCGGUCUCAAGCUCAUUCAAUCACAAGCAAUGAAUCAAGUUUCUUAUGUCUCUAACAAGCCAUAAUGACAAAUCAAGUGAGGGGAACACUUUAAGGAAACAUCAACUCAAAACAACAUUCAGUAUAUUUUUGCAGUCCUUUGUGAACCAAAAGAAGUAUUUACACAAUCCAGUACAAUGCAGGAGGAAUAUGUAAACAACGUUAAGGCUCCACUUUCCCACAAAGUUACUCCACUAAAACCUACAGGCUACAGCCAUAACUCAACUGAACAAAAGCUGAACAGCUGUUAUUCAAUCACCGUAUGACACUCAACAAUUUUUUUCUUCAGAGUAGAAACAGCAGAGUGUGAUCUGUACCGAACAAAUAUGAGGAAAUUCGAUCAAUCUGACCAUAUUCCAAUUAUAGCAUUGAUCCAAACUCAGUAAUCUAAGGUAUUAACAGGAGCGACCAAGUACAACUUGACACUCAUCAGUUACAUGAAUUGAAAGCUGCCAAUUGUACACCAAAGGGAUCAUAUGGCUAUAGUUUGCCCCAUUCAAUCAGGUACUACAACUCCACGACAGAGUCAACAAUUCCCCCCAACCAUGAAACACCUAAUCUGCCAAAUUCACAAUACAAAUCUCAAUGUCUAACCUCAAAACCGACGUACUCGACGCUAGAGCCUGUCUAUUCGCACCUCAUCACUCUCAAAACUCCCAAUCCAAAUUGAUUACAUGAACGCGAAUAGCGAUCACCUCUCACCCCACUUGCGGCAAUCAAGCAUGUCAAAACCACUGUUGCCCUCAACCGCGACUCGUUCUGCUCCAUAUUCUUUACAAUCUUUCCCAAUUUGCCCUUGGGAUCUUCUUCCGUUGGCGGCCAUGUUCGGCGUCGCGUUCCGUGAUUUCGUCGUUUGUGAGAGGGCACUGAAGGAAGUUCCGCCGAAAUCAGGACGUUUUACGAAGACUCGCACGGCGACGUCCACAUGAAUUUAGGUACACAUUAAUUUACAAAGAUUAGCAAUAAUUUGUGAAGUUGUGGUUAUGAGUGAAUUAAGUUAGCAAGAAAGUGCAAUGUUCUUUUAUAUGGUUUGAUUUCAGUUUCUGAUUUCUAUUUCAGAAACUGAAAAGUUAAAAAUUUCAGCUUCUGAUUUCUUCAAUUUUUCUAUUUCUGGAAUAGAAAUCUGUUUCAGAAAUAAAGAAAUCAAAUUGCAUUACCAAACGGAAUCCUGUUUUAAACCUAUUCCAGGGAACAGAGAAACAGAGAAAUCAAGAAACAAAAAUUUUGUCAUGCGCGCCCUUAGCCAAGAGAACAAGACGUGCUUUUUUGGGGUUCGAUCUUCUCUCUUUUGGAGAUUUCCCUCCCUUCGACGUCUCCACAUCAGCAUUUUGACUGGGCUGGGUUCAAUUUAGUUGGUUCACACUAAAUUUUAAAGAACGUGCUAAAUUAAAGUUAAUAUUAUCUAUCAUUUUAUUUAUAACCAAGGAGAUACGCGAAAAUGCAAUUGGUCCAUUAUGGCCGCAAGCUUCUUGAGUUAAGUGUUUUCAUAUUCAUCAUCAAAUUGAUCUAGCACGCAACUUGUUCAAAUUUUAACAAAAUAUAAUUGAACUCAAGUGAUCGACAAGUUAAGCUUAAUUGUGAAUUACAGAACCCACUUGUCUUGGGGCAACUUGGUAUUGUGUAUUAAUUCUCAAAUACUAUCUCUGAAUACUUAUGUUGAACUGGAUUUUUUUAUAGAUAAAAGUACCCAUAGCUUUUUUAAAUUGAGUUAUUUUGUCUAAAAUUUUUUGGACUAUUAUGAGGCGAAUACAGUUGGAACAAGACGACCUAAAAAUCAUGGUAUUAUCAUCCAUAAUUGCUUGAUUGAAUAUAUGAGUCAUACAAUUGUCGAGAUUGACUACUUUACAAGUCAAAGAACAUGAAAUGAAAGAAAACGUCCAUAAACUUUGAGAACGAAAGUUAAUAGGAUUUUUCACCGGCCAUGUGAGAAGUAAAAAGAGCGGGUAACCUCUGAAAAUGCAAGUCACAAAUGAAUGUUUUUAAGAACGCAAAUGGUGUCAAUAAAGUUAUUUUUAUUUCGCAUUUAGCUCACAAGAAUAGCACAAAAUAAAAAUCCCAAUGCAUGGUAUGCGCCAUGUUUGGUGGCUUUGGCAAUUUAUAGUUCUAGUGGCAUAUACUAAUAAAUUAGUUCACGAAACAAACGUGAACAUGAAGAAAAGUGAAAUUUAUGAGAUAUUAUUGUGAAGAGUAAGAUGAUCAAUUUUAUAGAGAUCAAUCUUCAAAUCUUUUCAUUCAAGUUAAGUCAAAUUUUAACCACGCAUUUUUUUUUUGUAGGGUCAUGCAUUGCUCAUUUACUUUGAAAAGAAAUAAAAUUGAGCUUGAAAAAUUCUCAACCCACGCCCAAGCGUGGUAACGCAAUGGUGAAGAAAUCGCGCCAUCUUCCGGAGCAUAUAACCUCUUACAUUUUGUGGAUUUGCUACCUCAAGUAGAAAGACUAGACUUUUAGCAUAUCAAUAGGGCUACAAUGAUAUAAAUAAAUAAAAAAAGUAGGGAAAAAAAAAGGAAAAUUGAAAAAUCAAGGGUUAAUAUCCUGAAAAACCUCAAACUGGUACACUUGUGACAAAUUUACCUCAAACUAUUUUUUUGACCACCAAAAACCCCAAACUGGUGUACCUUUGACAAAUUUACCCCAAGCUGGUACACUUGUGACAAAUUUACCCUCCGUUAGUUUUCGUGAAAUUUUACUAUUAAAUUAUUAAGUUAAAUGACAUGUGACAAUUAACUAGUAUACCAAUUUGAGAUUUUAUGCUUUGUUUAUCACAGUUUACAAUUUUUGUGAUUUUUUUGUGAUAUUAAUACAAUUUAGCGGGGGAUAUAUUUGUCACAAAUUUACUAGUUUUGAGUUUUUUGUGGCCAAAUAAAUUAGUUUGAGGUAAAUUUGUCAUAAAUGUACCAAUUUAGGAUUUUUUUUUAUAGUUAGUCGGGGUAAAUUUAUCACAGGUAUACCAGUUUAGAGUUUUUUAUGGUCAAAAAAAUAGUUUGGGAUAAAUUUGUCACAGGUGUACCAGUUUGGGGUUUUUCAGGGUAUUAACCCAAAAAUGAAACUGAACUAAACCAAAUUUUCAGUUCGGGUCAUAUUCAAUUUAGGUUGCGAUUCAUUUCGGUUCGGAUUCCUUGAAAAUGCGAAUUGAACCAAACCAUCGACAUCCUAAGUUACAAUGAUAGACUCAUACACCUAGUGUUGGAUUGAGUUGAUAUGCUCAAACGGAACCUUCCGUAACUAGUGUACUCCCUUGGUGGCGACACAAGAAUGAGUAAUUGUACUUCCUAAAUUUUUUUAUUUUAUUAAAAAUAAAUUCGCAAAAAUCGUGACCGGUGCAGCGAGGCCAGGUCAGACCAAUCCUCGAGCCGUGGGUCCAUCUAAUGCACAAGUCAAUCCUGGCUUGAAUUCCCGCGGGGGGAAACGAAAGUACUUCUUCCCUACUCUUAUUUUUUUUUUUGGUCUAACAUAAAAUUUCAUUCACUCAGAAGAGCAAGGAACACAUGAUUCAAGGCAUAACACAUGGCGACCCCGAUCCAUGGAUACUUUUGUGCUAAUAUAACCUCACAGAACAUAUAUCUAUACGUAUAUACUUUUGUCUUAUCAGACUUCAUGCUGCGCAAUGCAUUAGUAGAGCGGAGGAUCGAUACAGCAAGCGCCAAUCUGCAGAACCGAAUGAAGACCGGGGGUUUUCCCCAUUUUUUUUGGACAUUUCCUUGUGAUUAAAAGCUUCAUCGAUCACCUCACAACAUAAACAAAGUGGGGAACGAUGGCGAAUAGAGCCUAUCUAUCUUGCUCUGUUUCUGUCUUCACAUACACUGACUUCUUAAGUUGGCAAGGACUUCCAUUCGUCUGGAAUGUUGUGGUUAAGAUACUUGUGGUUAAAAAAAAGAUAGGCUUUUGCUUUUGGUUUUCUAUAUUUUGAAAUUAGUGUUUUACCCAAAACCGUAAUUCAUAAGGAAAGGUUCUUGUUAAUGAAUGUCUUGGGGCAUUUGUAAGCACGCUUAAGGAGGAAAUUUUUUAUUUCCGGAGUAUUGAUUACACAUAAAAUAAGAAAAAACAAUGUACGAGAAAAUUGUAGUAUUUUUAUUAUUGAGUUACUUAACAAGUGUCCUAGGGGCACUAUUCAACAAAAUCCCUGAGAAAAAGAUUCCACGAUGCCUCACAUGCAAGCCGAUCUUUACAUAUGAAGCAAAUAAUCUAUGCGUCAAUUGGAUGCAGGAAAGGCAUUUAAACAGAGGUAGCAAGAUAGAAGAAAAAGAGGGAGCGCCAGGAUUUAAAAUCGUAACAUGCGUUAUGAUACCAAUUUUUAUAACCCAUUUUUGUCCAAAAGCCUACACCGGAAACAAACAAGUUCGUAAUGUGUGUAUUGCAUAUUGAUCUUUAAAGAUGCUCCGCUUAAUAGCGAAAAAAUAUACUUCCGAGAUAUGUCUAUCUUAAAGAUCUUAAGUUGGUCAUCUCUUAUGUAUAUGAAAUCCAAAUGCCUGAUUGUUUUUUGUGAAUGAAUUUGCAGGCUACCCAGGCAAUCUGCAAGCUUGGUGAAGUAUUGGGUGAAUCCCUGUCUCCUAGUCAUCAAGUUUUGCGCAUAUCUCUUAUGGAAGGACUUCCAGGUCGAUUAUGGGAGGUAGGAAAUGUCUUGGACUUUUUUACAGGAGAGGUGAUGUGUAGUUUGUCUUCUAAAGUACUAGCGCAAUGGCAUGGAACUAGAAUAGCAGGAAUAAAGGCUGAAUUAUGUCACAUACUAUACCAGUUAAACUUCUUUGCCUUCUUAUGACAAAAGAUAAUAAUAAUAAUAAUAAUAAUAAUAAUAAUAAAAACAACUUCCUUGCCUUCUCAGAUGUUAAUCCGUCAAUUCCUUCCUACAAUAUUGUAGGGGAAGGAGGCUCUCUUGUUUGCCUUGGGUGCUCUUUCAAAGUCUUGCCAUCAAGCCAUCUCCAAGGAAGAUCCCAACGCUGCUGGUUCUAUUCUGGAUUUGCUAUCCUCUGCAUGCACAAAAAAGGACAAGAAAUACCGGGAAGCAGUACUGUUCAGCCUUGAUCAGGUAAUUCCAGAUUAUUGUGUGUUCGCGAAUGCAAUUGUCUUCAAUUAGAAAAUGUUGGGCUUUUACGAGCUCUCACGUCAAGAAACUUUCCAGCCGUACAUUGUUCGGAAAGUGCUGUUUCAGGUUGAUUUCAUCUUUUUAAUUCCCAACUAAAAUCUGCCCCCGAUCAUCCCCCUUCCUCUCUAAUGAAGAUCUUGAAUUUUUCAUGGUUUUUCAGAUUAUAAAAGCAUUUGGCAAUCAUGAGUUUUUCAACAUGGUUUUUCCAAAAUUGUUUGACAUGUGCAGUUUAGGCACUUCUGACAAAUCUGGACAAGCACAUUCAGCAAAUGAUUCUGCUUAAUCAGGUUCAUCCAUAUUUCGGGCUUGUAACUGUCCAGCUUUCAGGAUUUUGAGUUGUCCUGCAUUGCAACCUUUGAAUUCCAUAUCAUAACUUUCUCUCGUUGUUAUGGACUGUCUACCAUCUUAACUAAGAGAUUAAUUUCGGUAUGAUGUCGUGAAUGACCCUAUAUAUAUUCUGACGUCUAAAGAAACUACGUCAGGUUCCUUCAUUGGAGGGUGACUCUUUCAUCUUUCUUUGCGUAAGAAGAUCAUUACCUCGAUCUUUCCUUACUACUUUUGAAGAUAUGCUUUUCUUUGCUGAUCAAGCACCUAUUCUCAAAAACAUGAUCAUUCGACGUGUUUAGCGUUAUUGCAUAAAGUAAGAUUUGUCAAAAAUUUUGAGGAAGUUCGACUCCUAGGUGAACAUCUACUGGUAAAAUAAUCUGAAUUUUUGAAAAUUGCGAGUGUUCUAAGAAAAAGGAUCCAAAAGUCUAAUGCUAAGCUUCUUAUUCUAAUGUAUUAGACAUUAGCAAUUCAAACCCAAUCGAGGUGAUGACGUGAAUAGCAAAGCAUUUGUUUCUUUAACAUUAUAACUUGUUGGGGCUUCAAAGCUUGCUUGGCUAAUUCAAAUGCGCUUGGAUUUUGGCUUGUUAACUCAGGUUAUAGCUGACCAAAAAAAAAAAUCAAAUUAUAGCAGUAAGAGUGAUAAAAGAAGAUAAGAAAACGAUGGAAAAUGAGGAAAAAAGAAAGUGCUAUUUCUUUCUAUGUUUAAUUACAUUAAAUUUGAAGGAAAAAAAAUUAUGUCAAAUGUUCAAGGAUAAAACGUAUGCUCGUGUGCAUGAAUGGCCAUCUAAUCAACGGAAAAUAUCACUUAACUUAUAAAUUUGAUUUAUUGAAAAUCAUCAAAAUUAAAAACCCAAGAAUAUAAACAAAAAGCACCUGGAUUAUUUCUUAGUUUCGUAUGUUGAUCUUUAUUCAUUCUAAAGUCCUUUUUUUUUUUAUUUGCAUGUUGGGGAAAAGGACUUUUGUGCAAUUAUUCAAGGCUAAACAACCAUUUGGCCAGAUGAUUCUUAAUUUGUCAUGAUAUCCUACAUUGUGUAAAAUUUUCAAUAGUUAGCAAAUUUGACAACAAUAUCAACUUUUUUUUCUGUUUGGAUUACUCGUAGCAGAUUCAAAGAAGAUUUGACAUGAAGUUGGACGCCUAUAAUGUGUGAAACUCAUGCUUUCUUUUACUGUGAAAAUGCAAUUUUACACGACAUUGCCUACAGAUUAGAGACUCUGAUGUCCCUCUAGCACUGAAAACACAAAGUACAUAGUAGGAGCAUGUUCGUCAAACUAGAAAAGUCUUUAUUUAGUUGUGUGAAUAAUAUGAAACAUAAGAAAAAGUAAAAAACAAAAAGCAGUUCAUUUUCCCAUUCGAGAGGAAAUUAAUAUGUUGGUCCAAGGGGGAAGCAAUUUUCUGAUAUCUUUCUCUCUCUUCUUUCGUCUCUCUUAUUACUACGUCCCAAAUAAAGCAAAACGAAGACCCAAUUAGAGAGUGGGGGGGUGGGCUUUUUGCAUUUGCGUUUGCAUCGGAGACGGGAUGGAUAGGCUCAUUUAAUUACAGCUUACAUAUUUACGUUUCUCUCUUUCUAAUCUAGAAUUAAGAGAAAGAUAAAAAUAAACACGCCAAUUGAAAUAGUUUGAUAUAAUUGUCCCAGUUUAUCUAGAAUAUAGUUAAGUGGAAAAAAAAAUACGAAUACUCAUGGAUAAGCGCAAGGUGCAUGAUUCCCCAUAUCUAUAGACUCUCUAACUGAGAGAGAGAGAGAUCUAUUACUUCCAAAAUUGAUUCUCCUUAGAAGUUUGUGAAAAUAAAAUGGUUUUCACUAUAUUAUAUAUAACUGAUGAUAACUCAAUUCAGACUGAGAGAUAGUAAAAUUUAUAAAUUUCGCUUAUUUGAUAUGACGUUGCUUUUCAAAUCACAUAUUAUCCCUAAUUCAUAAUACUAUCAUUAAGAAUAUUUUUGUGUUCCUUGAUGACUUCCUCUUUCCUCUUUUCAUCUUUCGUUGCGUGGCAUGGCGAGGCCACCUUGAGCGCGGCGGAAGAGAGUGACCACAUGAGAGGUCGACCGAAUAGCAGCACGGUUGUGCCAGAAGGCGGGCCAGAGACAGAGGGAAUUAUGGCUAUUUGUCAGUUUUUGGGUUCAAUAUUUUCUUAAUUAUCAUGGUCUGUAUUUUGCUUUUGGUGAAGUUGCUACAAAGCUUUUCAUGUUUGCUGGCUGGGAUAAUGGCAUCUAGUAAGCAAGGCCCAUUAAUGUGAAUUUUUGUUGACGCACAAGGCGGCCCUACUCAGAUUUGGGCAAGGCCACGAAAGGCCAGCGAGGACCUCACCCUCAUAUGGUGAUGGCCCCGCCCAGGCUCACCAUUCCAUUCUCUCUUUCUUUAGUUCCUCUCUUCUAUGCAUUGUAGAAGCACUGUAACAUCGGUCAAAGGCCCAUUUGACUUUAAAAGACUACUCUUUUCGGUUACAUAUGCCUACUCUUUUUUUUUUUUUUUUUCUCAAUUUGGCUUCACAAAUGGUGGAAGAGGAGAGCUCCAAUGAACCAAAGUUAUUGGGCCUUCAGAGUGUAGAACCAUUAGUCGCUCCGGAGACAAUAAUAUGUCUAGUUUGAUUGAACAUGCGGUCCUUAAUCUAAGUUUCUAAAUAUGCAGGCGUGGACUGUUGCCGUGAUGGAGGGGACAUUUCGCAAGAAAAAGAAAAAAGUGGCGUCUACAGUGGCAGAAGGAACAAGAGACAAUAGCAAUGCUGAUCCUGAAGAGGUACUUGAUUUGUGAAUAUGUUUGUGAGGCUGAAUAGAAAUGGUCGGGGAUGCAGAAGGGAAUGAUAAGAUCCAGAUUGGGGCGCAAGACCAUUGUGAUAGGGAUUACGUUAUGCUAGUCUUCAUGAAUUCCCGUUUCUCCAGAGAAAUGCACCAUGCCUAAGUGACUGUCAAUGGAUGAACUCAUUUCAUAAUUCAUGUCGGGUCAAUGCAAAGACUCUGCAGUCAAACAUUUGUAUUGUAACUGUAAACCAAGGCGUUCCUGGAUGAUUUUCUGGUGAAGUAGAAGCUCCUCUAGUGAAUAUUAACAGAAUCAUGUCUAUGUGAAGGAGGGAUCAUUCAAUUAUAAUUUGCCCCACUCAAUCAGGCACUACAGCACCACAACACGCUCAACGAUUCACUCCAACCCUGAAAUGCCUAACCAGCCAAAUUCACUACACAAAUCUCACUUCCCCAGGCCCAAAACCAACGUACUCGAUGCUAGAGCCGGUCUAUACGAACCUUAUCAUAAUCCAGACUCCCAAUGCGAAUCAAGUCAGAGGAUCACGACCGUAACUAAUUACAUGAACAAGAGUUGCAAUGAAGCAUUGUCAAAACCACCAUUGCCGUCAGCCACAACCUGUUCCACUCCAUAUUAUUCUGCAAGAGGGAAGGAUCGAACAGCAUCGUCGAGAAAAACACACGAUAUCGUGCAACAAAAGAAAUUCCAAUCUCCACAACCUUUCCUUCCAUAUACGCAAAACGGUCACGCGCGAUCGAAUGGCGCGAUCGCCUUGCGAGAUGGAGAGAUCGAUUGCGGUCUUUGUCCGUAUUGCUUGAAUUCAAACCUCGGAUUCUGGUCUCCCAGGUGAGUGGACUCUUAUAGUGAUUUUCGCGACGGAUGGCGAUCGAAAGCUCCAGCGACUUGGGGGCGGGGGGAAGGGGAGGAAGGACGGGGACGAUGGAUUUGCUGAUUUUCCUUAUUUGCACUCGGGCGCUUGCUCUGUUGGCGGGCGUAGUCGGUGUCACGUCCGGUGAUUUCGUCGUUUCUGUGAGGGCAAUGAAGGAAGUUUCGCUAAAAUGAGGCGUGCUCCUGGACAAAUUUCCGUUCUCUCUGUCUCUCUUCUUUUGGCGCUUCCUUUGACGUCUUUCAAAUGAGCACUUUUGACUCGGCUUGAUUUAAUUAGUGAGUUCAAACUAGAAUUACAAAAAAUGCACGAAAAUUAGAGUGAAUAUUACUUAACCAUUUAUUGAUAUUCGUCGAAGUAUACAAAGAUGCAGAUUACUCUAUUAUGAUAGCAAGCUUAUUGAGAUAAAUUUUUGCAAUCCCAAGCUCCAAUUCAUCUCAUAACUCGAAUUAUUCAAAAAUUUUCUUUUAUCGAUAUUAUUCAAACUUGAAAAGAAUGCAAUCCGACGUGCGUGAAAAGCAAGCGAAAAAUAUCAUAUUUCUAGAAAACAUUUUCUUGGAAGUCAUUUUCCUGGAAAAUGACUUUAGUUUCCAAUGUUCGGCCGAAACCUAAACUUUGAGUAUAAAAUAUUUUCUGCCGUUCGUUAGCUAAUUUAAUUGUUUGAGAAAAAUUAUCAAAAAUUGAAUUUUAAUAUUUUAAUUGACUAAAAAUUAGUUUUAUUUUUUAUAUUUUUUAAAUGAAUUUUUAAUUAUUUGUAUUAUUAAAAAAUCGAAAUUUUUAUUAUUUUUUCUUUCUUUUUCUUUUUCUUUUUUCCUUUUUCUUUUCCUUCCUUCUUCCUCCUCCUUCUUCCUUCCUCCUUCCUCCACCGCCGCAUGCCUGACGAUGGCCGGCUGCUUAGCAACCAACCAAGAUCCGAUCGCCAGAUCCGACGAGCUCAAGGCUCGGACGAUCUCCCUCGAGAUCGCUGGAGGUUCAUCGAGCUCUAGUGAGCUGCGAGCUCGCCAGAUCUGGCGGCGGAGCUCGGGCUCGCUUGGAUCGGGAGCUCAAGCUCCACCGCCAGAUCUGACAAGCUCGCGGCUCGCUAGAGCCCAACGAACCUCUAGUGAGCUUGGGCGAGGCCCGAGCCACGCCCAACUCGCUGGAUCUGGUGAGGCUAGAGCUCCGCCUCGCCCGAUCUGGCGAAGCUAGAGCUCCGCCUCGCCCGAUUUGGCGAGGCUCGAGCUUGUCGGGCUCGGGUGAGCUCGGCUUCCCCAGAUCGGGCUAGGUGGAGCCUCACCAGCUUGGAGCGAAGCCUCGCCUAGUUCGCAGCCACUCGCCGGCCUGGGUUUGAGCCUCGCCUGGCUCCCGAUUGCCGACCGGCAUCGUGGGCGCGCGACCGGCCAAGGCUAAGGAAGAAAGAUGUAAAGAAAAAAAGAAAAGAAAAAAGAAAAAGAAAGCAUAAAAAUAAAACAAAAAUGUGUUGGUGAAAAGAAAUAAGGUGGAAGAAGUUAUGGAAAAUGUUUUCCACUUUUGAAAAGUGGAAAACAUUUUCUUUGAGUAGUUAAUUUUCCGUGAAAUGAACACCGGAAAAUCCAAAAAAUGUUUUCCUGAAAGUUAUUUUCAGUAAAACGAACGGAGCCUUAAUGGAAGUGAAUUCGAUAGUUUUCUUUUUAGAUAAAUAUAUAUACAAUAGUUUGAGUUGAGUCGUUUUAUCUAGAAUUUACAAAAUAUUUAUAGCGAGAAUAUGACGAAUUGAUCACCAUAUUAUAAAAUGAUGCUAUCAUCAUCUCAUAAUUACUCGAUUGAUAAAUGAGUUGUACAAUCACGGGGAUUGAAAACUUUACUUUACGUGUAAAAGAUUUUUAAAUAAAAGAAAAAGGUCCAUAAUCUUUGAGAACAAAAGUCAUUGGACUUUUUGGGCAGGCUAAGUUUGAAGUAAAAAGAGUUGUAACCUCACGCAACAAAAGUCACAUGAUGUCAUUUUAAAAAUAUCAAAAAGAGUGAAUGAUUUUUUUUUUAAAUCGCAAUUAGCUCACACAAACAAAAUAAUAUAAGAACCACACCCCAAUGCGUAGUAUAUGUGAUGUUUGGUUGCUCUCACGGAUUUAGAUUCAUAAUCAAAUGAUUAUAAAAUCACUAGAAAAAUCAGUACACAAAAAAAAAAAAUGGAAGUUAAAGAAUAAGUGAAAUUCAAGAGAACUUAUUGGAAAGAGUAACCUAAUCAAUUUUAUAGAAACCAAUCUUCAAAUCUCUUCCUUUAUUGGUAACAUAUACGCAUAAUCCCUCAUUUGCCUUAAGUCAAAUUUUGUAAGCACAAGACAGAUUUAUAGCUCACUCCUUUUUUGGUCAAGCUCAUACACUGCUCAUUCACUUUGAAAGUAUAAAAAAACCAAAACUAAAAGUGAAAAAGUCACAUUCGCAAGCCAACCCCAAACCCAAGCACGAUGACCCAAUGGUAAAGGGAUCAUGCCAUCUUCCAUUAAUUCACUAGUUCGAAUCAUGUCACAAGUGAACUUUUCACUAGUUAGUAUUUCAGCAUUCACAACACUGAGUGGUUAUGGCUCAAAUGAGAUAUUUUGAGACAAACAUAACACUUUAUGUAAUGACAAGAAUGAAUAAUCAUUUUUGAUCAUCUCUUUCCACAUUUUUUAACUUAUCAAAAGUUCUCAUAAGCAACUGAAUAUGUUCUCCAAGCAUGAUAGGCUUGAGGUAAAAAGAUCAGGGAAAAUUUUAAAAAAGGACCGAAGUGCCCUCAUUUCUCAAAUAAGGAUCUGAAGUGGACUCUGUUUUAAAUAAAAACCCGAAGUGGCAUUGGUUGUUUCAAAUAAAGGCCUGACUUUAUCGAUCACCGGCUGGCUAAAUUUUUCGAUUGGUCAAGAGUGUUUUUGUCCAAAUUUUCUUCUCUUUUUUUCUCUUUUCUUCUUUUUUCUUUUUUAGCGUCGACUGACAAUUGCUAGCAAAGGCUAGCGAAGGCUUGACGACUAUCGCGGGCCAUUGGGAAGGGCUGGCGAGGGCCUGUAAGCACUCAUCGGCAGUGGGUGAGGACCUAAAAGCCCUCACGAAUGGCCACGGGGGGCAGCCUCUACUCGGGUGAGGCAUGUGAGGCCAUCCCUCGCUUGUGGCCGGCAUGGGUGGUCCUCGCCCAGUCCUCUGUGGGCAUCACUAGUGGCCGACUGGCCACCAUCGAAGAGGAAGAAGAAGAACCGGGAAAAAAAAAGGAAAGAAAAACAAAAAAGGAAGAAAAAAAAAUAUUAUACCUUGACUACUGGAAAGUCAAGCCCUUAUUUGAAACGGACAUAGCCACUUCAAACCUUAUGUGAAAGGGACACAAUCACUUAAUGCCCUUAUUUGAAAAAAUUAUGACACUUCACGUCCUUAUUUGAAACAAGAUCCACUUUGAGAUCUUAUUUAAGAAAAUGAGAGCACUUCGGGUCCAUUUUUGGAAUUUUUCCAAAAGAUCAUUUGAGAACCAAAACAUACAACAAAAUGAUUGUGUAAAUGAAAAGGUAAGUAGCAACAAUUGAAUGCAGAAGAAGAAUCAGAUGACCAUAUUAGCAAGAUAUAAAAUUUUGAACUUAGCACACAACUUGUGUAGAUAAAGCUCGCCAAAAUCAAGAGCCCUUGCACGCACACCUGCUUUUGUAACUUCCGGACAAAGGUCGCAGUUAAAAUUCUCAUGAAUUCGAAGAUUUGACAAUUUCUGUGAUGAAAGAAAAAACCAAGUUAAUUUAUCGACUACUCAAAAAUGAAAACUAUACUUCUCAAAUGGAGCCAGAGGUCAACUGACAAAUCUGCGUAAGUUCUGCAAGACAUCAGAGAGAAGCUUAAUAUCCUCUCUGUUCUUGCAAUUUUCAAUCAUUGACCACGUCCAUGCGUUUGGAGCCACUCUUUUUUUUUUCUUCAUAUUAAUGGAUUCAAGAAUUUUAUCAUACAUCUCCUUCACGGUCUCUGCACAAUAUGACAAGAACCAAAUAUCAGAGAAAGAACUACACAAUUUGUCAAGAAACAAAUUAGAUGGGGAAAAGGAAAAAACCUGUGGGUUCCUCCUUUUCAGCACUUGCUUCAGAAGAAUACUGUAAACUCGAAAUUAUCGAAUACAAGGCUGCAGGCAAUCUAUUGCCAUGAACCGGCCCUGGGAAUUCCAACAACAAUCACAUCAAAACCUUUCACUGCCAAGAGAAAUGCAGCUCCGUUUUGUAUCAACAAAUUAAUUCGACCUGGAACCAACAUUUAAGAACAUGAAGCAACUCAACUUGAAGAAACAGUUCGACGUGAUCAAUCCUAUUACAGAAUCACGUCUCCAACAUCAAAUACACAAAGCAAACACGAUGAACACAAUAAAAAUACGACAUCUCAAUUAAACAAGCACAAUCUCGACAGCAUAAUCAUCCCUCCACUUCAACUUGACUAAACCAGGUGCACAUUCCUCGUAUGAGUUACUCAUAAUUCUUCAUCAAUCAUCAAACGCCCCCCCACCCACCAUAUCCAGACAUCAAAAUCGACCUAAAAAAAGGCCCCGCUAACAAAGAACCAUCGCUCCGGCAUCUACAAUCCACGUCGAGAUCCCUCGGCAGCAAUAAACAAAAAAAUCCGACGGACGAGAAGCGCGGUACCUGCGAAACCGAGGGACUGAGCAGUAGAGGAGAAGGAGGAGCUGCGAUCUCGACAUGCUUGCACCCGAAUCCGAGCGCAUUCCGCGACUCGGCGGUCAUUCGGAGAGACGAAUCCAGCCGAGCUGACAUGAACCGGAGGCUUGAGAAUGCGAAAGAGCCUACGAGCUCUCGCGGCGGCGUGCAUAGCUCCGGCGCGAUCGAAGAAUCAACGAGCCGACGAGUUCCUCGCGCCGGAAGGUCCGUGCUGUUGCCGAGCGAGGUUUUUCGGCUGCUCAGGGUUUUGCGAGGAGGAAGAAGAAAUGAGGUAAUGUUCGCCUGCGGCGGCGUCUAUGGCCACUGACGGUGUGGAACAUUCAGAAAGCUUUUGCAAACGGCACUCUCAAAUGGAAAUGGACAAAUGUUUAGAAAUGCUUAUUAUUUAGCCUAAAAAUAAAUAAAUUAUGGCAAGUUGAGAGAAAUUUGAAUUCCGUUUGGGAAGCAAAGUCUUUGUGGGGUUAAUUGACAACAUCUGAUUAUCCAUUUUACUAACAUUAUUAUAAUUCAUCUUCACAAAAAAAAAAAAAAAACGAUAUCUAGCUUUCUAAGUUGAUAUUUUGGGAUUAAUUGGCUCAUUUUGAUUUAGUGGUUCAGGAGAGAAUUUGUACGUGUAUUUGGAAUAUCGUAUAAGUUGAAUUUUCUACAUGAUUAAGUGCAAACAAUUUCAUAUUUGGCGACCAUAUGAAUUCUAUGGCUUAUAAGGUAGAUGAUAUUGGGCAAAUAUAAAAAACGUGUCUCAUUUUUUACCCAAUGACUUAUUAGGUACCUCCAAGUUUAAAUAUAUCAAAUACAUACGAGUUUUACCUUUGGAGACCCUUUCCACUUCUGCAUCAAUUUGCCUUGCAUUCUUGGUUUCUUCUCAAAAAAAAUGUCUAUCACCAUCCUAAAUUCUUAUAUAAAAAAAAAAGCACUCCAAGCCACCUGAAAAUUAAACCACUCAAACGUGGAGCAAAAAACUAAAAAAAGUUUACAAGAAGGGACGGUUUAAUCUUUCAAUAUAUUAACCAUUGGGAGUUCGCUCCAGUGGCCACUCUUUCAACUUGAAAGGGGGAGGUUGUGGGUUCAAAUCCCCAUUUUCUCAGGGGGGAUUUGGGUGGGGAUGAUUUCAUUUCAAUAGUAGGUUUUGACUCCCAUGCCCUGCAAUGAGGUAAGGGCAAAAGUCUGAGAGUGAGUGUUAGAAUAGGAUUAGAGUAUGACUGACCAAAAAAAAAAAAUCUUUCAAUAUUGGAUUUUACUCAGAUGCAUGGGAAAGUUAAUUGUAAACAAGGUUUUUCAUUGAACUACCCACAGUAAGGUUGGGUUGAAAGCAAAAAAAAAAAAAACCACCGAUAAUAAGAAACGAGCUGUCGUUUUCUAGAUUCGAGGGAAAUACUCCUCUUUUUAACUUGAGCUGCAACUGUCUCCCCUCCACCCUCUGUACACAACAGAAAAAACUCCUUCCUUUUGUCAGCCACGGAAACGGACCGCUUAAGCAAAUCAAAACUCCAACAGACACAGAGGAAAAAACCCAAAACUUCAUUACGAUCUGAUGCAUAAAGGGAGAGGGGAUCAAUCCUCCAAUCUUAAUUCCUUUCGAUUGACAUUCUUUUUCACAAAAAUGGGUUGUGGGGAGUCGAAGCAUGCUGUUGCCACCGGAAACACCAUAACCAAAAGCAGGAGUUCAAGCGCCCAUCCAGAGAAGAACAAACAAGUGGAACAAAACGUUCCUCAGAUGGAAUCAAUUGGGAAUGGCGCGGCAUUACUUGUGCAACAAGAAAUCAAUAAUGCGGUGAGCCAGGAUACUGAACAUCCCGGGCCCAAACAAGAAGAAGAGAACAAAGGAGAAGAGACAAAGGCCGAUGAUGAAGACAAAGAGGAAGAGAAGCAUGUCGAGGAAGAGAAGGAGAUCGAGCCGGAGCAAGAGUUAGAGCCAGAGAUGAAACCGGUAGUAGAAGAGGAAGAGGCAGAGCCUGGGAGAUUAGUAUCCCGCGACUGGCCGGAUCAUUACUUCUCUCCAAGAAGAGAUGAGGAAGCGCUGGAAGGGAACGUGUCUGAGGGGCUCUCCUCCGAGUACAACUCACUCUGGCAUGAACCGGUGAAGGAGGGCGAGUACGGUAAAGUGGUUGUGGAAGAGAAGAAUCCAACUGGACUGGAAAAGGCAGAGGAAUGGAAGAAGGAAAUUGACUCCGCUCCUGAUGAGGUAAUUGAAUGAGUCUUGUGAGAUUUAAUGGCUGAGUUCUAAUUAUAGAGACAUGUAUUCAGGAUCAAAAGGUCACGGUUGCAGGUUCGCAGACAUAUGUCUUAACGUGGAUUAUGUUUAUGCUAAUCUACACAACCCGUUUUUUUCCCUUGAUUUUGAUACAUUUACUGUGCAUUUGGACGUUGACGCGAAGGCCAAGAAGUACAAACAUCUCAGACUUGACUGUCUGAGCUGGUUUUCUGAUCGAGAUGGUUGGCUCUAGAAAAAGUUUACGGAACCAUGUUUCUGUGCAGGAAGUCGUGGCUGAUUUAGCAAGUGGAGAAGUAGCGAAGAGCAACUGAAUCGAAGAAGCAGCAUUGUGAGAACAAUUUCCAUAACUAAUCUCAAGCAGCCUUUUAUGUGUUAGUUACUUAGAAUAACAGUCAUGUAGUUUGGUUCUAGAUGCUGAAAAUUAUCAAAACAGAGAACAGACUUGAGGUUGGAGCCUGGAAUGCAAUUUAUAUCAUUUGAUAUGCGUGCAUUGGGGCUGGAGAGAUGAUCCUAAUUUCUGUGUAAAAGAAACUCCCAAGGGAUGCUGUCACCUUGCGGUGUUACACUCUCAGAAGACAGUUGAAAUCAAAAGGAUCCUUCAAUCACAUAAGGUGAUCAAAUCAUAAUCAAAGAGUCAUGGAGGCUAGAUUUAAAGUACUUAAAACAAGUACACUAGCUCAAAUGCAAUUUGAACAUCUAGCUAUAUCUGAAAUAAUGACUACGACUUUGGCACUUCAUUUUAAGACAUCAAGUGAAUAGCGGCAGUGUAUCAAAAUUUUAUUCUAAACUUGGAAUACCUAAAACUAAUGUUCUCACAAUAUCUGAAUGCAAGUCCUUGGCGGAGAAAAUUUCGUGACUGGUAGUUUGGAAAGUGGAGGGACACAUCUCCAGAACCACAUCAGAAAGAUCCAAUUUUCAUGCUUAGAUAUAAGUAGAGCAAUUUUUUUCCUAAUUGUAGUCUGUGAGCUCGGAGCCUAGUAUGAUCACAUUUUCAAUGAUCACUCAACGUGGACAUCUUUAUUUCUGAGAUGCCUAACAAUGUGGGAAUGUGCCUGUCCUAAUUUUGAUGGAUUAGUUAUAACAGAAGCUGAGGUUCGGUAUCAAUUCUUCCCCAGAUAGAGGGGAUUCUCGAUCAUCCUGACUAGAUUGUUGAAAAAAGAUAUAUCUAUAUCAAAAUCAUCCACGAAAUUGUUGAUGACCCUUACACUGUGCAUUAGAAGAUGAAAAACACGAAACCACACUGCUCUUUGGCUGUAUAUCGGAAAAAAAAAUAGAGUUACUGAGAAUUGUUGAUUUUGUCACUAUCAAAUUACGUUGCGAUAUCCAAUCGAAACAGGAUAACCGUGUCUAGCAAAUCAGCUUAUAAUUAAUUAUCCCCGGAGAUUGUCUUCUCUGUCAUUUAUUUCAAGGAUUUCUUCAAAAGAAGACUUUAAGUAGGCAUUACUGGAGAUGGUGCUACAAAAAAAAAAAAAAAAUGAAGCAGCUGUAACAAUGGAAUGGUAGACCCGUCUACUUGCAUAUACGCUCGAAAAAAAAUACAGGAAAUGAAGGUUUGAUCAGGAUUUGAUUACAAGGGUUUGUUGAGCUUUAUGGGAUUAUAUACUUGAGCAGGUAUAACCGACUUCCUUUAUAUCGGCUUGAUCGAUGCAGGAAUCCAUGCUUAUAGAGAUGAUGAAGAACCGUGCAUUGGGGGUAGAGAUUGGCAUUAAGCUUCUCCGAGCAAUCAAACGGUCAAGAAUGUCCAUAUCGAUUUUGUCAAAACAUUAUGCCUUUAUUGAAUGGUGUCUCAAGGAGUUGGUUCAGAUGCUGGAGUGCAAGAAAACCAAGAGACAGAACAUCAUGCUAGUUUUCUUGGAUGUGGAACAUUCUGAGGUUCGGUAGCAAGAAACAAGAGGUGAUACAGUGAUGGAACUAUUAGCGAACGGAAGGCCACUCCAUGGAAGUUCGAGCACUAAAGGGAGGGGACGUAUAAAGCAUGCCCGACAGAUCAUUCAGAAAUCAUGCCAAAAAUGGCAUUGUUCACCGGGGUUUGACUUUUUCUUAGCUUAAGUAUAUGUUGUAAGUCCAUUUUGUGACAUCCCAAAUUUCUGAUUCUGUUUUCAAUUAAAUGAAACGGACUUUUCAUCGACGCGCUUAUAGUUCAAUUCUCCGAGCUGAUCACUCACGAGAUAACUAGUCUAUCAUGGGAAGCCGUUAAGGAAUUUAAAUGAAUUAGGCUUGAGAAUCUGACCAUGAACCGACUGCUCGACCGUAUAAAUCUGCAAGGAUCAUUACGACACUGUCAGAAUCGAACAGAGAUCAGUAAUAGGUCGAUUCGACUGAGAUAUGUAAUUAGAGUGUGGGUGAUUCCACCUGAUUUCAAUAUCCUCGUCGACCGGCACUGAACUGAUUAUUCUGUCGUUUUAGGUACCCUGUGUCCGUAUUUGAAACCUUGAGAUUUUCACGACAAUCGGGAGUCGCUAAUGUGUCGAAGAUUUAUGUCGUGGCUUGAAAAUAAUCAACCACGGUCAAUUGCACUGAAAAUUUCCUAAAAGCUACCCGGUAGAUUAGGACGCGCUCAAAUCGCGCCAGAUUGAAAUUAACCGUGAUUUUAAACCCGGAUUCAGAAAUUGAAGGUUCUGGCUGUCACAAUUCAUUUUAGGAACGUCGACUCAUAUUCAGAAGAUUUUUCUACAAACCGAGAUUUUUGGCGGAAAAGCAAAGUAAGGCCGUUUUUAUUCAGGAUUGUCAGAGGGCCAUUUUGAAUCGAAUAUUCGAGAUGCAAGUUGGAUCAUUUGGCGGGGAAAUGUCAUGAGAAGGCCGAGGACGCAUGGACCAAUUUAUUUGAACUUCAAUUGAGCUUCAAUUGAUUGGAAUUAAGAGAGAAUUGAAUGGAUUGAAUGGGGGAAUGUCCAAAAUUCGUAGCUCCCAUGGCACACCACAUUUUUGCACCUAUUGCCAAGCUUGUAGAGGAAGAUUGGAGGAGAGCGAGUGGCUGAGGUCAUGUGGUGUCAUGGUGGGGGCAAAGCCAAUGAGAAGAUGGCAAGUGUUGAGCUCUAGAGAGCCCAAGGAGACCCCCCACUCUUCAGCAGCUUCUUCUCCCUUAAUCCAAGGCUUUCUCCAUUGUUGUUGUCCAUCUUGAACUUCAAAGAACUAGAGGAGAUCAGCCCUCAGCCGCCCAAGACCGUCGCUUGCCCGCCGGACCUCUUUUUCCCCUUGUUUUCCCCUCGUUCCAGUUUCUGCUCCAGCCGACCUUUCGCCAAAGAUCCGAGUAAAAAGUUAACUUCCCGGUUGAAUCAGCGAACGAGCCACCCAUCGCCGCGAAGAAGACAUCCAGCCCGUUGCGGAGCACCUCACCGCUCGCCGGAAAGAUUCUCCGGCUGUCCCGUACGGCCGCCCGAAGCGGACGCUCGCCGAACCGUCUGGACUCGCCUGGUUCCGCCUGUUUCUCCCAUUUCGCGGUUUUCAGCCAUUUUCUCCCCAUUUCUACCCUACCUCCACCCAUACCAACCUCCAGCAAGAUCCCCUUGACCCCCGAGAGCCGCCGGUUGCCAACCACCCGCUCGCCGGAGCUCCGAUCAGCCCGUUUUCGCCGUUGAAGUUGCUGGUUUCUUCUCUGCUGUUCAGUCCAGAUCAGAAGCAGAAGACAGCAAGGUUUUGGAGACUUCGUGGCCCGCUUUCAAGCCCUUCCCGGCCUCCGUUAGUGUGGCCGCUUUGGGGUUUAUCGACCGCCUUGGUGUCGUGGUCGCUGUGAACUCACUGGCGCGCAAAACCAGUGAGUUUAUCUUCUAAUUCUUGCUUAGUGAGUUAAUGACGCUUAAGGGGUGUUUAGAUUAGUCUAAUUAGGUUUAGGUGAUUAGAUUAGAUUAUUUUAAUGUAAAUUAGAUUAUUUGUAUGAUUAGUUUAAUGGAUGUUUAAUUAUGGCUAAUUGUAUGAUUAAUUUAGUGUAAUCUUGUUUAAGCCCUAAUUAAUUAUUUUUAAUUAAUUAAUUAUUUCGAAUUUAUAAAUAUUAUUUUAUUAAAUUAUAUUAUUAUAAUAUAAUAUUUAAUUAUCAAUUUUCGGAAUUAAAUUUAAUUAUUUAAUAAUUUCGAAAAUUAUGCCGGGAUGGCCGGUCGUUAGAAUUUCGCGCUGAUCACAGCAGUGCGAUCGGUUUGUGUUAAUUGUAAGCUUAAAUCAAGAAAUUGAGUGAUUGAUGGUUAUGGUUAAUUAUUCCAAAAGUGUAGAAUUGAGUGAUAUUGAUGAAGUUUUGGUAUUUAACUUGAAAAUACCCGGUGUUGGCUUUUGGCACCGUAAUUGGUUGGUAGGUCCAGUUUGUAUCGAUUGAUUGAAUGUAUGUUUAUGUGGGGAUUUAUCCCAAAGUUGAUUAGUGUUGGUUUUUGAUGGGAAAAUGACCGUGAGAGGUUGUGAGUUGAACCUAGAAAGCCGUCAAAUCUAAAUUAUGCCGAGUGGGGCCGUAAUGCCACUACAUAUAGACUUGCCUGUAAGGCCGUGAUUGAGAGUCGAGAAUGAAUAGUCAGAAUGACCGUGUGAUGAUUUCGAUGACAUAUAAUCGACUAAGUCGAUUGAUCGCUGAAUCGAUCCGAGUAAUUGAAUUGUUUGAAUGAUGUGGUUGUCAAUAAUUAUUGAUUAAACUAACGUGCAGGAAGGAAUUGAGGCGAGGUAAGUCCUCUAUUCUAUUUGUGUGGCUAGAGCGCCCUGAGGCGUAUUUUCUUCCUAAUUGAGUGUUAGAGGGUAGGACUCGCUGAGACGUAGUCUCAUCCCGGUUGUGGGAUAAUAUUUCAGGUCCUUAGAUGACGGUUGAGGAGGACCGGAAGUCCUGGAAUUCGGAAGGUGGAGGCUGAAGAAGCGGCGAACGUGUGUGACAAGUUGGUCAUAGGACAGUUCCCUAGUUGUUGAGCCUGUCUAUUUUGUAGACAAUCCAGUGUUGUAUAUAAACCUAUGUGUUUAUAGAAAGCUCGUUUGGUUGUGAUUGAUUGCCUGCUUUUCUAUCCCAAGUUAAAUGUUGUCAGGGGAUUUGUUUCGCUUCCGCAUGUGCAAUAUAAAAAUGAAUGGGUCGGCGACGUGUCCUGGGAAGUCGCAUUUGUAUCGACCAGAGUGGGAUGUUUGCGCACUCGGAGGAUCGGGGCGUGACACAUUUUCAUUCUUUCACUUGGCGAAUAAUUUCAACAAGGAUUCUGUCCAAACGAGGUCUUAAAUUUUUCUAAUUUGGUUUUGCCUGACAAUCCGUUGGUCAACCCAAAUUUCCAAUUCCAAGUGUUCUUCUACUCCCCAAGUAUCAGCCUCAAAAGUGACUUAGAGAAAACAUUCAUCAAGAUGGUUUUUAGCGAGUUGAAAAAGGGUUAUUCAGUAUUAUCGGAUUGCUUGGUUAAAGUAGAUAACUGCGUGAGUGAAAUCAUGAGAAUGAUUGGCCCUUGUAUAGAUGAAACACUUAUUGCUGGUACCAUGGAGUGGGCGGUACUAGAAAGACCACUCUUGUCAUAAUCAUCUACAAUAAACUUUCACCUAAUUUUGAAGAUUGUUGUUACCUUUCUAACAUUUUAGAAACUUCGAAGGUGAAGGGUGGUGAGUAAUUGCAGAAUUAGCUCAUCUCUGACAUCCUCAAAAGGAAAUGGACAAAUAUAAGAAACCGUGAUGAAGGGAUUAAGAUGAUUAAAGAUAGGUUUUGUUUUGAAAGGCUUCUUCUCAUCAGUGAUGUCGAAAUAAAGAAUCAAUUGAAUGCAUUGAUGGGCAAGGGUGAUUGAUUUUAUGAAGGAAGUAAGCUUAUCAUCUCUAGAGAAACAAAUAGGUUCUCAAUGUUCUGAAGUGGAUUGGACCUAUGAAAUUAAAUGCAUGGAUUUUGACAAAUCUCUUCAAUCUUUCGGCAGACAUGCCUUUAGAAGAGAUUGUCUUUUGGAUGAUUAUCUUGCCCACACCAGAAAUGCAGUAUGCACUACUGGAGGUUCCUCUAACUCUCGAGAUUGUUCUUUCUUGAUUAAAGGAACGAUAGUACUCCAACCCCUUAAAAUAUUGAAUUUGAAUAAAUGCAUUUUGCUUAAACUCUUUUGUUUUUAAAAUUUUCCAUUGGGCAGGGAAAAACAAAAGUUGAAGCUCUUCGUCUCCACUUUGACCAUGAGCAGCAGUACUAUUUUACCUAUAAGGACUUUGAGAAAAUAUCUAAUCGAAGGUUUCUUCAAGUUGACGAUUAGAAGGAAUACUUUCGUGCAGAAGAAGCUUCUUUGGCAUGAAUCGCUAUCAAAUGUUCUUCCAAUUGAUAAUUUCCAGGAGAAUUCAAAUCUCCUUCCACAAUUACGAUGGAUUUCUUGGCCUAAAAUUCCCCCAACAUUUAAGAUUACAAAUUUCUCCAUGAAGAAUGUGGUUAUUCUUGAUCUAUCAAAGAGUAAAAUUACGCACAAUUGGAAGGGAUGGAGCCAUACUUCGUAUGUUAUAUGCUAGACAACACUUAUCAUUUCGUCUUAUUAGAUUAUAAGUAAUCUUUGCAUAAUUUUUCUUUUUCAUAGGUGAUGAAAAAUUUGAAAGUUAUGAAUCUGACCAAAUGCGUUUGCUUGGAGAGAACUCCGACUUCUCUGCUCAUUCAAAAUUAGAACGUUUGAUUUUAAGGGACUGUCACAAAUUAGUUGAAAUUGACAAGUCGAUUUGUCAAUUGAAAAUCUUAAUUUUUUUAGAUGUAACAUCUUGUGUGAAUCUUCAAAGGUUGCCGGACAAGAUGGGUAGAGAUCUUGCAAGUCUCAAAUACCUAUAUAUGAGCGAUUGUGAGUCGUUGGAGGGGCUUCCGAAUACAAUUGAAAAUUUGGAAUUAUUGAAUGAGUUGAAUAUAAGUGAAACGGGGAUUAAGGAACUCCCUAAUACGCUAUGGACAUUAGAGAAGCUCGAAGUAAUAGAAGACAAAAUGAUGCAUCAUUUUCAUAUGAAAAUCGGCAAUUGCAUAUAUAGAAAUCGAUCUCUGAGGAUCUUGAUAUUGUAUGGUACAACAAUACACGUGGUAUCGAGGCUUCCCGAAAGUCUUACAAUUCUAAAGUUGUCUACAUUUUACACAGAUGAGCCGCUAGAUCUCUCAAACUUGCCUAAUUUAAAAGAAUUAUGGCUGGACUUCAGGCCAUCUUCUAAUGAAUUAUGGCUGAACUUCAGGGCAUGUGAUUCUGAUGGGGAAUCUGAUGGGCCUGUGGAAGAGGCUCUUCUGAUGCCAUUGCAGACCGAGAAUUUAAGCAAACUAGAAUCCCUAUCCCUGAGCUCUCGGUACACGAACACCAUACAAAUAGAUAUGAGAAGUCUCCUCCCCCAACUCCAGGAUCUCUCACUCUCGAGGUGCCCUAAUUUGCGUUGCCUCCCGAGCCUUCCCUUCACUUGAUCAUCCUUAGAAUUGGAAUCUGAAUGCUUGACCACCUUACCCAUGGAUAUAAGUAGUCUCCUUCCUUGACUCCAAUCACUUUCACUCAAGUGCCCUAAUCUGCAUUGCCUCCCGAGCCUUCCCUGCAGUUUAUUAGAGUUACAUUUGUGCGCAUUCAAGUCGGGUUGUUCCAUGGAGGAUCUAUCGAAUUUGAAGACACUAUCAACUCUUCGCAUCAUUGAUUGUGAUGUCUCAGAGAUUCGAGGCCUUGAUCGUUUGGAGAACCUACAAUAUUUGGGGCUUUUGCAUUUUCAACAGGUGGAGAUAUUACUCGAUCUAAGUAAUCUCAAUAAAUUAGGGUCGCUUGUAGUAUUCCACUAUGGAAAUCUGGUUGAGAUUCAAAGCGAACUCCCACCAUCUUUGAAAAAAUUGGAGAUUAAUCAAUGUGGAUCUUUACAAAAGUUGCCUGAUUUGUCAAGCUUGAAGAGACUGCAACAAGUUAAAAUAUGGGGUUUCAGGAAAUUAGAUGUGGAGGAUCUAUCGAAUUUGAAGACACUAUCAAUUCUUUCCAUUUGUUACUGUGCUAUCUCAAAGAUUCGAGGCCGUGAUCGUUUGGAGAACCUAUGAGUAUUGUCGCUUUUGGAACUUCAACAGGUGGAGAUAUUACCCAAUCUAAGUAAUCUCAAUAAACUACAGACUCUUCAAGUAUUUGUUUGUUGUGAUCCAGUUGAGAUUCAAGGCAAACUCCCACCAUCUUUGGAAGAAUUGGUUAUUCGUGAAUGUGGAUCUUUACAAAAGUUUCCUGAUUUUGUCAAGCUUGAAGAGACUGCAAAAAGUUAAAAUAAUGAAGCAAAUUGUAGCUGCCAACUUCUUUCUUCUUCAUUAAGUAUACUUAAUUCAUAAGCAAGUGUAGUCUAGUAAUCUAGAAUUUUCCAAAAAUGGAUCAUAUUUUAACAAUUUGCAAUAAGUCUGGGAAAAGAUCGCAUUGUCUAAUGAAUAUCGCGUUGAUGUAAAUAUCAAGUUGCUAUAACUUUGCCCAGAACGUGUAAUUUUUUCUCCGGGAUAUUCUAUCAAACAAGUUGACUGCAUGGACUAACUUGAAUUAAAAACACACAAAGUCAACUCUUCUCUCUACCGUAUGAUUCGACGAGCGAUACCCCGAGAAUCUUGAGCAAAAGGCACACAAAAUUCACUUUCUCAGAAGACAGACAUGGGGAAGUGCAGUUUUCUGAUUCGAUCAAUCUACUGGGAAGGGAGCAGGGCAUCGGCGAGCGGGAGGAAGCUGAAGACGCCGUCAGAGGCAUGAGUGCGCCCGUGGAGGGCAAGGAAGUAUUGUCGACGAAGGGCCAGCGUACAAGCUAGGCCCGGUGGCUAAUGAGAGACGGCCAUUUGAGGGCAUGUGCAAGAUCACGAUGUCGAACAAAAUCAAGGUGUUCUUUCGCAACCCAAACACUUUUGAGUUGCUCAAGAUCUGCGCUUCUCCGUGUGUAUAUUUUGUCUUCACCUACAUUUAGAGACGAUGGAGGCCACGACCGCAAAGAUCUGCGCUUUCCCCGUGAGGAACGCAUGACCCACGGCGGUGGCUAGGCGCCACCACCGUCACCACCGCAAUCUUGCCCGUUCGCAUGCUCUCCGUGCGUGAAUAUAUAUAUAUAUAUAUAUAUAUAUAUAUAUAUAUAUAUAUAUAUAUAUAUAAGACUGUCGAUGAUAUUAGCUCACGUAUAAUGACGUGGCAGUCUACGUGUUUAAAAGGAGGAAAGGGAAAAAAAUCAGAAAAAUCAUAAGAAACCAAACGUCCUCUUUGUCCGCCUUAAAUUGUCGACCGUACCACAUAAGACUGUCGAUGAUAAUUGAAUCAUCACGUCACCGAUUUUCAUAGAAAAUCAGUUAAAGGAAUUAUGUUUGAAUUAUCAAAAUGUUUAAGAUUAAAUUGAUAAAGUUGAAAAUUUUAAAAUUAAAUUCCAUACAAUAAGUUAAAGAUUGAUUUAGUAAUUUCUCAAAUCACACUCUAACAGGACACGCUAACCCAACCCCCGAGGAUUAGAAAGUAGGAAGGACGAAUAAAAAUUCUGAUCGUUAUCUUCGAAUUACUUCAAAUAUUUCUCCUUUUAUUGUAUAGAGUUCGACUCUGAAAGAUCAAAUAUUGUUUAAUUAUCCAAUUCCACUACAGAAAAAUUGUUCAUGGAUCCCAAUAUAAUUAAAAGUGACAUGAACUCAAGAGAGAAUGACAAGUUGACAACGGAAGAUAGGAUUGAAUAUUACGUACUUAUACAUUAAAUAGGUUACUAGUAAUUCUGCCCUAACUUGGUAGCACUCUUUGUAAAUUUUUUGUGACGAUGGUCAAUUUUUCUAAAAUCUUAAGCCUAUUUAUCGAAGGCAUAGUCAAUAUUUAAAUACUCUAAUGCUACCCUCAUGCAUAAGCUAAAUAUUGGUCUAAGACUAAAGUGUAGAAAUAUGUAAUUGAAGAGGCAAAUAGAGACUUGAUAAGACUUGAAUGCGGGAACUCCUGCUUAGGCAUUGUUUAAAAUCUAAGUACUCCAACACUCUUCACGCAUUAGAUUUUGGCUAAUAUACUCAAUGUAGAGUAUAGAAUUUGUGCUUAUAUAUAUGUCGCGACCUAAAUUUUCGGGUGCACUACUUAAAACUAGGUUAAUGGACUACUAAGUUUUUACACUUAGCUCGGGCUCUCCCAAGCCCAUACCAAAUCGCGACUUAAGGUUCAAACAUUUAACAUGCAAAAAUUUAUUAAUUAGGAGUCGCCACUAAUCGGUUUAUGGUAGGUCGAUUAGACACCUAAGUAAAAUAAGAGGGAGAUUUAUUUUACUCCUACGAACCAGAGACUAAGGGUAUGGGGAUUUGGUUAUACUAGAAUUUUCUAAUGCCCUUUCGAUACCAUUUCUUUUUAAUUUUUCAAAAUGUUUUUGCAAGCAGCUGAUUUAUUUUAACCUAAAUUACUAUCAUGCAAAUGUGGUGACCACACGGGUGCUCAUCCAUUAUUUAAAACAUUCAAAUAAAUAAAUUGCAUCACAUAAAGCAAGCAAUCAUUUUUUUUUUUUGGAUUUUCUUAAAAAGUGGAGUUCUUUUAUAAAAAUGCAUUUUAAAACUAAAUGACUUAAUCCUAUUAAUAUGCAAAUUCUAAUUAAAUGGGUCUAUUAUGCAAAUUAAUUAACAUGCACCUCAUGACCUAAUUUUACUAAUGAACAAAUUCUGAUUAAAUGCCUCUAUUAUGCGAACUAGUUAACAUGCGCCUAGUAUUUUUGCAAUUUUUUUUAUUGGAAUUCAGAAUUUAUGAAAACCCUAAUUAAUCUAUCUAAAAAGGGAUAAUUUUCUAAUUUAUUCUAGGGAUUAAUUUGACUUAAACCCUAUCCUACCUUAGAAAAAUAUUUUUUAUUUUUAAAAAAAAGAGGAUGAGAAUAUGAAAAUGUGCCAAUUAUAUCUAAAACCCUAAAAUGGCCAUUUAAGUCUAAUCCUAACUUAUUUAAAAAAAAAAAAUCUAAAAAUGUAGUCCUAAAAAUAUUAUCUAAAAAUGCAAUACUAGAAGUAUAAUCCUAAAAAUUUGAUUAAUUAAACCUACGUGUCUAUUAUAUUAAACCCUAAUGUCCUAUAUGCUCAUGCAAUUUUUUUUUGAAUAUUUUGAUUUUUUGGAGUUUCUUUUUAGUUUCUUUUUAGUUUCUUUUAAGCUGAAUAAUUGUUAAAUUAGGGUUAAAUCUAACAAUUAAUAUAAUCGCUAAAUAAAGGAUCAAAAUAAUUGAAAAAUAACAUGUCGUCUCACAGGUUAAAUUAACAAUUAUUUUAACCCUAAUCAUCACAACAACUCAAAAUAAUUAAAAAAUCUAGUCCAAAGUCUUACGGACCAAAUUAAAUAAUUAUUAUGAUUUAACAAUUGAGAUUCUAUCAAAAAGCCCAAAAAUUAAAAAUAAUUAAAAAAAAUGAUCCGAUGUCUCUCGGAUCAAAUUAAUAAUUAUAUUAAUUUCGGACAAAAUCCCUACGGAUAAUGCAUACUAAAUUCACAAAUAUUAACAUCCACCAUUACAAAUUAAAUACCUAAACUAAAAAUGCUAUCAAAUGAAAUAAGCAAAAAUAACAUAACAAAUAAAAUAAGCUAAACUAUAAAAGUGAAACAAAAUAAAACAAAAAGAACAAAAACUACCUAAGGGGGGGGGGGGGGGGGGACAGUGGACGGCACUGGUCUGUCGUCGGGGCUUUGGCGGGGAGCGGCUGAACAGCAGUGUCGGGUAGCGGAUCCGCUGGACGUCGGGGCAGAGGAGGGUUGCGGCGACGGGGCGCGGGCUGAGGCGCGGCGGCGGAGCUGCGGACGUCAUAGGCGCGGGCGAGGCGCGGCGUGGCGGAGGCGAGCAAACCAGCGAGGUGGCGGUGCGGAGGCGCGGCGGAGCUCGGAGAUCGACGGGCGGCGUCGCGGGCGGAGCGGGGGUGUUGCAGCGGCGCGGUGUCGGCGAGGGCGGGAGCGCGGUCGUCGGGGCGCCUGGCUUCCGGUGCUGCUGGUGCGGUGAGAUCGGGAGCGGCAGGCUUCGGAACUCCGGUGUCGGCUGGGCAGCGGCAGGUCGCGGGUGCAGAGGCGUGGAGGUGGACGUCGGAGGCGCGCGGCAGCGGCGUCGAGGGGUUGUUGCGUCGGCGACGGUACUUGCGGUGGCGCGGCGGCGAGCGGGCUUCGGUGGCGUCAUCGAUGGUGCUGGUGCAAUGCACAUGGACGGAGGAGGUGCGACGCAAGCGCGGGCAGGGGCUUCCACGCGAAGAAGACAAACAGUAGCUCCUGCUACUUUUUCCCUUUUUUUUUUUUCUUUCUGUUCACACGUCACUUCUCUUCACUUUUUCUCUUUCUUUUGCUGACCUUUUCCUUUCUUUUUUUCUGCAGGUUGUCAGAAUGGGAAAGAAAAUGACCUUUGGACGAGAAAAUGGAAUUUUCUCUAUCUCUUUUUUUUUUACUUUCACGAAUCUUCUCAACUCUUUUCACUAAAUUUUUUUUGAGUGAAUUCUCCCCCCUCGUCACGAAAAAUGUGGCUCUCUUUUAUAGUGAUUCCAAACAGCCACUUUGUAUGGUAUUUUCCGAGUUUCCAUCUUCCGUCGCAUUAAAUCAAGGCUGCAAAUCAAAGCGAGAUUUCACAAUCAACUCGAUUUUUGCUCCGAUUUAUUCCGUUUUAUAAAAAUUCUUGCCUUUUGUUCACCUGAUUUUUAAUUAUUUCUGCAUUUAUCGAAAUCUGAAUGCUCAUCAGAAUUUCAAAUUUCCUUGCAUACUUCAAUCAAAUCAAUUUCCCCCAAUUUCAUUUUUUUUCUUUUUAUUUGUCCAAAAAUGUAAUUUUUAUUUGUCAACAAUAUAUAUAUAUCAAUGGAAUACUUAUAGAAUUGGAUAUUCAUACAUUACUCAAGUAAGUAUAAAAACCAUUAUGAUAAAACAUAAGUGGUAAACUAGAAUAGAAAUGACGACUAAUGAUCAAGGUUUUUACCCUUUUAUCAAUUGAUGAUUGUAACUCAAAUAGAACCAAGUGUGAUUAAUUUAACUAUAUUUAGUAUUAUACACGCAAUGGUGACAGGCUGGAUCGUCAGUAGAGAUGACAUUCACAAUGCUAAAGAGAUCUCACUGUAAUUAUCAUGUAUUUAUUUAAAUUGUGAGCCAUUUCCACUUUAUAAAAGAGAAAUCAAUUGAAGACGAGCUGAUGAUACUUGGUCACCUAGGAGAAACAUCUGAAAGGGUCACUUCAUUAACAAUGGAAGUUUUGUGAAUUAGACCGAUAGGAUUGAGUGUUCUCACAUUUCUCCCAACUGAGAAUGCAGGCAAAGAUGGUCGGGUAAGUGGGAUAGUAUCGGCUCCUAGCAUAUGAACCACGGGCGACAUGGUUGGUCGAUCUAUUGGGUCUUCUUGAACGCACAAUAGAUCGAUGUGUAUGCACUUUACCACUUGAAUUGCAUCACAUGAUUCUUUGAUUGAUGGAUCGGUAAGUUCCAAACUUCGACCUUCGGACCACAACUUCCACGCCUGUCAUUUUGGAAGGAAAGUAAGCAAGGACAAUUGCACAUAAUUCUGAGGUUUCAUAUUAAAAAAGUGUGGUGACUAGGAACAUACAAGGGUGAGAAGGCUUUCACGGUGCUCUUGGAGAUGAAAACCGUUAUUCUUUCACCCACUUAUCAUCUCUAGCAAGAGAACUCCAAAACUAAAGACAUCUAAUUUAACAGAAAAUAGUCCUUGCAUCGCAUAUUCUAGUGCCAUGUAUCCACUGACCGAAAUUAUGCGAUGAAGUGCAAUUACUUGGAAGUAAGAAACAAUUGUUGAGAAAUAUUGUGAGUAAUAAGGGUAAAAUAGUAACUUAGUUAUGAUUAGGGUUAAACACAUAUGAGCAUAUAUAUAUAUAUAUAUAUAUAUAUAUUUGUAACCAUUUUUCACUUUUUAAUAUAUAUAGAAAAUAAUUAUCUCUUUCACAUGGUAUCAGAGCAAGGUUGGCCGGAACACUAGACGACGGAGUAGCCACUCGCCACCGCGACUCGCCGGAAUAGUUGGCUGUCGUUGCCGCUCAUCGUCGAAACCUCUUGCCACUCGAGUGUCCCUCUUCCUUUCUCUCGCUUCUUCGUGCGGCUCGCGCGGUUCGUGUGCGCUGCUUGUGUGGCUCGCGUGCGUUGCUUGCGUUGCUUGAUCGCGCUCGUGGCUCACACGGCUUGAUCAUGCUUGCGGUUUACACUGCUUGCGUGACUCUUGCGCUCUACUCACCUAGGAGAAACAUCUGAAAGGGUCACUUCAUUAACAGUGGAAGUUUUGUGAAUUAGACCGAUAGGAUUGAGUGUUCUCACAUUUCUCCCAACUGAGAAUGUAGGCAAAGAUGGUCGGGUAAGUGGGAUAGUAUCGGCUCCUAGCAUAUAAACCACGGGCGACAUGGUUGGUCGAUCUAUUGGGUCUUCUUGAACGCACAAUAGAUCGAUGUGUAUGCACUUUACCACUUGAACUGCAUCACACUCUUUGAUUGAUGGAUCGGUAAGUUCCAAACUUCAACCUUCAGACCACAACUUCCAUGCCUGUCAUUUUGGAAGGCAAGUAAGCAAGGACAAUUGCACAUAAUUCUGAGGUUUCAUAUUAAAAAAGUGUGGUGACUAGGAACAUACAAGGGUGAGAAGGCUUUCACCGUGCUCUUGGAGAUGAAAACCGUUAUUCUUUCACCCACUUAUCAUCUCUAGCAAGAGAACUCCAAAACUAAAGACAUCUAAUUUAACAGAAAAUAGUCCUUGCAUCGCAUAUUCCGGUGCCAUGUAUUUACUGACCGAAAUUAUGCGAUGAAGUGCAAUUACUUGGAAGUAAGAAACAAUUGUUGAGAAAUAUUGUGAGUAAUAAGGGUAAAAUAGUAACUUAGUUAUGAUUAGGGUUAAGCACAUAUGAGCAUAUAUAUUUGUAACCAUUUUUCACUUUUUAAUAUAUAUAGAAAAUAAUUAUAUCUUUCACAUGGUAUUAGAGCAAGGUUGGCCGAAACCCUAGACAAUGGAGUAGCCACUCACCGCCACGACUCGCUGGAAUAGUUGGCUGUCGCUGCCGCUCAUCGUCGAAACCUCCUGCCACUCGAGCGUCCCUCUUCAUUUCUCUCGCUUCUUUGUGCAGCUCGCGCGGUUUGCACGCACUGCUCGUGCGGCUUGCGUGCGCAGCUCGCGCGGUUCGCGCGCGCUGCUCGUGCGGCUCGUGUGCGUUGCUCAUGCAGCUUGCGCGCGCUACUCGCGUGGCUUGAUCGUGCUCGUGGCUCACACGGCUUGAUCACGCUUGCGGUUUGCGCUGUUUGCACGACUCAUGCGCGCUACUCACCUAGGAGAAACAUCUAAAAGGGUCACUUCAUUAACAAUGGAAGUUUUGUGAAUUAGACCGAUAGGAUUGAGUGUUCUCACAUUUCUCCCAACUGAGAAUGUAGACAAAGAUGGUCGGGUAAGUGGGAUAGUAUCGGCUCCUAGCAUAUAAACCACGAGCGACAAGGUUGGUCGAUCUAUUGGGUCUUCUUGAACGCACAAUAGAUCGAUGUAUAUGCACUUUACCACUUGAACUGCAUCACAUGACUCUUUGAUUGAUGGAUCGGUAAGUUCCAAACUUCGAACUUCGGACCACAACUUCCAUGCCUGUCAUUUUGGAAGGGAAGUAAGCAAGGACAAUUGCACAUAAUUCUGAGGUUUCAUAUUUAAAAAGUGUAGUGACUAGGAACAUACAAGGGUGAGAAGGCUUUCACCGUGCUCUUAGAGAUGAAAAUCAUUAUUCUUUCACCCACUUAUCAUCUCUAGCAAGAGAACUCCAGAACUAAAGACAUCUGAUUUAAUAGAAAAUAGUCAUUGCAUCGCAUGUUCUGGUGCCAUGUAUCCACUAACCGAAAUUAUGCGAUGAAGUGCAAUUACUUGAAAGUAAGAAACAAUGAAAAGCUAUUUUCUAUAUUUAAACUUCUGUGAUAGGUAUAUGCUCAUUUUGGUGUUGUUGAGCUGAUCAUCAGAGUUCUUUAUUGGCCUAGCGAAUCAUUCAAACAUAUGACAGAUGCAAAACGACAUUAAAGAACUUACUAUGUUCCAACAACCCUAUUCGUGUUGGCCUCAUCUUGAUUUACACCAAAGAUCAUUGCCAUUCCGAAAUCAGAUAUCUUUGGAUUCAUCCCGCCAUCUAGUAAAAUAUUACUAGCUUUCAGAUCCCUAUGGAUAAUUCUUAGGCAAGAAUCCUCAUGUAGAUAUAGAAGCCCCUGAGCUAUUCCAAAGGUGAUGUUCAUGCACAUCUUCCAGUCUAAAGAUUGCCCCAUAGUUGAACCUGUCGAUCAUGAGAGACUCAGAUGAACAUCAACUAUAUAAAACUAAAAUUAACUAGCUAAAAUAUUCAUUGCAUCUGCUAAAGCUCAAACCAAAAAGGAAGACAUCCAGGCUUUUGUUGGGCAUGUAUUCAUAUAUCAAGAGUUUUUCUUGCUCUUACAAGCGGCAUCCCAAUAAUCGAACAAGGUUCCUAUGUUGUAGUCUAGCAAUCGAGAUCACUUCGUUCUUAAACUCGAUAAGUCCUUGGCCUGAGGUUCUUGAAAACCUUUUAAUUGCAAUUUCUUUUCCAUUUGCCAAUGUGCCCUAAAACAGGGUAAUGUCCGUAGUGAAAUCCCUAUAUGAGAAUUAGCAAUGAUAACCAAAUUUGAAUCAGUUCAUGUUCGGAUAGUAACCACCGGUUUUUCCAAUUUUCCCAUAAACAGGUGUUAAGUCGCUUCAAUGCUUACCUUGUACACGGGGCCAAACCCACCUUCCCCAAGUUUACAUUCAUUGGAGAAGUUUUGUGUGGCCGCACGUAUAAUGUCUAAUUGUAUCACAGAUAGUGCCUCGCACGCGCCAUCGACAGUCCUCACGCACAUGCGGCACUCGUGCAGCUGACGUCAUGGUGACGUCAGCUGGCGCGUGCCUCACACGUGCCAUCGAUGGCCCCGGCGCACGUGCGGCACGCGUGCAGCUGACGUCAUGAUGACGUCAGUUAGCUCGUGCCUCGCACACGCCAUCAACGGCCCGCGCACCUGCGUUGCACGUGCAGCUGACGUCACAAUGACGUCAGCUGGCGCGUGCCUUACACGCGCCAUCAACAGCCCCCACGCACGUGCGUCGUACGUGUGUGCGUCAGCCGCGCAUGCGCGUGUGACGCAUGCGCCUGCAUCUUCAAAUCAAUGCGUGCAAGCCGUUUCGCUCCGAUUGCGUGUGGGGGCGCGUUCGAUGGCCUUUGGCGGCGUUCCGCCACUCGUCGUGCUUGUCUCGACGAGACCCUCGACCCUACACCAUCAGAAACUGAUUUCGACUUACAGAAAAUCGAAAAAAUGGAUGAACAGUGCUCGGGUGUCAGAUUUUUCCACCCCCGAUCGGUGUUGGCCGAUUUUCAACGAAAAUUCAAUAAAAAAAUCAUUCCUAAACAUGAAAGGGGUCGGGAAAAACAUGAAUAAGGAUCAGGAAACAUGAACUCUUGCUCUGAUAUCAACGUCGGGAAUAUCGAAUUCCCAAAAAUCGGAUUUGACACUAAAUCGAACCCUUAAAACAAGUGCGGAAGACGAGCCCAUGAAAAAGACAUGUAUCACCGAUCCUAAGACACAUCACAGAAUCGAACGUACCUUGUUAGCCACAGAUUAAAUACCGACACUGAUAUGAGGAAGAAGAAUUAAUCAUGUUCGAUCCGAUGACGCCAAUUCGCCUUGAAGGGAAGAGAGUUCCGACUCCUUUUGUUACUGUUCUUCUUUUGGAGUGUUUGGAGGGAGAGAGGGAGGAGGAACGUACUGUGGCACCCCGAAACACCUAAGGUCGCCACAGGUACCUAUCGCUCCACUUAAUGAACACUAAUUACAUCUCUUAGUAGAAGCAUCAUAGUUCAUAGGCAUUUUUUUUUUUAAACGGUCCCAGUGCAACUUAUUAGUGGAAGCACAAACAAGUCUCACCAUUUCUCCCUCCAACAAUCAUGAUACAAUGCACACCACUAAGCACCAUAAGAAAAGAUAAAGCCAAUACACUUUUAUUUAUAUAUUUUCAUGAUGGAUUUCUUCGGACAGUACAACAAAAAAGAAAGGCCAAGACUUUUAACUACACUUGGCCACAACCCAAAAGAUACCUCGACCCCUAUAAUGAUCACGUGUCAUCCUCCAUCUAUCAGUGUCGGCUGUCUCCAAAAAGAAACAUCAGCUCUCUACUCCUCAAGCGGCCAUCACACCGGACUUAGGCCCAUCACAUUAAUUAUUUAAAACCAUCAGUCUGUGCACCGACAGGAGUGCCUUGGAUGCAGAGGAUCGGACAUGAAAUCUAGAAAGCAAAGGAAAUAUUUCUUGGUGCAUCGAGAAUCUUUUUUUCUUGAACUUGGAAAGAAUGCGAGCAUAGUAAGAGUAAUUCAAAGACGACCAUGGACUUUCUUUUAACUCAAGAGGAGUAGGACAAUAAGCGACUUCUGGAGGAUGAGGUGAAGAAAUUGAUCAAGAACCAAGUUUUGCAGCUGCUCUCCUUGAUUCCGGGGUUGGUAAAGACGAAUUAGUCCAAUUUCCACGUUCUGUUGUCAACAGGGACAAGCACCCGAUUGGCUCUUUUUUUUUUUUUUCCAAAAGAAAUGAGGGCGAACUUUCCUGCCUUGCCCUACCAACGAAAAUACCUGGUGGAGCCCAAAAAGAUCUUCCCAAGUAGCCUCCCGGAGCUCACCCCACAGGUUGCCCAACUCCAGCCUGUGUAGACAGAGACCUGCAGUCAUACCUUACCAAAGAAGAUGGACUUCUCGACGAGUUUGUCGAGGUCGAACUUGCUAAGGUGGAAGGUGGGCCGCUGCCACCCCGUCCCCCAGGAGGGGAGGCAACGCUAUCGAGGGAGGGAGGGUGGGUGCAUUAGGCGGGAGGUAGGGGACGAAGGCGGCCUAGAGGGGGAAGCUCUUGAGCUUGAUCUUGCAGAAGCAAGGGGAGAAGGAGGGGUGGACGGUAGAGCCCUCGGACUUAGCGGCGAUGGGGACCUUGAAAGCGAGGCUGUCACGCCCCGAACCUCGAGCGCGCGCACAUCCCACUACGGUCGAUCAAAUAUGCGACAUUCCAGGAUAAGUCGCCAACCCAUUCAUUUCAUUACGCAUGCGGAAGCGAAACAAAUCCCCUGACAACAUUUAACUUGGAAUAGAAAAGCAGGCAAUCAAUCACAAUACCAAACACUCAUUUCCAAACACAUAGGUUUAAAUACAACUCUGGACUGUCUACAAAAUAGACCGGCUCGACAAAAAAGGGAACCAUCAUAAAACCAACUAGUAGGACACGUUCACCGAUACUUUAGUCUCCACCUUUCCAAACUUAAGGCUUCGGGUCCUCCACAACUGCCAUCUAGGGACCUGAAAUUUUAAUCCCACAACCGGGAUGAGACGAUGUCUCAGCAAGUUCAACCCCCUAAACCCCUAUUAGAAAGAAAAUACACUCCGGGUGGCCUAGCCACAUUACACAAAAGACUUACCUCGCCUCAAUUCCUUCCUGCAGGUUAACGCAAUUCAAAUCACUCAAUCACGGAUAGUAAUAGGAACUCAAACGAUUGGAACGCCAUCACUUUCAUAUAAAUCACAAUCACACUUAGCACGCAUUCCAAUUAUUAUUCACUACCACACAAGGGCAUAGCCUACUCACAGUUCGACUAUCUACUGGCAUAUAGCCAGGCAUCACCUCCCCACCUUGGAGCGCGGCUUCGUCAGUACAUCGACGGCGUUCCCGAAGGAGCAUGGCCCAGAAUCAACUGCGACCCGCAUCCACCGCGUGGGCAUCCCAUGUAGGGGCAAAUCCGGCUCAACAGCCCAUGACGAUUCCUCUUAGUUAUCACACAGCCAAAGCAUACUCGGCCCCAGGAUACUUUAUAUUACAAUCAAUGCUUCCACUUAAAUUAGUGAUCCCGGCCAUUUUUCUACAUAUUAAAAAUACUCCAUAAAUUACUCACGUGUGUGGGGGCACGCUAAUUUCGAACUAGAAAGCCAAUAUCUUACUUUUUCAAACCCCACUAUUUAAUAUAAUUAUUAAAAUCCAAUUUUUGCAUCAAAACCCGACACUUGGGUUUUUAUUAAUAAAAUCUCUAUUUACCACCAUCAGCACUCAAUUUGCCACAUACAUUCAUCAAAUUCAAAUUCUAAAUGCACAGUAGCGAUCAGCAUGAAAUUUUGAGAAUUUAGGGUCCCAAAAUAAUUUUUCGGAAUUUAUUAAAUAAUUAAAUUUAUUCCGAAAAUUAAUAUAAUAAUAAUAUCCAUAUUUUUCACGAUCCACGCUCAAUUUAUAAUAUCCAAUCAUCAAUUUCAAAAUCCGACUACACAGCAGCGAUCGGCACGAAAUUCUGAGCAACCAGGGUCAAAAAUAAUUUUUCCGUUUUUUUUUAAGUAAUAAUAUUUUAAUAAUUUCGGAAUAUAAUAUAAUAUUAUAAAUUCCAGAAUUCGAAAUCAUUAAAUAAUUCAAAAAUAAAACCCUAUUAUGUCACAUCAAGGAUUUUUAUUAAAAAUAAACAUACUUAAUUUUAAACUAAACACACUUUAACUUAAUUAAAUACCAUAAUCUAAUCAUCAACCAAAUAAACUAAUCUAACCACCUAAACUUACUUAACUUAGACUAAGCACACUUAGGGCAUCAUUAACCCUCUAAUCAAGAUUUAGUGAGCUUAAACUCACCGGGUUAGCAAGCCGAGCGGACCAAAACGACGGGGACGACGCGAGGAUCGACUUUCCUCAAGGCGGGCCGAGCAUCUGGGCUCGGGAAGGCAGCCGAAACAGGCCAAAACGGGGCUGCCAUACCCAUUUUUUGUAGCUGCUGUCCAUUGUGGUUUGAGGCCGAGGAAGGGUAGAUCCAACGCUGGUUCAGGCGGAGGAGACCGGCGAGGGCUUGGACAGGCUGAAGGGGAGGUCGAUGGCGGCGGAGGGAGCUCCGGCGAAGGCCUGAGCUACUCGGACAAGCGGCUGGAACGCGGCCUGGCGCGGACGAGGGCGACGAGCAGGUGAGCUGACCAGUGGAGCGGCGUGCGGGCAGCGCAGAGCGACGGCGGCGACAACAUGCGAGCGGGUCGGACGGCCAUGGCUGCGGCUUCUUCUUCUUUGCAUUUUUCUGGUCUUCGCAACAUGGAAAUGGAGAAGAGAGGCAAUGGGAAAGAGAGAGGGAGGAGAGAGAAGGAGGGGGCCCUUUUUAUUUUCUUUUUCUCUUUCUUUCAUCCAACAAAAAUGGCCCACCACCAUGACAUCACAUGGUGUCAUGGUCCACUAUCUCUAAACCUCCCACAACAAUCUUCAAUGGGUCCAAUUUCAUUUUCCGCUGGGGCCUAAAAUCUUGUACACUAACUUCUUCAAUUCCACUUGAUUCUCUUCCAAUUGAAUCCAAUUGAAGUCCAUAAAAUUAAUCCAAUGCCACCACACUUCAAUUCACAUCUUCACUUGUCCGUAGAACCAACUUAAGUCCCAAAAGCACGACCAAAGGCAAACCUACUAAUUUCUUGAGUCAAAUUAACAAUUUUCUGAUUUAAUUGCUGAAAAACUCCGAUUGCAUGAAAAAUCUUCCAAAGAUGAGUCAACGAUCCUAAAAUGAUUUGUGACACACCAUGACUUCCAAUUUCUGAAUUCGAUCUCAAAUCUACAGUUAAUUUCACUUUGGCACGAUACUAGCGCGGUCCGACCUACCGGGUAACAUUUAGAAAUUUUCAUGCAUUUGACCUGUUGUUGAUUAUCUCAAGCCACAAUGUACAUCUUUGAAACAUUGGCGACUUUCGGUUGUCGAGGUAAUCUCAAGAUUUCAAAUACGAACAUAGGGUACUCAAUCGAUAGAAAAGUCGGUCCAGUGCCGAUCGACAAGAUAUGUGCGAUCUGAUGGAAUCACCCACACUCGAUCACAUGCCCCUGUCGAGUCAACUUAUCUCCGAUCUCUAAUCGAUUUUUAUUUGUGCCGUAAUGACCCUUGCAGAUUAGCUCGGUCGAAAGGUCGCUUCCUUGUCAAAUUCUCGAGUCCGAUGCAUUAGAAACUCUUAACGGCUUCACCCGAUAGACUAGUUUUCACAUGAGUGGCCGACUCAAGGAACAGAACUAUAUACGUGCCAACAAAAUGCACGUCUCAAUUUAUUGAAAUAGGAUCGGAAAAUCGGGAUGUCGCAACUCUUUCCCUCUUAUAAAAAUUUUUUCCUCGAAAUUUAAACCUUUACCAAUUCUUAAACAUAAAAUGUGGGGUACAAUUGUCUCAUCGAAUCUUCGGUUUCCCAUAUUGCUCAUUCAGUACCAAUACUGCCAGAUCACUGCUAUCUUGCCCAAACCACUUCGGGUUCCAAAAUACUAAACGCUUGCCCACUUAAAAUUCCAAAGGUCUUCAACACAAAAUCUGCGAAACUAAACUAGUGAUUCUGAGCAAUCUCUAAACCGUCUUUGAUAACUGUGACUGAAUCACUGAUUUCUAAGCCAACUCUGGACCUGCGAUUUUCUGAUCUCUGAUCUCAUCUCAACCAACUGAAAUCCUGAAUACUCUGCUCUGCACUAAUUAAAAAGAAACUAUAUGACUAAUCUGCUGAAACUGGGAACCUCUGGUCAAGAUCUGAUAUAACUCUUACACUUAUCUCGACAACUGCAAUCACUGACCACUGUACUAACCUUGGCAUGUGAUCUUUCUUUCCUUGACUUCAUCUCAGCAAUUGAAAUUCUGCAUUAUUUGCUUUGCACUGCUUAAGAAAGAACCACCUGAAAGCUCUGCAAUUUGGAACAUCUGAUCUAGAUUUGAAAUACAAUUCAUCCCCGGCACUCCAUGCAGAUGAUUUAUAUGAUAUACACACACUUCGGUGUACCCACUUUGUGACAAGACAGAAUCUCCAAUUUCUGAAAUCGAACUUAGAUUUGCGGUUAAUUUCACUCUGACACGCUUUUAGUGUGACAUAGGCUACUAGGCAGUUUUCGGAGCUUUUUAGGACAAAUGACCCGUGGUCGAUUUUCUUCGAGCCACGAUGAACCCACUUGACACAUUGGCGACUCUCGAGGGUCGUGAAAAUCUCGAUGAUUCAAAUACGGACACAAGGUACCAAAACGACAGUAAAAUCAAAUUAGUAUCAUUCGACGAGAGUUUUCCAAUUUAGUGGAGUCACCCACGAUCGGUCAUUCAUCUCAGUCGAAAUGACCUAUUUCUGAUCUUAAUUUGAUUUUUAACUGUGCCGUAAUGAUCUCUAAAGAUGAGCACGGUCGAGAAGUCGAUUCCUGGUCGAAUUCUCAAGUCUAUUUGCCUUAAAGUCCUUAAUAACUCACACAACUAGUCUAGUUAUCUCGUAAGUGGCCAACUCAGAGAAAAACACUGUAAUCGCGUCGAUGAAAUGCCCAAUUUAAUCAAUCGAAAUCAGAGUCUGAAAAUCAUGAUGUCACACACUCAAAACAAGGUCUAUUCAUACUAUCUGGACAACGCUGAAAUUACUAUGAUUAGCUUCCCAUAAGAUAUCUUCUUUAAUCUCUACAUCAUCAAUUACACACAAUCAUCCUUAGAACCUUAGCGUUUUGUCUUCAGAAAUCUGAAAAUCAACCUCUCUCUCAUCUGCAUACUCUUAUAGAGUCUCUUGAAUUUUUGAAUCUAUCCGCUGAAGCAUUUUGAUUAUGAUAUGAACUUUCAGUUCAAUUCUGAGGGUGGUCAUAUGAUUCAAAAGGUAGCCUACCUUAGAUUUGAAAACCGAAAUUCGAACUUUCUCAAAUAAGAUCCAACCCUUGAGUACCAACUGUGCAACUAAGGACUCUUGACUUAGUGCAUCUGCGACUUUGCUCACCUUUCCAGAGUGAUACAAAAUAUCAUAGUCAUAAUCCUUAAGGAGUUCCAUCCAGCGAUGCUGUCUCAUAUUCAACUCCUUUUGAGAGAAUACAUACUUGAGACUUUGAUAGCCAAAGAAGAUAUAGAAUAUUUCUCUAUACUGAUAGUGCAUCUAAAUUUCCAGAAUGAACAUAACUAUUGCAAAAUCUACAACGUGCAUCAGGUAAUUCAACUCACAAGAUCUCAACCGACGGGACGCGUAUGCAAUAACCUUAUCAUGCUGCAUCAUCAAGCAACCCAAUCCUUUAAAUAACGUAUCACUGUAGAUCUCAUAACUUCCAGGACCAGAUGGAAUAGUCAGCACAUGUGCAGUAGUCAGCUUCUACUUAAGCUCUUGAACACUACUCUCGCACUUAUCUGACCAUAGAAACUUUUCUUCCUUCUUCAGCAGUUUCGUCAUCGGCGAUGCUAACACUGAAAAACCUGCAUACGAACUGUCUGUAAUACUUUGUUAAACCCAUAAACUUCUAAUCUCUGUCACUGUUGUCAAUCUCGGCCAACUGUUCAUUACUCCAAUCUUGGACGAGGUCUAUGAAGAUUCCUUCGCUUGAAAUCACGUGACCUAGGAACGCAAUACGAGUCAUCCAAAACUCGCAUCUGCUAAGUUUAUUGUAAAAUCCAAGAGCACUCAAGGUUUGAAGUACCAUCCCCAAAUGUCUCUCGUGCUCCUCAGCACUCUUUGAAUACACCAGGAUAACUUCCAUGAACAUGAUCACAACUUAUUUAAAUACCCUUAAAUAUUAUGCUCAGUAGACCCAACCAAAUAGUUAUGGUGUCCAUCAAACCACAUGGCAUUACAGUGAACUCAUAACUGCCGUAUUAAGUGCGAGAUGCUAACUUCAGUAUGUCUUUCUUCCUGAUUCUCAAUUGAUGAUACCCUGACCUCCAGUCGGUCUUGAAGAAUAUCAAUGUACAAACAUAACGGACCAACUUUCUUCUUCACGAAUAGAACGGGUGCUCCCUAAGGUGAUGCACUAGAACGUAUGAAUCCCUUAUCCAACAAUUCAUGCAUCUGCACCUUCAGUUCUUUCAGCUCUGAUGAUGCCAUCCGGUAAGGAGCCUUAGGGACUGGCUCUAUUCCGGGUACCAAUUUAAUCACGAAUUCUAUUUCUCUUUCUGAUUGCAAACCUGACAAUUCUCUAGAAAAUACCUUAGAAAACUCCUGUACCACGAUUAUGAUUUCCAUAUCCGGCCCCUCAUCUAACGCAUCCACUUUAGUUACCAUGUAGAUUCGGUAACCAACAACCAUAACCAGGUCAUCUUCAAUGACGAAUAACAAGGAUUGAAGUUCCCCUCGACUUUUAGCGAUUCAAAACUUUCGCACGCUAACUGAACAAACUGAAUUACAUCACUAACAUGAUUCAAAACAACAGAAAAUUCCUUGAGCCAAACCUUUUUAUAAAUGACUUCCAAGUCAUACUUAAGCAAACCCUUCGAGUAUAACUAUAGUCAGAGAUUCACAUUUCUAUUACCUUAUUACCACAACGAAAACCCUACAACCUUCACUGAAAAUUCUCUUGUACUACUCUGAUAAAAACAUCUCAAAAACAUUCUCAUUCUGAUUGAUGCAUAGUCGAUCCCUUCAUGCUCUUCUAGCCAUCCUAGUGGCGUCCUAUCUGUAGUAGCGGUACUUAUGCUCUCAUGGACUUACGCGGACAAUUCCUAACCCAAUGACCGUGCUGGCCAUAUUCAAAUCGUGCUCCAUUUUUACUCUGACACUAAGCUGACCCAUGCCUCCUUUCCACAAACUCGGCACACAAUCGGUGAAUUCUCUAUCUCCUAUCAAGGAACAUCAUGCACCCUUCCUUGCACUGGGAUCCAUUCCAAGUACCCCAUUGAACAUCCUGAAGCAUGCUUCCUCUGUUCUGUCUUAUCAAAGGCGGUGACAGAGACAGCUGUGGUUCCAUCUGCCUAUACGGGUAAUCUUUGAUUAAAUGACUUUACUGGCGACACCUGGAACAAGUUCUUUCCCUUUUACAGCACGGGACAGACCCAUGUCCUUUCUUAUAGACACGACACCCAUCAAUCAAGUUGAGCACUGACUUUUCAAUUCUACUAUUCUGGUUGGGUGAAACAGGGCACAUUUCUUCUAACAUCGGCCUUUCUCCCCAAUUGAUUUAUACCUUUGUCUAAACUGAACUUUGACUCAGAUACAGAGACUUGAUCCUCGAUCACAACUCCAGAUUGGGCCUCAACAGGCGUGGCAACAACAACAGUCACGACACUGGCAGCGGUAGAAACAACGGCAACAGCGGCGGCUCGAUCCUGAGCUUACUAACCCAACGAGCUUCCAAGGAACACUAGCGCUUGAACAAUCCCGACAAACCUAGGAUCAUUCGGUGCUGCAACACUCUCAAUACCGACUUGCAGCGGUACUCUCACACUCGCGCUGGUCUAAGCCUAUGCUCUACCUCGGGUACCGACUCUUGUCAGCAUCCUACCCCGAGAUACAAGUCAUAUCGACCUCCUCCAAGGAGUUCUCCACUCCUGGUCACUCAUCCUACAGGCUCUUUAUAGACACUGUCUUCCAAUUCCAACAUUAGGUUGAAAUUUGAGUGACCCCACAAACAAGCUACCAAUUAGCUAUCACUCACAUGCAUCAACAUAUUAAAAGUCUUUCCUACUAACUAUCCCAUGACUCAUCGCACCUUAUCACUCCAUACACAGACUAUGCUCUGAUACCACUUAAACGAGGAUGUCACGCCCCGAACCUCGAGCGCGCGCACAUCCCACUGCGGUCGAUCAAAUAUGCGACAUCCCAGGAUACAUCGCCGACCCAUUCAUUUCAUUACGCAUGCGGAAGCGAAACAAAUCCCCUGACAACAUUUAACUUGGAAUAGAAAAGCAGGCAAUCAAUCACAAUACCAAAUACUCAUUUCCAAACAAAUAGGUUUAAAUACAACUCUAGACUGUCUACAAAAUAGACCGGCUCGACAAAAAGUGAACCAUCCUAAAACCAACUAGCAGGACACGUUCACCGAUACUUCAAACUCCACAUUUCCAAACUUAGGGCUUCAGGUCCUCCACGACCGCCAUCUAAGGACCUGAAAUUUAAUCCCACAACCGGGAUGAGACGAUGUCUCAGCAAGUUCAACUCCCUAAACCCCUAUUAGAAAGAAAAUACACCCCGGGUGGCCUAGCCACAUCACACAAAAGACUUACCUCGCCUCAGUUCCUUCCUGCAGGUUAGCGUAAUUCAAAUCACUCAAUCACAGAUAGUAAUAAGAACUCAAACGAUUGGAACGCCAUCACUUUCAUAUAAAUCACAAUCACACUUAGCACGCAUUCCAAUUAUUAUUCACUGCCACACAAGGGCAUAGCCUACUCACAGUUCGACUAUCUACUGGCAUAUAGCCAGGCAUCGCCUCCCCACCUUGGAGCGCGGCUUCAUCAGUACAUCGAUGGCGUUCCCGAAGGAGCAUGGGCCCAGAAUCAACUGCGACCCGCAUCCACCGCGUGGGCAUCCCAUAUAGGGGCAAAUCCGGCUCAACAGCCCAGGAUGAUUCCUCUUAGUUAUCACACAGCCAAAGCAUACUCGGCCCCAGGAUACUUUAUAUUACAAUCAAUGCUUCCACUUAAAUUAGUGAUCUCGGCCAUUUUUCUACAUAUUAAAAAUACUCCAGAAAUUACUCACGUGUGUGGGGGCACGCUAAUUUCGAACCAGAAAGCCAAUAUCUUACUUUUUCAAACCCCACUAUUUAAUAUAAUUAUUAAAAUCCCAUUUUUGCAUCAAAACCCGACACUUGGGUUUUUAUUAAUAAAAUCUCUAUUUACCACCAUCAGCACUCAAUUUGCCACAUACAUUCAUCAAAUUCAAAUUCUAAAUGCACAGCAACAAUCAGCAUGAAAUUCUGAGAAUUUAGGGUCCAAAAAUAAUUUUUCGGAAUAUAUUAAAUAAUUAAAUUUAUUCCGAAAAUUAAUAUAAUAAUAAUAUCCAUAUUUUUCACGAUCCACGCUCAAUUUAUAAUAUCCAAUCAUUAAUUUCAAAAUCCAACUACACAGCAGCGAUCGGCACGAAAUUCUGAGCAACCGGGGUCAAAAAUAAUUUUUAUGUUUUUUUUUAAGUAAUAAUAUUUUGAUAAUUUCGGAAUAUAAUAUAAUAUUAUAAAUUCCAGAAUUCAAAAUCAUUAAAUAAUUCAAAAAUAAAACCCUAUUAUGUCACAUCAAGGCUUUUUAUUAAAAAUAAACAUACUUAACUUUAAACUAAACACACUUUAACUUAAUUAAAUACCAUAAUCUAAUCAUCAACCAAAUAAACUAAUCUAACCACCUAAACUUACUUAACUUAGACUAAGCACACUUAGGGCAUCAUUAACCCUCUAAUCAAGAUUUAGUGAGCUAAACUCACCGGGUUAGCGAGCCGAGCGGACCAAAACGACGGGGACGAUGCGAGGAUCGACUUUCCUCAAGGCAGGCCGAGCAUCUGGGCUCGGGAAGGCAGCCGAAACGGGCCAAAACGGGGCUGCCAUACCCAUUUUCUGUAGCUGCUGUCCAUUAUGGUUUGAGGCUGAGGAAGGGUAGAUCCGGCGCUGGUUCAGGCGGAGGAACGGCGGAGGAGACUGGCGAGGGCUUGGACGGGCUGAAAGGGAGGUCGACGGCGGCGGAGGGAGCUCCGGCGAAGGCCCGAGCUGCUCAGACAAGCGGCUGGAACGCGGCCUGGCACGGACGAGGGUGACGAGCAGGUGAGCUGACCGGCGGAGCGGCGUGCGGGCAGCGCGGAGCGACGGCGGCGACGGCGUGCGAGCCGGAGCGGACGACCAUGGCUGCGGCUUCCUCUGCUCUGCAUUUUUUUGGUCUUCACACCAUGGAAAUGGAGAAGAGAGGCAACGGGAGAGAGAGAAGGAGGGGGCCCUUUUUAUUUUCUUUUUCUCUUUCUUUCAUCCAACAAAAAUGGCCCACCACCAUGACAUCACAUGGUGUCAUGGUCCACUAUCUCCAAACCUCCCACAAUAAUCUUCAAUGGGUCCAAUUUCAUUUUCCGCUGGGGCCUAAAAUCUUGUACACUAACUUCUUCAAUUCCACUUGAUUCUCUUCCAAUUGAAUCCAAUUGAAGUCCAUAAAAUUAAUCCAAUGUCACCACACUUCAAUUCACAUCUUCACUUGUCCGUAGAACCAACUUAAGUCCUAAAAGCGCGACCAAAGGCGAGCCUACUAAUUUCUCGAGUCAAAUUAAUAAUUUUCUGAUUUAAUUGCUGAAAAACUCCGAUUGCAUGAAAAAUCUUCCAAAGAUGAGUCAAUGAUCCUAAAAUGAUUUGUGACACACCAUGACUUCCAAUUUCUGAAUUCGAUCUCAAUUCUACGGUUAAUUUCACUUUGGCACGAUACUAGCGCGGUCCAACCUACCGGGUAGCAUUUAGAAAUUUUCAUGCAUUUGACAUGUUGUUGAUUAUCUCAAGCCACAAUGUACAUUUUUGAAACACUGGCGACUUUCGGUUGUUGGGGUAAUCUCAAGAUUUCAAAUACGAACACAGGGUACCCAAUCGAUAGAAAAGUCGGUCCAGUGCCGAUCGAUAAGAAUUGUGCGAUCUGGUGGAAUCACCCACACUCGAUCACAUGCCUCUGUCGAGUCAAUCUAUCUCCGGUCUCUAAUCGAUUUUUAUUUGUGCCGUAAUGACCUUUGUGGAUUAGAUCGGUCGAAAGAUCGCUUCCUGGUCAAAUUCUCGAGUCUGAUGCAUUAGAAACUCUUAACGGCUUCACCCAAUAGACUAGUUUUCACAUGAGUGGCCGACUCAAGGAACAAAACUAUAUACGUGCCAACGAAAUGCCCGUCUCAAUUUAUUGAAAUAGGAUCAGAAAAUCGGGAUGUCACAGAGGCUCCCUACUGUGAGCAGAGAGAAGAAGAAGAAAUAAAGGAAAAAAAGAAGAAGGAAACUCAUAUUUAAGGGAAAAUGCCAUGAAAAACCUUGAAUUUUGCCCCAAGUGACACAUUUAUUCCAAACUUUUUUUUUGCGCCAUGAAAAACCCAAACUUUCAAAACCGUGACACAUUUACCCCAAACUUUUUUUUGUGACACCAAAAACCCUAAACUUUUGUCAUGUGACACAUUUAUCCCAAAAUUAUAGGGUAUUUUGGUAUUUUCAUUUUUUAAGGUUUUUUUUUUCUUCUCUCUUCCCUCCGAUGAUUUGGAUUUAGCCUUUCUUUGCACUGUGAUUCCAACCCAAAGAACUCUACCACUAGAUUUGAAGUCAAGAUGUUUAAAAUAUUUCUAUAUAAGCAUGUACUGAGUUUUUGUGAUUGAGUAUAUAAGCUCUAUCAUUAAUGAUCAUAGUCAACUAUGCCGAAUCUACGACAAUUUUAGCUUGUGGUAGAUCUGAUCAACACCAUCCAUCUUUUCUUUUAUUUUCUCUUUUUUUUUCUUUUCUCUUUUUUUUCUUUUUUUUUCUUUUUCUUUUUUUCUUUUUUCUUCCUUCCCGGUCAUAGCAAUAUGUGAACUUAUGAAGCCAACAAUUCAUCAUCAAAUUGGAGCCAGCAUUUAAUGGUAAAGUGAACAUUUUCUCAUUGGAAUGCCAUCUUAAGGUUUGAAGGACCUAAAUUGACUGUCCUCUUCUUCAACACAAGGAUUCAACCUCAUUAUUUAACCGCAAGGCUUAACUAGAGUCGAGAGAUUCUUGAUAAUACACCUAAUAAUAAUGACAUUUUUAAUUCCAUAAUUGCCCUUUAAAUACAGGCAGUCAAAUGAAGUACUCAAAGCCAGAGUCGAUGCACUGGACAACGAGAAGAUGACGUACAGCUACACAAGGGUGGAGGGAGGCGAAUUGGCUGACAAGAUCGAGUCGAUCUCUUAUGAAAUAUCAAGAUGGAGGCAUCUCUCGAUGGGGGCUGUGAGGGCACGAACAGGAGCAACUACCACCCAAAACAAUGCAUCGUGAUCAGUGAGGAUGAGAUCAAAGCCGGGAAAGAGAAGGCCAUGGCCGUCUUCAGGUCCGCGGAGGGCCAUCUCUUGGCCAACCCCGAGGCCUCUGCCUAAAAGCUUUUGUUAGUAUUAUUGUCUCUGUUUGAAGUAAAUUCUGCAUCUCUCUUUGUGGACCAAUUAAGUUCUGCUAAUUAUAAUGUGGUCUUCUCUAUGUGAAAUCCUUGAUUGAGAGUGCUAAUGUUGUUGCUAUUACAAUAAGGUUCUCCAAUUCUACUAUAGUACGUUGCCUUGUUAAAAAGUGCCUUGGAGCACAGUUAAGAGGUAUAAUAAUGUUGCGGCGAUGCAUAUAUCAAAUUCACGCUGUAAAUUAGUAAAUGAAGUUAUUUUCAUGCGUUUGAAGAAAUUUGGAUGCACUUCUUCAAGGGUAGCAUUUUUCCCUCAGUUUGUUGCUUCCAUUGAUUGCAUCUGAUGCUUCGAGACGUUAAAUCUUAGAGAAUUCCAUCUAUUUAAAAUUGAUGUGUAAUGGAUAUUGUUGUGAUUCAAAAGAAAGGUUGAUUAGGAUUAGGCCUUUCUUUGCAUUGUAAUCAUAACCCAAAUAGUUCUAUCACUAGAUUAGAGGUGAAGAUAUUUAAAACAUUUAUAUUUAAACGUGCAACAAGUUUAUGCCAUUGAGUAUAUAUGCCCUAUCAUUAAUGAUCAUAGUCAACUAUGCUGAAUUUACAAUGAUUCUAGUUCAUGGUAGAUCUAAUUGACGCCAUCCAUCUUUUAUUUUCUUUUCUUUCUUGCUGGUUAUAGCAAUAUAUGAACUUAUGAAGCCAACUGUUCAUCUUCAAAUUGGAGCCAGCAUUUAAUGGGAAAACAAUGAAGCACGGAAUAUAUUCUUACCAUCCUCUUGAUCAAGAAAUGACAACACCUUGACAACGACUCGCACGCAAACACUUUGAAUAUUUGUGGUUGGAUACAUUAAUUGACCCGGUAUAAUUAAUCACAGCACCAUCAAAAGGCAUAAGAGAUUAUCCUUGAAAACACAUGACCAAGUGGCCAAUUAAUCGUAACUUGAGUGAACUAUUGGGGUUUGCUCAAGUGGCCACCAUUCCAACAUGGAAGAGGGAUGUGAGAGGUUCGAAUCCCCACCUUCUCAUGGGAAAUUGGGGUGGGGAUGAGAAAGUUUUAGAAGUGGGUUUCGACUCUCAGUCCUGCAAGAGGCAUGACAAAAGUCUGAGAGUGAGUAUUAGAGUAGGAUAAGAGUAUGACUGACCAAAAAAAAAAAAUUGUAACUUGAGUCGAGACCUUUUAGUUCUCAUCCAACUUCAGCAUUGAAUUAUAUUCUUUGUAAGGUUAUACGAUAGCCCUUUACUCUUUACAGCCUUGGGAACCGGCUGAUCCAUCUUAGCAAGCUAAUUCGUCAAUGCAAGUGGGGUUGAGGAGUGCAUUCACUUUGUUUGUCAAGCCCUUCGGUUCGAUUAUUAUGGUACAUCGGCGAGGUUAACAUUUAGUGUGGGGGACACGAAGUUGCCGUUGUGGCACGAGGAAAUAAUCAGUUUAAGAAUCCUCUCGGAUUAAGUUGACUUCUCGAGAAAGUGUGCAUUAUAUGACGAUGAGAUGCAACACGAAUCGCAUGGCCGCAAGUUUUUCCAUUCACUACACCACACUCUAACCAUCAUGUAUCAUCCACAGCCCCGCUUUUAGAAUCACGUCCUAUCCCGAUCAACUCUUCUCUCCCACUUCGCACCUCAGAACGUACCCUUAUUAGUUAUUAUAGCGAGAAUUAUUAACUUUCCUCUGAAUCUCGACGAAGAAAGAUAUCUUUGGAGCUUUGGAGCCAAUAAAAAAUACACCGAUUCAACGAGGGCUACCUCCUCUCGGACCUAUAAAUAGUGCGGUCCCUUGCCGUUCUCUUCACACUAAGCUCAAGCAAAGUUGAUUUCAUCGUUCGUAUAAUUUCAGUAGCGAGUCCCUAGAGAUCGAUCAUGGUUGUGUUCAAAUUGAGUGACGAGUACAAUUCCCCAUUCCUGCGGCGAGAUUCUUUAGGGCCUUGAUUGGGGACUUCCACAACCUUAUCCCCAAGCUCAUGCCUGAAGCUAUCGAGAGCAUUGACAUCGUCCAAGGCGACGGAGGAGCCGGAACCAUUAUGCAAAUCAAUUUCACUGAAGGUAAAGUUUCCUCGAGGGUUUUUAAGUAUUGACUCUCCCAAUCUUGUGUAAUGGAAUAGCACGUUUUCGUAAGUAAUGACGUAGCAAUAAGAUGGCCCACCAAAAAGAAAAACACGAUGAUUGUUAAGAUGCUAUAUUGUUUGAUCAGGCAAAUUUUCCUAAAGAUAUUUGUCUUCUGUGAUUAGUUCAAAUCUAAUUAGUACGUAUCUCCCAUUUCAUACGCAGGUGGGGAACUCAGUUUCAUUAAGAGCCGAGUAGAUGUGCUAGAUGAAGAGACAUUAACGUGUGUGUACAGACUGAUUGAAGGCAGUCAAUUGAUGGAGAAGUUUGAAUCCAUUGCUUACGAAGUUAAUUUCGAGCCGACACCAGACGGUGGGAGCAAGAGCAGGAUAGCCAGCACAUACUACACCAAGGGCGAUUUUCAGCUCAACGAAGAAGAAAUCAAAGCUGGCAGAGAGAGAGGCUUAGGAAUAUACAUAGCCGUCGAAGCAUACCUCCUCCAAAACCCGGAUGCCUAUGCUUGAUUCCGGAAGUUCUUCUCUCAAAUAAAUCUGGAAUUACUCGUGGUACUCUGUGUCUUCUGCAGUGAGUGUUCGGCUUGUCUUUUGGCGAUGGACUUGACCGUCCUUUUGAGUGCGGAUGGCAAUAAGGAUACAUACUUUGUACCUCAUUUAAAGCGGUAGAUCAUUAGUGAUUCAUCCUAUAAAAGCAUUCUAGCAUUUUCCUGAAUACCACUUCAAUUUCCCAUUAAUUUCGUAAGAAAUCUCAUCUAAUUUUUUUCUCGUGACAUGCUUAUUUUGAUAUUUCCUUUUAAACAUUUUUGCCAAAUGGUGUUACGUCUCUAAUCAAAGUAAAAAUUAGAUAGUUGUUUAUUUUGGAAAUAUACACGUGUCUUCCUAAUAAGGCCUCUCAGAAUAUUGAAAGACUAGCUAAAAUGGAUCAAGAUACUAUAUAAGCCAAAAUCAAACAAUAGACUUCAAGUCUCAAAAACUGGUUAAGUCCUAACUUAUGACUAUGUAGGUAGCCAAGACCUACGGUAUCCUGUUUGAGAACAACUAGCAGAAGUGAAGAACAAGGGAUGAUUCAAGAGUGUGAAUGGUGUAAUAAGAACUUUUUGUAGAGAACAAUCCCCAAUUCUCCACAUUUAUGGGUAGGGUUGAUUAAUCAAUUGCUCAUCAAACAUAGGUGCUAAUAUGCACGAGACAGAUUUAUAUACCACACAUGCCUUUAUCAAAUUCAUACACGACUCCUUCACGUGGAAGGAGUUGAAAAAGAAAGAGGAAUGAAUGUGAAAAAAUUGUAGCCCAACCCCAAACGCGACAACUUAAUCAUAAGCGGGUCACACUAUUUUUCAUGAGUUAACAAAUUUGAUUCGCAUUGUGAGCGGAUUCUUGGUGAGCUUGUAUCCUACAUAUAUUGCUACCUCAUGCGUAGAUAUUUCCUGAUUUCCAGCACGCCGGUAAGAUAGCAACGACAGGCCUAUAUACGUAUCCAAACUGAAUAGUUUUGGUUCAAACUGAACCCUCCACGGUGAACGUGAGACCGUAACGUCAGAGGGGGAAUCACGUUUGAUUUUUCCUCUCUACCCUCUUGAUAUACGAAGGCAAAAAUCGCAGCCCAUCAAGAGUCGGUUGCGUCGGGCAGCAAGGCCAGGUCGGACCACCUCUAAUCCUCAAGCCGCAGGUCGCAUCUCGCGCGGGAGCCGACGCUGCCUUCAAUUCGGCGGCAGGGAAAACGAGAAUACAAUUUUGCCCCCUCUCUCUGACUGGCGGGGAAUGUUCGCGCCACUCGCAUGCAGCGAAAAAUGAAAAGAACAACCGAAAGGAAAAAACCACACCCCAAAAGAUAAAAAGGAAAAGCAAGAAAAAAAAUUAAAACAAAAAUGCAAAAAGACGCAAAAAACCCUCCUCUGUUUCCUUCGGUUUCCGACUCCGAAUAUCCCACCAUCCCCCUCCGACUCUCUCCUCCUCCCAUUUUUAUUUCAGAUAGUCACUUCGGAUUCUCUCUCUCUCUCUCUCUCUCUAGAACGAGCAGCGACAACCUCGAUUGGUUGAUCUCUGCGGCCAAGCCCUCGAACCAACAGGUGUCGUCCGAUGCCUCCGAGGAGGAGGAGGAGGAGGAGGUGGUGGAGGAGGAGGAGGAGGAGCAGCAGCAGCAGCAGCUCAACGAUUGUUGUUUCUGCGGAGGUGGACCACUUGAGCUAGUGCAAAACGAUUGACGCACUUGCGUUUGCCCUGUGUGUGGUGACGGUUGCUACCGUCGUUGUUUCUGCUAUUCCGUUCAAAGAUUUCUUCCAAAGGAGUCUAAUAAUCACAAGAUCACUGGGGAUGGGCAGUCCAAUAAUGAUGCUGCUAUAUAAACCAUGGAGCAGCGUGUACGGUGAAAUGAUUUGUGAUUAUUAGUUCGAUGACCUUGAACACCUGAUUUCAUAUCCAAAGGCAUUAAUAACCGAUCAGAAGCUAAUGAGAGAAGGCAGCAUAUGCCCACAAAAUCUCACCUGAAGAAAUUGGCCAUUUAAUACUGAGGACCUAUUCUUUAAGCAGCAUUAGCAAUAGUGUCAUAUUAAAAUGUAAUGCUCCUCUUUCCCAUAAAGCUACUUCACUGAAACCUACAAGCUACAGUUCAUUACUCGACUGAAAAAAAGCUGAAUAUGUGAUAGUCAAUUACUGGGAGAUACUAGACGAAUUUAAUCCCCAAAGUAGAAACAAUAGGUUGAAAUUCUUGUGUCAAACAAAUGUAAGGAAAUUUGAUUUAUCUGACCCUAUUCCAGUGGUAGCAUCGAUCCAAACUCGCUAAUCCAAGACCUUAACAAAAUCAACCAAAUACAACACAACGCUGUCAGUCAUAUGCUUUGAAAACAUCCAAAUCUACACCUAAGGGAUCAUUUAGCUAUAGUUUGCCCCCAUUCGAUCAAGCACUAUAGCUCCACCACACGGUCAAUGAUUUCCCCCAACCCCGAAAUGCCUAAUUAGCCAAAUUCACUACACAGAUCUCACUUCCCCAGGCUCAAAACUGACGUACUCGAUACUAGAGGCUAUCCACACGAACCUUUUCAUGAUCCAGACUCUCAAUCCGAAUCAAGUCAAGGAUCGCAACCAUAACUGAUUACAUGAACACGAGAUGCAAUGAAGCAUUGUUAGACCAACCAUCACCCUCAACCAAAGACUUGUUCUGCUCCUCAUUAUUUUGCACGAGAGAUAGAUCGAACAGCGUCGUCAAGGAAAAUAAAAAUGACAUUACACAACAAAGAAAUUUCAAUCUCUGUACCUUUCCAUAUACGCAAAACAAUCACACUCGAUCAAAUGGCGCGAUCGCCUAGCGAGAUGGAGAGGUCGAUUGCAGUCUUUGGUCUCGUAAGUUUGUAGAUUCUACAGUGAUUUACGCGAUGGAUAGCAAUCGAAAGCUCUGGCAACUUGGGGGGAAAGGAAGGUGGGGGACAAUGGAUUUGCUGAUUUUUCUAUUUUGCCCUCGGGCGCUUGCUCUGUCAGCGGGCAUAUUUGGUGUCACGUUCAGUGAUUUUGUUGUUUCCGCCAGGGCAAUGAAGGAAGUUUAGCUAAAAUGAGACGUGCUCCCGGACAAGUUUGCGUUCUCCCUGUCUCUCCUCCUUUGGCGCUUCCUUUGGUGUCUUUCAAAUGGGCACUUCGACACGGCUUGGUUCAAUUAAGUCGAUAUUAAUUAUCUAUUCAUGGAUAUUGGUGAAGGUGUAUAAAAAUGCGAGUACUCUAUUAUGAUUGUAAGCUUCUUGAGUUAAAUAUUUUUGAUUCCAAGCUCAGAUCAAUCUCAAACCGGAAUUAUGCAAAACUUUUCUUUGAAUUUGAAAAGAAUAUGAUUCAACAUAUGUGGUAACCGAGCAGAGCUUAAUUAUGGAUUAUGGAAGCCCUCUCUUUCGAGCUAAGAGAGAGUUUGAAAACGCUACUUGCCAUGAUGCAUCAAUUCUUGAAUAUUCGUUGAAGUUUAUAUGGAAGUGGAUUCAAUAAUUUUUUACUUUUUUAUAGAUAAAAUGUAUAUACAAUAGUUUGAGUGGACUCGUACACUUACCAAUGGAUCGAGUGGUUAUGACUCAAAUAAGAUAUUUUGUAACAGAUAUAACAUUUUAUAUAACAACAAUAAUGGAUAAAUCGUAUUGAUCAUCUCUUAUGACAUCUUUUCUUUUUUUUCUUUUUUUUAAGGAAAAAAGAAAAUCGCAACCCAUUGUGACUUAGGCAGGGAGGCCGAGUCGGAUCACCCCCAAUCCUCAUGCAGCUCAACGAAUGUUGUUUCUGCUGAGGUUGACCACUCGUACUAGCGCAAAACGAUUGACGCCCUUGAGGUUGCCCUGUGUGUGGUGACGGUUGCUACCAUCGUUGUUUUUGCCGUUCUGUUCCAAGAUCUCUUCCAGAGAAUAGUGAAAGCAGCAAGUAAUAUCACCGGAGAGGGCAAUCCAAAUAACGAUCCUACCAUAAAAUCAUGGAGCAGCGUGAACGGAAAAAGGAUUUUGAAUCGAAUGACGAAACAAGGACAAGAUGUCCCUCAAAAGUGUUCUUACUGGUAGAUGAAUCUAACGCUGGAUAACUCGGUUAGUACCUCCUCUCGGAGGACUGAAGUAUUGUAAGAGCAACUGGUGUGAACCCCAAACUAAUUGGCAAAGGGGUGCAUGAUUUUUGGGGGAAGUUAGGUCGACUAACUUGCUAGACGUUGACUUUGUUUGAUUCUCAUGCUGGUUUUAACGGACAAACAUCAACAGUCCCUAUCUUAGAGGGAAAAUAAAUCUACAAGCUACCGAGAUGGAAGGGAAAGUCAGACCUGGAUUUCUGCCUACAAAGGGAUUGCUGCAUGACCUUAAUAAAGCAUAUGCUUGAAUGUCAAGGAUUGAAGAAUCUACAAAUUCUCUGUGCUUGACAUGGACCCUUGCCUUAAUUGAGUAUUCUGCAGUCCCAGAAAUUCCAGGCCUUGAGAGUCUAGAAAGUCUUAGAACUUUGGAGCUGAACAAACUCAACCAACUAGGCAAAUCGGAUUAUCUGAGUGACUUGAAGAAACUAACGGCUUUUCAUUUACAUCAUCGUGGUAAUCCGGUUGACGGAAUUUGUUGGAAAAUUUGUGGAUCUCCACCGGCAACUCAAUCCUAAAGUUUCCUAAUGUAUCAACGUUAAAGAAAUUAAAACGGGUAGGCAUACUUCACCAUAGGUGAUUUGUAAAUUCAGCACAUUAUGGAGUUGCUUGAUCGAACCUGGCAAGUUUCUGCAAUAGAGAGAACAUUGGAUACCUGCUCUGUUGAGUACUUUUUUCUGAUAAGAAGUGCCUUCUAUUCCGUUAUAGAUAUGAAUUACUCAAGAGGUUUAUGCAAAUUUUCCCUUCAUGUGCACUUCGCAUGUUGACUUCUUAUAUGGUUUUGUAAUUCUAUAUACCCUUAUUCAGAUCUUAUUUGUUUUAAUUUGGUUUGGUUUAGAUGUUUCAGUGGCUUUGAAUUGCUAAUUAACAUAACCAGUGAGGUCGAGUCAAUUUGUAUAACUUCUAAGUGCAUUAUCAUGUCAAUUUACUAUAUGGUGAUUUAUCAGAGGAAUCCUUAUAAUUGUUGCUUCAUAUUACUAAAUCUGAAGCUGUUCGAUGCCCAUGCUUCAUGCAAGAAAACGUUAACUUCAUCACACUGUAUAGGAUAAAUAUUUGUUAUAAAAAGUGUAAAAUAUCUUAGCACUGAGGGCAUCACCUCUAUGACGAUAAUCUACUCAAAAAUGCAAUGUAACGAAGAUAAAUACUCUACAUCGAUUAACGCAUGUCCAGUUUAUUUUUCAGGUAGAACAUGGCACUUAAGUUGGAUUCACAUGAGUUGAAGAGAAGGUGUAACAAUUCUUAAUUAAAUUAAAAAAUGUUCCCGUUGCAAAUGGAUUUGUUUUGACAUAUCCAAUGUUGAGGUAAAUCUGGAAUAAUAAUGACCCAAAUCAUUUAAUUUCCAAUGAUCAAAAGUGUGGCAAAAAAAUUUACCAUGCAAUUGUCUCACGCUGACUGCAAGUUCUUAUCCUUUCGCCUCCUUUUAAAAAAAAAUAUAUAUAUAUAUAUAUAUCCCAAGCACUAAUCAAGAGAGUGAGAAGCCACACCUCUGGAAAUGUUAUUUGAAAUAGAGAACUUUCGUACUUGAGAUUGGGGGAGUCAAUAUUCUUUUUAAUCAUCAUAGUCAUUGGAGAUGCUACACUCAACUUUUGCCGAUCAUUGUUGAGGCAUCAGAGUUCAAUCGUGAAUUUGGAAAUACUAAUUGAGUUGGAUUCCAAAUGGGAUCUAAUAGAUCACGUCAAGUUUGUGAGCUUAUUCACUGCACUUUUUAGUGGCUCGAAGUUUAAAUACAACACUCACAAAUAAUAUUUGUCAUCUACAUUGACACAAGACUGUGCUUAUACAUUAGUUUUGUGUGCUCUAUCUUAAUAGUAUUUUGUAUAAUAAUCAGAACAAAGCAUGAAUUUUAGGCGUGAGGAGCAAUUUAUUGACACUAACGAGGGGUUAAGUGCGAAGGAUAGUUCACCCCGAAAUGAAAGUGAUAUUUUCUUAAUUUCAUUGAUCACCAAGGGUGUGCAUGGAAACGUUUCUUAGAAACGUUUCCGGCACACUUCUGUACGGAAAGUGUUCCCGAGAACAAAAAAGGAACAGAAACGCGUUUGGUUGCAUUUCUAUUCCUUUUUUGUUUUUUUAUUUCUGGAACGAAAUAAAAACAGAAAAAAGAAACACAAAAAAGUUGUUUUUUGCUCCAGAAACGUUUCUUGAAGAAACGUUUCUCUCUUCUCUCUCUUCUUCUUCUCUUCUUUUUUUCUUCUUUUUUUUUUCUUCUUUUUUCUUUCGCCGGUCGUCGGCCUCGGCCAUGGCCGGCGACCAGCCGUCGAGGCUCGGCCUCUCCCAGAUCCGGCGAGGCCGAGCGUCGCCGACCCCCGGCGAGGCUCGGUGUCGCCGGCGCAGGCUCGGCCGAGCCUCGCCGAUGCUAGGCGAGGCCGAGCCUCGCCAUGGCUGGGCGAGCUCGAGCUCACCCAGCCAAGGCGAGGCCGAGCCUCGCCGUGGCUGGGCGAGGCUGCCGGCCCCGUCGGUCGAUCGCCGGAGGCCGGUGACCGGCCGGAAAAAAUAAAAAAUAAAAAGAAAGGAAAAAAUAAAAUAAAAAUGUUUAAAAAUUAAAAGAAACAAAAAAAGAAUAAAAUUUACCAAACAUAUUUCUGUUCAUUUUUUAUUCCCGGACCAAACGUUACCAAACGCGUUCUUUUGUUCAAAAAUUGUUCCCCGGAACAGAAACACUUUUUUUUGUUUAUGUUCCCUGGAACAAAAAAAGAGCAAAAACGUUACCAUUCGCACCCUAAGGGAGCGCUUCAACGAAGAACAAGCCCAAUAAUUCCACUGGGCUUUAUGUUUUGAAGUCAACUCGUGUCUUACCCAAUCAGCCCAUUAAACAAGACUGGUCGUUUAUUUUUUUAUUUUUUCUUAUUGUAAGGUCAAAUUGAGAGACAAAAUCAUAAGACAACUCACACAAUCAAUUUUCUUGAAUAUGAUGAAAGAAAAAAUAAAUUAGAUACCAAAAUAUAAAUAAUUACAACCAGAAAAUAUUAUCACUUACUAAAAAGAAAUUGUUAAUGUAAUUAUAUAAAUCUAUUAAAUUCAAAAGAUGAAAAAAAAAUUAAAAUGCUUGCUCGAGGUCGCAAAUCCGAAUCAUUUUAUUUGCUUCCUCCAAUACUUGCAAAACAAAUUUAAAAUUCUCUUUGGAUUUUGAACCUCCGUGUACAAUUUGGAUAGCAUAAUUCAAUAAGUGAUCAUACCAUUUGUUUAGAUUGUCAAAAUUGAUAUGGAGUUCGAAAGGUAUAAACGCUUGGAAAUCCUUUCUCCAUCGAGACAAUAUGUAAUUGCUCAGUAUGUCAUUUACUCCAAUGUGAUGAAGAAUUGCAUAGUGUAUGUCAUCAACACAAAUACGAUUGGGACUAGAAGUGUACUUAUUUCAUUUUAAAUCCACACUUUCCCAACUUAUAUUCACAAAUAUGUGUCAAAGCUUAUUUUCAAGCAAUUUUAAAGUUGCUUGAAAACAAGUUGAUACUAUUGUAGUUUUAAUUUAGAUUUAUACCUUCCCAAGUAUAUUUUAUCUGAUAAUUAUGAAUUUCUGUUAUUACUAAAAAAGAAAAUUUUGAAGAGGAGUCAAAGACAUCAUGACACCGUAUUUUAUCACCCAUUUUUGUCCAAAAGCUUACACUGGAAACAAGCAAGUUCAUUAUAUAUAUAUUGCAUAUUGAUCUUUAUAGACACUGUUUAAUACUGAAAAAAAUCAUACAUCGGAGAUAUGUCUGGCUUAAAGAUCAUAAGUUGAUCAUCUCUUAUGUAUAUGAAAUCCAAAUGCCUGAUUUUUUUUGUGAAUGAAUUUGCAGGCUGCCCAGGCAGUCUGCGAGCUUGGAGAAGUAUUGGGUGAAUCCCUGUCUCCUUGUCAUCAAGUUUUGCACAUGUCUCUCAUGAAAGAACUUCGAGGUCAAUUAUGGAAGGUAAGAAAUGUCCGGACUUUGUCACAGGAGAGGGGAUAUGUGUAGCUUGUGUUCUAAAGUACCAACGCAAAGGCAUGAUACAAGAAUAGAAGGAAUAAAGGCUGAAUUCUAUCACAUACUAUAUACCAUUUAAACUUCCUUGCCUUCUCAGACGUUACUGUGUCAAUUUUGUUCCUAUAAUAUUGUAGGGGAAGGAGGCUCUUUUAUAUGCCUUGGGUGCUCUUUCAGAGUCUUGCCAUCAAGCCAUCUCCAAGGAAGAUCCCAACGCUGCUAGUGCUAUUCUGGAUUUGCUAUCCUCUGCAUGCACAAAAAAGGUCAAGAAAUACCGGGAAGCGGCACUUUUAAGCCUUAAUCAGGUAGUUCCAGAUUAUUGUGUGUUUCCCAAUGCAAUUGUCUCCAUUUAGAAAAAUGUAGGGCUUUUUGGAGCUCUCACAUCCAGAAACUUUUCAGCAGUACAUUGUUUGGAAAGUGCUGUUUCAGGUUGUUUUCACUUUCUUAAUGCCCAGCUGGAAUCUGCCCCUGAUCAUCCCCCUUCCUCUCUAAUGAAGAUCUUGAACUUUUCAUGGUUUUUCAGGUUAUAAAAGCAUUUGGCAAUCAUGAGCCAGGACAAGCACACUCAGCAAAUGAUUCUGCUGAAUCAGGUUCAUCCAUAUUUCUAGCUUGUGACUGUCCAGCUUUCAGGAUUUUGAGUUGUUCUGCAUCGUAUCCUUUGAAUUCCAUAUCAUAAAUUUCUCUCGUUGUUAAACUGUGCAUUUUACAUGGCAUGGUUAAUAUGUGCAGACUAUGAUGGAAAAGAAGAUUCUUCUACUAGAAAAAGUACUGGACUGUGUCACAUCUUGUAUCCGUGUGGCCUAUAUUGAUGAUAUUCUCGAAGAGAAAAAUAACUUGAAGCACCUCUGGAUUGUCUCCCUCUCACCUGAGUUGUCAUGGACUGGUAUCUUCAUAACCAAAUUUUUCUUAGGUGAUUGCUGCAUGAAAAGUGUUUCUAUUAACUGUUUCAUCAUGCAGUCAAACUAUCGGCUUUUCUAUCAAUUAAGGGACUCUGCUCAAGGAUUCAUGACAUUCUGCUUGAUUCUCAGCUACCUUCUCAACAUGCAAAUACAGCAUCUUUGUUUCAUGAGGUAAUUAGUAUCCACUUUCUAAUAAUAUUGCUGAGAAACAGGGUAACUAAGGGAUGAUAUCUCUAAUUUUGGCUAAGAAUAAUAGCUUUCUUUUAUUAUGAUGGACAUGUUGCACUUGCCGGCUUUAGAAUCAGUUGUCGUUCUGUUCUCCAAAUUGCUCGUGUGGAUUCUGAUCAUCUGUUUUUCCUUUGCAAUUGGAAGCUGUUUUCUUUGGUAUUACCCAAAGUGGCGGACUGCAUAGCCACAGUUAAGAUAGUGCAGGUAUGUCUUCACUUUCGCCUUUGUGGUGGAAAUCGCCUCUGCCUUCAUUUUCUUCAAAGCAAUCUGAUCUUGUGUGGCUUUCACCUAGAUGUAGGAUUGUACCAUUAUUAAGUCCCAUGCAUAUCUAGGUGACAUUACUACAGUAAAUGAGAGUUUCAUUAAGUUAUCCAUCGAGAGAUCUGGAGUUAAGAUAGCAUAUAUUGCCUUCGCAAUGUGAAGAAGCAGAGUUUUUCUUUUACUUAGAUCUUUCAAGUUUCGAUGGUUCUCCCAGUGUGGGCUCUGUAUUAACCAAACUGUUGCAUUCAGAUGAUGUUUUUCUUGGAUUCAAUUCCAUUCUAACUCGAUGCACUUGAGGCAAUUACCUUGUACUUGGUUUACUCCUUACUAAGUAGAUCAGCUAAGCCAGAGAUAUCAGUUGAUACCAUCCCAAGGAUUUUUAUAUUUUAGUCAACAUAGCCAUUUCUUGUAUGUGCGAGCAAGAGCAAGUUUAUAUUUGGCAUUGAUUAAUUGACGUGGUCUCAAGAGUUCUAGAUUGUCUUAGAUCCUUUCUGCAGAUGCAAUUUAGAUGUUCAUCUUGCACAGAGGAUCAAUAAUCUGUUUGAUACAUUUUCAAAUUUAGGUUCACGUCAGUGCUUCAGAGUGCCUUUCGGAGAUGAUCACCCUCUGCAGGGAGAUUCCUUCAACGUUCAGGACAGACGCAGGUUUGAAGGAUUUGCUGGCCCAUCUACAUGAGGUUGAAAAAGAUGAACAAGCCAAGUCUUUGCUUAAGAGAUGCAUCCAUUUACUAGAGGCUUCAUAGAGUAAAUGUGAAAGAAAAAUGGUUUCAAAGAAAGGUGCGAAGAGAGUUCUAGCCACUGUAGGUGAAGCAUGAUAAAUGGGUAAAAUCAGUAAAAGAGCUGGAGUGAGGAAGUAAAUUCCAAAUGUGUAAUGAUCGAUCUUGACUGUUUGUGAAUCAAGGUUGACGCUGCCUUAGUAACCUUUUAAAUAAACUAAAAUGUUUGAAUCAAGGCAGAAGCAAGAAUUAAGCAAAGCAAAAGCAGAACUUAGCUAGACAUGUUUCAGGGGGUACACACGUUGGCCCUGCCUAUCUCAAGCACGUGGUAGUUACAGAUUUAAAUAGAUAUCGCACAGGCUUGAUAUCUUUCACUGAAGGAGCCGACUACUAUGCUCCCUUUUAUUCUCAUUAAGAUCUGUACGUUCUUAUUAACAAACACCGAAUAAUUCUGAACUAACUAGCCCGAUCUUCAGUGCAUAAGAUAAUCUUCUUCUUCUUCGUCUCCUGUUUGAAAAUGAACAUGCUAUUGUUUUUGUUUUUUCCAUAGUUUUUGGUUAUUAAGGUAGAAUGAAUUCUCAGGAGCAGGAAUCCUGAUCCAUCUAAUGAUUGGUGAUCUGAUGCAGCCUGUUACGCCUCAUUACUCCGUCUAAUAUUACAAGCACAUGAUCUUCGUGUCUGUCUCGGGGUAAAUGAUUCACCCUUUUCGCUUCUUAUGGACAGUAGACCUGUGUGCCCUGUGUACGCAUUCACCGGAGGCUGCUCUUCUUAGCUUAAAUUUUCAUCAAAUCCUCUGCAUGUCGAUUAUAAGGGGAGGAACUGCAAAAGUUAACUUGCAUACCUACAUUCUUGAGUACCUUUGAAAGCUACAACCGUGGCACUUGGGUCCUUGGCCACCCCCAACAUAUGCCUACAAAUAAUAUACACACACACAUUGUUUAGAAAUAGAGACAAACUAGUAGAUGAAAUUCAAACAUAAAGCCAUCACAAGCAUCGCAAAUUGGUAGGCCACUACGACACAAAUUAUAUACCUAUAAACAGUGCUAAAUAUCAGGUAUUAAUUCAAUUACAUCAAAUCUCUUCUCUCAAGUCAAAAAAUAUUAAUAACCAGUUCAAAAGCUACUAAGUCCCCGCAUGCUUCAUAGAAAAUGUGACUUUUUUAGAAAAUGUUUUUUGGAAAGUCAUUUUUUUAGAAAAGUGACAAUAUUUUCUAGUAUUUGGCUGAGAGUUGAAAGGAAAAUAUCUUUUCUUUUUUUUCUAAGCAUUUCCCAGGUUUGGUCUCUAGCCCAGCCUCUGCAAACCCGAGUCUAUAGGCCGGGCUCGGGCCCAAGUCCAUCAAGGCCGAACAUUAGACUCCAUGCUCGUGCGCUUUUGUGCUCUGGCCGAGAUCUACUAAGCCAAGGCACAAAAUACUAUCGAAAUUAUAAAGAUGUGGGCUUACUAUAUAAAGUAUGGAUUGUUGAGUUUCAACUAUUCUAACCCCGUUCAACAGAAGAAAGUUGGUCCGUGAGUAAAUUGAUCCGUAAAGUGACACUAAAAUUUGUUCCUUCGCCUAAAUUUCUCAUAGAAGAAAAAAAGACAAGUUGAUUCAUUCUCCAUAGAGAAGGCAAACAUUAUCCAAAAAAGGAUUCUCACCCUUCUUAAUAUUGUGCCCAAAAAUCAUAAAAAAAAUCUCAAGAUUAAUAACCUAACUUGUUUUCUUCCUAUUUUUAAAUCUCAAGAUUAGUAGGCAAACAUUAUCCAGUCAUUCAUGCUUCCUUUUCAAAUCUGCAAUUCGCCAUCCUCAAGACAAUGCUUCAACAUAAACUCCCCCCUCCAGCAAGAGUUUCGACACCGGCCAAUCAAUCACAAGCUAAUCGCUAUUAAAAGGAAUAAUAGCAAAAGGCCACAAUCUGCUGCAAUUAGCUCCAAAGAUUGAUUCUGCACUCCUUUAGAGCGCUCUCCAUGUAAUUGGUGAUACCGGAGAGCCAAUCGCCGUUCUGCUUGGCGACCGUAGUGCUUGUGACGGCAUUGUUGGAGGACGAGAUGGCAGCAUCAGAGAUCGCGUGGAGCAAACCCUUGGCCCUGCUGAAGAGCUCCUUGACGAAGACCGCGAGGCGGAAGGAAGGAGGAAAUGAAGUUCUGAAGGAAAGACGCGAGAAAGAAGUCCUAAUGUGAAAAAAGAUUGGACUUUCCCUGGAAAAUUUCUUUGACCACAUUUCCACCCUCAGAACACCAGAAAUUUUGAAAAAAGUUUUCCCUAAAAAGUAUUUUUCACAAAUCAAAGGGAGCCAAGGAGGAUGCGGCAUAUAUGCCCACAAAAUCUCAUCUCAAGAAUUGAUCAUUUAGUAAUUAGGAUCUAUUCUUCACACAACCUUAGCAACAAUGUCAAGUUAAAACAUAUUGAAUUACCUUAGUCUUUCCAUGACAAUUAGAACCACAUCCAACUAAAAAGUUCUAUCUAAUGUGACAUGUAAACCUACAAAAUAAAAUGCUUUGCAUGUAUAUAAUUACAAUUUUAUUGUAUUGAAAUAGUGAAACAAGAUAGGUAAUAAUACCAAGUUUUAGGUAAAUGCGAAAAUCUUUAUAAAAAACAUUUACGACAGAUGCAUACACCACCACUAUCAUGUUGUGAGCCCUAGACCUCACUCUUAAGUUCUGCAUUUACCAGUUAAGAAAUUUUCCAAUUGAAAAUGCGUCACAAGCUCAUUCAAUUACAAGCAAUGAAGCAAGUUCUUACGUCAGAUUGCAAGCUAUUUCAACAAAUCAAGCGAGGAAAUCACUUUGAGGAAACAUCCAUCAAAACAAUAUUUCAAUAUUUUUUGCCCUCGUCUUCGUGAACUUAAAGAAUUGUAUAAAUAGUGCAAUGCAAUGAAAGAGGAAUAAGUAAACAACAUAAGGCUCCCCUUUCUCAUAAAGCUAGGCCACUAAAAACUGUGAUAGUGCACUGGAGAGAAGAUGAAUAGUUGAUAUUCAAUCACUGUGAGUUGCUUAACAAGUUUUAUCCCCAAAGUUAAAAUAGCAUAACAAGAUUUGUAUUGGACAAAUGCAAGGAAACUUGAUCAAUCUGAUAACAUUCUAGGCACAGCAAUGAUCCUAACUCAAUAAUCUAUGGUGAGAGAGAUCAUUUAGCUAAAGUUUCCCACUAGUCAAUUAGGCGCUACAACUCCACAACACAAUUUACGAUUCCCCCCAACCCCAAAAUGCCUAAUCCCCCAAAUUCACAAUAAAAAUUUCACCGUCCAACCUCAAAACUAACGAACGGAAUCCUAGAGCCUAUCUAAAUUGAGCUUAAGAGUGAAUUAUAAAAAAGGAUUCUUCUCAGGGUGAGAGAGGGUUUAGAGAAGGCGACUUGCUAUUACCUUUUCAAUUCUUGAAUAAAUUAGAAUACUUAUGUUGUACUGGAUGCAAUAGUUUUUGGUUUUUUUUUUUAAAGAUGAAUAUACUUAUAAUAUUUUGAGUUGAGUCACUUGGUCUCAAAUUUAUGAACUAUUCAUAAGUACAUUUGGAGCCAGUGAGGUCAAGUCAAAUUUUCUAACUUCCAAGUGCAUUAUUUUGUUGAUUUACAGUAUGGUGAUUUAUCAGAGAUUUUCAUAUAAAUUGCUACUUCAUAUUGCUGAAUCUGAAGCUGGUCAAUCCCAAUGCUUCAUGGAAGAGAACAUUGACUUCAUCACACCGUAUGGGAAGAACUAGUUGUUAUAAACAGUGUGAAAUAUCUCAGCACUCAUGGCAUCACCUCUACGGCAAUAAUCUUCUCAAAAUUGUAAUGUGAAGAUGACAAAUACUCUCCAUCGAUAAACACGUGCAGUUUGCUUUUUCAGGUAAAGCACAGCUCUUAAUUGGAUUGACAGGAGUUGAAGACAAGGUGUGUGCAAUUUCAAAUGGACUUAGUCUGACAUUUAUGUAUUGUUUAGGUAAAUCUAAAAUAAUGACAUAAAUUGUUUAAUUUCAAGUAAAUAGAAAUGUGGCAAAAAAAAUUCCGAUUCUAAAAAUUUAACAUGGAAUAGUCUCGUGCAGUUUGCAAGUUCUUAUCUUUUUGCAUCUUUCUUUUCUUUUGUAAUAGAUAAUAUAAAAGCAUUUACCAAGAGAGUGGAGCCACACCUCCGAAAACAUUAUUUAAAAUAAAGAACUUUCAAACUUGAGAUAGAAGGGAGACUCAAUUUUUAUUUUUAUUUUAAUCGUUAUAGUCAUUGGAGAGGCUUCACUGAAGUAAUACCAAUCAUCAGAGAAGCUUCUGAGUUCAAUCGAUGAUUUGGAAAUGUUAAUUGAAUUGGAUGGUCACAUCAGGUUCGGGAGCUUAUUUACUACACUUGUUAGUGGCUCAAAGUUUUAAUAUGACACUCAUGAAUAAAUUUUUCCAUUUAUGUUGACAUAAGACUAUAUUCACACAUUGAUUUUGUGUACUUUAUGUUAAUAGUAUUUUGUAUAAUAAUUAGCACAAAGCAUAGAUUUAUGUCUGACUACAAUGCUUGGUGAUGAACAAUUCGUAGAUAGUAACAAAGGUUAAAUGUGAAGGAUGGUUACCCCCGAAAUAAAUAUAAUCUUUUUUUAAUUCGAUCGAUCAUGAGAGGAGUGCUUUUGACGAAAAUCAAGCCUAAUAAUUCCACCAGGCUUUAUGAUUCGGUGUCAAUUCGGGCCUAGCCCUGAUCACCCAUUAAACUGGACCGAUCGGAGUUCACCUUAAUUAAGAUGGGCGGAAACAAACUUCGUUGGAAGUUUGCUGUUUGCUUUUGUUGACUUGACUUUGAAUAAAUUAUUUGGGGAGCAAAAGUAGAUUCUCAUCCCAAAAUUUCUGGUGUAGUGAUUUUUUGGAUCAAAAAACGUAAAUGAUUGUCGACUUUGACGAGCUAGAGUGAUGCUUUGAGGAAGCAUCUUUACUAACUGAUUUUGCAACAAAACUGGCCUGUGACUCUCUCUACAUAUUCGCCCAAUCCUUUGGCUUUUUAGUUCAAUGACCUCCAAAAAAAUCAUUUAAAAAAUCUUCCUUUUUAAUUCCUUAAUCAUCCUCAUGAACAAAGUUCUUGAUAGUUAAGGCCCAUAGCUAAUAUGAGAAGUUUUUCUUUUCCUCUAAAAAGAGUAGGAGUUAGGUAGUGGGAUCCCACCUAUUUUCUCUUCUUCCCCGAGCUUUAGCUAAUGGAGGAAGCUCAAUUUCAAUUCGAAUGGAAGAAGUCUAAUUUUGAAAGAAUCUACAAUGAGACUUUUGGACAUUCGUUUUACUAAAACAAAAUGUUAAUGGACUAUAAUUAAAGGUAAAGCUAUUGGAAAACAAAAUUGAUCUUCCAUUGAUCUCAAUUCGAGAAAUUUGAUACUUUCCAAGAGUCUUUUGUGACUCAUCAAGUUUUCAUGAUUAAUAACUUUAAUCUUGAACUUUCUUUUUAUCAAAUUCAAAUCUAUGUCUGGAAAGAUCUAAGAACUUAAGAAUUUCGAAAUGAAACAUUUCUACACCUCCAAAUCUAGUGAGAUUUUAUUUCUCCUCCUUGGCUCCCCGAGGUUCAUAUCAAUAAACAUUUGUACCAAUUGAAAUCCAAAGGUCUUGCUAGUAUUGGUGCAUUCACAUCACUCAUGCAAUUGCCAGCGACUUUGAGGAGGUCAUUCAAAAUGACCAUGGGCAUGGGUUUUUAGGGUUUUGGACGGAUGUGAGUAGUCUUUUGGUAUAUGAGCAUGCUUAUAACUGUAAGAUGUACUCUUUUGAUUUUUAGAUUUUGUUUUACAUUGCAGCUUUUUUGGGAUUUAUUUGCUUUGAAGCUUUAUACCUUCUUCUCAUAUUUAAUUAUGACAAAUAAAAAUAAAAUUUCCUUUCGACCAAAAAAUAAAAUAAAAUCCAAAAACUCAUGUAUAGCCAUGGAUAAGGUGGGCCCUAUGGAAAAUUCGCCCGAUCUACAUAUGCACAAGUGGGGUUUACAUGCAUCAGUGCUUAGAUAAUACCUUGAUAGAGAGAGAGAGAGUUGUGAUAUGAACAGGCAAAGAUAUGAGUGUGCCUUGUGUAGUGCCAUUCCUACAAUAUGAGGGCAAGUGUGGGCAUUUAUGCAGACAAGUCUUGUCAAAAAAUCCAAUUGAACAUAUAUUUACAAUUUACAUAAAGUAAUCCUACAAAGAGCGAAUAAGUUAAAAUUCAAUAAUACAAAAAGAACCAGAAGAUUUUCCUUUAAUAUUAUGUUUUAGACACCGAAAGCGACUCAACCGCUCCCCCAUCUCUUUAGAAUUCCACUAAUUUUUAUUUUCUUCUUUUGGAAUUUGAAUUCCACUAAUUUAUUUACCUCCCAAUCGUAGUGCUCCCCCAUCAGAACGUGAGCUUGGACAACCAAUCAAAGGCCGGGCAUCUUUUUCUAUGGGCUUUUAGCCCCAUCAAUCUGCAAAGCGUCUCAAGUACAAUGGGCCGAGGAUGAAUCAGCAAAGCCCAUAAGCUUUUCUCUUCGCUGCACCAAUGAGCGCUUCGCCGUCCCCAAAGCCACACAGCUCUUAUCAAAGCUGGGGGAGUCCAAACUCAAGUUGAAGACUGAGGGUGCGUUUGGAUGGGCAUUUAGAAAGCCCAUCCAGCCCCCAAAGCCCCUUCAGCCAAAGAGAGGCGUUUGGCAACCAGUUCCCAAGGAGCUUUCAAAUGAAAGCUGGCCCUUGGGAAUGCUGAAAGCCCAAGGCUGGUGGAGACCAGCCUUGAGCUUUCAGCAUUUUUGGGAUGCUGAAGGCUUCCAUUAAUAAAAUUUCGUGGAGUUCCAUUUUUACCCUAAAAAAAACAUCGGAAACCCAAAUUUACCCCCAUAUAAAAGAGCAAAACUAGGGGUUUCGCCUUGUAGCUCCUCCAAAAACGCUCACGCUCCCAACUCCUCACGCUCACUCUGCCGAGAGCCCCACGACGACGUCGACUUCAAGAUCAGCUUGGAUAUCGAAUCCACCUUCAGAUCUGCCAACGACACUUCUCCAGCACCUUCAGCGUGUAAGCUCGCUCGCUCGCUCACUCUCUCUCUCUCUCUCGCUUGCUCGAUUCUUCUCCUCAUUUGGGUUUGAUGAUCCCAUUUGACUCCCCUGCUCCGCCUGUUUGUAUCUCGUCUGCUUUUGCUUCCAGGUUCCUUGUUUUUUUUUUUUCCAUGCUCUCGCUAGUUGGUAAUCGAGAUCUGUGAUUGUAUAACCCAUGGCGGAGUGCAAGGGUGAAAUUCGGGGCGGUUGCUUUUUAGCGGUCGAAUGCGUGGGAAUUUGGAGUUCUCCUUAGAAAGCAAGGGGUUUGUGUUGCUUUGCGGGUUUCGCGAGCUGAGAUUCAAUCUGGGUUUUCGAGGUUGGACAGAUUUUUAGUAGUGAGCGGCAAGGGCUGUGGGUUGUGGGUUAUGGGUUGUGGGUCGUGGGUGUUUUUUUUAUGAAUUUCAAAGGACAUACAAUUGGAGUUUUCCGUUCAAUGUUUUGAAUUUCAAUGGACAAGUUCACAAAUAGAAAUACUGCAUUCGCUAUACUGUUGUUUUGUUUCUUCAUUUCUAUCAAGCAUUACCAACAGAAAACUUUUGCAUUCAUCCUUAUGUUGUAAUUUUUAUGUGCCUCUGAAACUGCCUAGUUAACCGCUGCUAACUGUAAAUUGUUUGGAGUUAUGUUCUCUCAGUCUGGUUUGGUUCCUAUUGAAUGAACUUUGGCAUCUGUGGAUUUUUUCUCUUUUAACAUUAUUUGUCCAUAAAUUUUUGUACACCAUGUUUCCUCUUUCGCUUUGCCAGACACCGAUGAAUACAUGCACGUGAUCUUAUGAUGCUUUGCCACAUGAGCAUUGAUUCUGUAAACUUUAUUGGGAGAAAGAGUUGCAUUAUGCUUUUGUAACCAUGACUAGAUAGUUGAAGAAAUGCAAUCGUGCAUGAUUUUUAAGGCUGCUUUGUUUAGCUUGGAAGAGCUGAAAUGAUUUGUUUUCUUUUCUUUUCAACCCAUUGAGCUCACUGCUCACAAACUUGAAACCCAUAAGAUAAUAAUAUUUAGACAAAAUCCAACAACAAUCAUUUCUUAAAGCUUUGUUGUUGACUAUAUAUCAUCAUUCUCUUGUAAAUACUAAUAUGGCAAAAAUGUCAGUGAUCAGCAUCUCCAUAAUGCUUGUGAAUUGUUUGAAUCCCCAAAACAUUUUUUACCGUGAAUUAUUAGUUGGACUACUGUUGGACUACUGAACAUGUUAUUCUCCAUAUUAGAUUUUGGACUAAGAGCAUGCUCCACUUGAAGACUGAGAAUGCAUCGAUAUAUUUCAUUUUCAUGUGUAGCGCAACUAAAUGUGUAAAACUUGCUCUUCCCUUCACUCUUUGAGCACCACUUUUGUUCUGGUUGUAUGAGUGGAAAUCAGCUAUGAAAAUUUGACUUCUUUCUUUAUCAGCUCUCGGAGGCUUGAAGUCAGUAGGGUGGAGUUGCUUCUUCAAGUUGGAGCAUUUUGUGUGGCAGUUGGUGCGUUGAUUGCAGGUACUUUUUCCAUACGGUAUUGGACAAUUUUUUUUUUUUUUGGUAAAGGUAAUAGAUAUAUUGACUUUAAACCAAAAGCUAUACAGCUAUACUCAAAAACAUGGCACCAAGAACUUACACUCAAGAAGACAACAAGUUAGAUCGAGCGGAAGGGUGCCAAGGAGGAGGAAACAACGCACAAAAAUCAUAAACUUGAUGACCCGCGCAGCUAAGCAGUAGCAAGAAAUCAUCUGUAGCAGACAAAGGCAACCCUCACAUACUAGAUGCAGCUCCCAACUUCAACAAUACCCACCCACCGAAGAGCAGCACAAGAAGCUAAUUAGCUAACCGAGCAGCCUACAACUCUCAAGAACCGGCGAAGGCAGCAGCAGCACCAAGAACCCGAACUUACAGGGGAAUAUCGGCAGAAUUAAAAAUGGACGGGUCCAAUCCCCAGCAAUGUUGAAUCCUCCUAUUUCUAUAAGUGUUGCAACAUUUCUGAUAUGACACGUUUACGUGAUCAAAUACUUAUGAAUUUAGGAAGUAAUUAAUGAUAUUUGUAAUUUUUAAUGAUAAUGAGCUUCUUUCCUCAAAGCAUAUGUUAUCGUGUUUUUAUUGUAAUGAAAGUAUUCUUCUUGCAAUUAAGAAAGAGAGCAUGUGAAGUUUUUCCAUUUGAUGUUUUUUAGCAAAAAAAGGAAUUUUGAUUUUAAUAAAAUUGUUUAUACAAUAUCUUUAACAUUGUUAUUAAAUAUAAAUUAAAAAAGUUGCAAAUAUUAUUUUUUUAAUUUUAAACAAAUGAAAAUUAAAAUAUUUAAGAUUAAUCACCAAAGGGGCUUUGCAAAUGUGUUUUUUACCAAACAGCAUUUCUCUUAAAGUUGCAUUUCAAAGCAGAAUUUACCAAACAGUCUUUGCAUUUCCUUCAAAGCUCUUUAGGCUAAACUGCUUUGCAUUUUCCCAAUGAGCUUUCCAAAUGCCGAACCAAACGCACCUUGAGACCGCUUCGUGUGCUGAGAAAAUCUGACGGUUUUCUACUAGAGCCUUUGCUUCCGCCGGAGCUGCUGCUGAAGUUGGGCGCCCGGAUCUCGCGAACCCGUCCGCCGAAACGCCACCUCUGUCUCGGCACGCGCGGCUGAUCGCUCCCUCCGUCGAGCCCCCGCCGAAGGAUGCCGUCGAUAGUUCUCCUCGAGAGCUCCUUGCCGCAGUCGGAGCCAGCUCUGAGGUGAGUGUCCAAGGGCCCACUUUUGGCGUUUAGAAAGAACCCUGGCAUUUUCUCAGCUUUGACAGGCUGCACUGAAUCAUUCUUAGUACAGAGAUCUCUCCAUUUCGCUAGUUCUUUGGCUUCCGAGUUUUUCCCAUCUCAGGCUGCCACUGCUCUUGCUGAUAUCCUGUUUCGACUUUUUUUGCCUUGAAGAGGAGAUCAAGCGACAUCAAUGGAGGGGAGUGCAAAUGGACGGCGCGUGUGUGGAAAUGAUGGAACAGCAAGAGGCGCUUCUGGUACUCACGCUUCAACAGAAGGUCAAGAAGUGGCUACUUCAUCGGGAUAUGACCAUGAAGUAUUCUUGAGCUUCAGAGGACCGGAUACUCGAGCAGGUUUUACCGACCACCUUUACACUAGGCUUAAUGAUGCGGGAGUCCACACUUUUAAGGACGAUGAAGAGCUCCGCAUUGGGGAAGAGUUUGCCUCCGAACUUUUCCAAGCAAUUCAGCAGUCGAAGAUCUUAAUACCUAUAUUUUUUAAAAGUUAUGCCUCUAGUCGUAUGGUGUAUGAAGGAGCUAGUCCAGAUGGUCAAGUGCCGGAGAAAUGGAAGACAAAAGAUUAUGCCCAUUUUUUAUGAUGUGGCACCUUCAGAGGUUCGACACCUAAUUGGAGGUUAUGCAGAGGCCUUUCGUUCACAUGAAAAGAAGCAGAGAAGUUUAAACGAAUUGAGGGAGAAGACGAUGGACAAGUGCACCUUGCACUUCAAAGCUUCUUGAUCCAAUACCACAAAUUGUUCACUUGUGUUCAAACUUUAAACGAAUUGAGGUAACUUAUUUCAUCGGACAGCCUAUGUUUUCCCUUUUCUACAAUUAAUUUUUUUUUUCACAGAUAUGAACGGAGAAGUUUCACAUGCACUUUUAAUCACCUUCUCACUGAAAAUCUCAUGAAGGUAUUGAAAUUAUGAUACCUCUGUACAACCAGAGGUUUCUUAAUUAUGUACAUGUCGAUUGCAUCGUUUUUAUAUGAUUGACAAAUUAUUAGAGGUCCUUGUCGAUUUGCUAUUUCACUUUUGUCAAAGUUGAUAACCUCGCUUCACUUUGGAGAAAACUUUGUUAUGCUGUAAACCACUAGAUGGAAUGGGUGUUGGAAGGUCAUAACACUAUGGUUCUCAUCCUGGAACUUUACAGCAUGAUCAACUCAUUGUUGCAACUGUGAAGUAGGCAGACCGUCCGUAUUGAUAUGCUUAAGUUCAGUUUAUUCUAGGAAAGAUGUGCUUCUUAGUGGGAUUUGCAAAUGUUACAGAGAAGUUAUAAAAUAAAACACGAAUUUCACUUGGGUAAUGGCAUCAAUAGUUGGUGCAGCAAAACUUCCAUCUAUGACCAGAGAGGAGAACCACCAAUGGCUCACUUCUCCAAGGUAUCAUAAAUCAUCUCGGACAUAUGAUAAGUCUCAUGUCAAUGGACUCUUGUGUGAUUUCAAUUAUUGCCUACAUUUUCUAGAAAUGGUUAUGCUUAGGUGAUUACCUGUCAUGGAAGCCCUUCCAUUCACCUCAAGCUAUACUAGAGGACUCUUUUAGGUUUUAAGAUUGACAAGAAGUGCUCAGGGAGACAUCUAGAACGACCAGCUUUUGGCUGGUUCCUAAUGUUGCUGAGAGGAAUUAGAGUUUGAAAAAUUUACAGAAGCCUUUCUGUGCAGGGAGUUGUAGCUAAUUGGACAGCUAUACAAAUGAAGACCAAAAAAAGGAAAAUGAAGAUGACAUUCAAAGUGAAGUUUUACGUCCACUUUAUAAUUACUUUGGGAGUUGAUGCCUGGAAAUCUGAAGAAGGUAUUGAAAUUAUGUACCUCUGUAGAACCAAAGGGUUCUUAAUUAUGUGCAAAUAUACUUUUUCUUUUCUUAGUUUGGUUUGGCUUUUUUAGCUAUAUUUUCUUUGGAUGGUUUCUCCUUGCUUUUAUGUUUCCCAGCUGGAGGUAUGCAUGUUGAUUGCAUUGUUAUUAUCUGAUUUAUGACAAUUCAAUGGAAAUCCUCAUCAGUUUGCUGCUUCACAUAUUUCGAAGUUAAUACCCUCUGCUUUGCAUUAGAGAUAACUUUUCUCUACUAUAAACAAUUAGAUGUGAUGUGUCUUGGAAGGUCAUAGCACUAUGGUUCUCAUCCUGGAAUUUCACAGCAUAAUCAACUCAUUGUUGCAACUAUGAAUGAGCCAGACUCUGUAUUGAUAUGCUUUUGUUCAGUUUAUUUAACAAGGAAGGCGUGCUUCUUAGAAGGAUUUGCAAAUGUUGUGGAGAAGUUAUAAAAUGAAGAAAGAGGAAUUUCACUUGGGUAGUGGCAUCAAUUGUUAGUGCAGCAAAGGUUCCAUCUGUGAUAGGAGAGCGGAACUAUUUAGCUUCUCCAAGGUAUUAUAAGUCAUCAUAAUGUUAGGCUAAAUUUCGGUAUUAUUAGUGCAUAUGAUGAGUCUCACUUGGGGUCUGAAAUCAUGUAAAUCGACCCUUGUGAGAUCUCCAUCACUGUCUCCAUUUUCUCGAAAUGGUUAUGCCUAGGUGGUUAUAUGUAAUAGAUGCCUUUCAUUCACCUCAAGUUAUAUUAGAUGACUUUUUUGGGUUUAAGGAUUGACAAGAAGUGCUAAGGGAGACAUCUCAAAUGACUGGCUUCUUGCCGGUUUCUAAUGUUGCUGAUAGAUAUUGAUGUUUAAGAAACUUACAAACAUUUUUAUUACGUUUUUGGGCAGUUGUAUAGAUGGAGACCGAAGAAAGGUAGAUGAUGGAUAAAACUUGAUGUUGACCGGAUUCCCACUCAUAUUCUUGGGGUGGUAUGCCCUGUAUUCAUCUGUUUUGGGGGGUAAAGGGCUAUCUAGGCAAAUCUGAUCAUGUAUUUUUCCUUUAUUUGGGCCCACAACAAUGAUUAUUACAUUUCAUCUUAAUGUGUUUUCUGUUCAUUCUUAUGCAAUAGAACUUGCUUAUCAGUAAGCAGAUGUUAUUUUACGAGAAAACACCUGAAGGGCUUGUCUGGACUGGGAGAAAAAUUGUGUUCUUAGAGUGGUGCUUGAGGUAGUCUUAGUUGCUCCUGCCAAAACCAGUUCAUGGACCUCUCGAUGUGAAAAUGGUGUUCAAGGUAAUCUUAGUCAUGAGUAUGAUAGGCACUCACAACACAAAAAUCAUGGAUUGUUGGAAUUCAUGGAAUGGACUCUGUUGGAGAGACAACUCUCGCCUAGCUUGUAUACAAUCAGCUUGCUCAUGGUUUCGAGAACUGCUGCUUCUUCUUUUUUUUUUUUUUUUUUUUUUGUUUCCUAACAUCCGUUAAACUUUGGAGCUCAAGGCCAUUCAGUUCCUGCGGAAUAACUCAUCUCCAAUAUCCUCAAAAGGAAAUUGACAGAAAUAAGUAAUGUUUAUGAAGAGAUCGAGACAAUUAAAGAUAGGCUUUUUAGUAAAAGAGUUCUUGUCCUUUUUGAUGAUGUUGACCAGAAGAAUCAAUUGAAUGCAGUCGUGGGUAACAUCUGUGAUAUUUGGGCAUUACUGAAUUCUUCAAUGCGGAAUAUCAAGCGUUGAAGGAUCUUGAAAUUCUCAGUGUUUUUUGUUUGUCAUUGAAUAUCAGUGCUUUUUGUUGAUAGAAGGUACUGCCAUCUUGAAAUACUUUGUAGAAAGGGAUGACAUGUGGGAGGCCUCUGAUCGUUUCAACUUGAAAAGGUUCAAAUUAUGCAAUGUCUGGCUUGCUUAGAAGAUUCAGUCAUUUGUCGAAAAAUUUAGGAGAUAAUGUCAGCAGAGGAGUUCACUAUCCAAUAAGAAGUGGAUGUGGUACUUGAAAGGUCCUGCUUUCCUAACCAAGUCUGUUGUCAAUAAAGAUUUAAAACUUAAAGAAAUUGCUUAUUGCCCUAUGUCAUAUCAGCAGAAAUUCAUUGUUGUCUUUCCUGGGAUCGUUAUCAGUUAUACACAAAUUAACUCCACACUUNNNNNNNNNNNNNNNNNNNNNNNNNNNNNNNNNNNNNNNNNNNNNNNNNNNNNNNNNNNNNNNNNNNNNNNNNNNNNNNNNNNNNNNNNNNNNNNNNNNNNNNNNNNNNNNNNNNNNNNNNNNNNNNNNNNNNNNNNNNNNNNNNNNNNNNNNNNNNNNNNNNNNNNNNNNNNNNNNNNNNNNNNNNNNNNNNNNNNNNNNNNNNNNNNNNNNNNNNNNNNNNNNNNNNNNNNNNNNNNNNNNNNNNNNNNNNNNNNNNNNNNNNNNNNNNNNNNNNNNNNNNNNNNNNNNNNNNNNNNNNNNNNNNNNNNNNNNNNNNNNNNNNNNNNNNNNNNNNNNNNNNNNNNNNNNNNNNNNNNNNNNNNNNNNNNNNNNNNNNNNNNNNNNNNNNNNNNNNNNNNNNNNNNNNNNNNNNNNNNNNNNNNNNNNNNNNNNNNNNNNNNNNNNNNNNNNNNNNNNNNNNNNNNNNNNNNNNNNNNNNNNNNNNNNNNNNNNNNNNNNNNNNNNNNNNNNNNNNNNNNNNNNNNNNNNNNNNNNNNNNNNNNNNNNNNNNNNNNNNNNNNNNNNNNNNNNNNNNNNNNNNNNNNNNNNNNNNNNNNNNNNNNNNNNNNNNNNNNNNNNNNNNNNNNNNNNNNNNNNNNNNNNNNNNNNNNNNNNNNNNNNNNNNNNNNNNNNNNNNNNNNNNNNNNNNNNNNNNNNNNNNNNNNNNNNNNNNNNNNNNNNNNNNNNNNNNUCAUUAUUAGGUUUUAUCGAGUCUGACAGGUAAACUAGCAAGCGCAUUCAUUCAAUAGGUAUCAGAGACUUAUAUUUACAAGGAUGAUACAUGCAACUUCCUGCUUUUUACAUUCUAAGUGAAUUUCAGUAGAGAUCCUGUGCAUCUUGUGAUGGACAUGGAAGAAGAUUGAUGGAUGCAUUACGUGAAUAAAUUUCAUCCAGAGCUACCUAAUGAUCUUCAAGAAAUUAGGUGCUUACUUAGGAGCAUUUCACAUUAAGUUACUCUUGGCAUCGGAGUCUUGACACAGCCUCAAUGCAGAAGCAGGACUCCUGGAAAGCGUAAGGUUUUCUUUGUCUUCGCUUCCAUAUUCCUUCAAUCAUGUGUUCAUGAUGAUCUUGCACAAUCCCCAUGUCUCCGCCAUUAAUUCUACACCAUAGUAGACUAAAUGGUCUGCGAGGCCGUUGCCAGUUGCCAAUCUGCAGGAACACACUCUGAUGAGUCAUCCAUAAAUAUUUCCAGUAAUGAAGAACAGACAUUCUUCAGAACAAGCUGGUCUAUCGCAUGAGCUAUUGCACCUAGCAUGAUAAAUCCACAAAAUAAUUGCUUGUAACAGGUAGCUACGACUGAAACUACCUCCUUACCUGUUGCACAUUGGAUCUUUCUCUAGAGCCAUCACAAACUUUCUCGACCUGAUAAACCAAACUACCAAAUCCUAUAUUAUACAGCCACGCCUACAAAAAAAGAAGGAUUCCAAUCACAUGUGAACAUUGACAUAGAAAAGAUUAAGAUUAUCACCAUACAAGCAGGUGGAAUCAAAUUAUUUUCACAUUAUCUCACGUCAAUAUGUUUAUCCAUGGCUGUCAUUGAGCUAAUCGACAAUAAUUAUAGGCAUUAUUAGACAUGCAUAAUUUAAAUGAGUAAUGCAUUGUAAUUGCACAGAACUUAAGACUAGCUGAUCAGCCAUCAUCAUCAUCAUCAUCAUCAUCAUCAUAGAAUGAUGAUCAUCAUAGAGAGAGAGAGAGAGAGAGAGAGAGAGAGUAAAUAGUUCACAUUAUUACGCAUAUUAAAUUUUGGAAUUGGUACGAGAAACUCAUGAUAUAGGAAUGAGAAAAGUUCCUUAAAUAUUGUUAAAAAGGUCAAGAGUACUACGAAUUGCCCUACUUUGUUAAGAAGAUAAAAUAAACAAAAUAAUUAAAAUUUAUACGCUGAAAAAGUAGGAGUACGAAUAUUGUUGGAAAAUAUAAGACUUCUCCAGUUUAGAUAGGCUGAAAUAAAUGCAAAGCAACCAUCCAAUGCAGUCAGCGACAAUUCCCCAUAAUUUACGUGAUAUUCCGUCAACAUCAAAGUCAUAGCACCCUAGGGAAGUGAUGGUAUAUCUUCCAUGGAAACCAAGAAUACUACGGAGGCAAAUGAGGCACAAUAUCAUGUCCAUUACUUAUAUUUAUUGUAUUUCACAUGCGGUAGUAAGAAAAAAACAUUGCAUUGCCAAUAUGGGGUUGUGCAGAUGUCAAAACCUGGACAAUCUGUGCUUCUUGGUUUAUCAGGAAAUUAAGCGUCCUUAGUUAAAUAAGUAAAUCAAGCGAGUGCUGGUUUGGAAAAAACCGCUUCUGCACACAUAAUUAGACAGCCAAAUUACUUGAGAAUUUCACAAGACGAAAGAGUACUAUGCAUCAAUAACCAUAUAUUGCGUUUCACAUACGAAGGUGAAGGAUGGAAUAGUCCUUUCUCUCCAUAAGGUUGGAGGUCUAGCGUUACUCUGUCUAGAUCCCAUCCAUAAUUUUCCCAAAACCAAACCCCACAGCCACAACAAAACCAACCAAGCCCCCCUCUUACAAAAAGGUGUUAAUAAUAUGGAAUGGUGGGAUUGGGGGUGAAUUCACAACCAAUGCGCAUUUAAAUGCUUCCACAAGAAGCACUUGGAUGUUGGUGAGGUGAGUCAUAUCCUGCCAAAAACAUAAACAAAAAAUUCCAGGUUCGUGGUGAAAUUGCCCCUUUAACCUCAAAACUUACAGUCAUAAAUAACAAAGGAGAAACUAAAUGUUAAGAAGGGCCAUGACGCAUGCAAAGGGCCACAACCCAUGGGCAAGAUGUCAGAAUCAGCUCCGAACAAUUUUCAGCAAGAAACCAGCAAACAAAAAUGACAUUUUAAAUCAUCCAAAUGGCCGGACAAGAUGUAAGUUAUGAUCCUAUUGUAGGCCACAUGAAUGUCUGUAUAAUCUGAGUCCAAUCCAAAGUUUGACCCUCAAAAAUCACAACUUGACAUGGAGAAGAGAAUUAAUGAGAUAUGACUUUGGGGUGGGCACCAUUUUUGGUACCAGUUCCACAACAGGUGCCUAGAAAACUCUGGACACUCUGUCCAGUAAAGCAGAGACAAAAAGCAUAACUUAGACAUUUUAGAAUUGGCUCCAGCCUACAAUAUAUCUGGCCUAUAUUCGGACUGAAAAGGAGUUGCUUCUUUUGGUUAGAAAGAGACAGAUAGAAACAACACACAGAACACAGAUUUAGGAUCAAUAUAUUCUAGUUUAAAAUGCAUUAACCCUUCAAGAUCAAGUGCUUGCAAAAGCUAUAUAGCCAGACCAUAAACAUAUCAAUAUUCCCAUAUAGUUUCCAGCAAGUAAACUUUGUAAUGAUUAGUUGGAAGUCUUUAUCCACUAUAUAUGGGUAUUCAGUCAACUUGAAGCUCCAUGGCUUAACGUGUAAAACAAUUCACACAACUAAAAACGUAGACCCUAGGUGGUUCAGGUAAAGGGAUGUUUGCAACCCAUUCUGCUUGUGUUUUGUCUCUGGUAGGGGUGUGCAACGGGAACCGCCCGAACCGGGAACCGGCCGGACCGGACCGAACCGGUCGGUUUUGGGUGGUUCCCACGGUUGGCGGUCCGGUCCCCGGUUCCUAAUCUUGGAACCUGUGGCCGGUCGGUCCGGUUCCCGGUUUCAAGGUGGGAACCGGACCGAACCGGACCGACCGGACCGAACCAAACUUUUUUAUAUAUAAUUUAUAUAUAUAGAAUUAAUAAAACAUAUAAACAUGAUAACUUAUUGCAACCAAAAUUGCAAUUUGAGGUAGCAACCUCUUAUGUGGCCAAGAGACCAUUAAAAUCCUUUUUAUUACUCUUUUAUUUAUAGAAAAAAUCUCCUUGAUAGUUUCGACGUGGGACUAAGACUUCAAGAGAUCCCGUGAAUCACACAAGUGAAGUUUGAAUAUUUUGCACGUGGAACACGUGUGAUUAGUUUUAUUGAAUUGCUCGAGAAUCGAAUUGAAUUGAUUAGUCAAAAGCGCAGUCACUCUUUAGUUCUUUAGUGCAAAAAAGUAUAGUUGAUUUUUUUGGACCGGACCGGACCGGACCGGAACCGAUGGAACCGAUGGUCCGGUCCGGUUCCCGGUCCUAGGACCAAACGGUCCGGUCCACGGUUCGCAAUUUUGGGAACCGGUGCUCCCGGUCCGGUUCCCGGUUCCAAGGUGGAACCGGACCGAACCGGGAACCAAUCACCCCUAGUCUCUGGGUCGAUUUACCAAAAAAGACAAAAGAGAGAAAAAAAAAAAAAGAUGCUGACCAAUUGUAAAUAUAAAUAUGGAGCCAUGGAAAGUUCAAGGUAUCCGGAGUUUAAACUCUUCAAUGCAGAGUCGGCAGGGAAUUCCAAGUAAUUCUUAACAGACCAAAACUGAAAAAAUGGAAGAACACAAUAGAGAAGAACCAACCACUGGCUGCGGUGGCUCCACUGGAUAAGGCUCUGCUGAUCCUCAACGAAGAGGUGAAGGGUUCAAAACCCAAGGGAGGCGCUAGGUGUAUUAAGCAGGUGGGUCCUCCUGCUUACGUGUCACCUAGAGGUUUACGGCGCGGUUGUCAGCUGCAAGCCGGUUCCUCCAGAACCAAAAAAAAAAAAAAAAAAAAAAAAAAACCAAUAUUUGAACCACAACAAUUUUUGGGAAAAUCUCAAAUAAAGACUUAAAGUAAGCCUAUUUUCUCAAAUAAGGACUCAAAGUGACUGUUGUCUCAAAUAAGGACCCGAAGUGGCUAACAAGUCUUAAAUAAGGACUUGAACUUGCUGGUUGGCCAAAAUGUUCACCGGCCGGUGAGAGUGUGACAUUUCCAGUGGCCGGAAUAUGGGCAAUUUUGUCCAAAAAAAAUAUAGACAGAAAUUAACAAAUCCUAAAAACCACCCCUCAAACUCUUCACGUUCUUUUGACCUAAAAAGAAAAACUCUUUAUGUUCUCACAUUUUUCUUCUUUUGCUCUUCAUCUUCUUCGUUCUUUGUCCUCUCUCGCUUGGAGCACGGAAAUUUUCUGUUAAUGGAACACAAAUUGAAACACAAUAAGAAACCCCUACCUUCGUUUCUUCACAUCUUCUUCUUUUGUAUUAUGUCUUCGUUUCUUUCCAAUGAAGAAGACAAAUCUUGAGUAAAGCCACCUUUUCGUUAUUCAGACACUCAUGUGUAACACAAGAGCCUUGAUUCUUCAUUAUCUUUUCCUAGGUUCGCCAUACACUUUAAUUCACACUCCUGUUCAACCGAGGUCAGUUUCGUUCAAAUUGAGAGAGGGAGGGAGGGAGGGUGGGAGGGUACGUACCUUUGGAACUCAAGGAGACAGGGAUCUUGCUCUAUCAAUAGAGAAUUUGGGUUCUCCAAACGAGAGGGGACAAAGGACGUGAAAGACAUAGAGCGGAAGAAGAAGAAUGUGAAGAGUUUGGGGUUUUUGUUUUUAGGGUUUGUUAAUUUCUAUCUAUAAUUUUUUGGAACAAAAUUGCUCAUAUUCCUGCCAUCGGAAAUGUCACAUGCUCGCCGGCCGGCCAAAGCGGCCGGUGAACAUUUUGGCCGGCCGGCGGGUACAGGUCCUUAUUUGAGAUUUGUUAGCCACUUCGGGUCUUUAUUUGAAACAAUGGUCACUUCGGGUCCUUAUUUGAGAAAGCAGGCUCACUUUAGGUCCUUAUUUGAGAUUUUCCCACAAUUUUUUAACUGUGUUACCAUAAGAUCAAAUCAACAAAAGGAUGCCAUAUCCCCUCCCAUAGAAUGCCCUAUCACCAUGAUGUUGAUGUCUCUAUAUAAAUCCUUGGCUCUUUUAACAGCAUCCAAAGUACCAGGUUGAAUUGUUGUAUUGUGAUAAGCAUAGUAAAUCCAUGAUGAACGUAAGCAAAGACAACAGAAUAAGAAUGUAAUUCAUUCCAAAUCAAAAGUAUGCACAACUUAUCAUCUCUAGAACUCACCAUGGCACCACGCAUGCCAGGGUAGUUUAUGUCAAGCUGUUUCCAAUAGAGAUCUUCAACCCAAUUCUAUAUGCUAUAGACAUAAAUAGAAGUAAUCACUAAAUGAAAAGCUCAAACAACUUUUCCAAGAACAAAAUUAGUGAAGUAUGUGGUCUCCUCAUGACAAAAUCUAAAAUUACAAGCACAUAACAUUCACGUCUUGAUGGAAAUGAUUCACUGUUUUCCCUUCUUAUGGAACAGCAGACCCAUAUAUUUUGUGUACACAUUCACUGGAGGCUACUCUUCUUAGCUUAAAUUUUCAUGAAAUCCUUCACAUGUCAAUGUAAGAGGAAUAAUUGCUAAAGUUAAAAUGCAUACCUAUGUUCUUGAGUACCUUUGAAAGCUAUAACUGCAGCGAUAAGGUCCUGGCUAUAUGUGUGUGUGUGUGUGUGUGUGUGUGUGUGUGUGUGUGAAAUAAAGACAAAAAAUUAGAUGAAAUUCAAACAUAAAGGCAUCACAAGCAUUGCAAAUUGGUCGCCAUUGCGACACGAAUUAUAUACUUGUAAGCAAUGCUGGACAUCAACUAUCAGUUCAAUGACUUUGAACCCCUAAUUUUAGAUCCAAAGGCAUUAAUAACUAGUCAGAAGCUAAUAAGAGAAGGCAGCAUAUGCCCACAUAAUCUCAUCAGAAGCUAAUAAGAGAAGGCAGCAUAUGCCCACAUAAUCUCAUCUCAAGAAUUGGCCAUUUAGUACAGAGGACCCAUUCUUUACGCAACCUUAGCAACAAUGUCAUAUUAAAAUGUAGUCAAAUUACCUUUUCUUCCCAUCACAGCUAUGGCACAUCCAACUAAAAAGUUGUGUCAUAUUGGACAUGUAAACUUGCCAAAUAUAAAGCUCUGCAUCUAAUUACAAUGUUAUUGUAUUGAAAUGGUGAAACCUUAAGGGUAAUAACAACAAGCUCUAAGUAAAUGUGAAAAUCUUUAUAAUGAACACUUAUAGCAGAUGCAUACUCCACCACCAUCGUAGCAAGAGUGUGAUUGUAAAUAGUUGUAUGAGCCUUGGACCUCACUCUAAGUUCUGCAUUUACUAGUUGAGAAAAAUUCAGAUUAAAAAUGCAGUCCCAAGCUCAUUCAAUUACAAGCAAAGAAGCAAGGCUGUCAUGUGUCUAGCAAACUAUUUCGACAAUCAAGUGGGAGGAACACUUCAAGGAAACAUCAAUUCAAAACAAUAUUUCAGUAAAUUUCUAGCCUUCCUCCUUCGUGAACUUAAAGAACUAUAUAUCAAUGCUAUGAAAGGUGAAUAAGUAAACAACAUAAGGCUCCUCUUUCCCAUAAAGCUACUCCGUUGUAAUCUACAAGCUACAAUCCAUUACUUGAUGGGAGAAAAGUUGAAUAGCCGAUAGUCGAUCACUGUGCGAUACUCGACAAAUUUUAUCCCCAGAGUAGAAACAGCAAGAUGAAAUCUGUAUCGAACAAAUAUAAGGAAAUUCAAUCGAUCUGACCAUAUUCCAGUGGUAGCAUUGAUCCAGACUCGGUAAUCCAAGAGCUUUACAAAUCCAACCAAUUACAACACAAUGCUCACUCAGUCACAUGCUUUGAAAACAUCCAAAUCUACACUAGAGGGAUCAUUCAACAAUAGUUUGCCCACAUUCAGUCAAGCACUACAGCUCUACAACACGGUCAACGAUUCCCCCAACCCUGAAAUGCCUAAUCAGCCAAAUCCACUACACAAAUCUCACUUCCCCAAACUCAAAACCGACGUACUUGAUACUAGAGCCUGUCUAUAUGAACCUUAUCGCAAUCUAGACUCUCAAUCCGAAUUAAGUCAGAGGAUCACAAUCGUAACUGAUUACAUGAACACGAGUUGCAAUGAAGCAUUAUCAGAACCACCAUCACCCUCAGCUCAAACAUGAUCAGUUCCGCUCCACAUUAUUCUGCAAGAGGGACGGAUCAACCAACGUCGUCGAAGGAAGGAAAAAUAAAAAAGAAAACGAUAUCGCGCAACAAAAGAAAUUCCAAUCUCCGCAACCUUUCCAUAUACGCAAAACGAUCACGCGUGAUCAAAUUGCGCGAUCGCCCGGUGAGAUGGAGAGGUCGAUUGUGGUCUUUGUCCGUGUUGCUCGAAUUCAAACCUCGAAUCCUGGUCUUCGUAGCGUUCGUGGACUCUCUAGCGAUUUUCGCGACAAAUGGCGAUCGAAAGCUGCGGUGACUUGGGGGGAAAGGAGGGCGGGGAUGAGGAGUUUACCGAUUUUCCUGAUUUGCUCUCGGGCGCUUGUUCUGUUGGUGGGUAUAUUCGGUGUCAUGUCUGGUGAUUUUGACGUUUCUGUGAGGGCAAUGAAGGAAGUUUCGCUAAAAUGAGACGUGCUCCUGGACAAACUUGCGUUCUCUCUGUCUCUCUUGUUUUGGCACUUCCUUUGGACCUUUGAUGUCUUCAAAUACGCACUUUGACUCAGCUUGGUUCAAUUAGUGGGUUCGAACUAGAAUUAUGAAAAAUGCACCAAAAUUGGAGUCAAUAUUACUUAUUUUUUGUUGAUAUUCAUGGAGGUAUAUAAAGAUGCGGAGUACUCUAGUAUGAUCAUAAGCUUAUUGAGAUAAAUUUUUGCAAUUCCAAGCUCAAAUCUAUCUCAUAACUCGAAUUAUUCAAAAAUUUUCUUUUGUUAAUAUUAUUCAAACUUGGAAAGAAUGCGAUUUGACAUGUGUGAAUCAAGCGGGGCUUAAUUAUGGAUUAUGGAACCACAAUUCAAGAACGCGGCUUAUGAUGACGUAUCGAUUCUUAAAUAUUUUUUGAAACUUUAUAGAAGUGGAUUGAUAGUUUUUAUUUUUUUUAGAUAGAUGUACAUACAAUAGUUUGAGCUAAGUCGUUUUAUCUAAAAUUUACAAAGUAUUUAUAGCGCGAAUAUGAUUGGAUUGAUCACCAUAUUAUAAAAUGAUGCCAUCGCCAUCUCAUAAUUGCUUGAUUGAUAAAUGAGUAGUACAAUCAUAGGGACUGAAAACUUUACUUUAUGUGUAAAAGAUUAUUAAAUAAAAGAAAAAGGUCCAUAAUCUUUGAGAACAAAAGCCAUUGGACUUUUUUCACGGGCUAUGUUUGAAGUAAAAAGAGUUGUGACCUCACACAACAAAAGUCACGUAAUGUCAUUUUAAAAAUAUCAAAGAGUGUUAAAAUAUGUCUCGAGUUUAAGUCCAAUGUGAAAUUUCGAAUAUUCUCAAUUGAAUAUGUUACAGAUGUUCGAAGUUGAGCAAAGAAGAUCCGAAGAUCAACUUCCCAAAGUUUGAAUCUGCGUUGGAGAAUUGAGCCGCUGAAAUAGGAAAGUUCAACUUUGACUUGGAUUUGGAUUUUGUUUAAAAUAUAUAGAGAUAUGUUUUGGAUAAAAUCAUUUUAGAUAGAAAACAGAAUUCUAUGAGAAGUUGGCAAAAGAAUAAAGAUUUUACUUAUAUAUAGACUUGUAACCGUGGGUGGUAAAGGUGGAUCACAAAUUGUCUUGAAGCGCCGCGUGAGUACGUGGUGUUCCGCCGUUGAUCAUGAAGAAAAGUUCUUGAAGCGCUGUCUUGUCGUCGAGUGCUUGGGAGGGAUUUUCUUUGUCAUGAAUUACAUCCAAGGAAGUUUAGUGUUGAAACCAAUUAAAUCUUGCAAUAAGAUUUGCGUGUAAUUCAUUCGUGAGAUUGAGAGAUUAUUUCUUGAGGAAUUUCGGGACUAAACACUAUGUGUGUUAUUGGGUGUAAUUGGGGCUUGGAAAACACCGAAAGAGUGUUUGAGUGACUUGAGUGUGUAAUCUCCUUGUAUUGCUUGAUCUAUAGUGAAAUUCGCUGCCGCUUUCCCCGUGGACACAGGUUUUUACGACUGAAUCACGUAAAUCUUAUGUUCGAUUUAUUUUCUUCUUCAAUCUAUAUUAUUGUUCGAUCGCUCGCCUUUUCGCAAAAAAUAGUGUGAAUGAUUUUUAUUUUUAAAUCACAUUUAGCUCACACAAACAAAAUACUAUAAGAACCCCACCCCAAUGCAUGGUAUACCCGAUGUUUGGUGGCUCCCACAUAUUUAUAUUCACUGUCAAACGUUUAUAAAAUUACAGAAAAAUCAGUACACCAAAAAAAAUUGGAAGUUAAAGAAUAAGUGAAAUUCAAGAGAAAUUACUGGGAAGAGUAAAUUAAUCAAUUUUAUAGAAACCAAUCUUCAAAUCUCUUCCUUUAAUGGUAACAUGUACGCAUCAAUCCCUCAUUCUCCUUAAGUCAAAUUUUAUAAGCACAAAACAAAUUUAAAAAUCACUCCUUUUUUGAUUAGGCUCAUACACCACUCAUUCACUUUGAAAAUAUAAAAAAUUAAAUAAAAAAACCAAAAUUGAACGUGAAAAAGCCGUAAUCACAAUCCAAACCCCAAGCAUGGCAACCCAAUGAUGAAGGGAUCAUGCCAUUUUCCAUUAAUUCGCAAGUUCAAAUAAUGUCGCAAGUGAACUUUUAACCGGUUAGUAUUUCAAGUAUUCAUAACAUUCUAUGGAAAGAUUUUUAAACUUUUGGCAUAUUAGUUACGAUGAUAGACUCGCACACCUAAUGAUGGAUUGAGUGAUUAUGGCUAAGACAAGAUAUUCUAUGGUGAACAUAACAUUUUAUGUAACGAUGAGAAUGGAUAAUCAUAUUGAUCAUCUUUUCCCACAUUUUUUAACUUAUCAAGAAAAAAACAAUUGCAGUCCAUCGGGACUCGGGCGGGGAGGCCAAGUCGGACCUCCCCCAAUCCUUGUGCCGGUGGGUCCAUCCUGCUCGUAAGUCCACAUUAGCUUCAAUUUCCACGGCGGAAAACGAAAGUUCAUUUCCCUCCACCGGCUGGCGGGAAGUUUUCACAUCACCCGCAUAAAAUGAAAACGAAAAAAAAAAACCCGCAAUAAAAAAACUAACACAAAAAUAAUAAUAAUAAUAAAAGUGAAAAACUAUUUAAAACAAAAUUACGAAAAAACGCAAACCCUCCUCUUCGCUUCCUCCAUUUGCGGACACCGACUCUGAUCGAACGACCCACUCCUCCUCUCUCCUCCUCAUCCUCCUCCACUUGUUCAAAUCUUCUUUGUUUAAUUUUUGUUUGUUUAGAUGUUUAGGGGCUUUGAAUUGCUAAUUAACUUACCAAGUGAGGUCAAGUCAAGUUAUAUAAAUUCCAAGUCCAUUAUUUUGUCAAAUUACAAUGUGGUGAUUUAUCUGAGAUAUCUCAUAAAUUGUUGUUCGUUUUACUGAAUUUGAAAUCAGUCGAUGUCCAUGCUUUCUAUAGGAGGACGUUAACUUCAUUAUAUUGUAUACAUUAAAGUGGCCAUUACAAUGUGUUCAAAAGUAUCAUACUAACAGCAAUUUGAAGACGACAAAUAAUCUACAUUGGUAAACGCAUGUCCACUUUCAUUUUUGUUUUUUUUGUUUUUUUCAGGUAAAGCACGGCUCUUUAUUGGAUUCACAAGAGUUGAAGAGAAGGUGUAGUGAUUCUUAAUUAAAUUUUAAAAAAAAAUUCUAGUUACAAAUGGACUUGGUCUGACAUUAUCUGUUGUUGAGGUAAAUCUAAUAUAAUGAUCCAAACCAUUUAGUAUCAAGUGAAUAGAAGUGUGGCAAAAAAAUUUCCAAUUCUAAAAGUAUAACAUGGAAUAAUUUUGCAAUGUUCACAAGUUCUUAUAUUUUUCGCCUCUUUCUUUUCUUUUGUAGUAGAUAAUCCAUAAGCAUUAACCAGGAGACUAAAGAGCCACUCCUCCAAAAACAUUAUUUGAAAUAAAGAACUUUCAUAUUUAAUAUUGGGGGGAGUCAAUAUUCUUUCCCAUCAAUGUUGACAUAAGACUAUGCUCACACAUUGAUUUUGUGUACCAUAUCUUAGUAGUAUUUUGUAUAAUAAUUAGCACAAAGCAUGGAUUUUGUCUAACUAGAUUGCUUUGUGACAAGCAAUUUAUUGACACUAACAAGGGAUUAAAUGCGAAGGAUAGUUUAUCAUGAAAUAAACAUGAUCCUUUCUUUAUUUGAUUGAUUGCUGGGGGGAGAGCUUUGACGUAGAUCAAGCAACAUAAUUUUACUAGGCUUGAUGUUUUGAAGUCAAUCCGGGCCUUGGCCCAAUAAGCCCUUUAAACUAGAUAGACCGGAGUUCACCUUAAUUAGGAUGGGGGAAACGAACUUAGUUGGAAGUUCCAUGUCCGCUUUUGUUGACUUUGACUUUGAAUGAAUCCACCAAUUUUUCUAAGGCCAAAAGUCGAUUCUCAUCUACACAAUUUCUGCAUCAUGUCAACCAGUGAUUUUCCACAUCAAGAAACGUAAAUAAUUGUCGACUUUGAUGGCUUGGAGUGAUGCUUUGAGGAAGCAUCCUUAUUGACAGAUUUUGCAACAAAACUGGCCCAUGACUCUUUGUACGUUCAAUCGAUCACUUGGCUUCUGAGUUCAAAUUCAUUUUUAGUACCUUUAAGAUUAUGUGGGAAAGGAGUAGAAGUCUUGAUAGUUAGGGCCCAUAUAUGCACGAAAAGUCUUUCUUUUCCUUCCAAAGAGUAUGAGUUAAGGUAGUGGUACCCCAUUUGUUUUCUCUUCUUUCUGGAGCUUUUGAGCUAUAAUGGAACUUAUUAUUCUCCAGCUUGGUAGGAUCAUCUGAGAAAUGCAGCUCGGAUACUUAGAAAUGUUACCAUUCUGACAUCUCUAAGUGUCUCUAGAUUCUGAACUAAAGAUCGGAGUGGUUUCCUACUUAAAGGCUGUCCCUGAAGAGCUUGAACGGGAGAGGUUUGCCCACAAUGGGAAGGCAUACCUGCAGGAAACUGACUCCGUCCUCCUAAUUUCAAUUCGAAUGGAAGGAGUAUGAUUUUUAAAAAAUUUGCAAUGAGACUUUUGGAAUUUCGUGAGUGAUAAUCAAAAAUGAUUUUUCAUCAGACAAACUAACCUUAACCUAAAUAAUGAAGAAAGAACAUGAGAGACAAUUUCAUCUUUUGUUUUCUUUCUUUGGGAAAAUGUUACCCUUAGGAAAAAAAUUGUACAAAUGUUUGCAAGCUAAUGUUGUUGAUGAAUCCAGACAAAAAAAAAAAAAAGACGAUAAAUGUCAGAUUUGAAUGGAUGGACCAUAUAAUUGAUGCCAAUGAAGAGAUCCAAAGUGAACAAUCAUAUUACUUUGCAUUAUUUUCUGUCUCGAAAUGGAGAAGAACAUAAGUGAAAUGCACCACCAGCCGCGGUGGCUCCACUGGAUAAGACUCUGUUGAUCCUCAACGAAGAGGUGAAGGGUUCAAAACCCAGGGGAAGCGCUAGGUGUAUUAAGUGUGACUCAGGGGUGGUGAGUCCUCCUACUUAAGUGUCACCUGGGGGUUUACGGCGUGGCUGUCGGCUACAAGCUGGCUCCUCCAAUACCAACAAAAAAAAAAAAAUAAGUGAAAUGCUAAAAAGAAGGUGGACGAAUGUAAGGUCUCAAGCACGUAGUGGAAAAUGACAAAAGAAAAGCAAGAAUAUAAUCCAAUCCAUUCCACUUCUCUUAAAAUGAGUUGAAAAACACUUAUCUAAAAGUAUCGAAUUGCUUGGUCACUAUUGAUCACCAAGAAGAUAAAAUCAUACAAAUGAUGAGUGCUCAAACAGGUAAAAUAAUGAUUAUCGAAAUUUAUGAGAUGGCUGGCAUUGGAAAGAUGAUUAUUGUCAAAAUCAUAUACAAUUAACUUUCACACGAUUUUGGAAAUUGUUGUUUUCAUCCUGAUAUCCAAGAUUUUUCGCGAACAUAACUAGGGAAAGAAAUUCCUAGUGGCCCGGAAAACGAAGAGGGCAAAAUAGGAAGGAGCACUAAUUAAUAAUUUCUUGCCACCGAAAUGCAUCCUCAUGUUUCUAUUUUUUUCCCGCACGGGUUCAAAAUAUUGCCGACAACACAAAGGCAGGCUAAUUUCAAAGCAUGGGCGGGUUUUCUUUCCCGUGUUAGCGGGACCCACUUUUUCUUUUUUCCUUUGCUUUGGUGCCUAAUUUCUUUUCAUCAUCACCUUGCUUUUUUGAUAAGAUUUUCGUUGGAUUCUCGCGGGCCGACUUCGUCGUGAAUGACGAUUGAGGUCCUCUGCGUUAGUUAUUCGAUAGUUGAUUGAUCGGCGGCCACCAUUUGAUCAAUGAUUUUUUUUUUGUCAGCGGCAUUUGAUAAAUGAUUCCAUAACACAUUCAAUAUUUUUCCUGAGAUUUAUAAUGAGAAUUUGUAAAAUAACAUGCGCUCAAAGUUGCACAUGACAGGUGUGGAUUUUCAUUUACUUUUACUUUGAAUGAAUCCACCCAUUUAUUUGGGGGCAAAAGUCCAUUCUACUCCCAAAAUUUUGCACCACAUGGUUCAGUGAUUUUCCAAGUUAAGAAACAUACAUAAUUGUCAACUUUGACGGGCUGGAGUGAUGCUUUAAGAAAUUAUCCUUCUGACCCAUGUUGCAACAAAAUUGGCCCACAACUUUGCAUAUUCACCCUAUCCUUUGGCUUCUAAGUUCAAUGACCUACCGAAAAGUCAUUCAAAAAAUAUUCCCUUUUUAGUUCCUUAAUGUUUCUGCGGCAAAGGAUCAAAAGUCUUGAUAGUUGAUGCCCACAUCUAAUACUAAUAGUCUUUCUUUUCCUUUUAAAAAGAGUAAUUGUUUAGGCAAUGGAAUCCCACCCGUUUCCUCUUCUUCCUAGAGUUUUUGAGUUAUAACGGAGGAAGCUCAAUUUCGAUUCAAAUGGAAGGAGCUUGAUUUUAUAAAAUUUGUGACAAGACUUUUGGACUUUCAUUUUACUAAAACAAGAGUUUAGUGGAGUGCAAUCAAAUUUAAAGCUAUUGGAAAACAAAUUUGAUCUUCUAUUGAUCUCAAUUCAAGGAAUUCGAUACUUCCAUGAGUCUUUUUUGACUUAUCGGCUUGACAUGAUUAAUAAAUUCAAUUUUAAUGUUUUAAAAGAUUUGAGAAUUUAUGAAUUUCGGAGUGGAAACCUUUUUACAUCUCUAAAUUUGGUGAGAUUUUAUUUUUACGCCCUAGCUCCACUACGUGCUUCCUCCAUGUUGUCCUCAUCAAAAUAUCAAUUAGUUUGUUUAAUCAAUAGCUGUACCCUAUCGAGGUCCAAAAGCCUUGUAGGUGCUGGUGCAUUCAGAUUGCUCAUGCACUGGCCCGCAACUUUGAGGAGGUCAGCUCAUCAACUAUGAGGGGCAUGGGGUUAGGUUAGGAUUUUGGAAAAUCAAGGGAUUUGGCACAAGGAAAAAAAUGUGCAGUUUUAAGCUUGUCAUUGAUCAAGCAAACCACCACUUCGGAUCUACAACAUCCGUCAUGGACCAAACUUUGACGGAACGUAUUUUUUUGGUUAUCAUACAAGUUUUGAAUUUUGAUGAUACAAAAAAUAGUUUUGAUAAUCUUUACCAAAAAAAAAAAAGUUUUAAUAAUUGGUAUUGCGAUGAAUAUAAAGGUUAGGAAUUUUUAGGGAACCACCGCUUGCUGUCGUCAAAUUUGCCGGUGACCCAUGGCCAUCACAAGCUCUCAAAUUUGCACGUCAAUCCAUUGGCGUUUUAACGCCUUGCCUGUUGAAGUCUGUCUUCUAUGCCUUCGUCUCUUUUUCUUUUCGCGUAGAGCUCAUAAUCUAUGUCCAUGGAAUUCGCAACCGACAGAAGUUGCUAGCCUCGCACAGCCAUAGAUCUAGGGUUGCUUGGCCGCCGGUGUUGGCCUUGACUUAGUGAGUUUGCUUGAUUUUCUAAACAACGGAGAGAGGCCCUCGGCUUUGUUUAUCAUUAAAAUAAAUACCCAAAAGGAAAAAGAUAAAUAAAUUCCUCAGAUAUUUGGGUCUUUUGGCAUUAGCAAAAAGACAAAAUGCAAUAGAUUUCGAGUGUAGUGAAACAAAGGAAAAGGGGUAGUGAAUGUGGAUGGACGGAGCGGGUGCCGUCAAUUGUCGGUGUUCACAUGCGGUGCUGUCAGCUUUUGUUGACUUGAUUUUGAAUAAAUUAUUUGAGGGUAAAAGUCGAUUCUCAAUCCGAAAUUUCUGCAACAUAUGGUCCGGUGGUUUUCCACGUUAAGAGACGUAAAUAAUUUGUCAACUUUGAUAGGUUGCAGUGAUGCUCCGAGGAAGUAUCCUUACUGAUCCAUUUUGCAGCAAAAUUGGCCCAUAACUCUUUGUAUAUUCACCAAAAUCUUUGGCUUCCGAGUUCAGUGACCUCUAAGCCAUUAAAAAAAAUCUUCUUAUUUUAUGUUUCUGUGGUAAAGGAACAAAUGUCUUGAUAGUUAAGACCUGUUUGUCUCUGUACAAAAAGUCUUUCUUUUCCUUUCAAAAGAAGAUGAGUUUAGGCAAUAAAUCCCACCUAUAUUCUCUUCUUCUCUGAGCAUUUGAGCUAACGGAGGAAACUCAAUUUCAAUUUGAAUGAAAGGAGUCUGAUUUUAAAAGAAUUUGCAAUGAGACUUUUGGAGUUUCGUUUUUACUAAAACAAAAGUUUAGCGGAGUAUAAUCAAAGCUAAAGUUAUUGAAAAACAAAUUUGAUACUUCUUAGGAGUAUUUUUUAACUCAUCGAGCCAUCAUGAUUAAUAACUUCAAUCUUUUUUUUUUUUUCACACUUGGAUUUAUACUUAAAAAGACUUAAGAACUUAUGAAUUUUGGAAUGGAACAAUUUUACACCUCCGGAUCUACGCAGAUUUUGCUUUUUAUCGUGAAACAUGGAAUGUAGUUACCACAAGAUCGAUUUAGAAAAUAGAAAAAUAAUUGCAAAUAAAUGCUAGCCAAUCAAUAAAAAAGUUGAUACUAUAUAAUUUAACUAAAUGGAAAUAGAAUGUGAUGCAUAUAUAUAGUCUUGUGUUGCAUCGAAAUAUGAUCUUGAGAUUAGUCAGUAUGAUCUUGAUAUGGACUCCAACAAUCUAAAACCUAAGCUCCCCGUGCCUUGUCUUAGCGUGGUAUUAGCAUUAGCUACCACUCUCAGAAAGAGAGAAAAGAGGCCUGCCUUGCAUCGAAAUAUGAUCUUGAGAUUGGUCGAUAUGAUAUUGAUAUGGACUCCAACAAUCUAAAACCUAAGCUUCUUGUGCCUUGUCUUAGCGUGGUGUUGGCAUUAGCUACCGCUCUCAAAAAGAGAGAAAAGAGUUAGACAGAACAGCGUGUGGGGGCCGUGCGACUGAAACCAAUGAUUGACCCAAGUCAAAGUCUACGGAGAAUUGGACUACCAACAGUUCAUGAUGGGCCAGCUUGCUCAAGAAGGAAUCGCACCAAUGAUUGACCCAAGUCUACGAAGACUUUGACUACCAAGGGCACACGCUAAAGCUAAAGCAUUGGCGGGACGACUUCUUUUCCACGUUAGGAUGACCCCAUCUUCUUUUUUAUUUGCCGUAUUGCUUCAUUUCUUUUCAUAAUUCGCUCUGCUUUUUAACAAGAAUUUCCUUUAGAUUCUUCAAGGUAGUUUCGCCGUGAAUGACUAUUGAGGUCCCCGGUAGGUUAAAUACUAUAAGAUUUUUGUAAAAUAACAUGCAUUCAACGUGCCACAUAAAAGAUGGCAUUUUAAUUACAACGGCUAGUAAUAUGUGGAUUUUUUUUUUAAAAGUUGUUUAAAAUAUGUGCACUUUUACUCAACAGGUACAAGCUCUUUAUCAUUUGAAGUUUAACCAAUAAAUAUAGAUUAUUUACAAGUAAUUUAAACAAGCAUACUUAAAUCGAUACAUUAAGUCAUGUGAUCAAAUCAUAAUGUGCCAAGAGUGUUUUUAGACUUAUCAAGUUAUUGUGAUUAAUAACUUCAAUCUUAAAUGUUGUUUUUGGUCACACUCGUAUCUACACCGGAAAAUACGGAAAAUACUUAAGAACCCAUGAAUUUUGGAAUGGAACAUCUUUACACCUCCAGAUCUAGUGAGAUUUUGUUUUCUAAUGUGAAACAUGGAAUGUUUAAUUACGUCAAAAUUGAUUUAGAAAGUAAAAAAAUACUUGCAAACAAACACUGUGUGCUGAAAAAUACGUUGACUUUUAAAUAGUCUAGCCAACUGUAUCAUCAAUUAAUAGAAAAGUUGAUACAAUCUAAUUUAAUUAAAUGGAAAGUAUGAAAGUGCCGCAUAUAUUUAGUUUUUGCAUUGCAUUGAUAUACAAUCACUAGAUUACGAAUUGCAUGAGAUUGGUUGAUGUGAUCUAAAAGCUAUGCUUCAUGUGCCUUGUUUUAAUGUGGCAUUAACAUUAGCUACCUUUCUUAGGAAAAAAAAAGACAGAACAGCGUACGGUUGGUGCAAGAAGACUGAAACAUCACGGGAUCAUAGGGGCAAAGUCAAAAGUCUACGAAGACUCAUGACGAACCAGCUUUGCUCUAAAAAGGAAUCACAACCAUGAUUCAUUCAUUUGGUAACUUUCUCCCUCAUAGUUAUACUUCCAUAAGCGUAGGGAUUUUAUCAAAAAGAAGGAAAAAGAUGUCACUAGAUCAUUAUGUAAAAUCCAAUGACGACUCAUCGUUCUCCCAUGCACCCGUAAAAUUUACAUGUAACAAAUCGAUCUCCAAUUCUCAUAUUCAUCGCACCAUUUCCUCUGGUCAUAUACCAUCACAUGAAAAUUAAAAAAAAAAAGAAAAUUUUUAGGGAGUCAAUCUGGCUAAGAAUUUUUUUGUCGCGGGAAAAUGCUUUUAGGAAAUUCAAUUUUAGAUAAAGGGAAUCGGAAGAAUUUGAUUACAAUGAAAACAAGUUAAAAUAAAAAAAAAAAAACUGAUUUUAUCAUAAUUGGUAAUAAGCGACUCCACUAAAUACAGCUUAUAUCGUCAAAAGUAUCAUGGAAUGACUAAUAAACUAGAAUUGAUAUUACCUUCAUUUAUUCUAAAAUCCAUCAAAAUAACAAUGAUUACAAAGAAAUUAAGAAAGAAAUUAUGAAACCAUAUUUGUAAAUUAUAGAUUUGAUCGUGCUUUGGGAAUGUAGAAAAAUUGAGCAUUAAUAAAGUAUAGUAACUUUGAAGGAUAGCAAGAAAAUAAGGGUAACGAUUCUUUUUGGCCAAGUUGUUUUUCUCUAAACUUAUUAUUUUUAGGGUUAAUAUCACAAAAAAUCCCAAACUGAUACACUCUUGCUAAAUUUAUUCUAAACUAAUUUUUUGACCACAAAAACCCAAAAUGGCAUAUUUGUGACAAAUUUAAUUUCCAUUCAUUUAUGUUAACUUGGAUUGAUAUUAUGAAAAAACGCAAAUUAGUACACAUGUGACAAAUAAAGAGUAAAACCCCAAACUGAUACAUAUAUUAAUUGUCAAAAUUUGAUGUCUACUGUUGUUCACUUUAACUUUGAAUGAAUCCACGAUUUAUUUGGAGGGCAAAAGUAGAAUGUAAUCCCAAAAUUUUUGCACCACAUAGUCCAAUGAUUUUUUGCGUUAAGAAAUGUAAACAAUUGUCAACUUUGGGAGGUUGAGCGAUGCUUCAAGGAAUCAACCUUAUUGACCAAAUUUUGCAAUAAAAUUGGCCCACGACUCUCUUUGCAUAUUUAUCCAAUCCCAUGGCUUCUAAGUUCAAUGACCCACCCAAAAGUCAUUCAAAAAAAUCUUUCCUUUUUAGUUCCUUAAUAUUUAUGUGGCGAAGGAACAAAAGUCUUUGAUAAUUAAGGCCCGCAUCCAAUAUGAAAAGUCUCUCUCUUCCUUUAAAAAGAAUAUGAGUUAGGCAAUGGAUCCCACCCAUUUUCUCUUCUUCCCUAGCUUUUGAGUUGUUGGAGGAAGCACAAUUUCAAUUCGAAUGGAAUGAGUUUGAUUUAAAAAAAUUUGCAAUGAGACAUUUGGACUUUCGUUUUACUAAAACAAAAUUUUAGGGGAUAUAAUCAAAGCUAAAACUAUCGGAGAACAAAUUUGAUCUUCCGUUAGUCUCAUUCGAUGAAUUUGAUACUUUUUUAAAGUCUUUUUUUUUUUUUUAACUCGUUGAGUUAUCGUGAUUAAUAACUUCAAUUUUGAAAUUUCUUUUUGUCAGGUUCAAAUGUAUGUUUGAAAAGACUUAAAAGCUUAUUAAUUUCGAAACAAAACAAUUUUAUACCACCAAAUCUAGUGAGAUUUUAUUUUUCCUUUUCGGCUCCUCCCCACCAUGUUGUCCUUAUCAAGUAUCAAUAGGCUCAAAUUAAUCAAUAUUUGUACCAAUUGAAAUCCAAAAGUCUUGCCGGUGCUGGUGCAUACAGAUCACUCAUGCAAUUACGAGGAACUUUGAGGAGGUCUUUUAGAAUGACCACAGCUAUGAGGUUUUGAGGUUUUGAGGGUUUUGGACAAGUGUGAGUAGAGCAGUGAUAGAUCUAAUCUUUUGAUAUAAGAACAUGCUUACAGUUGCAAACUGUAAUUUUUUUAUUUAUAGGUUUUGUCUUGUUUUGCAGUUCUUUUGGGAUUUGUUUGCUUGGAAGUUUUCUAUCUUCUUCCUAUAUUUGAUUACGACAGAUAAAAAAAAAUUCUUUCUACCAAAAAAAAAGAAAAAUCCAAACUCAUGUAUACCAAUGGAUAACGUGGGUGCACGAGUUGGGUUCACAUGUGUCGGUGCACAGACAAUACCCCCUCGAUGUAUAGAGACGGAUAGAGAGAGAGAGGGAGGGAGAGCGUGCUAUAUAAUAUGUACAGGCAAAGACGCGAGUGUAAAGUAACCCGCAGAGGCAGGACGAGUUAAAAUUCAAUAAUACAAAAAGAACGAGAGAGAAAGAGUUUCUUUUAAUAUUUUGUUUUAGUCACCGGAAGCAACUCAAUUGCUCCCCCUUCUCUUUAGAAAAUCCAGGGUUUUCUACCAGAGCCUGGGCUUCCGCCGGAGCUGCUGCUGAAGUUGUGCGCGCAGAUCUCGCGAACCCAAACGCCACCGCAGUGCAGCUGAUCGCUCCCUCCGUCGAGCCCCGGCGAAGGAACCCGUCGAUAUUUCUCCUCGAUAGCUCCUUGCCGCAAUCGGAGCCAGAUCUGAGGUGAGUCUCCAAGGUCCCCACUUUUUGGUGUUUAAAAAGAACCCUGGCAUUUUGGCAACUUUGAUUGGCCGCAAUGAAUCAUUUUUAGUUCAGAGAUCUCAUGGCUUGGAAGGAUUUACCAUAUCUGGCUGCCGCUGCUUUUGCUGCUAUCCUGUUUCGACUUUUUUCUCGAGGAGCAGAUCAAGCGAGAUCGAUGGAGAGGAGUGCAAAGAGACGGCAAGGAGAGCAAGCGAGAUCAAUGGAGCGGGGUGCAAAGAGACGGCGCACGGGUGGAAAUGAUGGAACAGCAGGAGGCGCUUCUUCUACUCACACGUCAACAGAAGGUCAAGAAGUGGCUACUUCAUCGGGAUAUGACUAUGAAGUAUUCUUGAGCUUCAGAGAACCAGAUACUGGAGCAGGUUUUACCGACCAUCUUUACACUAGAAUGAUAGAUAUGAGAAUCCGCGCAUACAAGGAUGAUGAAGAUCUCUCAAAGGGAGAAGAGUUUGGCCCAAAACUUCUCCAAGCAAUUGAGCAAUCGAAGAUUUCAAUGCCUAUCUUUUCGAAAGGUUAUGCCUCCAGCGUAUGGUGUCUCAAAGAGUUAGUCAAGAUGGUCGAGUGCCAAAAAACAAAGGGACAAAAGAUCAUGCCCAUUUUCUAUGAUGUGGCACCUUUAGAGGUUCGACACCAAACUGGGGGUUAUAGAGAAGCCUUUCGAUCACAUGAAAAAAAUAAGCGACAUGAUGAAAAGAUUGUGCAAGAGUGGAAGAAUGCUCUCAGUGCAGUUGCGGCAAUAAACGGGUGGGACCUGCACAGCCAGACCAAAAGGUGACUUCUCCUAGCAUGCCAUCUCAAGUCCAUUAUAUCAUUAGAACUCAAUGCAUUUCAUAUGGUUUCUUUUCUGGAUUUGUGUUGGCCUUGUUGAAACUGAAUUCCGUGUUAUUGAAGUUAUACUGCAUAAAUCAACUUUUUCCCAUUUUUUUACCAUUUUUUUCAAGCAACAUUUUUUUUUUCCAGUUCACUUCAUUUAAGUACCGGCGCCAUUUCAUCUACAAUGGAAUAAAUCCUUAAAGUAACACAUUUCGAAUUCAAUUUGGUCUUCUCAGAAUUAGUUUAAUGUUCACACAAUUUUCUAACCCAUUGUCUUUUGCCUCCAAAUAACUCUAGGCGAGAAGGUGAGUUUGCAAGAAAAAUUACCCAGAAGGUUUUCAAGGAGUUGAAAAAGCCUUAUCUGGCAGUAUCAGAGUGCUUGGUUAGUGUCGACAACCACGUGGAUGCAAUCAUGGAAAUGAUAGGUGCUGGGACAAGUGAAACACGAAUUGUAGGAAUCCAUGGGAUGGGUGGCAUCGGAAAGACAACUACUGCCAAAAUGAUCUACAAUAAGCUUUUAGACAACUUUGAAAAUUGUUGCUUUCUUCAAGAUAUUCAAGAAACGUCAAAAGGUAAUGGCAUUCAAUGCUUACAGAAUCAGCUCAUCUCUGUCAUCCUCAAAAUAAAAUGCAUGGAUAUAAAAGACAUUCAUGAAGGAACUCAGAUGAUUAAAGACAGGUUGUCUAAUAAAAAAGUCCUCCUUCUUCUUGAUGAUGUGGAAGAAGAGAAUCAUAUUAAUGCACUUGUAGGUAAACGUGAUUGGUUAGGCAGAGGGAGCAAAAUUAUUAUUACUACAAGAAACAAAGAUAUUCUUGAGGUUCCUGAAGUGGACUGUAGUUAUGAGCUUAGCGGCAUGGAUCUUGAUCAAUCUCUUCAACUAUUUAGUAGACAUGCCUUCAGAAAAGAUUAUCCUUUGGAUGAGUAUAUCGACCAAUCCAAGAGGGCAAUAGGCAUUGCUAGAGGUCUUCCACUAGCUCUUGAGGUCAUAGGCUCACGUUUAUGUCGCACUAAAAAGGAAAAGUGGGAUCUCACAUUGAAGAAGUUGGAAAAUGUUCCUCAUGCAGCAGUUCAGAGUAAGUUGAAAAAAAGCUAUGAUGCAUUAGAUGUUUGACAACAAGAUGUAGCUUGUCUUUUCAUCGGAUAUAACAAAGACAUUGUCGUUUAUUUUUGGGAUGAAUCUAAAUUUCCGGAAGAAGCCAUUGAAGUUUUGCAAAACAUGUCUUUGAUAAAUAUUAUAGAGUAUAAUAAAGUGUGGAUGCAUGACCAACUCAGAGACCUUGGAAGAAAAAUAGUUCGUCAAUAUAGUAAAAUAAAAAUAGAGAAGUAAAGGAGGGUGUGGAAUCCCAAGGAAGCAUUGGAUUUGCUAAGGAGAUAUGAGGUAAAAUCCUCCAUACAAUAAAUCUCCAAGUUACUCAUGAACAUUUUCUUUUAAAAAAGUGCAGUUACUUUAUGUAUUCUCUAGCACCAUUGUGACCCACUCAAUUAAUAUUUUUGCUCUUUUAAUAUUAGAUGAAUGGUGAUACUCAACUCAACCCCUUAAAAUGGUGAUCUUGAAGCGUUUCCCUUCAGCUUUUUUGUUCUUAAAUUUUUCUUUUAGGCAAGGAAAAAAAGAAGUUGAAGCUCUUCGUCUCAAGUUUUACCGUGAGGGGCAGUUCCAUUUUACCUAUGAGGACUUUAAGAACCUUUCAGAUCUAAGGUUUCUUCAAGUUGACGGUUGGGCAAAUUAUUUUGAUGCAGAAGAGAGGCUUUUUUGGCAUGAAUCGCCAUUAAAUGUUCUUCCAACUAAUGUUUUCUCGGAGAAUUCAAAUCUCCUUCCAUAAUUACGAUGGCUUUCUUGGCGUGAUCUUCCCCCAAAAAUUAAGAUUACAGAUUUCUCUAUGGAGGAUGUGGUUAUUCUUGAUUUGUCUCAGAGUAACAUUACGCAUGAUUGGUAGGGAUGGAGCCACAUGAAGGGUUAUCAUAUUCCAAAGUAAUCUUGGCAUCAUUUUUCUUCUCAUAGGUGAUGAAGAAUUUGAAAGUUCUGGAACUACGCCUUUGUUUUAGCUUGGAGAGAACCCACAACUUCUCUGCUCAUACAAAUUUAGAACACUUGCUCCUAUGCGACUGUUGGAAUUUAGUCGAAAUUGACAAGUCGAUUUGUCAAUUGAAACGCUUAGUUUCCUUAAAUUUAUAUGGAUGCGAAAAACUUCGAAGCCUCCCAAAAGUUGUGGGUGGAGAUCUUGCAAGCCUUGAAUACCCAUCUCCGAAACAGUGCAAUUCGUUGGAGAGGCUUCUAGAUACAAUCGGAAAUUUGGAAUCGCUGAUUGAGUUGGAUCAAAGAACUACCCAAUUCUAUCAUAAAGUGGAAAAAUUUGAAAGUAUUGAAUAUGAUGAAUAGUGCCAUAAGCAAAAUACGCGAUGCCCUCUGGAUGAUUGUGACCCUUGAAGAAAUAGAAUUUGAAACUAAGCAUGCUUUCGAUGUGGAAAUUGGCGAUUGCAUUUGUGAAAAUCAAUGCCUAAGAAUCUUGAGAUUGAUGAUUGUUAGAAUAUACAAAGUACCAACACUUCCCAAAAGUCUCGUCAAUCUGGAGUUGCAUACAUUGUACAUGAAUACGUUUCCAAAUCAUUCAAACCUGGUUAAUUUAGAGAUACUGAAGCUGGGGUUUGGCCCAUGUAAUGAUGGUGGGGGAUUUGGUGGGCCUGUGGAAGGAUAUCCAACUCCAUGGUGGAUGGAGAAUUUAAGCAAACUAGAGUUCCGGACCAUCCAAUAUUUUCUCGAGUUUCCGGACCAUCUCAAUAGUGUCCGUCCUCGACUUAAGUCACUUAAACUUGAGGGCGCUCAUCUGCAUUGCCUCCCGAGCCUUCCCUCCACUUUAUCAACCUUGAUGUUUUACUCUAAAUUUGUGACCACCCUACCCACAGAUAUUAUAAGUCUUCUUUCCCAACUCAAGGAUCUUUCACUCAAGUGCCCUAAUCUCGGUUGCCUCCCAAGCCUUCCUUCCAAUUUAUCAGCCUUGGAUUUGGAGUCUAGAUACAUUACCACCUUACCCAAGGAUAAGAGUAAUCUGCGUUGCCUCCCGAGCCUUCCCUCUAGUUUAUCAGAGUUGCGGUUGACCGGUUGCAAGUCAUUAUCUUCCCUGGGGGAUCUAUCGAAUUUGAAGGGACUUUCAUAUCUUUUCAUCGAUGAUUGUGCUAUCUCAGACAUUCGAUGCCGUGAUCCUUUGGAGAACCUAAAACAAUUGGAGCUUUGGAAUCUCAACAGGUUGAGACUUUACCUUCUCUACGUAAUUUCAACAAACUAGGUUUUCUUCAUGUAUUAGAAUGUGGUAAUCUGGUUGAGAUUCAAGGCGAACUACCACAAUCUUUGGAAGAAUUGAAGAUUUGUGGAUGUGGAUCUUUAAAGGAGUUGCUGAUCUGUCACGCUUGAAGGGACUGAAAAAGGUUAAAAUAAAGUGUUGCGGGAAUUUAAACAUGGAGGCAAUUUCUUCGCUUUGCUUGGAGAAGUCAGUUGAAUUUGGGGAAGAAGACAGUGAUGACGAAUCCGAAUCUGAGCAAGAAGAUGACGAAUUUGAAUCUGAAUCUGAGGGAGAAGGCAACGAGUACGAGGAAGAAGACAACGAAUCUCAAUAUGAGGAAGAAGAUAACGAAUGAGUGCACGAUCUUUUGAAAGCUUCUUGAUCCACGUCCACAAAUUGUUCCCUUGUGUUCAAGCUUCAAACGGAUUGAGUAAGUCAAUUCAUCUGACAGUCAAUGUUUUCCCUUUUCAGCAAUGUACUUCUUUCACGGAUAUGAAUGGUGAAGUUUCACAUGCACUUUUUAAUUAACUUUUCUCGAGUUGAUGGCUGCAAAUCUGAUAAAGGCAUUGAAGUUACGUUACCUCUGUACAACCAAAGGGUUGUUAAUUACGUACAAAUAUCCGUUCUCUUUUCCUAGUUUGGUUUUUCUUUUUAGCUAUAUUUUUUCUCGGAUGGUUUCUACUUGCUUUUAUGUUUCCCAGCUGAAGGUAUGUAUGUCGAUUGCAUCGUUUUUAUUUGAAAUGUAACAAUUUUUUAGAGAUACUUGUCAAUUUGCUGCUUCACAUAUUUCGAAGUUGAUAACCUUGCCUUGCAUUGAAGAUAACUUUGUUAUGCUGUAAACAAUCCGAUGGAAUGGGUGUUGGAAGGCCAUAUAGCUGCAGUUCUCAUCCUGGAACUUUACAGCAUAAUCAACUCAUCGAUGCAAUUGUGAAGAAGAUAGACACUCUCUAUUGAUAUGCUUAUGUUCAGUUUAUUUUCCAAGAAAGGUGUGCUUCUUAGUGGGAUUUGCAAAUGUUAUGGAGAAGUUAUAAAAUGAAGAAAGACGGAUUUCACUUGGGUAGCGGCAUCAACAGUUCGCGCAUCAAACUUCCAUCUGUGACAGGAGAGAGGAGCUACUUAGCUUCUCCGAUGUAUCAUAAAUCAUCUUAUAGUCAAAAGCUAAUAUUUCAGUAUUCCUGGUGCAUAGGACAUAUGAUGAGUCUUGCUGGGGUCAAAAAUCAUGUAAGUGGACUCUCGUAUGAUAUCCAUCAUUGCCUACAUCUUCUAGAAAUGGUUAAACCUAGGUGAUUAUCUGUAAUAGAAGCCCAUCCAUUCACAUCAAGCUAUACUAAAGGACUUUUAGGUUUUGAGUUUGACAAGAACUGUGAAGGGAGACAUCUCAAACGACCAGCUUUUUGCCGGUUUCUAAUGUUGCUGAGAGGUUUUAGAGUUUGAGAAACUUACAUAAAUCUUUGCAGGGAGCUGUGGCUAAUUAGGCAUCUAUACAAAUGAAGACUAAAUGAAGGAAAAUGAAGAUGACAUUUACUGUCGCCUGAGUUUCCUUUCACAAUCUUGGGGGCGGCAAACUGUGCAUCCAUUUGUCGAGAGACAGAAACUUGAAGAUUAGGGAGGAAAGUCGUUGCCUAAUGAUGAAAUUGUCAAAUAUGUUGAACUCGAUGUUAAGUUUCAGUUGAAUUUUUGGCACUUUUUUUCUAGAGCAGGGCAGGGGGGAUUCAUUGUGCAAUUCGUGGCAUCGUACAUAAUGUUUUUGGGGGGUAAAAGGGCUAUUUAAGCAAACCCGAUAAUUUAUUAAUCUUUUUUUGUGGGGCCAGAGAAUGAAUAUUGCACUUCAUCUGCAUGUGUGUUCUCUUCAUUGACAUGCAAUAGAACUUGCUUAUCAGUACACAUAUAUUCCUUUGCGAGGAAACACUUGAAGGGCUUGUCUGGACAGGGUGAAAAAUUGUGUGUGCUUAAAGAAGUGUUCACGGUAUUGCCUGCCAAAAUCAGUUCAUGGACUUCUUGAUGUGAAAAUGGUGCUCAAGGUAGUUUUCCUCGUGAGUAUGAUGGGCACUCACAGCACAAGAAACAGGAAUUGUUGGAAUUCAUGAAAUGGACAGUGGAUGUCAGUUGAGUCUCACCAAAAUGAUCUACAAUAGUCUUCGCAUGGUUUUGAGUACUGUUGCUUUCUUUCUAACAAUCGUGAUACUUCAGAGCUCAAGGGUAUUCAGUACUUAAAGAAUCAACUCAUCUUUUGCAUCCAUAAGUGGAAAUUUACUGAAAUAAGUAAUGUUGAUGAAAGGAUCAAGACAAAUGAAAGAUAGGCUAUCUAGUAAAAGAGUUCUCUUCCUUUUUGAUGAUGUUGACAAGAAGAAACAAUUGAAUGCACUUGGGGCAAAUAUCUAUGAUAUUCAGGCAUUACUGAAUUUUUCGACGCUAAGGACGCGAAUAAUAACCAUUCUGGUUAGAAAUUUAUUUCUGGAAAAUAAAUAGAUUUUUCUAUUUCUAUUUAUAGAUGAGUUUUUAAGCAAAAAUAACUGUUUGACAACGAUAUAAAAUUUCUACUCUAAAAAUAGAAAUUCAUUUGAUAAUGACAAAAAAUUUCUUCCUUUCGGAUGGCGACGGAUUGACAGAUGGCGAUGGACUGGCGAUCAGUGGUAGGGCAGUGACUGGCGGCUGGCGGCGGUGGCGGUGAUCGACAGCCGGUGGUCAGCGGCAAUGGAUGGUGAACACAAUAAGAAGAAUUUUUAUUUCUCAUUUCUAUUCCAGAAAUAAAAAAAAUAGAAAUUUUCUAUUUCUGAUUUCUAUUCUAAACCUAUUUCUGAAACAAAAAUCUAUUUCAUAAAUAAAAAUUUGGAAUAAGUUUAUCAAACGGAUUUCUAUUUCAGAAAUGAGUUUGGAAUAGAAAAAUUGUUUCUGGAACAGAAACAGUGUCAUACACUCCCUAAGCAUCAAGUGCCGAUGGAUCUCGAGAUUUUUAGUGCUUCACGUUGUUCAUCACUGAAUAUAAUCUCUUCCAUUGGUUACUUGAUAUCUCCAUCGAGGCUAUCCUUCAAAACCACCACAAUUACACAACUUCCUAUGUCGAUUCAAGCUCUUACAAGCCUUAAAUACUUGUCUUUGAAAGAAUGUAGAUGUAUACAGAGGCUUCCAAACUCGAGUGGCAAUCUACAAUGGCUAAUUGAGUUCAAUAUCUCCUACAUGUGCAUUAAAGAGCUACCUACUCGAUGGGAAACAUGAAAAGUUUGAACGUUGUGAGGACGAAUAAUUGUUCCAUUGGAAAGAUACCUAGUGCCUUAUGGUUGCUGUAAAAGCUUCAAGAAAUAGAUGCAGCAAGGUGAAACCUUGCAACUGGAACUAUAAAUGAAAUUAGUAGAUAUUCCUCUUUGAGGAUCUUGAAAUUGACACUGAUUUAAGCAUGAUGAGUACAAGUACCAAGGCUUUCUCGUCUGUUUACACAUUGAUUCAUCAACGAUGACACAUUUUAGAUUUCUUAAACCUCACUAGUUUAAAUGAUUUGUAUUUGGGCUAUUUGACGAGAUGCUUAGCCGUUGACAGUUGUCCACUUGUGGAAGAUCCCAUGCCAUGGUGCAUUGUGAGAUUAAAUAAAGUGGGGUCUUUGACCUUCUCAUCUGCUGUUGUAAUUACUUGAUCAACAGACAUUGGUAAGCUUUCUCUACUCAAAAGACUAGAACUCCGAUGUGCUAAUUGUCUGCGCCUCUAAAGGCUUCCCUCAAGUUUGUCUUAUUUAUCUGUUGAAUCUUGUUGGUGGAGGAGAACAACGAUGGAUCUCUCAAAUAUGAAUAGACUAUCAGAACUAAGAAUGGUAAAAUCUGCAAUAACAGAGAUUUAAGCCCUUGACUAUUUGAAGAAUCAUGAAUUCCAAAACUCUUUGAUCUUGAAAAGGGAGAGUUUCCUUAAUCCGACUCAUUUGAAGAAGUUGAAGUUAGUUGCAAUAGAUUAUUGGAGCAAUGUGGAUUUUGCUCGUUGCAAAUUACCAGAAUCUCUGGAAGAAUUAUUGAUUGGAGGCCCUGCCAUACCUGAUCUAAGUUGAUCGGGUCUAAAUUUUUGGCAAAGAGGGGAUAACAAGUGUGAGGCCUGACUGUUUCAACUUGAAGAGGUUCAAAUGAUGCAAUGUCUAGCAUUGCAUAGGAGAUUCGUCCUCGAAAAAUUUAGAAGACAUGCUCUACACAGGAAUACAUUUUCCAAUAAGAAGUGCGUGUAGUUCUUGAAAGGUCAAACAUUUACAACCAAAUAAGUUGUCAAGAAAGCUCUGAAACAUAAACAAAUUGCUUAUUGGCCUAGGUCAUUUUAGCAAGCUUCAUUAUUGUUUUCCUGGAAUUGUGUUCUUUAUACUAAUUAGACUCACAAUUUGGCAAAUUCAGUUGAAACUUGCAUCCUUGUGUAGAGCAUGUCUUCCAAAUUCACUUAAAUACUGGCCUUUUUGCAACCACUUUCUAUUUUGAAGAUGGAUGGCUGCAAAAUGCUCAUGAAAUGGACCAUGGUUUCUUUUGAUCUAUUUCAUGAGUUAGAUUUGGUUUAGAGAUAUUCCCUUUCGACGAUUUUGGUUGGUGAAUAAAAUUUCUGGUAAAAUACAAGUCAAAUUGAUGCUAGUUUACUAUAGUCAAGGGCACUAAUCUUGUCAAUUUACACAUUGGUCUUUUAUGUGAGAUCCUUGAACUUGCUCAGUUGUACAAUUUGAAGCUGAUAGCCAUGCCCUGUAAAUAUUAACUUCGUUACACCUUUAACAAUGAAGGAUGUAUCCAGGGUGUAGGUUUUAAUCAGAGAUAGAAGCUGUGUCAUUCACCUUUUGGUUAUCCUUGAAAUGGAGCUUUAGGUUUCAACAUUGAUAAGGAGAACCACUGUCCCACAAAAGUCCCACAUGACAGCCUAAGCUUUUUUUCUCUUGGUAACAAGAUAAAUUUACGGGGUCUUUCUAUGCGAGUAAGCUGUGAUUAACUCAAUUAAUGCAUAGAAUUGACAAUUAUCUCACCAAGUAGAGGAAAAUAUACAUAAGAUGACAAUAUUUUUUUGCCAAUGCUGGUCUCUUGCACAAUGUGCUUUGAAUGGUCAUAAUUAGCAAUAUAUCCUUUGAAAUGAUGAAGGGAAUUUAGUUCUUCAGCUUUCCACUAAUGUUAGUUCCUGUAUAUCAAGGAAAAAAAUGCAAAAGCUUACAACUCUCGUUCCGGAGGCUGAUCAGUGUUACAUGUCAAAGCCAAGAUGACAUAAAUUGUUUACUCCUAAGAGUUAAGAUUGAGCAAAGGUUGCCAGUGGAAAUGAUGCAAGACAAGGUCAUCAUCUGCUUCCAAGAUGGAUUGAUGUAAUAAUUAAUCAGCAUAACUCCCUGCCAGACAACAGUUGAAGUACUUGCGCCAAGAAGUCUUUAGUGACAAUGUGCCUAUAGUAGAAGGUGAGGUCACAGAUGGAGAAGUGGUCUCCCAAGGCACUCUUUGCUUCACCUUAUAAAAACGGUUAAGUCUGGUAAACAAAGCCACGGGCCAAGAUAAGACUGAGAGGUCAACUAGCGAACGCAUUCAUUCAAUAGAAAUCACGGAGUUGUAUAAACAAGAAUGACACAUUCAACUUCGCACUAUUUACAUUCAGAGUAAAUUUGAGUAGAGCUCUUAUGUGUCUUGUGAUGGAUGUGGCCAACAGAUUGAUGGAAUCCAUUUCAUAACCGUCAUCACAGAGGUCCCUGAUAAUCUUUGAGAAACCAGGUGCUGACCUGGGAGCAUUUUAACUGAAGUUGCUCUUGGCAUCGGAGUCAGAAGGCAGCCUCAAUGUGGAAGCAGAAGGAUUCCCAGAAAAGAAAAGAUUUCCUUUGACGUCUUCACCUCCGUAUUCCUUCAACCGCGCGUCCAUUAUGAUUUUGCAUGAUCCCCAUGUCUCAGCCAUUAAUCCCACGCCAUAGUAGACUAAAUGGUCCGAGAUACUGUUACCAGUUACCAAUCUGCACGGAUGCACCCUCAUCAGUCAUCCAUGUACAUUCUCUAGAACAAGCUGGUUUGUCAUGACUUAUUGCGUCUAGCAUGACAAAUCCACAAACUAAUUGCUUGAACAAGUAGCCAUGACUGAAACUACCUCAUUACCUGCUACAUGAUGAGUCUUCUCCAGAGCCGUCACAAACUUUCUCGACCUGAUAAACCAGACUACCAAAUCCUAUAUUAUACAGCCAUACCUACAAAAGGGAACAUCCCAAUUACAUGUGAACAUUGACAUAGAAAAGAUUAUGAGUAGUCACCAGAGAAACAGUUGGAAUCAAAUCAUUUUCACUUUAUCUCACAUCAAUAUGUUUAUCCGUGGCUGUCUUUGAGCUAGUCGCCAAUAAUCAUAAGCAUUAGUAGACAUACAAUAAUUAAAAUGCGUAUAAUUGCACAUAAAUUAAGACUAAGUCAAGACUAGGUUAUCAGCCAUCAGGAAAAAGAGAAAGAGAAUAUAUAGCAAACGUUAUUAUGCGUCUUAAACUUUCAAAUCAGUAUGAAAAAACUCAUGAUGGCUUUUGCAGGAAUGAGAGUUACUCAAAUAUUUCUCAGAAGUCAUGAGCACCACAAACUACCCUGCUUUGCUAAGAUGAAAAACAAAAAACUUAUUUUUCUAUGCUGAAAAAAGAGAGUACAUAAAUUGUUGGAAUAAAUGAGAAUUAGAUGGGUUGGAAGAAAUGCAAAGCAAACGUCAAAGUCAAUCAGCAACAAUUCCCCACAACAUAGAUGAUAUUCCACCAAGAUCAAAGCCUUACCUCUCUAGGGAAGUGAUGGUAAGUCUUCUGUGGGAACCGAGAAUAGUAAGGAGGCAAAUGAGGCACAAUAUCAUGUCCAUUGGUAAUACGUAUUGCAUUUGGCACAGGUCACUGUAGUAAGAUGCAAACACUGCAUUGCCAAUACAAGGUUGUCCAAAUGUUAAAACCUGAACAUUCCGUGCUUCAUGAUUGACCUGGAAAUGAAGCAUCCCCAGUUAAGCAGCAGGCGAAUAACAGCUUCAGCACACAUAAUUAGACAGCCAAAUAACUUGAAUUUUAACACAUCAAUGGCCCUGUCAGGAUGGGCAAAAUAAAAAAAACAUUGUGCAUCAAAAACCAUAUAUUGCAUUUCAUAUACAAUGGUGAACAAAAGAGCAUCCCUUUCUCUCCAUGAGGUUUGAAGGUCUAGCGUUACUCUGCAAAGUUCCCAUCCACAAUUUUCCCAACACCAAACCCAACACCCACAAUAAAACCGACCCUACCCUCAGCUUCAAGAAAAGAUGUUAACAAUAUGAAAUAGUGGGAUUGGGGGUGAAUUCACAAUCGAGGUGCAUUUACAUGCUGCCACAAGAAGCAAUUGGAUGUUGGUGGCAUGAGUCACAUCCUGCUAAUGGCAUAAACAAAAAAUUCCAGGUUCACAGUGAAAAUGCCCCUUGAACUCCAAAACUUAUGUCAUAAAUAGUAAAGGAGAAACUAAAUCAAAAUAAGGGCCACAACGCAUGGGCAUGAUGUCACAGUCAGAUAAGAACAAUUUUCAAGACGAAACCAGAAAACAAGUAGUAAAAUUUUAAAAUCAUUUGUGUUAGGACAAGAUGUCAUGCUUGCUACUUGUACUUCAAGAAAAGGUAUAGUCUAAAGUGUAUGCAACCUAUGAUCCUAUCAUAGGCCACAUGAAUGUUUGACUCUCAAGAAAUCACCAUUCCUCAUGGAGAGAGAACAAUGGGACACGACUUUGCGGUGUGUACCAUUUCUGGUACCAGUCCCACAACAGGUGCCUAGAAAAGUACACUGGACCACUAUUUAACAAAGCCGAGACGAAAAGCAUAAUUUAGACAUCUUAGAAUUGGCUCCAACCUACGACAUAUCUACCCAGCAGUCCGACUGAAGAGGGGCUGCUUCAUUUGAUUAGGAAGAGACAGACAGCAACAGCACACAAAACACAAACUUGGGCUCGAUAUAUAAUGUAUCUUAAAAUUGCUUAGCUCUUUAAGAUUACAACACAUAAAAUUUGAGCUUCAAGUGCCUAAAAAAGUUAUAUGUCUGGACCAUAAACAUAUCAACAAUCCCAUAAAGUUUCCAGCAAGUGAACUUUGUAAUGAAUAGUCGGAUGUCCUUACCCACUACAUUUAAGUAUUCAACCAACUCAAAGCUCCAAAGCUUAACAUGUGCGACUCAUUCACAUAACUAGAUACUCCAAUAAUUGGUGGUUCGCGCAAAGACUGAGUGCACCCCAUUCUGCUUGUGUUUUGUCUAUGGGUUGAUCUAACAAAAACAUAAGAAAACAAGAUGCUAUUAUGACAAAUUGUAUAUAUAGCUAUGAGAGCCAUAGAAAGUUCGAGAUCCACGUAAAGAGUCUAGACACUUCAAGGUAAAGUUGGCAGAGAAUUCCAAAUAAAUCUUAACAGACCAAAACUGAACAGUUGGAAGAACACGAUAGAAAAGAAACCAAUAAAAUUCACAAGUCCCAGGCAUAACAGUUUUUCAAUUUAUCUUACCACACAAGAUCGAGUCCACAAAAGGAUGCCAUAGCCCCUCCCAUAGAAUGCCCUGUCACCAUGACGUUGAUGUCUCCAUAUAAAUCCUUGGCUCUAACAACAACAUCCAAAAUACCAACUCGAAUUGUCGUAUUGUGAUAAGCAAAAUAGAAUCCAUGAUGAACCUAAGCAACAAUCAAUAGAGUAAGACCAUAACUCAAUCUAAAUCAUAAGUAUCCGCAGGUAGCAAGAGGCUUAUCAUCUCUGGAACUCACCAUGGCACCACCGCACCAGGCAUGCCGGGGUAAUUUAUGUCAAGCUGUUUCCAAUAGAGAUCUUCAACCCAAUUUUGUAUGCUAUAGACAUAAAUAGAAGUAAUCACUAACUGGAAAGCUCAAAUGAUAAAGAGAAGUGACAGAAUUUUUCACUGAACAAAAUUAGUGAAGUAUGGGAUCUCCUCAUGACUCCAUCUGAAAUUACAGGAGAGUAACUUCCGUGUCUCGGUGGAAAUGAUUCACCUUUUUCUAUUCGUAUGGACAGCAUUCCCAUGUGCCCUAUGUGCGCAUUCACUGAGGCCGCUCUUCUUAGCUUAAAUUUUCUUCAAAUUUUUUGCAUGUCAAUUAUAAGGGGAGGAAUUGCAAAAGCUAACAUGCAUACCUAUGUUCUUGGGUACCUCUGAAAGCUAUAAUUAUAGCAUUAAGGUCCUUGGCCUCUCCAACAUAUGCCUAUAUAUAUAUAUAUAUAUAUAUAUAAAAUAGUUUAGAAAAGAGACAAAAAAUUAGAUGCAAUUCAAACAUAGAGGCAUCGCAAGCAUCCAAAUUGAUAGGCCACUGUAAAAUGAUUUAUAUACUUGUAAGCAAUGCCGAACAUCAACUAUCAGUUCAAUGACUUCGAACCCCUGCUUUCAUAUCAAAAAGGCAUUAAUAAACAGUUCAGAAGCUCAUAAGACGAGGUAGCAUAAGCCCACAAAAUGUCAUCUUAUGAACUGGGUAUUUAGUACUAAAGAUCCAUUCUUCACACAACCUUAGCAACUAAAAAGUAGUCAAAUUACCUUGGUCUUUCCAUCACAUCUAGGACAUGUCCAACUAAAAAGUUCUGUCAAAUCUGACCUGUAAACCUGCAACAAAGAGCUUUGCAUUAAAUUGCAAUUUUAUUGUAUUGAAAUGGUGAAACCUAAUGCGUAACAACAAUAAGCUCUAGGUAAAUCUGAUUUUUUUUUUUAAAGAGCACUUAUGGCCGAUGCAUACUCCACCAAUAUUGUGGCAAGAGUGUGAUUGUAAAUAGCUUUGUGAGCCUUGGACCUCACUCUGAGUUCUGCAUUUACCAGUAAAUAAAAUUCCAGAUUGAAAAGUGGUCACGAGCUCAUUCAAUCACAAGCAAAUCUCUCUAGCAAGCUAUUUUGACGAAUCAAGUGACGGGAACGCUUUGAGGAAAUAUCAACUCAAAACAACAUUCAGUAUAUUUUUGCAGUCCUUCGUGAACUGAAAGAACUAUUUACACAAUGCAAUGUGAUGAGGAGGAAUAAGUGAACAACAUAGGUUUCCACUUUUCAAUAAAGCUGCUCCAUGAAAACCUACAGGCGACAGUCCAUAACCAAACAAAAGCUGAAUAGCUGAUAUUCAAUCACUCUAAGACACUCAACAAAUUAUAUCCCCAAAGUAGAAACGGCAGAAUGAGAUUUGCAUCAAACAAAUAUAAGGAAAUUCGAUCAAUCUGACCAUAUUCCAGCCGUAGCAUCAUUCCAAACUCGGAAAUCUAAGGGCUUAACAGAACCAACCAAACACAAUUCGACGCUUGUCCUUUAAAUGCUUUGAGAACAUCUAAUUGUCCACCAGAGGGAUCAUAUAGCUAAAGUUUUGCCCCAUUCAGUCAGGUACUAAAGCUCCGCGACACAGUCAACGAUUGCCCCGUACCCUGAAAUACCCAAUCCCCCAAAUUUACAACACAAAUCUCCCUGUCAAAGCUCAAAACCGACGUACUCAAUUCGAGAGCCUUUCUAUUCGCACCUUCUCACAAUCAAAACUCCCAAUCCGAAUCGAGUCAGAGAAUGGGAGCAGUAACUGAUCACAUGAACGCGAAUUGCAAUUACCUCUCGCCCGGCUCGUGGCAACCAAGCACGUCAGAACCACCAUCGCCCUCAGCCACGACCCGUUCCGCUCCAUAUCCUGCAACAGAAAACGGAUCGAACAGCGUCGUCGAUUAUUAAUAAAAAAAAAAAAAAAAAUCUCGCCACCAAAGGAAAAAAAAAAACUCCAUCUCCGCACCUUUCAUGUACGCAAACAAUCACACGCGAUCAAAACGGCGCGGACGGCCCGGCGAGAUAGAUACAGAGAGAGAGAUCGAUCGCGAGAUCCUCGCCCGCGUCGCUCGAAUUCGAAUCUCGAUUCUGGUCCCUCGCGGCGGCGGCGUUCGUGGACUUUCAUUAUGGCGAUUGAGAGCCGCAUUGACUUGAUGGGGACGAAGGGAAGCGGAGGACGACGACGAAGUUACGUAUCUUUCCUGAUUUGCCCCCGUGAUCUUCCCCCGUCGGCGGGCAUAUUCGGUGUCCGCGUUCGGUGAUUUCGUCGCUUGCGCGAGGGCAAUGAAGGGAGUUCGUCUGAAAUCGGGGAGCUUUGAGAAUGACCGCGUGGCGAUUUCUUCUGUUUUAUUCUGAUUUUGGACAAAACUCGGGAUCCCAUCUCUUUCUUUUCGGAGCUUCCCCUUGGUUUCUCCACGUCAACACUUUGACUCGCCGCUUGUCUCAAGCUAGAAUUCCCCCCGAAAAACAAAAAACUAAAAUUAAUGCUAAUACUCGUGGAGAUAUAUGAAAAUGCAAGUACAACUUCGGACGAAUGUUUUAGAAUUCAAGCUCGAAUCCAUCUAUUAUCUCGACUCGUACGAAUUUGAAAAUAAUGUAUUACAUUUGAGUGAUUGGCGAGUGGAGCUUCAUCGCGAAUCGUGAAACCUACUUCUCUUGAUUUAAGAGAAAGUUGGAGAAGGUGACUAGCCUUAUGUAUUGAUUCUCGAUGCUCUUUGGUGUCUUAUUGACCUAGAUACAAUAGCUUUUAUUUAGAUUGAUAUCGUGAAAAACUCAAAAUUACCAUAUAUAUGACAAAUCUAUCACAAAUUAUUAUUUUUUCAUUAAAAACUUAUACCGAUACAUCUGUAACAAAUUUACUUAUUAUUAGUUAGUGUUAAAAUUUACUAUUAAAUUGUUGAGUUAGAUAACAUGUAUUGCCAAUGGAUAUACUAGUUUAAAAUUUUACAGAUCAUUAGUUUACGUUAAAUUUACUACUAAAUUGGCAGGGUUUAAAACAAUUGACAUAUGUACAAAUUUAAGGUUUUACAUUUCAUUUAUCAUAAUUGUCAUGAUAUCGAUCCAAUUAAACGGAAAUUAAUGAAAAAUAAAUUCGUCACAAAUGUACCAUAUUGAAGUUUUUUGUGGUAAGUUCGUCAAAUGUAUACUAGUUUGAGUUUUUUUAUUGUUAAAAAAUUAAUGAAGGAUAAAUUUAUCAUGAGUGCACCAAUUUUGAAUUUUUUGUGAUAUUAACUCUUUUUAUUUUUUAGAAUUUCGAGUUUAGUUGCUUUGUCUAAAAUAUACAAACUACUCAUAAUGUGAGCACAUUUAGAACUGAUCACUGCCUUAAAAAUCACAGCAUUGUUAUCUUAUAGUUGCUCGGUGGAAUGUAUGAGUCGUACGGAGAUUAAAUGUUUUACAUAUAAAAAGAACAUGAAGUACAAUGAGUUUCUAAUCUCAAACAAAAAGGUUGCAAGUGUACAUUUUAAGAGGACAAAGAUUGCGAAUGAAUUUUUAUUUUUUAUUUUGCAUUUAGCUCACACUAAUAAUAUAAAUAAGAACAUUAAUAUGAGGCACAUGCCAUAUUCGGUGCUCUCACAAAUUUAUAUUGGUAGUGGAAUUUAUAUAAAACUACAGUGAAAUUAGUACACAAAACAACAAGUGGGAGUUAAGAAAAAGGUGAUGUUCAAGAAAAAUUAUCAUGAAGAGCAAAAUGAUCAAUUUCGUAGACACCAAAUCUUUUCCUUUAUAUGUAGUAGAGAUGAAUGAAUUGGUGUGACUUAGGUCAAACUUUACAAGCACAAAACUGAUUAGUACACUGCUCAUUUUUUGUUGCUAGGCCUGUACACUCCUCAUUUGCUUUAUAAAAAGAAGGGGUAAGUACACUAUCAGUGCCAAAAGUUAUGUACGGUACUUACUUUAGUGCCAAAAGUUUAUGUUGGAUCACUUAAGUGUCAAAUCGGAGGAAAAAUGACCACUUUAGUGCCACCGGUGAGAGAUUUCGGCCAAAAUGAUUACGUCAUUUUUAUAUUUGAAAAAAAAAAUCGACAUGGGUUUUAAAUGACGUCGUUUUCCGUCAUCCUUAAGAAAACAAUGUGGUUUUGCCAUCAUAUGUGGAUGGCCUCACAAAAAUGAUGUCGCAUAGCUCAUAUGGGAUUGAAAUUAAGGUUUUUUUUGUUCGAUCCUCGCCCAACGCCAAUCUAUCGCUCGGCCACCGUUGCUUGGCCUCCGUUGUAGUUGCUCGACUAGGUGAGCAAGGAGAGGCUGGGGUUAUUUCUCGGGCAAGAAGCGACGGGAAGAAUAGGAGGCGAGGGCAGAGGAGGAGGAGGAGGAAGGGGGUCGAAGGUGGAGAGAGAGAGAGAGAAGAUGAGGUGGGCGAGGGAAACAAGGAGGGCGCAUAUGGAAAAGGUGGAUUGGGCUCUGCUCAAGAAGUGGUUGGUGCUGGUGUUGUUCUUCGGGGAAGAAGAUAACUGUCACACCCCGAUCCUUUGAGCACGUGCACAUCCCUCCUUGAUCUCUUAAUAGUGAUGUCCCGUGAUGCAUCACCGACCCAUUCAUUUUAAUAUACGCAUGUGGAAGCAGAUACAAAUCCCUAGACAAUAAAAUAAUGGGAUAGGGAAGUAGGGCCUUAAAUUUUUCAAACCAAUAUCAACCUUUUAUUAACGCACGGGUUUAUUUAAAAUAUCAAGUUGCUUACAAAAAUAUUGGCUAAAUCAAAAAGAGGCUGUCUUAUGACUAAUGAGUCAGACAGCUUUGCCGAUUCUGUUCCUUUCACUCCCCCAAACUCUGGGACUUCUGGUCCUACCAACACCAUCUGCGGACCUGAAAUAGUUAUACAAUAACUAAUGAGACAACGUCUUAGCGAGUUCUACCCUCUAAAAUUCAAUUAAGAAGAAAAUAUGUCCUAGGGGCUGCUUAAGCACAACCACGAGUCAAAGGUCUUACCUUGGCCUCAGUUCCUUCUCACAAAUCAGUUCAAUUCAUAAAUACUGACAUAUACAUUGUCCACUCAAUUCAAUUAGAUCAAAUCAUCGAUCAAUCGACUCCGUAGAUUACAUGUCAUCAAGACUAUCAUAUAGUUAUUUUGAUUAAUCACUUUCAACUCUUGAUUUUGGCCCAACAGGCACAACCUAGAUUAAGUGAUUAUCACGGCCCCAUUGGCAACUUUUCUAUAUUUGGUGAUAAUCACGGCUCCACUUGGCAAUUUUCUAGGUUCAGUGGUAAUCACGGCCCCACCUGGCAAUUUACUUAGAUUUAGUGACAUUAUGGCCCAACUCGGCAAAUUUUUUAUAUUUAGUGGCAUCACAACCCCACUAGGCUAAUUUCUUUAUUGAGUAGCAUCUCGACCCCACUCGGCUAAAUCUUCAUAAUCAUCAAUUCACUCAAUUUUCACCAACCAUGGCUCAAUUAAAUAAACAGACCGCACCACAAUAACCAGCAUAAAAUUUUUUAGGUUCAGAGUCUAACUUAGGCCCAUUAUAGCCUAAUUGGAAGCCGAGACAAGCAAGGAAAAUUCCCGAGACUUGUUCAAUAAAUACUAACACGAGUCUACUUGUUAAUGUCACUAGCUAAUCACCUAACAUGCCAUGAUAAGGCACUAAUUUAAUUGUUCUACUCUAAUCUAACUACCUAAGUAUGCUUAAUUAAAUCUAAUCAACCCCUAAACAUAAUUUGCCUACUAAGCGAAGAUUAGUGAGUGAAACUCACUUGUUAAAAGCGAAGACGGGAACACCGCGACGACGACGCGACAUUGGCCGAAAUCCAAAUUUUCAACAGCGUCGGUGGACACUCGGACCGGGCCUAGAAUGGGCCCAACAAAUCUCAGCCCAACUGAAAUUACACGAACUGGGCUUGAUGGGCCCAAUGAAAAUUGCUGGGCUGGCUUUCACGCAGAUAGGCUGAACAGGCCUUGAAUGGGCUAGUUCUGAACUGGGCUUGAAGAUGGACCCAACUAUGAGCUGCUGACUGAUUGCGGGCUUCUGUGGAUUGCUGUUUGCGCGGAUGGAAGGUUGCCAACUGGGAGACACGCGACUGAGGAGCUGCUCUGUUGACUCUGUGCUGGCAUGAGCUGCUGUGGCGUUCGCUGGCGCACAAAGAAACAAAGAUGGUAGGCGCGUGGACGUGGCUUUGGCAGCAGAGGCGUGGGGACUUUGGUCAACAAAGUGGGAAGAGUUUUGCUGCUGUUGACUGUGAGGAUGCGUUGGCAGCCAAAGAACAAACGAAGAGGAGAGUAGACAAGCGGCGAGCGGCUUUGGUGGACACAACUUCAAGAGGUCAACGAAAGAGCUUCUGUGGGCUUGCUGUUGACCAGGGAGACAUGCGGCAUUGAUUGUGGGCUGUCGGUGGCUUCGCUAGACGCACAAAGGAGCCGCGGGUCAACGAAGCCAAGAGGAGGUUGACGCUGGGGUUGUUGCGGUUGAUGAUUGACUCAGACGGAUGCUACGGUAGGUGAAGUUGCAGGAGAUAGCAGCAAGAGAGAUGGUUCAUGAAGGGAAUUUCGUUGGUGGAGGCGUGCUGGCCGAAGCUAGGGUUUGUUGAUCAAGGGAAAACAAGGAAAAAUGAAAGCAAAUCCAAAGUCGCAGAGAGGAAAAGAGUCGGCCGUAUGGGUGGUGUGCGUGAGAAUUUUGAGAGGGGGGACCCAAAAAUCAUCAAACCUAUCUCUUCCAUUGAUGGCCUUAUCCCCCUAAAGUUUACAUAAUUAUCCUCUUACGUCUCCGAUUCAUAGAAUUCCUCAAUAAUCCAAUUUUUGGUGUCAAAAUAUAGCCCAUCAACCAUAAAUCCGAAUUUCACUUAAUUUAGCUUCAAUUUCAUCCUCAAUUUCCCAAAUUCAAAGUCCAAUUUCAUCGAAGAAAAAUCCCGAACAAUUUUCUGUAAAUCUCUGACACUCAAAGGCUCGGCUUGGAAGUCCAAAUUUCCUUUAAUUUGGCCCAUUUGAAUUUCCACUAAUUUUCCACAAAGUCCGAAUCGAUUUUCCGUAAAAAUCCCGAAAUCUCUGAAAAAACUUCGGAGGAUGAGUCAAUGUUCCUAAAAUAGCUCGUGACACGACAAAACUUUCAAUUUCUGAAAUCGGGUUCAAAUUCGCAGUUAAUUUCAAUCCAGUGCGUUUUUGGCGUGACUCAAUCUACCGGUUAGUUUUCAGGAAUUUUUGUUGCAAUUGACCCGUGAUCAAUUUAUCCCAAGUCACAUUAUAUAUCGUCGACACAUUGGCGACUCUCGGUUAUCGUGAAAAUCUCGAGGUUUCAAUUAUAGGCAUCGGGUACCAAAACGACAAAAAAUCAAUUUAGUACCAAUCGAUGAGAAUUUUGCAAUCAAGUGGAAUCACCCACAUUUUGAUCACAUAUCUCAGUUGAAUCGACCUAUCUCUGAUAUCUGACGGUGCCGUAAUGACCCUUGCAUAUCAACACGGUCGAGCAGUCGAUUCUUAGUCGAAUUCUUAAGUCCAAUUGCCUUUAGAUUUUUUAAUUGCUUCCCCCAGAUAGACCGGUUAUCUCGUGAGUGAUCGGCUUAGAGAAUAGCACUAUCGACGUGUCAAUGAAAGGCCCGAUUCAUUUAAUCGAAAACGAAAUCCGAAAAUUCGGGCUAUCACAACUUUUCCCCUCUUAUAAAAAUUUCAUCCUUGAAAUUUAAACCUAUUACAAUCCAUAACCAAAUAGGUGGGGGUAUAGUCGUCUCAUCGACUCCUCCGUUUCCCAAGUUGCUUCUUCUGUGCCGUGGUGUUUCUAGACCAUUUUAACCAAUGGGAUGGUCUUGGUUCGCAGGACCUGUUCCUUGCGAUCCACAAUCUAAAUCGAGCUUUCAAUGUAUGACACUCUGUCAUUUACGUCCAAUUCCUCAAAAUUGAGCACAUGGGUCUGGUCAGGCUCAUACUUCCUUAAUAUCGACACGUGAAAGACAUCAUAUACUUGCCCCAACCUUGGCGGCAAUGCAAAACAAUACGCUAGGAUUUCGAUUAUUUCAAGAAUCUCAAAUGGACCUACGUAUCUCGGACUCAAUUUUCCUUUCUUGCCAAAGCGCGAAGUACCUCUCAUUGGUGACACUUUUAGAAAAAUGUGAUCACCAACUUAAAAUUCCAAUGGUCUCUGACGCUUAUCAGCGUAACUUUUUUGGCGGCUCUGAGUGGUCUUUAAUUUGUCCCUGAUGAUGGCAUUUGUAUCCACUGAUUGCUAAACUAACUCUAGGUUUGUAAUUUUCCGUUCCCCGACUUCAUCCCAACAUACUGGUGUUAUGCACACUCUGCCAUAUAACGCUUCAAAAUGAGCCAUUUGGAUGCUCUGUUGAUAAGUGUUGUUGUAGGCAAAUUCCAUUAGGUGAAGCUAAUCUUCCCAACUUCCCUUGAAGUCUAGUACACAAGCUCUCAGCAUGUCCCCAAGGGUCUGAAUUGUCCUCUCAGACUGGCCAUCCGUCUAAGGAUGAUAUACUGUACUGNNNNNNNNNNNNNNNNNNNNNNNNNNNNNNNNNNNNNNNNNNNNNNNNNNNNNNNNNNNNNNNNNNNNNNNNNNNNNNNNNNNNNNNNNNNNNNNNNNNNNNNNNNNNNNNNNNNNNNNNNNNNNNNNNNNNNNNNNNNNNNNNNNNNNNNNNNNNNNNNNNNNNNNNNNNNAGAGUCAUUACCUCUCUGACUCCUCGGUAAGCUUUUCACGAAAUCCAUUGUAAUAUGUUUCCAUUUCCAUUCGAGAAUCAAGAGAGGUUGUAGAAAUCCUUCCGGCUUACAAUAUUAUGCCUUCACUUGCUGACACGUCAGACAUUUGGCGAUAUGCUUGACGAUGUCCGCCUUCAUACCUGACCACCAAUAGUAUUGACGCAAAUUCCGAUACAUCUUGGUACUUCCAGAAUGAAUGCUAUAACUGCUACGACGUGCUUCUGAUAAAAUAUCCUCUCUAAACUCUAUAUCGUCAGGUACAACCAAACGUCAUUAGAACCUCAGUGUUCCAUCAUGAGAGAUCUGAAAGUCAGAUUUUCUUUUAUCGAUAUCCUCUUGCAGGAUCUUCUGAACAUCUAGAUCAGUUGGCUAAAGUGCUUUGAUUCUGAUUUGAACAUUCGGCUCAAUUCUGAGGGUAGCCAUAAGAUUUGAGAGAUAGCCUACCUCAAUUUUGAAAAUCGAAUCUCUAGCAUUUUUUUUAUCAAAGUCCAUUCCUUGAGUAACAUCUGUGCAACUGAGGACUUUUGAUUCAAUGUAUCUGCAACCUUGUUUGCUUUUCCGGGAUGAGACAAGAUAUCACAAUUAUAGUCAUUCAAGAGUUCCAUCCAGCGACGCUGUCUCAUAUUCAACUCCUUCUAAGAGAAUAGAUACUUGAGGCUUUGAUGGUUAGUGAACAUUUUGAAUCUUUCUCCGCACAAAUAAUGUCUCCAAAUCUUUAAAGCAAAAAUAAUCGCUACGAGUUCUAAGUCAUGCGUCAGGUAAUUCAGUUCAUGAGGUCUCAACUGAUGGAAGGCGUAUGCAACAACUCUGCCAUGUUGCAUCAACACGCAACACAAUCCUUUGAAUGACGCAUCACUGUAGAUCUCGUAUUCUCCAGGACCAGAUGAUACGGUCAGUACAAGUGUGGUAGUCAGCUUUUCCUUCAGCCCUUGGAAACUACGCUCGCACUUGUCUAUCCACACAAUUUUUCUUCUUUCUUUAAGAGUCUUGACAGAGGCGACACUAACGAUGAGAAUCCUUCCACUAACCGUCUGUAGUAACCUGCCAAGCCCAGAAAACCUCUAAUUUCUGUCACGGUAGUCGAUCUUGGCCAACUAAUAACUAUUUCGAUCUUGGCUGGGUCCAUGGAGAUUCCUUCUCCUGAAAUCUUGUGACCAUUCUCAGAUGACUCGUGAUUCUCAACACUCAUCGAAUACACUAGAAUAUCCUUGAUAGACACAACUACGAACUGAGCUAGAUAUUUAUUGAAUACUCAGUUCAUCAAUCCAUGAAAGUAGCUGAAGUGUUCGUCAACGGUUCAAACUGUAUUACCUUACACCAACAAUACCACAAGAUGCUCCUUGAGCCAACUCUUUUCAUAUAUGAAGUUAUACAUAAGCAACUAGUCAAGUACAACUAUAGCCAGUGAUUCUUCUUUCUACAGCUUUAUUAUAACAACUGAAAUUCUACAACCUUAACCAAACGCUACUUUGAUAAAAUCACCCCAAAAACAUUAUUCCUUUGGUCGGUGCAUGGUCGGUUCGUUCUUGUUCCCUUCGCCAUCCUAGUAGUGUUCUAUUCGCGGUGCUUUCCCUUUGUCUUGUCCUCCGGUGAUGGCGUACACUCUUCCCUGCUCUAGAGGUCUGUUUAGUCCACCCUGCAAUACGUUCUACGGCACAAAACCUCUGAUCUAACCCAUUUGUGGCUGCGGUGGUAAUUGCGGUUGUCUUUUCAGUCUUAUGGGACAGUUCCUGGCUAUGUGACCUAGCUGGCCACACUCAAAGCAAGUACCCGGCCUAGAAUUACAUGGGACCGAUCCAUGUCGCCUUCCACACAAGCGACACACACCAUUCUGGAUAGGCCCUGCUUUUCCAAUUCCAUUCUUCUGAUUGGGCGGGAUCUGGAAUCUACCUUCAGUCAUGGGCUUCUUUCCUUAACGGAUCCCUUCUCUGUGAAAGCCAAACCUCGAUCCAGACAAGGCAGCUUGCUCAUUCAAACCUCUCUCUCUCUAUCAUCUAAGCUCGACGAUAGACUUCUCGAUAAUCUAUCAAGUCCAAUGGCAACAUAGGUUGCUUUAGCUCAGCACGAAGACCAUUUUUGAAUCUUCAGGCUUUCUCUUCGAGGUCUUCAAUUAAUUUAGGGGCAUACUGAGAAAUUCCAGCGAACUUGACCCCGUAUUGAUUGACCGUCAUCGAUCCCUAACGAAGGCGUUGAAACUCCUCAAUCUUUUGUUCUCAGAUAGCACCCGAAAAAUAUUGGUCAUUGAAGGCUCUGAGGAAGGUGUCCCACACCCGGGGCACUCCUUCUAGAAACACGGCAUCCUUGGUGGCUUUCCACCAUAUGUUGGCAUUAUCUUGAAGUUGGUAUACAGCCAAUUCCACCUUCUCCUCUUCAUUGCACAUCAAGAGUACAAAUGUCUUCUCUAAGUCUUGUACCCAUUGUGAAGCAACCUCAAGGUCUCUAGUACCCCUAAAUCUUGGUGGACUAAGCUUCAGGAAAUGCUCCACCAAUUUAUGGAUUGGUCUUUCAGUGACCAAUAUCCCUGGUGGACCUUCGACAUUCACGGCGGCAAGUGUAGCUGCAGGUGUGGCAACAGGGGCGGCCUUGGCAGUGGCGACAACAGCGACGGUAGCGGCGGCUUGAAUAGUAGCGGCCUAAUUUUGUGCUUGCUGAUCCAACCUCGUUCCCGUAGCUUCCAAGAUACGCAUGAUCCCUUCUAGCCUGGGAUCAUUAGAACUGCUACUUUGGCACAUACUACAGGUGGUGCUGUACCACUCGCGCUAGCCUGUGCUGGCGCUCGACCAUGACCUCCUUGGGUACCGACCCUAGUCGGUGUCCUACCCCAAGUUACGGUACGUAUGGUCCUCUUAGAAGGAAUCCUCUGCUCCUGAUCGCUCAUGAUUCAGUUUCACCAACUAACACCUGCUUCCAAUUCCACAUAAAUUUAGAAACAGAGCAAUUCAAACAAUAAGCAAUUCUAGCACUUAGCUACCACAGACAUGCACCAGCUGUGAAUUUAAAGGCAUUUCCUACUACUAUCCCAUAGGUCAUCGCACCUUAUCACUCCAAUCUUAGACUCUGCUCUGAUACCACAAAAGGAGAUGUCACGCCCCAAUCCUCCAAGCACGUGCCCAUCCUUCCUUGUUUUCUUAAUAGCGAUGUCUUAGGACGCAUCGCCGACCAAUUCAUUUUAAUAUACACAUACGGAAGCAGAUAUAAAUCCCCAAACAAUAAAGCAAUGGGAUAGGGAAGUAGGGCCGUAAACUUUUCAAACCAACAUCAACCUUUUAUAAAUGCAUAGGUUUAUUUAAAAUAUCAAGUUGCUUACAAAAAUAUCGACUAAAUAAAAAAUGUGCUGUCCUAUGACUAACGAGUCAGACAGCUUUGCCGAUUCGGUUUCCUUCACUCCCCCAAACUCCGGGACUUCUGGUCCUGCACCAACACCAUUUACGGACCUGAAAAUGGUUAUACAAUAACCAAUGAGACAACUUCUCAGUGAGUUCUACUCCCUAAAACUCAAUUAGAAAGAAAAUAUACCCUAAGGCUGCCUAAGCACAACCAUGAGUCAGAGGUUUUACCUUGGUCUCAGUUCCUUCCUGUAAGUCAGUUCAAUUCCUAAAUACUGACGGAUACAUCGUCCACUCAAUUCAAUCGGAUCAAAUCAUCGAUCAAUCGACUCUGUCGAUUACAUGUCAUCAAGACCAUCAUACGGUCAUUUUGAUUAAUCACUUUCAACUCUUGAUUUUGGCCCAACGGGCACAACCUAAAUUAAGUGGUCAUCACGGCCCCACUGGAAACUUUUCUAUAUUUGGUUAAUCACAGCCCCACCUGGUAAUUUUCUAGAUUCAAUAGUAAUCACGGCCCCACUUGGCAAUUUACUUAGAUUUAGUGGCAUCAUGGCCCCACUCGGCAAAUUUCUUAUAUUUAGUGGCAUCACGACCCCACUCAGCUAUUCUUAGGUUUUUACCCACAUUAAUAAAUUUUCGGGGUAAAUCUUCAUAAUCACCAAUUCACUCAAUUUUCACCAACCAGGGCUCAAUUAAAUAAACAGACCGCAUCACAAUAACCAGCAUAAAAUUUAGGUCAUCGACUAUUCCAGCCUAAUUUCCAAGAAAUAAAUAAAUAAAUAAAUAAUUUUAAAAAAUACUAAAUAAAUGCAAUAAAUCUAAUUUAGGCUUGUUAUAGCCUAAUUGGAAGUCGAGACUAGCGGGGAAAAUUCCCGAGACUUGUUCAAUAAAUACUAACACGAGUCUACUUGUUAAUAUCACUGGCUAAUCAUCUAACAUGCAAUGAUAAUGCACUAAUUUAAUUGUUCUACUCUAAUCUAACCACCUAAGUAUGCUUAAUUAAAUCUAAUCAAUCCCUAUAAUUUACCUACUAAGCGAAGAUUAGUGAGUUUCACUCACUUGUUAAAAGCGAAGACAGGAACAUUGUGACGAUGAUGUGACGGCGGUCGAAAUCCAAAUUUUUGGCAGCGACGACGGACACUCGGGCUGGGCCUAGAACGAGCCCAACAAAUUUCAGUCCAACUGAGAUUUGUUUUCAACCUGGGUUGGGCUUCAAAUGGGCUACUCUUGGGGGCUUCAAUGGACUUGCUGGAAUUACAUGAAUUGGGCUUGAUGGACCCAAUGAAAAUUGCUGGGCUGGCUUUCAAGGAGAUGCGUUGAACAGGCCUUAAAUGGGUUAGAUCUGAGCUGGGCUUGAAGAUGGGUCCAACUGUGAGCUGCUGACUGAUCGCGGGCUUCGGUGGAUUGCUGUUCGCGCAGAUGGAAGGUUGCCAACUGGGAGACGUGCGACUGAGGAGUUACUUCUGUUGACUCUGUGUUGGAAUGAGCUGCUGUGGCGUUCGUUGGCGCAUGAAGAAACGAAGAUGGCGGGCGCGUGGACGUGGCUUUGGCAGCAGAGGCAUGGGGACUUCGGUCAACAAAGUGAGAAGAGUUUUGCUGCUAUUGACCGUGAGGAUGCGCUGGCAGCCAAAGAACGAACGGAGAGGAGAGCAGACAAGCGGCAAGCGACUUCAAUGGACGCGACUUCAAGGGGUCAACGAAAGAGCUUCUGUGGGCUUGCUUUUGACCAGGGAGACACGCGGCUUCGAUCGUGGGCUGUCGGUGGCUUCGCUAGACGCACGAAGGAGCCGCGGGUCAACGAAGCCAAGAGGAGGUUGACACUGGGGUUGUUGCGGUUGAUGAUUGACUCGGACGGAUGCUACGGUGGGUGAAGUUGCAGGAGAUAGCAGCAAGAGAGAUGGUCCAUGAAGGGAAUUUCGUUGGUGGAGGCGUGCUGGCCGAAGCUAGGGUUUGUUGAUCAAAGGAAAACAGGGAAAAAUGAAAGCAAAUCCGAAGCUGCAGAGAGGAAAAGAGUCGGUCGUAUGGGUGGCGUGCAUGAGAAUUUUGAGAGGAAGGGCCCAAAAAUCAUUAAACCUAUCUCUUUCAUUGAUGGCCUUGUCCCCCUAAAGUCUACAUAAAUAUCCUCUUAAGUCUCCGAUUCUUUCUUGAAAUAGAAUUCCUCAAUAAUCCAAUUUUUGGUGUCAAAAUAUAGCCCAUCAACCAUAAAUCCGAAUUUCACUUAAUUUAGCUUCAAUUUCAUCCUCAAUUUCCCAAAUUCAAAGUCCAAUUUCAUCGAAGAAAAAUUCUGAACAAUUUUCUGUAAGUCCCUAACACUCAAAGGCUCGGCUUGGAAGUCCAAAUUUCCUUUAAUUUGGCCCAUCCGAAUUUCCGCUAAUUUUCCGCAACGUCCGAACAGAUUUUCCGUAAAAAUCUCAGAAUCUCUAAAAAAUAUUCGGAGGAUGAAUCAAUGUUUCUAAAAUAGCUCGUGACAUGACAGAAUAUUCAAUUUCUGAAAUCGGGUUCAAAUUCGCAGUUAAUUUCAAUCCGGCGCACUUUUGGCGUAACCCAAUCUACCGGUUAGUUUUCAGGAAUUUUUGGUGCAAUUAACCCGUUAUCGAUUUAUCUCGAGUCACACUGUAUAUCUUCAAUACAUUGGCGACUCUCGGUUAUCGUGAAAAUCUCGAGGUUUCAAUUACGCCGGGUACCAAAACGACAGAAAAUCAAUUUAGUGCCGAUCGAUGAGAAUUUUGCAAUCAAGUAAAAUCACCCACAUUUUGAUCACAUAUCUUAGUCGAAUCAACCUAUCUCUGAUCUCUGAUCGAUCUCUGGCGGUGCCGUAAUGACCCUUGCAGAUCAACACGGUCGAGCAGUCGAUUCUUGGUCGAAUUCUCAAGUCCAAUUGUGUGACAUCCAAAAUUUUCAACCUAUUUUCUAUUGAGUUAAUCAAGCAUUUCAUUGAUGUGUCUAUAGGAUUUUUUUCAGAGCUGAUUACUCUUGAAAUAACUAGACUGCCUGAGUAAGCCAUUAAAGAAUUUUAAGGCAAUAGACUUGAGAAUUCAACCAUGAAUCGACUUAUCGACCAUGUCCAUCUUUACAGGUCAUUACGACACAGUUAAAAAUCGAAUUAAAAUCAGAAAUAGGUCAGUAUGACUGAGAGGUAUGACCGAUCGUGGGUGACUCUACUAAAUUGGAAAAUUCCUGUCGACCGACACUAAUUUGAUUUUACUGUCAUUUUGGUACCCUGUGUCCGUAUUUGGAUUCUCGAGAUUUUCACGAAAACUGAGAGUCGUCAAUGUGUCGAGUAAGUUCGUUGUGGCUGGAAGAAAAUCGAUCACGGGUCAUUCGCCCUAAAAAGUUUUGAAAACUACCAAGUAGUCUAGGUCACGCUAAAAACGCGCUGAUUGGAAAUUAACCGCCAAUUUGAAUCCAAUUUCAAAAAUUGAGGAUUCUGUUAUGUCAUAAUAAAUUAUAGGACCCAAGACUCAGUCUCAGAAAAUUUUUCUUACAACCGACACUUUUUGGGAAAAAGUCGUCACCAGACCCUUUUUGUGCAAUUGAAGCCGGGGAUUUAUUUUGAUUGUAAAUUUGAGAAGCAUGAUGGAUAUAUGGGUAAAGAAAAAUGCUAAGAGGAUCAAUGGAUAACCAAUUGAAUUUGGGAGAGUCGAUUGAGAUGAAAUAAAGAGGGAUUUGAAACCAAUUGAAGCCAUUCCUCUCAAAAUUCGUAGCCUCCCCUCAUGCCUAGCCAAAGUGGACUACUUCAAAAGUUGUGAGGGGUGUGUGUGUGGUUAAAUGAGAGCCAAGGGAUUCUACUUGGAUGAGGUUGAUUGUGGAUGAUAUUUUUAUGGAAAAUUUGACCAAGUGGAGCCCAUCUCUCAUUUCUCUCUUAUCCCCUCUCCCUACCUUCACUUGGCUGACCACCCUACUUUCUCCCCUUUCAAUUUUUUGCGAAACUAGCACAGCAAGGAGGAGAGCAGCCGCCGUCCAUGCCUAGCCGCCCGUUGCCACGCCGGUGCCGCCCUCGCCCCUGUGCGCGCGCCUGCCUCAUCGUGCACCGCCGUCCCUUUGGCCAUGUCUCUUGUCACGCCCCGAUCCUCGGGCACGCACACAUCCUUCUACCUUGGUCGAUUUUAAUAUGCGAUAUCCCAGGACAAUGUAUCGCCGACCCUUUCAUUUAUUAAGCACAUGCAGAAGCAGUUAAAAUCCCCAGACAAUAAAACGAUGGGAUAGAAAAGCAGGGCCAUAUUUUUCAUAUUGAAAUUUAUAACCAAACUUUUAUGCAAAACACAAACCACCUCAAAACUAUUCACAUCAAACGGAGAUCUCAAAAAAGACAGAAACUUAGACGAACUGGGCCGUACUCAAGGCCCCUCUCAGGAUUGCCUUCUUCCUCCAAAAAUCUUUCUCCUUAAGAUUCGCCUCUGAGUCCUCUUUCUCGGAUUCCUCCUCCUCAGCUCUUCAGCGGGAUCCUGAAAUGGUUUUCCCCAAACUGGGAUGAGACUACGUCUCAGCGAGUUCUACCCCACUAAGCCCGAUUAGAUAAACUAUUAUACUACAGGCUGCCUAAACACGCACAAGGCAGAGGACUUACCUUGGCCUCUGAUCCCACCUGCAAGUCAGUACAAUUCAUAAUAGGCACCCAAGCAAUCAUAUCACCAAUCGAAGCAUCGAUCAAAUCGACCUAGUCGAUUAUAUUCCAACGAGACCACUCACGGUCAUUUCCAUUCAGGCAAUCAAUUCACAACAUCAAAUCAAAGUAUCGACCUAGUCGAUUACAUGCCAAACAAAUCAAUCCCCACUGUGGGAUAUUUAAAAGCUAGGCCACGUGUAUUCUCCAGGAUGACCUUCCAAGUCUCCGAGUUCACGUGCCUCGAACCUUGGGCCCACGUGCAUUCUCUCAGGCGACCUUUUUGCCAAAGUGAUGCAUCAAGUCACCGAGACCACGUGCCAUUUUAGAUGCCCGGGCCCACGUGCAUUCUCUUAGGUGCAUCUCACCAAAGCGAUGCAUCAAUUCGCCGAGACCACGUGCCCUUUUAGAUGCCAUUCCGGAAUGCAAGACCCACGUGCAUUCUCUAAGGUGCAUCUCACCAAAGCGAUGCAUCAAUUCGCCGAGACCACGUGUCCUUUUAGAUGCCAAAUCCUGUCACGGAGCCACGUGCAUUCUCCAGGACGACAUACCGAGUCUCCGAGCCACGUGCAUUCUCUCAAGCGACCUUUUCGCCAAGGUGACAUAUUCAACCACUGAACUCACGUGCAUUUUCCCAGGUGACACUCCAAUUCACCGAGCCACGUGUCCUCUUUGCAGUGGUUACCAAUUCACUUUCAAUAUCGACAACCAAUGCCCAACGAUUUCUCAAUCAAAUAAUUAAAUCAACUCAACAAAACAUUAUAAAUGCUGAAUAAACAUACUUGGCCAUUCACCAAUCAAUACUCAAUCAAAUAAUUAAAUUAACUCAACAAAGCAUUAUAAAUGCUGAAUAAACAUACUUGGCCAUUCACCAAUCGAUAAUUCAUUCUCAGUCGAUUCCAAUCAAUUUAGGGUAAAUCCCUAAAAUAUCACAAUUUACUCAAUUCCAUACAACGUAGAGCUCAAAUAAAUAAACGGACUGCGCCACGACAAUCAGCACGAGAUUUCAGUCGUCGGCCAUCAAAAUCUUAAUUUCCGGAAAAUAAUUAAUUUAUUUAUUAAUUUUGAAAAUUAAAUAAUUAUUAUAAAAAAUUCAAUUUAGCUCAAAAUAAAGCCCGAUUACAUAAACAGACUUCACCAUAGUCAUCAGCACAAUAUUCCGGUUCCAGACCAUCUCAGUUGAAUUUUCGGAAAAUAAAUAAUUAUUUAAUUAAUUUCGAAUAUUAAAUAAUUAAUAUUAAAAAUCCCAUUUAGCUUAAAUUAAAGCCCGAUUACAUAAACGGACUUCACCACAGUCUUCAGCAUAAUAUUCCGGUUCCGAACCAUCUCCCUUGAAUUUUCGGAAUAUAAAUCAUUAUUUAAUUUAAUUCCGAAAAUUAAUAUUUAAAUACUAAAAAAAAUCCACUUAGGCCCGAAAAACCUAAUUGGAGCCCACUAAGGGUCGGGAAAAAUCCCGAGACACUUCCAAUAAUUAGUAGACCACGUCUACUUGUUAAUUGCACAAUCAAUUUAUCUAAAACACAUCACAAUUGACUAAUAAUUGCUAAUUUAUUUUAAUCUAACAACCUAAACAUAAUUAAUUAAAUCUAAACCAACCUUAAGCAUAAUUAGCCAACUAAUCCAAGAUUAGUGAGAUUACUCACCAAAUCGCACGCAAAUUGGAUCAAUCCGACGGCGGCGACGCGAGGAACGACAAACUCCAAAGCGGGCCUCGGGUUCGUGGCCCGGAAACGGCCCAAAACGGCCUUGAACAGUGCUGGAAACCCAUUUUUCCAGCUGCUGUUCAUGGCCAAACGAGGCUACUCCGGUGGCUGAGAAGGCGGAGCAAGGCCGGCGGAGGGCAAGGGGAACGCCGGGGAGGUCGGGCGGAGCUGGGCGGUGGCCGGAUGGUGGCUAGUCAGGGCGUAACCGAGCUGGGUCACGGCUGGAUCGCGCGGCCUGGGCGCGCACGGACGGGUGGCUGGACGGCGGCGAGCGGCGGACCCGGCGCGAGCGUGCGGGGCGGCGGCGGAACAGGCAGCGACGGGGAGCUGCGAUCGUGCGGCUCCUGCUCGAGCUUCCUCCUCUAGUUCGCUUCUUCGGAUGCGUGGGGAGGAAGAAGAAGAAAAAGAAAGAGAGAGAGAAGAGAGAGAGAAGAGAGGGAUAAGUCUUGACCAGUCAAAGAGGAAAAGAGAGAGAGAAUAGGCGGUGGGGGGAAAAAAUCGCACGGAUGGGGGAAAAAGGGAGAGGAGAGAGAAAGAAAAGAAAGAAAAAGAAAGAAAAGAAAAGAGAGGGAGAGAGAGAAAAGAAAUAAAACAAUGGCCUUAAUUUUCUUUUCUUUUCUCUUUCCCUUUCUAAUUCUUUUCGAGCUUCAAAUUUUCUUCCGAUAAUUUCUUUCUUGAAAUUUCGGACUCGUCAAUAAAUUGAUGAGCGAUGAGACAAUGUCCUUAAAAAAAAUUAUGACAUGCUUAAAAUUCGAUUCCCGAAAUCGAGUUCAAUUUCGUGGUUAAAAAUCGAUCAGACGUGAUUUUAGUCCAAUCCAACAAAUUGAGUAGCUUUUAGGGAUUUUACUGCAGAUACAUCCCUUAACGGCUUCACCCAAUAGGUCAGUUAACUUGUGAGUGAUCAGCUCAGAGAAAAAGGACCGUAAACACGUCGACGAAAUGCCCAUUUCACUUUAUCGAAAUGGGGUCGAAUUUCAGGAUGUCACAUCUCUACCUCGUCUAGCUGCUGUCCUUGGUCCAUGGAAGCCUCACCGGGGCUGGUUUUGGUUGUUUCUUCACCGGUAAAGACCCACCAUGGCCCGGUUUGGCCUAUUUCCUUCUACCGGUCAAUUCCCAUGCUUAACCGAGUUGUUUGCUUCAAUUUCCAGCCAAGAUCAUAUCAGUUUUUCAGUGGGUUUCCAGCCGCCUUUAGGCCUGUUUUGGAGGAGUUUCGGGCCUCGGUUUCUAGGUCCACUUUGGAGGUUGUUGUUCCCUACACCGUUCCUGUCAAUUUGAGCUGACUUGCGCGUUAUUCUGAUGAGUUUAGCUCACUAAACCUUGCUUAGUAGACUAAUGAUGCUUAAGGGUUAAUUAGUGUUAAUUAAGUAGGAUUAGGUGGUUAGAUUAGAGUAGAUUAGUGAUUAUUAAUUAAUUGUGAUGCAUGUUAGCUAAUGUGAUGGUGCAAUUAACUAGUUGACGUGUUCUAUUAUUUAUUGAAUGCGUCUCGGUAUUUUUCUCGGACCGUUUUGGGCUCCAAUUAGGCGAAUUGGGCCUAAGUUGGAUUUAUUGGUAAUUAUUUAUUAAUUUUUAUAGUUAUUUAUUUAUUUAUUUAUUGGAAAUUCGGCAUGGAUAGCCGACGAUCGGAAUUUUAUGCUGAUUGUCGUGGUGAAGUCUGUUUAUUUAUUUGAGUCUUAUGUUGCGUGGAAUUAAUUUAAAUGUGGAAUUUUAAGAAUUGUUCCUAGUUGAAUUGAAAAUGGACAAUUAAUUGGGAAACAACUGGGUAUCGGUUGACAACAUCAAAAAUGUUUUGGUGGACUACAGGUAAGGGUGGGAUUUGUGGAAAUAAAAUCAUAAUAUUUUGGCUAAAGCCAACCGUGUGCCCAUGCACAUGUACUUUUAUCAGAAAUGAAUAAAAUGACAAAUUGAUCGUACGUUUGAAGUAUCAUGUUAUAUACCGGCUCGGUGACUCUAUAGGUCAUUUUGUAGAAUGGACGGAAUGCAAUACCGGUUCGGUGAUCCUAUAGGUCAUUUUGUAGAAUGGACGGUAUUUAAUGUCGACUCGAUAACACUAUAGGUCAUUUUGUAGAAUGGACGGUAUGCAAUACCGGCUCGGUGAUCCUAUAGGUUAUUUUGUAGAAUGGACAACAUGUCAUAACGGCUCGGUAACUCAAUAUGUCAUUUUGGAGAAUGGACGUUAUGAUGAAUAUACUCGGUAACUUACUAUGUCAUUUCGGAGAAUGAAUCGUAUAAAUACCGAUUUAAUAACCCGAUAGGUUAUUUGAGAGAAUGGACAGUAUUGAUUGAAAUAACCAAGAAUAGUCUGUUUAACAUGUAAAUCGACUAGGUCGAUUGACGGAUGCUUUGAUCCGAUUGUUGUGAAUUGAUUGGUUGUUUGAUGCAAUAUAUGAGGCAUGUGUGUAUAACCUUGAAUUGCAGGUUGGAACUGAUGUCAAGGUAAGUCUUCUGACUUGUGUUGUGCUUAGGCAACCAUGUGACGUAUUGGUUUCCUAAUCGAGUCUUAAGGUGUAUAACUCGCUGAGACGUAGUCUCAUUGGUUAUUGAAUAACCAAUUGCAGGCCCCUAGGUGGAAGAUCCUGAAGAGGAGGAACCUGAGAAGAACUUGGCGAAGGGUCAGUGGAGGAUCCAGAGGAUGAUCCUGAGUACAACCUGAAUGAGAAUUGAAAGCCUAUCCUCCUUUUGUGAACCCCUGUCUGUGUGUAGAUAAAGUGAGACUUUGAGGUUGUGAAUAGUAUUGUGAAUUAUAAUCUAAGAUUGGCUUGUAUAAAAGUAUGGUUAUGAAUUUCAAUAUGAAAAAUAUAACCUUGUUUUUCUAUCACUUUGUUUUAUUGUUUGGAGAUUUAUAACUACUUCCGCAUAUGUUAUUGAAAAUGAAAGGGUCGGCGAUACUUAGUCUUAGGAUAUUGCAUUCUAAAAUUGACCAAGUAGAAGGAUGUGUGCGUGCUCGAGGAUCGGGAUGUGACAAAUUGCCUUUAGAUUCCUUAAUUGCAUCCCCAGAUAGACUAGUUAUCUCGUGAGUGAUCGACUCAAAGAAUAGCACUAUCAGCGCAUCGAUAAAAUGUCUGAUUUAUUUAAUCGAAAACGAAAUCUGAAAAUUUAGGCUGUCACAAUGAUGCUGCCAUGCCCCCCCUCUCUCUCUCUCUCUCUCAAUUUGGGGAUUUAGGGUUUCGACUUGGGGGAAAGAUGCCAAAUGACGUCGUUUUGUGGUUUUGAUGCUGACUGUACUCUCCAGUGAGCCACAUCAGCUUAAAAAAUUAAUAAAAAAAAGUGUCACGUCGGAUUUCCAGUCAAUCUAAUUGGAUUUGGCACUAAAAUGAUCAUUUUUUAAAAAAAAUUUGGCACUUAAGUGAUUCAAAAUAAACUUUUGGCAUCAAAGUGAGCGUCGUCUAUGAAGCACGGACACGUUGUCCAUGCUACCGUGUCAGAUUUUCCGACACGCGGUCAACUUUUAUCGACACGCGUGUCGAUGCGUGUCCGGAACACUGAUGAAGGGUGGAGGUGAGGGAGGGCGAGGGAGCUGAGGUCACGAGCGCCGGCGAGACGGAGCAGAGGUCACGAGUGCCGGCGAGACGAAACCACGAAUGGACCACCGCAACGGCGAGAGACGGCUAGAGAAAGAGCCGAACAAAAAGAAAGAAGAGAGAAGACAAACUCCCGCCGGCGAAGCCACAAACAGACCACUGUGACGGUGAGAGACGGCCAGAGAGAGGUGAGGGCGGCCAUUGUUGCAAUGGAUCGGCGACAAGAGGAAGAGGAGAGGAGGGAAGGGGGUCAUGCGGCGCGGCAAGGAGGAUAGGAAAAGGAGGGUUCGCGGCUCGCUAGGGUUUUUCAUAAAGAAAUCCAAAAAAAAAAUAAUAAAGGAGGUUGGAUGGCGUCGUGAGGGGGGGAGGGAAAAAAGUAAAAUAAACGUGGGUGUGGAGGGAAAAGGACGAACGAAGGAAAUAGUGGAUUUUGGGGAUUGUUUUUUUAAUCGGAAAAUUAAAUAAAUGAAAUUAAAAAAUGAUUUCGAAAUAUAAAAAUAUUAAAUUUUGAAUAAUGAUAAAUUUUGGUUAUUGUAGAAAAUCAUGAAUUUAUUUAAAUAAAUUGAUUCGAAUUUCUUAUUAAUUUUUAGUUUCAUCGAUAACUUUUGUUAAAAUUUAAAAAAUGUUUCGCAUUAAUUAUGAAUAUAUCUUUUGAAUUUCAAAUGAAUUGAUUUGUUAAUAUUAUUAGUAUAAAUUUAUUAUAGGCUCUUUUUUAAUUAAUUAUCUAUUUAUGAAUUUGAAUCAAAUUAAUUAAAAAUAAAAAUAUUUAUUUAAUAUAUAACGUGUCACAACGUGUCGGAAUUCUCUAUUUUUUAGAAAUGACGUGUCGACGUGUCGUGUCGUGUCGGACACUCGUGUUGUGUCAUGUGUCGGUGCUAUAUAGAGCGUCGUACACAAUUUUUAGCAUUGAUAAUGUACUUACCCCUAAAAAAGAGAUAUGAACACGAAAAUAUAGCAAACUCACCCCUAAACAUUUUAGCUCAAUGAUAAAGAGGUCGCAUGGUCAAUUGGCUGUUAAGGGUUCAUAAAUUCGAGCCAUAUCAAGAAUGAAUUUCGACUAGUUAGAAUCUCGAGCAUUUAUAAUCUCCUUCCAAACUUAUAGCAUGUCAAUAAGAUUUAUAACGACAGAUUCAUACACAUAUUAAUAAACAUAUUAGUUGUGUCUCAAAUUAAAGGCACUGUAAUGAUUAAGGAAUCUUACGGUAAUAUCAAGCAUAAAUAGUCGUAGUGAUUUAUCACAUUUUCUUACUUUUUUAUUUAUUCGCAAAAUUUCGCAACCCAUCACGGUGUGGGCGGCGAGGCCAGGCCGAACCAGCCCCCUGAUCCUCAAGCCACAGGUCCAUCCCGCGCGCUAGCCGGCGGUGGCUGGCUUUAAUUCCCGCAGCAGGAAAUGAAAUUACAUUUCCCCCACACUCUGACUGGCGGGAAAUUUUCGGACCCAGUCGCAUAAAACGAAACCGAAUAAAGGAAAAAAAACAAAAAGCCGGAAUAAAAAAAACCCAGUCAAUGAUUAAAUAUCAUAAUAAAAGCGAAGGGACUAUUUAAUACAAAAUUACGAAAAAGCUGCUGUUGUAGGUUUUUCUGGUUUGCUUGCUAGGCUUUGCGGGGUUCGGUGCCGUUGUAGGUUUCUCAGGUGUUUUGCGCUAGGCAGUGGAUGUGUGCUUCGUGUUUGAAUGCGAGUUUUUACGUAGUUUUAGAACGAGCGUCGGAUUUCGACCGAGGAUGUUGACUUAGACACUCGAGACAAGCCGCUAUGUUGGAAUAUAAUCCAAAAAUAAAACACAAACUGUUUAUUGCAAUCAGAACAUGAAAUUGGAGGUGAGGUACGGAUAUCCGAAUCUCCUUAAGGCAAUUAGUUCCCACCAAUGGUGCUCCGCAGAUUCACGAACUAUGCCUCCCAAGAUACAACACCUCGAACCUGUUUGGAUUAGCACUAUGCAAACAGGACUCAGUCGAACCGUUCAAUUGAACCAGCACACUCAGAAAAAUUCAGAAGAGUAGAAAAGUGUAUCAGAGCCUUUUUGGAAUCGAGUCAGAAAAACCAAAAAACCAUUAUGAAGCUCUUAUGCUCCCAUCUAUUUAUAGAUAUUUUUAGUUCAUGUACAAAAGAGAUACAUGAAUUAAAUAGACGCAUGUAUCCACGAAAUUCAUGAAUCAAGAGAUACAUGAAUUCAAGAGAUACAUGAAUUCAAGAGAUUCGUGAACUCAAUAAAUACAUAAACUAAAAGAUACAUGGAUCUAGAAAAUUCAUGAAUUCAAUAGAUACAUGAACGGAAAAGUUUAAGAAAUUCAUGAAUCCAAAGGAGAUACGUGAAUAGAAAAGACGUAUCUUAAUUUAUUGGCAUUCGUUGAUCCAUUAACCAUAAUUACAACAAUCCCCCACAUUAAUGGAUCAACAAAACAUUUUUGACUCGAAGGAAUCUGAGCAUGCCUGUUGAAAUAAACCGCAUCAAGAUAGGUAGCUUUCGCUUUGAACCUUCUUUAGUGAAAGCUUAUCGGACUUACUUAACUAGUCGAUGGACUAAGCCUUGAAUCGCCAGUUGUUUGUGUAAGCCUAGACAAUAAACCUCACACGGAGUAUUUCCAAUUCAAGAUUGGUUCUCGGUUGUGUUCGUUCUUUCGGCCCUGAACCUCUCGGGAUUCGUGCGUGCUUUAGAAAAUCUAGCCUUUAAAGAUUUUCAUAGAGUCGGCCAGCUCCACGCAUAUAGGUGCAUUCCUAUUAAAGAUAUCCUACCAUAUCUUACUUAGAUGUUACAUCCCAAGUUAUAGGAAUCAUUAAACGCAUAGCGUACCCUUAAUAACGCUGUAGGAAAGCACUGUUGCAUCUUAGGAAUGGGAGACAGUGCUUACACUAAAGUUUCCAAAAUUUGUGUUGUCCUAUUGAACCUAGUCCAUGGGAUCUCCAAUCGCAUAGGUUAGGUUUCCACCCUAGAAUCUCUUUAUUGGGUUAAGGCUUUUAAACCCAUUCCCCUCGAUGCGCAGUUUAUCUGCUCUCUUGACAAACCUUUUGUCAGCGGAUCCGCAAUAUUUUCCUUUGACUUUACAAAGUCUAAAGAAAUUAUUCCAUUUGAGAGCAACUGCCUUACGGUGUUAUGUCUACGACGAAUAUGUCUAGACUUACCGUUAUAAAUCACAUUAUGUGCCCUUGCAAUUGCCGCUUGAUUGUCACAGUGUAUGCAAAUUGCAGGCAUAGGUUUUGGCCACAUUGGAACAUCUUCUAAAAAAUGUCGAAGCCAUUCUGCUUCUUCAGCAGCUUUAUCCAAAGCAACAAACUCUGAUUCCAUUGUAGAGCGUGUUAUUAGAGUUUGUUUAGAGGAUUUCCAUGACACUGCAGCAUCUCCUAGCGUGAACACAUAUCCGCUAGUCGAUUUCGAUUCAUCAGAAUCUGAAAUCCAAUUUGCAUCACAAUAACCUUCCAAAACAGCUGGAUAUUUGCCAUAUUGUAGAACAUAGUCUUUUGUCCUUUUCAAAUAUCCUAAUACUCUCAUCAAAGCAUUCCAAUGCUCAUGACCUGGGUUACUGGUAUAUCUACUCAGUUUGCUUACUGAGUACGCAAUAUCAGGUCUAGUGCAAUUCAUGAUAUACAUGAUGCUGCCGAUUACUUGAGAGUAUUCUAGCUGUCUAACACUAUUUCCAGUGUUCUUUCGUAAAGUUAGGUGUGGAAGAAAAGGAUUGUUUGCUUCUUUAAUACCGAAUCCUUUAAAUCUCUCAAAUACCUUUUCAAUGUAAUGAGAUUGUGUUAAACCUAAGCCAUCAGAAUUCCUUAGAAUUUUGAUGCCGAGUAUAACAUCUGCAACACCUAAAUCUUUCAUCUCAAAGUUCUUCUUGAGAAUGUUCUUGGUGAUUUUGAUGACCUCAAUGUUAUCUCCAAAAAUUAACAAGUCAUCAACAUAUAGACAAAUAAGUACAUAUCCAACUGUAGUGGAUUUAGUGUACACACAUUUGUCACACUCAUUGAUUCUAUACCCAUUUUGAAUCAUUAUCCGGUCAAAUUUCUCAUGCCAUUGCUUAGGAGCUUGUUUAAGUCCAUAUAAUGAUUUGACAAGUCUACACACUUUGUGUUCUUGUCCUUUGAGCUUGAACCCUUCAGGUUGUUCCAUAUAAAUCUCCUCGUCGAGAUCACCAUUUAAGAAUGCAGUUUUCACAUUCAUUUGAUGUAUUUGCAAAUUGUAUAGCGAAGCUAUAGCAAUCAACAUCCUUACUGAUGUUAUUCUUGUGACAGGUGAAUAAGUAUCAAAGUAGUCAAGACCCUCUUUUUGUCUAAACCCUUUGGCUACAAGCCGAGCUUUGUACUUAUCAAUGGAACCAUCAGCUUUUAGUUUUUCCUUGAAAAUCCAUUUACAUCCAAUUGGUUUAUUUCCAGGUGGAAGAUCAACCAAUUCCCAAGUAUGGUUACUUAGGAUAGAAUGGAUUUCAUUGUCAACAGCUUCUUUCCAGAAAGGAGCAUCUGGAGAUGACAUUGCCUCUUUAUAUGUUUGGGGCUCACCUUCUAACAUGUAUGUUAGAAAAUCAGGUCCGAAAGAUUUUUCGAUUCAAGACCUUUUACUCCUUCGAAGUUCGGCUUCUUUGGCCACAACUUCAUCAUUCUCAGAUUCUAAUUCUCUAAGCCUUUUCUGAGAAAGUUCUCCUUGAUUUCUUUUUGCAGGAUAUAUAUCCUCAAAAAAUUCAGCAUCCCUUGAUUCUAGGAUUGUAUUGACAUGAAUUUCCGCAUUUUCAGAUUUAUGAACCAAAAAUCUAUAUGCGCUACUAUUUUGAGCAUAACCGAUGAAUAUGCAAUCCACCGUUUUAGGUCCCAACCGAGUUUGUUUCGGAGGAGGAAUUGCCACCUUGGCCAAGCACCCCCACACUUUUAGAAAAUUGUAGGAUGGCAACUUUCCAUUCCAUAACUCAUAUGGAGUUUUACCUAUCUUUUUGUGGGGUAUUUUAUUAAGAAUAUAAUUUGCAGUUAAAACUGCUUCCCCCCACAAGUUCUGAGGUAAACCUGAACUCAAAAGCAUGGCAUUAGCCAUCUCCUUUAGUGUCCUGUUCAAUCGUUCAGCAACUCCGUUUUGUUGUGGAGUAUAAGGUGCAGUCGUUUGGAGAAUUAUUCCAUGACUAGCACAAAACUCUUUCAAAUUGAUUGAACUGUAUUCUCCUCCUCUAUCAGACCUAAGCACUUUGAUUCGUUUAUCAAGUUGAUUUUCAACUUCAGUUUUAUACUUGAUAAACAUGCUCAUAGUCUCAUCUUUGCUAGUUAGUAAAUAAACAUAGCAAAAUCUAGUACAAUCAUCCACAAAUGUGAUGAAAUACUUCUUUCCACCUCUACUUUCUACAAACUUUAAAUCACAUAGAUCACUAUGGAUUAAUUGUAGAGGUUCACUUGUUCUUUCAAUGGAUUUGAAAGGUUUCUUGGCAAACUUGGCCUCAACACAAGUCUCACACUUGUAACGGGCAUCCAACUUAAAUCUUGGAAUUAAUCCCAAGUUUGUUAUUCUCUUCAUUGUACCAUAGUUUACAUGUCCUAAUCUACCAUGCCAUAGAUAAGGAGACACAACAGUGUAAACUGAAGACUUUUCUUUAUUAAUAGUCUUUGGGUACACAUACUUUGAGUUUACAUCAAUGACAGCCACAUUGGCCUUAAACAGGUCAUUACGUAAGUACCCUUUCCCCACAUACAUCCCUCCUUUUGAAAGUACAAACUUGUCAGAUUCAAAUACAACUUUGAAACCCUUAUUGACAAGUAUAGGGCCAGAAAUUAGAUUUUUCCGAAUAUCUGGUACAUGCAGCACAUUCAGCAGGGCGACCUCCUUGCCAGAUGUAAACUUCAAGAUCACCUUUCCUCUUGCGGCGAUCUUUGCUGAUGCAGAGUUAGCCAUAUAAAGCUUCUCAUCUUCUUCAGCUUUCUCAUAAGAUGAGAACAUGUGUUUAUCUGCACAGAUGUGAUUUGUGGCACCCGUGUCUAGCCAUCAGCCAUUAGUGUUCGACACCAGAGAUGCUUCAGACAUUACCACAGCAGACAGUCUCUCAAUAUUGUCAUACUCUGUCAAAUUCAGUUGCUGGGUUGCACCUUCGUUCUUGCCUUUUUUCAGGCGCUUCUUGCAAUCCUUAGCACGAUGGCCAGGCUUGUUGCAUAUAAAACACGUCCCUUGGAAUUUCUGGAACUGCUCCUUUUGCUUGCCUUUUCCUUGAAAAGACAUCUUCCUUUUUCUAUCUUGCUUGGAUUUGGAAGAUUCCACAACGUUGGCCUUUGGCUCAGAAGAAGGAUUCGCACUCCUUCUAUUGUCUUCCUCGAUCCUGAGGCGCAAAAUGAGAUCUUCAAGGCUCAUCUCCUUCCGUUUGUGCUUCAAAUAAUUUUUGAAGUCUGACCAGCCCGGAGGUAGUUUCUCAAUCAUGGCUGCCACUUGGAAUGAUUCACUAAGUAUCAUUCCCUCAGCCGAGAUGUCACUCAGAAUUAAUUGCAAUUCUCGAACCUGACUCAUGACAGAUUUAAAAUCCACCAUCUUGUAGUCCAAGAAUUUGGCAACCACAAAUUUCUUGGUGCCAGCAUCCUCAGUUUUGUAUUUUUUCUCUAAGGACUCCCAUAACUGUUUAGCAGAUUCAAUAUUACAAUAAACAUUAUAAAGAUAAUUCACUAAACAGUUAAGGAUAUAAUUUCGGCAUAAGAAGUCCCCAUGCUUCCAAGCCUCCAACGCACCGAGCGUCGUGACAUCUUGCUCAUUUGGACUAAUUAUCGGGCACACCUCCGAUAAAUAUUUCGUCAGAUUGAGCAUGGUCAAAUAGAAGUACAUCUUCUGUUGCCACUAUUUAAAGCCCACUCCGGUAAAUUUCUCCGGUUUCUCAUUAGCUGUAACUGGAGGCGUUGCCAUCACUGUAGGCAAGGUUCGUUGAACCAUCCCUCCAGAAACAGAGCCAAAAGCCAUUUGGCCUAUACUGUUCUGAAAAACAGUCCCGGGUAUACCAGUCAUAUGACUUGUACCCGCACCACCAAAAUUGGUGUUGGCCCAAGGGCCCGUAGCAUUGGCUGCUACAAAUUCAGACCUCGAGGGUUGAGCAUCUUCCAUAGCAUCGGUCGAAUCGACCAUAGGAACGUCUCCAGAAACAUUCGGGACAUUGAAGGGCACUUGGUUGUUUCCAACCAUCUCAAUAAUCUGACAAGAACAACAAACAGUGAGUGAAUAAUUGCCUUAAGAUUGUUGGAAUAUAAUCCAAAAAUAAAACACAAACUGUUUAUUGCAAUCAGAACAUGAAAUUGGAGGUGAGGUACGGAUAUCCGAAUCUCCUUAAGGCAAUUAGUUCCCGCCAAUGGUGCUCCGCAGAUUCACGAACUAUACCUCCCAAGAUACAACACGUUGUUCUAGCGGUCUCUCGUGAUUCUUUUACUGCGUUCGUUUCUGCAGAUUGGCGCUUGUUGUAUUGAUCCUCCGCUUUACUAGUGUAUUGCGCAGAAUGAAGGCUAAUAAUAGACAAGUAUAUACAUAUAGAUACAUGUUCUGCGAGGUUCAACUGGCACAAGAGUAAAAGCAUUUUCAAGGUGAACUUGUUUCUUGCUCUUCGUUCGGGGUUUACUAUUUUCUGGCGUACUCUUGGUUGGAUGAAGAAGAGCGGAAGUUGAGAGUGUCUCUCGCUCGUAGUGUAGGCAUGGUGUUCAACUUUCAUAUUGUGCGUGCCAAAAAUUAUGCCUUUGGUCGGUUGGUUUUUUGCAUCUCCAAGGCUAGAGUACUUGAGCAGGGCUGCAACUUUUCACGUUUCUAAUAUUUGAAGCUGAUUACUCGGGUUUACCCAUUUUAUUUCAACAUUUCCUUGUGAAGUUGUGAUUGAAAGCUUCAUCAACCACCUCUCACGAUAUGCAAGGUGGGAAACGAUGGCCAACAGAGCUUUUUGAUCUUGCUCCGCUUCUGUCUUUACAUAUACACAUGACUUCCCAAGUUGGCAAGUGCUUCCUUACGUCUGAAAUGUUGUUAGAUACUAGUAAGUAUCAGAAGUGUUGCCGCUACUUAUUUAUUUUUACAUUCUUUGAACCCAUUCAUUGCACAGGAAGAUAAUGGUGAAACAGAAGUUAGCAAGAUGAAAAGGCCAGGAUUUGUGAAAUGCAAAAGUUGAAGAAGCAGAAGAUUCAGGAAAUAUCGGAUCAGCAAAAUGCUGCUAUGGACACUGAUAUGGUGCCUUUCCAUUCUAAAAAUGACUAUUUCUUGCAUUAUUUCGAGUUCAUGUAUUGAUUAUGCCAGUAACAUUUUCUUGUUUUUGAAAUAAUUUUUCAAGAAUGAUAAGGGAAAAGGGCGGUUGAAGUAUCCUCUGCAGCAAACUGAGAUUUUUGCUCAUUUUGCCAGAGGAAACCAGUCUGCUUCACAGAAAAUCAAAGGAAGGUACCUUUACAUUGUGCAUUGCAGAUAUGAUCUCGGGUACAUAUGUUCCUUUUGACAACCUGCUGAACAAUGUCUACAUAGGUCCUAACUUUCCUCAUACUUCAUAGUUGCUUAAUUGGGACUGAAAGCUUUGUUUGAUCCUUGAAGGGCCGUUUGCUAUAUAUUAAUAAUUGCCUAAUGCUGGAAUUCUUUAGAGGAAAGGUGCCUAUGGUCCAGUGGUCUAACCCUUGCCGGACUUCCAGUUACAUUUGGUGUUAAGGUUCCAUAUUUAAAGGGAAUUGGGAUUUGGUAACAUUUAUGCAAACUAACAAUGUUCAAUUGUAACCUUAUAUUGAUUGUUCUCUCCCAGUGGACAAAUAAACAUCUGCUCAUGCUUAAAAGUGAAGAAAACAUGUUUGUGAAGUUCAAGUCAUCAUUUCCCAGACCAUUUCUGUGUACAGCAUUCAUGUUUGUUCAGUGACAUUUUGUCUCUGCUUAACGUGUAGGGGUUGUCAUGAAUCUAAAAUAACUGAAGAGGAAGAGGAUGAAUAAUGUCUUAAGGAGGAAGAAGAUGGCUUGUCUGGUACGGGAAACCCACGGCUG